rnacentral:lncRNA from 1 species
UUAUAGCGAGCGGAACACUAAAAAGUUGGAAACUCGAUACGAUUCGAGUCGAUUUUACCUGUUAAUCGGUGCCCGCCGAAAACCCCGUCCCUCAAGAAAACUAUCGAUGGGGUCCUUUGAAGCCGGUGGUGGUUCGGAAGGAGCGACUGCAGGUGCUCUUCGCGACGGCCUCAGGCGUACUGCUCGAUGGAUUCGCGAGAAAGAAGAUCCCUUGCUUCCUCCGCCGAUUCAAGCUGAAGCUCUCACUUUGGUAAGAGGAUUCGAUGUGCUUUAGAUCUAGAAGUAGACAACUUAUACUUGGAAGUCGGACAACGCGGCUCUGUGUUGAGACAAUUUUGCCUACUUUAUUUUUAUUUUGCUUUUUUUUUCUCACUCUUUUUAAUUAUUUUUUAGUAAAAAUAAAUAUUUAUUGAAUUUAUAUUAUAAGAUAAAAAUUAAAUUUGAUUAUAUAAAUAAAAUAAGAUUAAAUUAAAAAAUAAUUUUUUAUUUUGAAUUUCUCAUAUUAAAAUUUAAAUAUUAUUUGUAUUGAAAUAUAAUAAAUUUAAAAAUAAUUUUUUAUUUUGAAUUUAUCAUAUUAGAAUUUAAAUAUUAUUUAUAUUGAAAUAUAAUUUUAAUUUUAUCAAUUUAAGAAAUUUGUUAUUCAAGAAAAAUAACAUUCUUGUUAUGAAUAUUAAAAAUCAUAUUCAUUUUUGUCGCACUUCUCUUAUAGGAUAAUUUUAUUCAGACUAUAUUCAUUUUAUAUUUGAUUUUAUCAUAACUUAAGUAGGUACCAAAUGUAAGAUAUAAUAAAUUUUAGGGAAAAUUUUAAAUAAGGACCUACAAUGCCAUCAUUUUCUCAAAAGAUGACAUAAAAUGAAGUUUGUCUCAAAUAAGGAGCCAAAGUGCCUUCAUUUUCUCAAAAGAGGAUCUGGAGUGGAGUUUGUCUCAAAUAAGGACCCAAAGUGAUCAUUGAGUCUCAAAGAAUGACCUCAUUUGCCGGUCGGUGAAUAAACGUAUCUCCGAUGCAUAUUCCAGUAACCUGAUCAGGGAUAUUUUUGUCCAUUUUUUUUUUUUAAUUUUCAGUUGUCUUGUUCUUUAUUAUUAUUAUUAUUUUUGGGUCAAUAGUGGCAUUGUUCAUCAUCUUCUUUGUCCCUUAUUCGUCUUCUUAUCAAGAACAUCGGACUUGGGAAGGGCUAGUGAGGGCUCGAUGGCCCUUGCCCGUUGUCAGCAAUGGGCGUGGAGCCCUCACUCGUUGCCGACAAUGGGCGUCGAGCCCUCACCGGCCCUUACCAGCGGCCGGCGCUCUCUAGCCUUACCCUAAAUCUGGUGUUCUUGAUUUGGGCAAGAAGAAGUGAACAUGGGACGAAGAAGACGAUGAAUAGGGCAACCAAAAACGAAAAAAAAAAAAAAAUGGAUGAAAAUACCGUAAUUAGGCCAUCGGAUAUAUAUUGAAGAUGCAUUUAUUCACCGGCUGGCAAGUGAGGUCCUUCUUUGAGAUGAAAUGACUACUUUGGGUCUUUUUUUGAGACAAAAUUCACUUCAUGUCAUCUUUUGAGAAAAUGAUAGCAAUUUGGGUCCUUAUUUGAAACAAACUUCACUUUAAGUUAUAUUUUAAGAAAAUGAUGACAUUUUGGGUCCUUAUUUGAAAUUUUUCCUAAAUUUUAUUCAAUCUUAAAUUUUAUUUUGAUUGCCAAAAACAAUCUUAGGAGUUACCAUAAUAGUUCUAUACCCAUUAAGGAAUAUUUAGUUUAAGUCGCAAUCUAACUACAUUAUUUAUAAUUCGAAAGUCUAAAGUUAAUGAGCCCGCCACGAUAUUAUCAAGGUACUAGGGGUCAAGAGGACUAUCUAUACAAGGUAUGCUAAGACUAGCCAUAAAGAAAUUCUCUCGCGAUGUAAAUUGAACCCGUGACCUUGCAGAAGACAAAACGAUUAUAUGUUUUAGUUGUCACGCGCGUGUUUUAUACUUCAUCAUUAGAGAUAGAAAAAGGGGAUAAAACGGUAAUAUGUCGCUUUGGGAAAGAUCCGGUGGGGCCCACCACGAGUUCUUCACUUGGUCAGGUGCCCCGUUUAAUUGGGGUUUCAUUUCUCACUCCACUUCUUGCCCAGCCAGAGGCCACUCGGAAGCUCGCUGAUCACGCGCUCGCUCUCCCAUUUUCAGCUCUGCUGAGUCGCGUUCUCCGGUAAUGACUCGCUCGUGUUCUUCCGAUUCGUCGUUCGCGUCUUUUCCAUCCGUUGGUCGCUGCAUCAUUUGCUAUUUUUGGUUCUCUUCUUGCUGCUACAUUGGUCGAAGGAGCAAUUUGUCGCUUGAUUGCGUUGCCUGCUGUGGAGUUUGAGCUUACGUUCGUUUUCGGUCGAUGUGCAGAAGUGUUCAUUGGGUAAAUGAGGGGGGAGAGAGGAGAGGGCAUGACUUGAUUUGGCCCGAAAUGGAGUUACAGGGGGAUGUUUUGGAGACGGCGGGAUGAGGUUGAAGUGUUUUUGCUCUCGUCGGAGUGACUUUUUGAGUGCGCGGUGCGAGAAUAGCGGCGGCUGCUUGGUUUGAGUCCGUUGAUUUUGCUCUACUUCCCUGCUCAAGUAACUUAUGUUGAGCACUUUAUCGCGACUGAGCUUAGCUUGUGUGUUGGAUGAUUCUUUAGCUGGCAGCCUGGCACUUCUUAGAGUCUCGUUUUACAUAUUAUGUAGAGGAAAGCAGUAAAAAGUUGCAGUUUUAAGGAAUCGUGUGAGAAAUGUUGCGCUCAAACUCUGAAAAUUAUCAUUCUUGUCGUCUGGUGCAGUGUUUCCUCAGCAUGAAGUAAUUUGGUGUUUUUCCAUGGUACUUGCUGUAGGUUGGCUAGUGUUAACCAUGUAAUGGCAUGAGUAUGACCACUUCAAUCGUACUUUACUUUAAGGGCACGUUAGUUUAGACUUAAGUAAAAGGUUUCCCGCCAAAAUUUAAGAUAUUAUUCAAAUUUCAGAAAAUUAUGAAAAAGUUAUAGGCGAAUGUACGUGUCAACCUAUGAGUACGGUGAAAGUUUCAUGACUUUCGCAUUUAUAAAAAGUUAAAUUGUGUGAGCUGCAAUAUAUAGAUUAAGCAAAAACAAAAACAUAGAAGUCAUUCCUGACAUGCUCGAAGCUUGGACAGGUUUAACAGCUUUUUCUUCUAGUUCUGCCUGGGUUCCUCAAAGCCUGCUUGAACUUCCCCACCCUGGUUCAAUCGCAGAGGACAUCCAAUCCAAUUGCUGAAUUGGGUUCUUUGUUUUUCUGUCUCUUUAACUUGGUUGAAUUCUGCCUCUUUGGUCUUGGUGCAUAGAAAUGAGCCUUCAGAUGAAGUUUCUUUGUUUGGAGAAUUGAUAGCAACUUUUUUGGGUGAAUGGUUAUGAGAGUACUUGGAGUGUGUGAUUUUUGGUUCUGGCUGCUCUGUCGUUCUUAUGGAUGAUAAACAGGACUCUGUAUGAUGCUUGUCAUCUCAAAACCAAUGUUUUUAUUCUUUGUGGGACAGUUCUGCUUCCAUGGGAUGGAACGAUAAAAUCAUCAAGCAGCCGGAAGAGGAAACUCAUGAACGUGGACCCUAACUCUACACUCUCUGUCUGAUUUAUCCCACAUAUUCUUCAAUUGUAUUCCUGUACCUGAUUAAAUAAUGUUAUUAUUCUGGUAUAAGAAUGCCUUCCCCUUCAAAAGUCUCUUGCCACGUUUAUUUUCCAUUUUCCCUUAAUGGUAUUCCAUAUCAUAUGCAGUAUAUACGAGCAAACGACUUUUCUAGUGUUCCUAUAUGUAUCAGAUGAUCGACUUACCUGCAUCUUCUGGUUAUACAUCAAAUUUUUCGUUAACUUCUCUUCCAAAGAUGAGGCUCUUCUUUAGAUGCUAGUUUUAUUCUAAGCACAAACUGAAGUUUUGAGCCAUGUAAGACAUCUGUCCUCAAAUCUCAGCAAUUAGAGGACACACAUGCAGUACAUUGUGCAUCUCAGUAUUUACAACUAUUGUCACGCUGCACGUAGCAUUACACUUUUUGAUGAGGAAUAAUUGGUCAUUUACUGGAUGUUGCUAUCCAUCAGUCUUUUCAUAGAUGCUUGGAAUCCACUUGGUUUACAAUUAUCUGGACUUCCUUUCUUAGAGAUAUUGCCUUUUGUUCUAAUGCUUAGGUACCUUGAAGGUAACUAGGAAGUUCAGGGUACUUCAACAUCAAGUUCAUCAAGUAUUAAAUAAUGGGCCCCAAACCUGGACCCGCUACUUUUGUCAUACACUGUCUCUAUGCACUACCCAUAUUUGACAUUUACUGUGAGGGAUUCAGUCACUUGAUAAUUUCUUCUCUCCAUCAUUUUCUGAAAGCUAACCUUGCAGACUCCAUGCAAGCAAAGGACUUAGCUGCGCAUUUAUUUGUUGAUAUGGUUCAGGGUCAUGUAUGUCAUGAUGAGAGGACACUUGUGAAGGUAGUAGAAGUGUAUGACUUGAGACUGACAAACCUUGAGAAUGUCAUAUGCCAACUUAAAGCUACAAACAUUAACUUUAGACAAGUCACUGCAUUAACAUUUCUUAAGCAAUAUAUUUUCAAGUUGAUAAAGUCCCAGUCCUAUAUGACAGCAGUCACUCUAUUGGAGCACUUUUCUAUUCACCGAUUUGGGAAAUCCUUCCUUCUUGCUAUGAUGGAAAAGAAAGAAUUUAGGGCUGCAGAGAAGUAAGUGGGCCACAUUUAUGGGCAAGCCAAUGUUAUGUGUACUUGUCCAGGAAUAUAUAGACAGAAAAAUGCUAAAGUAUGCUUACGUGACAAUAAAGAAAAACAAUCUCCAGCAAGAAUUUGCUGAUGUAUAUCAUCAAUGUAAAGAAAGGUACUUCUUUGCUGUUAAAAUUUUUUGGAAGUGACAUUUGCUUUAGAUUUAUUUAUUAUGUUGCUGAUAGUGCAUGGAAAUCCAAAUUUCUUACUGCAGCCAUUGUAUUGAGAACAGCUAGACUAAUUUAUUCUUUUGUAGUUCAAUGAAGCUAGCAGAAAAAGGGUGCUGGGAUGUUGCUGGGUCAAAGGCAAAGGGUGAUAUACAGCUCAUUGAAUACCUGGUAUUAGUCUAAAAUAACGUGUACCUUAAUUUCUCCCCUAGGCAAUGCUGAUGAAGGUUUGUGUUCUUGAGAAAGCGAUAGGUGAUGAAGACAAGGCUUUCGGUUAAGUAAGCUCACGUCGUUUCACUGUGGAAGAUUCGGUGGCAGAGGCCCCAAAAAGCCCACUUCAUUUACUUGUUCAAAAACACAUAGUUUAUACACAUUCAAAAAUGGAAACACAUAUUUAAAAGGAUUGAAGUAUAAUUAAUCAACUUCAUUAAAACACAUUUGAGCAACCACAUAACUUCACGCACGUCUGUGAUAUUUAAAGACUAAUUCUUUCAGUUCACACCUAAGAUAUUGAAAUUAUGUAGGAUAAUCCAUGGAAGCAUCUUCCUCCGAAUUAAGCUCUCUAUACUUAAUCCUUAUCGUAAUCUUAGACCUUACUCCAAUUAUUUUUAGCCGAAUAUAGAAACAACCGAGCUUUGUCAGCAUAUCAAUCUUUAGGCUACUGUGAGUGUGAGAGUAACAGUAUGUUGUGAGCCACAAAUUUUUGAAGAAGUGGACUUCACAACAAUUUCUAAUUAUUUUUUGAUUGUUUUUUAGCUACAAAUAAGCCGUUAUUUUCACAAUAGAUUAAGACGAUCACAUAAACAUUUUUCUAAACAACCAUAACUAUCUCCACCACCUCAUUGUCACAACCUCUUCUGUACAAUCCCAUUUCCACUGGCCAAACUAUCGUAGUGUCAUGUAAUUGCUGCUUGAUAAACCUCAUCCUCUAGAUGCAUACACUUUUUUAAUUGGAGGAAAUUUUCCAUCAAUCACGUUUUUAAUUUGGUGGGUUUCAAGUUUUAGGCAUUGCUCACAUGUAAAAUUAACUAGAGCUAAAAUAUUAAUCUGAGGAAAAAAUUUCAAUUGCUCAACUGUUUAAAUUAUGGAGAAAGCCGCCGAAAAUGAUUCUAAACGAAAGGGAUAUACUUCCUUUGGGGCCCACAUUUAAUUUCUUUCUAAAAGUGUAUAGAAAUGAGGGGAAAUGCAAAACUUUGCACUUUUCUUCUAAAAUUGGCCUUCCUUUUAAAGGAUGAAUAGAAUGAAUGGUAAUUAAGUCUAUCAAUGAAAUUAAGUUCCUUUUUCUUUUUUUCUUUUUUUGGUCGGAAAAUUAAGUUCCAUUUACAUCAUUUAUCCAAACAUAUUUCGAGCAAUUUUAACUUUUCCUCUCUUCUUUCAUGGACGGCUUGUUUUUUGUUCUUAAUUUUUAGAUUUUCAAAUUUAUGGCUUUAGUAUGUUCGAAAUUUAGGGCUUUUUGGGUAAUAAAAUUUUAUGGCUCUUAAAUAGGAUUAAUAUUAUUACAAAAGGCUGCAUCCCACUUGUAGUUAGAAUAUCAAGGGAAGCAAUUUUGAUCUUUGCUUUACACGUAAUGCAAUGUGUGGCAUCUUUUUGCAUGUGUACAAGUUAGCAUUGUAUCGUGUUGACAUUUUAUAUGGUGACACUUAAUAAUCUCAUUUGUCGUGUCGUUUUGUCUAACCUACUUUAUUGAAAGUAUUGUUUUUGUAUUUUGACAGCUCUAAACGUUUACUAAACAUGUCUUGUUCGGGUUUUGCCAUAUUCAUGUUAUACCCGAACUCGACAUGACACAAUUAACAUGACACAACAUGAAUUGUUGGCUGUAUGUAUAGUAACAUGAUCGCUGACAAAAACAAUGAAAAAAAAUCCAAAGUCUCUAAAUUAUCGCAGUUUAAGGACCGCUCGACGAAACUCACUUGAUUUUUUUUUCCGAAAAAAGAAAAAAAAUUGCUAAAAAUGUCCCAGGUUUUUGGGCCUUAUUGCUCCAAAAAACCCUGACCUUUGCGGCCAAGGGAAUUCUUUCUUUUUUUUUCCCCCCCCCCCCCCCCAACCCCCCAAAAAAUAAUAAUAAUAAACAAUGUUCUUCUCUUUUUUGUGUGAAUGUUCCUCGAUGCUCCACUUCUCCUAUGUUUUGGUUCAAAUUUGGUAAUUUCAUAUUUUAAUUAUAUCUUAAAUUGUCACCUUCUUAAUAAAGUUGGAAAUACAAGGUAGAGAUUAACAAAUGGUCGUCAUUUCUCUCUUAUUUAUUUCGUGCUGGCCCCACAUGCCAAUAAUUUUAUAUAAAAUGAAUCUAUGAUAUGAUGUUACGGAGUUAUUCACUUCAAAAUUUCGAAUUUAAAUUAUUGAUCUUUAUGUUGCUUGCGAAAUAGAGAUAUAAUUUGUUAAAUGACACCAAAUGAAACAUAAUGCGUUAGUAUUAAGUUACUAAUGAUAUAUGAAAUACUUGUUCACUGUCCUUGAGUUCUUUUCCAGGUCCUUUUUGUAUUACAAUUUUGUUGGCAUAUCAUUCAGCUCUUGAAAUGCCGAUAAACCAACUAAUAUAGAAGUAUGCAAAAUAUUCAAAAAAAUAAAAGAUAAUUUAGGAAAAAGCUUAGAAAAGAAGGGAAUGAAGUGUCUGGGCUUACUUUUAGAAGGAAGCAGCGAUCUUUAGAGGUAGCAUCCAAAAGGCUUUUGAAUUAUGAAUUCGCAACACAUAGAAACCUUCAUGAACACAAAUUAAAAGUUAAUAAGCGACUGAAGUGUUAUCAACUUUCCUCUUUCUUUGAUUCUGCUCUUUGUGCAUGGCAAUCCAAGGGCAAAAGUUGGAACAAAAGAUGCUUUUCUGCUGCAUAAAAGGAGAUCGAUGAACUAAUUUCUAUGAACAAGUAUGAACAUGAAAUCUUUAAUUAAUUAGUAAUUGAUUGACUAGGAGCAAUUGCAAAUGCUUUUAGUCCUCACCUUUUAUCUUCUUUAGGACCUCACUCUAUUCAAGUCAAACUUGUUGGCCUGAACCACUCACGAGUAAUGUGUACGUUAAUUUUUCAAUUGGGCUAUAAAGAACUAGAAUGUGUACAAGUAUAUUGCAUUCAAUUAAAAAUACAAGCAUACGUUCGGUUUUUAUUUGGUUAUUGAAAAUCAGAAUUCGAUAAACCAUUCAAAAGAUAAUAACUGAGUUGGGACGGAAUUACAAAUGUGUGAAAGACGUCGAGAAAGGACUGAGCUAGUAAUUGUGGAUGUGAUUUUAUAUUUUAAUUUUGUUUAAAAUUGUCAUAUUCUUGAUGAAGUUGGAAAUGUGAGGUAGACAUAAACAAAAAUGAUUGUGGUUAUUUAUCCUUUAUCUAUUCCACACCGGCACCACAUGCUACAAUUCCAUGUAAAAUGAACUUAUUCUUAACCGUAUGUUAUCACCGAGCCUUUCAUUUUGAAUUUCCAAAUCCAAAAAAUUGAUCAAUAUCUUGUUUGUAAAAUAGAGCUAUAAUUUGUUAAAUGGCACCAAAUAGAGUUGCAAAUGCUCCCACUGUGCUCUCGUUUUAUGCAAUCGUUUCUUUCUCCAUGUUAGUCUGACAGAUUAGAAAUUAGGUUAUUGAUUCAAUGGAAGAAGAAGAAGAAGAGAUGAAAGGAAGUAAAAGGAAGCUGCUGAGGAAAAUCCAGAGAUGACCAAGGUUUGAAACAAUGGAGUGCAGUGCUUGUCCGCAUUUUUUUGGAGGGCCCACCUUGAGAAUAUCGCUAAAAAGAUUUUUUAUCCAAUAAAAUGGAAGUAGAAUAGGAUUAUCGGCUAAAUUUGAGACAAGUCAGGUUAAAUUGAUUAAUCACAUAUUUGAAAAAUGAAUUUAUUCUUUGUAACAGAAGAGGUGUAAGAAAUGAGUGAUAUAAAGCAAGGUGAAUCUCCUAACAUGCGCAUAUGGCUUGAUUUAUUUAAUUGUUUUCAUGCGUGUGUCAGAAGAUCGAACUAGUUUUUUUUUUUUCCUUACUAUUGGAUAUCAUGUAAAAAAAUUAAGAAGUAUCAUGCUAUGGAAUUUGGUAUGUUUUAUGUUGUGAUGAUUGAAACUAUCAUUAGUUGAGAGUAGGUAAAAAGUAGCAUAUAGUUAAAUGCACAAACUUCAGCAUAUCCUUUUAUUACUCAUUUACUUUUCUUUAUUUCAAGUAAAGAAUGUCAAUUUUUAAGGCUUUGAAGGGAGAAAACGAGUUUUUUUUCUUUUCUUUUCUUGCUAAAGAAGGGAGAAUAUGAGUAAGAGGUGAAAGAGAACAUACUUUCUAGGAUUAGUGGUCCAACAAUUCAAAGAAAACAGAAUAUUACUCAUCUAGAGUGUUCUAUAGGGAGGUAAAAUUGUCGAAUGAAAACUCCUUAAGAGAAGACUUACUCUUAGGAUGAUCAAUUUUGAGAUGAGUAGGUUCUUAACUUAAAAUCAGGUUAUUUUGUAAUAAUCGGUUCUCCAUUUUUGUAACCGAGAACCAAACUAGUUGACCCUGAACCAGCCUGCUAUUGUUUUUCUUUAAAUUGAUCUAGGACCUUCAAACACAGAGAAACCUCACAACGAAUCAAAAAAUGGUCUUUGGAUUCAAGCAAAACGUGGCAACUUGCAUGCAAUAGAGUGUAGCGCGCUUGCAGACCUACUCGUUCUAGUUCAAAAAAGAUCAAUACUAAAUUACGAUGCACCUAACAAUCAGACAGCAAGGCCAUCAUAGGAUUAGCCACAUCUAAAGUAAAAAAUAAAGGCUUUCUUUUUUCAUUGAAGUCAAAUCUAAGCUAGGGACCUACCUCGUUAACAGGCAACAGCGACUCCAGAAGAGAGAAUAAGAGACCCUCCUCUGCUACUCAGCAGCAGCCACCCCACAUCCCUAGUAGACAAAAAGGGCCCAGAACACACUUAGUUCAACUGAUUAUUGUAAUAACAAGGCGACAAAUCAAUAGAAACAGCACGCUAAUAAGAGAUGAAAAAGCAAUUAUCUCCCGCGAGCUGAGAUGUGAAGAUAGGCUGAGAAUGGAGAGAGAGGAGUCUGUAAAAAGCCUGGGCGAGAACUUUCAAGAGGGAAAAGAACAGAGAAAACAAGUGAGGAAUAAUCAGUAGAUGUUAGUCUCCAAUUGUUCUGCAAGAGAGAGGCCUAAUGCAAAAGAUAAAGUGAGAAAUGAGGGGGGGGAUGANNNNNNNNNNNNNNNNNNNNNNNNNNNNNNNNNNNNNNNNNNNNNNNNNNNNNNNNNNNNNNNNNNNNNNNNNNNNNNNNNNNNNNNNNNNNNNNNNNNNNNNNNNNNNNNNNNNNNNNNNNNNNNNNNNNNNNNNNNNNNNNNNNNNNNNNNNNNNNNNNNNNNNNNNNNNNNNNNNNNNNNNNNNNNNNNNNNNNNNNNNNNNNNNNNNNNNNNNNNNNNNNNNNNNNNNNNNNNNNNNNNNNNNNNNNNNNNNNNNNNNNNNNNNNNNNNNNNNNNNNNNNNNNNNNNNNNNNNNNNNNNNNNNNNNNNNNNNNNNNNNNNNNNNNNNNNNNNNNNNNNNNNNNNNNNNNNNNNNNNNNNNNNNNNNNNNNNNNNNNNNNNNNNNNNNNNNNNNNNNNNNNNNNNNNNNNNNNNNNNNNNNNNNNNNNNNNNNNNNNNNNNNNNNNNNNNNNNNNNNNNNNNNNNNNNNNNNNNNNNNNNNNNNNNNNNNNNNNNNNNNNNNNNNNNNNNNNNNNNNNNNNNNNNNNNNNNNNNNNNNNNNNNNNNNNNNNNNNNNNNNNNNNNNNNNNNNNNNNNNNNNNNNNNNNNNNNNNNNNNNNNNNNNNNNNNNNNNNNNNNNNNNNNNNNNNNNNNNNNNNNNNNNNNNNNNNNNNNNNNNNNNNNNNNNNNNNNNNNNNNNNNNNNNNNNNNNNNNNNNNNNNNNNNNNNNNNNNNNNNNNNNNNNNNNNNNNNNNNNNNNNNNNNNNNNNNNNNNNNNNNNNNNNNNNNNNNNNNNNNNNNNNNNNNNNNNNNNNNNNNNNNNNNNNNNNNNNNNNNNNNNNNNNNNNNNNNNNNNNNNNNNNNNNNNNNNNNNNNNNNNNNNNNNNNNNNNNNNNNNNNNNNNNNNNNNNNNNNNNNNNNNNNNNNNNNNNNNNNNNNNNNNNNNNNNNNNNNNNNNNNNNNNNNNNNNNNNNNNNNNNNNNNNNNNNNNNNNNNNNNNNNNNNNNNNNNNNNNNNNNNNNNNNNNNNNNNNNNNNNNNNNNNNNNNNNNNNNNNNNNNNNNNNNNNNNNNNNNNNNNNNNNNNNNNNNNNNNNNNNNNNNNNNNNNNNNNNNNNNNNNNNNNNNNNNNNNNNNNNNNNNNNNNNNNNNNNNNNNNNNNNNNNNNNNNNNNNNNNNNNNNNNNNNNNNNNNNNNNNNNNNNNNNNNNNNNNNNNNNNNNNNNNNNNNNNNNNNNNNNNNNNNNNNNNNNNNNNNNNNNNNNNNNNNNNNNNNNNNNNNNNNNNNNNNNNNNNNNNNNNNNNNNNNNNNNNNNNNNNNNNNNNNNNNNNNNNNNNNNNNNNNNNNNNNNNNNNNNNNNNNNNNNNNNNNNNNNNNNNNNNNNNNNNNNNNNNNNNNNNNNNNNNNNNNNNNNNNNNNNNNNNNNNNNNNNNNNNNNNNNNNNNNNNNNNNNNNNNNNNNNNNNNNNNNNNNNNNNNNNNNNNNNNNNNNNNNNNNNNNNNNNNNNNNNNNNNNNNNNNNNNNNNNNNNNNNNNNNNNNNNNNNNNNNNNNNNNNNNNNNNNNNNNNNNNNNNNNNNNNNNNNNNNNNNNNNNNNNNNNNNNNNNNNNNNNNNNNNNNNNNNNNNNNNNNNNNNNNNNNNNNNNNNNNNNNNNNNNNNNNNNNNNNNNNNNNNNNNNNNNNNNNNNNNNNNNNNNNNNNNNNNNNNNNNNNNNNNNNNNNNNNNNNNNNNNNNNNNNNNNNNNNNNNNNNNNNNNNNNNNNNNNNNNNNNNNNNNNNNNNNNNNNNNNNNNNNNNNNNNNNNNNNNNNNNNNNNNNNNNNNNNNNNNNNNNNNNNNNNNNNNNNNNNNNNNNNNNNNNNNNNNNNNNNNNNNNNNNNNNNNNNNNNNNNNNNNNNNNNNNNNNNNNNNNNNNNNNNNNNNNNNNNNNNNNNNNNNNNNNNNNNNNNNNNNNNNNNNNNNNNNNNNNNNNNNNNNNNNNNNNNNNNNNNNNNNNNNNNNNNNNNNNNNNNNNNNNNNNNNNNNNNNNNNNNNNNNNNNNNNNNNNNNNNNNNNNNNNNNNNNNNNNNNNNNNNNNNNNNNNNNNNNNNNNNNNNNNNNNNNNNNNNNNNNNNNNNNNNNNNNNNNNNNNNNNNNNNNNNNNNNNNNNNNNNNNNNNNNNNNNNNNNNNNNNNNNNNNNNNNNNNNNNNNNNNNNNNNNNNNNNNNNNNNNNNNNNNNNNNNNNNNNNNNNNNNNNNNNNNNNNNNNNNNNNNNNNNNNNNNNNNNNNNNNNNNNNNNNNNNNNNNNNNNNNNNNNNNNNNNNNNNNNNNNNNNNNNNNNNNNNNNNNNNNNNNNNNNNNNNNNNNNNNNNNNNNNNNNNNNNNNNNNNNNNNNNNNNNNNNNNNNNNNNNNNNNNNNNNNNNNNNNNNNNNNNNNNNNNNNNNNNNNNNNNNNNNNNNNNNNNNNNNNNNNNNNNNNNNNNNNNNNNNNNNNNNNNNNNNNNNNNNNNNNNNNNNNNNNNNNNNNNNNNNNNNNNNNNNNNNNNNNNNNNNNNNNNNNNNNNNNNNNNNNNNNNNNNNNNNNNNNNNNNNNNNNNNNNNNNNNNNNNNNNNNNNNNNNNNNNNNNNNNNNNNNNNNNNNNNNNNNNNNNNNNNNNNNNNNNNNNNNNNNNNNNNNNNNNNNNNNNNNNNNNNNNNNNNNNNNNNNNNNNNNNNNNNNNNNNNNNNNNNNNNNNNNNNNNNNNNNNNNNNNNNNNNNNNNNNNNNNNNNNNNNNNNNNNNNNNNNNNNNNNNNNNNNNNNNNNNNNNNNNNNNNNNNNNNNNNNNNUGUUUUCAGAUGCAAGCCUAGUCAAGCCACCACAAUUUGGACCAGAGUACGAAAUGGCCACUUCUGUUCAUAUCCACUUAAAAACCAUUUUGUUAAACAGAAAAAUGUGGCUCAAUCGGCUUGUGAAUCUUCCAUUAUAUUAUUAACAAAGACGUUUUUACUCCUGUAAAUGCUACAUUAUCCUCCCACCCCAAACAUGCAUAAAUCAUAUUGUAUCCAUCGUGGGUCAGUAAUUUUCUAUGCUAUAGAUACGUAAAAGUCAUGUCUUUGCUGUAAGCAGUAAAAUCGCAUGAAAACCACAAAAACCACACUUUAUGACGAGUUUCUCUAAUUCAAUCCACAAAGACAAAGUCCACCUAUAAAUUGUCCACAUAAUAAACACGUGUAAGUACAUUGAAACCAGCAGCUUUGCUCACUUUCAAGUUUUCCAUUGUAACCAGCACCUAAAAAAAAAUACAAUCAUGAAUUUUUCAUAAUUUCUGGAAAGCAUUUGAAUUUUGUCAUUUUUCCAGAAAUUACUAAAAUUGCCAAUAUAAUGGAAAAUGGUUUAAUGGACAUCCAAAAAUUUUCUAGCUAAUUGAAUCUGUUAAGAUAAAUUUUUGUUCUUGACAAUUCUAAUCCAUAGCCUAUGAAAGGUUUAAUGUGAUCAUUGAAGGGAAUAGACUAACACGAUCGAUAUUUGGAAAAAUCUAGUUUUGAACUGUUUUCAAGGUAAAAAAAAGAACAAUUUCUGCAAAAACUGAGUAUUUUGAAUGUUUCAGGCUUUAAGUAAUUUUGGACAAUUGGGAUAUAUAUAGGGCCGAUGAACCCAAAAAUCUGGUCUAGAAGGGUUCUUCCAUAAUUUUAUCAAGCGGGGAGUUCAGUCAACCAUUAAUGUUUUGCAAACACCACCAGGAUAAGGGCCAACAUGCUUUUCCACCAGAUUCAAUCAGUCUAACCAUUCAUAACCGAUUAGUUUAGAUGAGAAGAUUGUAGUAACGAAAAUUAGCAAUAUAUAUGUGAUGAUGAUUUUACAAAAGUUGAGGGAAUUUCACGUGUAUUAUUCUGUAUGCCUUAAAAGGAUGGCAGGCGUUAUGCGACGGGUAAUAAUCACAUGUAUUUUAUUUUUUGUGCUAUCAAUUGAAAUAGACUGCAGAAUAAAGGCCGGGCUAACCUCGAGGAGAAGCGAUGCAGAGAUAAAAUCACUGUGAUGGGUUUCAGCGCUUGAGAAGAAGUUGUCUAGAAGCAGAUCGAGUGAGUCCCGCAAGGCAGCGCAAUCCCGAGGAUCACCUUCGCACCUCGACCUGGACCGGCUUGGUUUCGAAAUACGCCGCGGUAAAUUUGCAGAUCAUCUCAGGUCAGAACAUCACGAGAAAGGACGAGUAGUGGCUACAAAAUCACCAACAACAGGCAAGGAACUUACUAUCUCUCGAUUAAAUCGCAGCUCUUCUCUGGUAUUAUCUGGAGAUCCCAGAAACAACCCUCGUGUUCCGAGCGAAGACCGCGCCACCAAACCCAGGAACCCUAAUCUCGUCAGCGGAGUCCACGAUCAGAAAUUAUAGCAAGCGGAACACUAAAAAGUUGGAAACUCGACACGAUUCGAGUCGAUUUUACCUGUUAAUCGGUGCCCGCCGAAAACCCAGUCCCUCAAGAAAACUAUCGAUGGGGUCCUUUGAAGCCGGUGGUGGUUCGAAAGGACCGACUGUGGGUGCUCUUCGCGACGGCCUCAGGCAUACUGCUCGAUGGAUUCGCGAGAGAGAAGAUCCCUUGCUUCCUCCGCCGAUUCAAGCUGAAGCUCUCGCUCUGGUGGAGGAUUCGAUGUGGUUCAGAUCUUAGAAGUAGAGACAACUUAUACUUGGGAGUCGGACAACGCGGCUCUCUGUUGAGACUCUUUUGCCUAUUUUAUUUUUAUUUGCUUUUUUUCCUCACUCUUUUUAAUUAUUUUUUAUUUAUUUUUUCUCUUUCAUCAUUCUCUAAUAAAAUUUUAUUAAACAGUAAAUUAUACUAAUAUACCUAAAAUCCCAAAAUUAUGUAGUAAACAUAAAUAUUUAUUGAAUUUAUAUUAUAAGAUAAAAAUUAAAUUUGAUUAUAUAAAUAAAAUAAGAUUAACUUAAAAACUAAUUUUUUUUUAUUUUGAAUUUCUCAUAUUAAAAUUUAAAUAUUAUUUAUAUUAAAAUAUAAUUUUAAUUUUAUCAAUUUAAGAAAUUUGUUAUUCAAAAAGAAUAACAUUCUAUAAUGGAUAUUAAAAAUCAUAUCUAUUUUUAUCUCACUUCUCUUAUAAGAUUAUUUUAUUCAGACUCUAUUUAUUUUAUAUUUGAUUUUAUUAUAACUUAAGUAGGUACCAAAUGUAAGAUAUAAUAAAUUUUAUUCAAUCUUAAAUUUUAUCUUGAUUGUCAAAAACAAUCUUAGGAGUUACCAUAAUAGUUCUAUACCCAUUAAGGAAUAUUUAGUUUAAGUCGCAAUCUAAUUGCAUUAUUUAUAAUUCGAAAGUCCAGAGUUAAUGAGCCCGCCAAGAUAUUAUCAAGGUACUAGGGGUCAAGAGGACUAUCCAUACAACUAUCCAUACAAGGUAUAUUAGGACGAGCCAUAAAGAAAUUCUCUCGUGACGGAAAUUGAACUCGUGACCUUGCAGAUGACAAAACGGUUAUAUGUUUAGUUGUCACGCGCGUGUUUUAUACUUCAUCAUUAGAGAUAUAAAAGGGGGAUAAAACAGUAAAAUGUCGCUUUGGGAAGGAUCCGGUGGGGCCCACCCCGAGUUCUUCACUUGGUCAGGUGCCCCGUUUAAUUGGGGUUUCAUUUCUCUCUCCACUUCUUGCCCAGCCAGAGGCGACUCGGAAGCUCGCUGAUCACGCGCUCGCUCUCCCAUUUUCAGUUCUGCUGAGUAGCGUUCUCCGGUAAUGACUCGCUUGUGUUCUUCCGAUUCGUCGUUCGCGUCUUUUCCAUCCGAUGGUCGCUGCAUCAUUUGCUAUUUUUGGUUCUCUUCUUGCUGCUACUUUGGUCGAAGGAGCAAUUUGUCGCUUGAUUGCGUUGCCUGCUGUGUAUUUUGAGCUUAGGUUCGUUUUCGGUCGAUGUGCAGAAGGGUUCGUUGGGUAAAUGAGGGGGGAGAGAGAAGAGGGGAUGACUUGAUUUGGCCCGAAAUGGAGUUACUGGGGGAUGUUUCGGAGACGGCGGGAUGAGGUUGAAGUGUUUUUGCUCUCGUCGGAAUGCCUUUUUGAGUGCGCGGUGCGAGAAUAGUGGUGGCUGCUUGUUUUGAGUUCGUUGAUUUUGCGAUGCUUCCCAGUUCAAUUAGCUUCUGUUAUUGAGCACUUUAUGGCGACUGAGCUUAGCUUGUGUGUUGGAUGAUUCUUUAGCCGGCAGCCUGGCACUUCUUAGAGUCUCGUUUUACAUAUUAUGUAGAGGAAAAUAGUACAAAGUUGCAGUUUUAGGAAUCGUGUGACACGUGCUGUGCUUGAACUCUGUCAAUUAUCAUUCUUGUCGUCUGGUGCAGUGUUUCCCGAGCAUGAGGUAAUUUGGUGUUUUUUCAUGGUACUUGCUGUAGGUUGGCUAGUUUUAACCAAGUAAUGGCAUGAGUAUGACCACUUCAAUCUUACUUUAAGGGCACGUGUGUUUGGACUUAAAUAAAAGGUUUGCUGCCAAAAUUUAAGCUAUUAUUCAAAUUUCGGAAAAUUACGAAAAAGUUAUAUGUGAAUGUACGUGUCAACAUAUGAGUACGGUGAAAGUUUCAUGAGAUUCGCAUUUAUAAAAAGUUAAAUUGUGUGAGCUGCAAUAUAUAGAUUAAGCAAAAACAACAACAUAGAAGUCAUUCCUGACAUGCUCGAAGCUUGGACAGGUUUAACAGCUUUUUCUUCUAGUUCUGCCUAGGUUCCUCAAAGCCUGCUUGAACUUCCCCACCCUGGUUCAAUCGCAGAGGACAUCCAAUCCAAUUGCUAAAUUGGGUUCUUUGUUUUUCUGUCUCUUUAACUUGGUUGAAUUCUGCCUCUUUGGUCUUGGUGCUUAGAAAUGAGCCUUCAGAUGAAGUUUCUUUGUUUGGAGAAUUGAUAGCAACUUUUUUGGGUGAAUGGUUAUGAGAGUACUUGGAGUGUGUGAUUUUUGGUUCUGGCUGCUCUGUCGUUCUUAUGGAUGAUAAACAGGACUCUGUAUGAUGCUUGUCAUCUCAAAACCAAUGUUUUUAUUCUUUGUGGGACAGUUCUGCUUCCAUGGGAUGGAACGAUAAAAUCAUCAAGCAACCGGAAGAGGAAACUCAUGAACGUGGACCCUAACUCUACACUCUCUGUCUGAUUUAUCCCACAUUUCGCCAAUUGUAUUCCUGUACCUGAUUAAAGAAUGUUAUUAUUCUGGUAUAAGAAUGCCUUCCCCUUCAAAAGUCUUGCCACGUUUAUUUUCCAUUUUCCCUUAAUGGUAUUCCAUAUCAUAUGCAGUAUAUACGAGCAAACGACUUUUCUAGUGUUCCUAUAUGUAUCAGAUGAUCGACUUACCUGCAUCUUCUGGUUAUACAUCAAAUUUUUCAUUAACUUCUCUUCCAAAGAUGAGGCUCUUCUUUAGAUGCUAGUUUUAUUCUAAGCACAAACUGAAGUUUUGAGCCAUGUAAGACAUCUGUCCUCAAAUCUCAGCAAUUAGAGGACACACAUGCAGUACAUUGUGCAUCUCAGUAUUUACAACUAUUGUCACGCUGCACGUAGCAUUACACUUUUUGAUGAGGAAUAAUUGGUCAUUUACUGGAUGUUGCUAUCCAUCAGUCUUUUCAUAGAUGCUUGGAAUCCACUUGGUUUACAAUUAUCUGGACUUCCUUUCUUAGAGAUAUUGCCUUUUGUUCUGAUGCUUAGGUACCUUGAAGGUAACUAGGAAGUUCAGGGUACUUCAACAUCAAGUUCAUCAAGUAUUAAAUAAUGGGCCCCAACCUGGACCCGCUACUUUUGUCAUACACUGUCUCUAUGCACUACCCAUAUUUGACAUUUACUGUGAGGGAUUCAGUCACUUGAUAAUUUCUUCUCUCCAUCAUUUUCUGAAAGCUAACCUUGCAGACUCCAUGCAAGCAAAGGACUUAGCUGCGCAUUUAUUUGUUGAUAUGGUUCAGGGUCAUGUAUGUCAUGAUGAGAGGACACUUGUGAAGGUAGUAGAAAUGUAUGACUUGAGACUGACAAACCUUGAGAAUGUCAUAUGCCAACUUAAAGCUACAAACAUUAACUUUAGACAAGUCACUGCAUUAACAUUUCUUAAGCAAUAUAUUUUCAAGUUGAUAAAGUCCCAGUCCUAUAUGACAGCAGUCACUCUAUUGGAGCACUUUUCUAUUCACCAAUUUGGGAAAUCCUUCCUUCUUGCUAUGAUGGAAAAGAAAGAAUUUAGGGCUGCAGAGAAGUAAGUGGGCCACAUUUAUGUGCAAGCCAAUGUUAUGUGUACUUGUCCAGGAAUAUAUAGACAGAAAAAUGCUAAAGUAUGCUUACGUGACAAUAAAGAAAAACAAUCUCCAGCAAGAAUUUGCUGAUGUAUAUCAUCAAUGUAAAGAAAGGUACUUCUUUGCUGUUAAAAUUUUUUGGAAGUGACAUUUGCUUUAGAUUUAUUUAUUAUGUUGCUGAUAGUGCAUGGAAAUCCAAAUUUCUUACUGCAGCCAUUGUAUUGAGAACAGCUAGACUAAUUUAUUCUUUUGUAGUUCAAUGAAGCUAGCAGAAAAAGGGUGCUGGGAUGUUGCUGGGUCAAAGGCAAAGGGUGAUAUACAGCUCAUUGAAUACCUGGUAUUAGUCUAAAAUGCUUUGUUCCAACUGUGGCAUCUUUCUUUAGAUGAGCUUGAAGUUGUAUGGUUUUAAGUUGCAACUUUAGUAGAUUUGUAUCAAUCUUUUGAGGUUGGCAGUUUGGCCUUCUACAGGGGUUCCUCAAAUAGUUUUAUCAGUCCUGUCUUUCUUAGGAUCGGGUAUUGGCAGAACUGUUUCAGUAAUUCCACAUUUAAUCUCCUGCUAUUGGACUUUGGUGCAAUGUCUAAUGGUUCUUGGUCCUUUCCAUAGAGAAAUGUGAUUAAUUUUCUGGUCAUAAGUAUGUCUUCUGAUGUAACUAUAGCAUUUGAGCUGUGGACAUAAAUGACAUCUUGUGGCUUGAGCAAGAAAUUCCUGUGGUGCCACCUCCUCCUCUGUGAUGAACAUUUGUCCUAUUACUGUUGUUUUUUCCUCCUUGCCUUUGCCUUUUCCCUGAAGGUGAUGUUUAAGUUUUGAAAUAACAUAUUACCAGUUUGUAGCUGUCGUUAGACAUAAAGAAGGGAGACUUUAUGUGCUUUUGUUUGUUCUAUUAAGAUUUUACUCUUCCACUUGAAAGGUCUAUUUGGCAAUGGAAGCUGGUUAUCCAGAAAAAAGUUGAUGAAUUGUGCGAUCAAUACUCUCUUCAAGGUUUUCCAAAAGCCAAAGGUGUGCCAAUGUCUAUUUUGUUUGCCGAUAUAUUAGGAUAAACAUAUUGCUGUAAUUUCUUCUCUCCAACCUGUAAGUUUAGAAAAAUAUGUUGUUGCACUAGUUUUGCUGAAACAGUUUUUGUCAGUCACUGCUGUGAUUGGAACCUCUAUUGUGCUACUAGAAUCCAACUAGAUGCCUCGAGUAGGUUACUGGGAACCUUAGAUAGGGUUUCUUCCUGCUUUGUUUGCAUAAAGUACCUGAACUAUGCAUAAGAUACUAUAGGCACUGUUAACGAGGUGUUGGCAUGCUUGUCUAUUGAGUUAACUUUGGGGCAAUUGCAUUGAUCAAUGUAGAUGGCUAUCUUUGUUCGAAUAUACCUUCUAAUGUGAAUAUCUUUAUCAAUAUAUUGCUUGCAUUUUGUCAGAGAAUGUGGCAAACUGAUUGGGAUUCUUAUGGCCAGUAUAUUGUUAUUCAGUGAACUGAAUGGAUGUUUUGCUUACGUUCUCUUGUUGCUAUAACUUGUAAAUCUUGGUUUGAAUUGUAUCUGGGGAAACUGAAGUCAUUAUGUCUCGAAAAUUGCUGAAUCAUUUGAUAUCUUGAACCAGACAGUUGCAUCUGCAAUUAGGUCUCUAGUUCUCCAUGAUUGAGGAAAAGAAUAGUUCUGCUUGUGCCUGAUGAUCUAGAAUCAAUUGCUUGCCAUAUUAUGUGGACCUUGAAAAGUUUUUAGUAGACCUUCGUAUACGUUGGGUAUUAAACUUCUCUGAUAAAUGUGUAUUCUGUUGCACUAUCAUCAGUAUGUUGUAAGUAUGCUAUGCCUAGAUAUUUAGUCCUUGGUGGUCGCAUGUUGUGGAGUAUAACAGUAGGAUUUUCUCAGUAAUGUUGCAUUCUCUUUUUCAAAUAUAAUAAUUUGUAACCGUUGGCUUGUUUAGAAUUGGAUGCAACUUUUCUGCAUUGUAAGCACUAUUUGUGCCUCAAAGAACUGGGCAUUGAAGAUGUUUUUUUGGGUUGGUCGAGUGGAUAGUUUGCAUACGGCAACAUACUGCAUUGAAGAAUCUAAAGUUGUUGGUGUGGACUGUGAAUGGAAACCCAAUUAUGUAAAGGGCAGCAAGCCUAACAAGGUAAUUGGUAAGUCCUGUUUGUCCUCAUCUUCCUAUCCAUAAUCUCUUGGAGGUUUUAUAUACUCACUGAAAGUUGUCUUUGUGCCUUUUUGUUCCAAACAAAUCCAUUGUUGCCAGAAAAGAAAUUAAAUGGUUUAAUGAUCAAGAGUUAUCGUCAAGCUUUUGGUGAUUGCCACUAUCUUUCUUACGUUUCAACGGCCAUGAAAUCAACCAUGAAGCAUGAUAUUCAACAAUGGCAUGCUGAGAACAAAACUUUUAAGAUGAUUUCAGAUGUGCUGUAUUAUAUGGUGCGCUUCCUUUCAAAAAAAUUGAUGAGGGAUAUGCUUGGCCAGAUGUAGGACACGUUUGAAGGCUGCAUUUGGAAGAUUCGUGUAAAAUGCUAAAGAGUAUCUACAUGCCUUUUGAUAUUUGUUAACCACUAUCAGAAUGGUUUAAAUCAGACAAGGCAGAUGUAGAUGGUAUAGGAUUACAGAGAGGAUAUGGAACUACAAGAAGACAUGGUUUUGUCUCCACUUCUCACCAUCUUAUAUGUGGUUGCCAUUGGUUUGGCUAGUCUCACCAAUCAAUGUCCCUUCUGCUGUUGACUUAGUUCUCUUGUUGUGUGUUAUUUGGCUCUAAGCAGUGACUUGGUCUCUUCAGCCAAAUUACAGCAGCUGCUUGCUCUGCUGAGGUGAUUUAGAGGUUUUGGUUGAGCAAGUUGUGGCUGCAAUUUGGUGGAGAAGAUCAAGGCACUGUCAAGUCUCAGGUUGGCAACUUCGUGUCAAUUUUCAUGACUUUUUGUCACCUUUGUGAUCGGCUCGUUCCACUAUGACCUCUCUGUCAGCACAAAUAUCUUAAAAGGUCAUCCAUUAAUGUCAGAAAUUAAUUAAGUCUGAUGUUUAUUUUGAUUUUCAGGUGUCCAUCAUGCAAAUUGCUUCCGGCAGAAGUGUUUUCAUUAUUGAUCUAAUAAAAUUGUCAGGGGAUGUGCCACAUAUUCUGGAUAACUGCCUGAGUCGUAUUUUACAGUCUUCAAGUAUUCUAAAGCUUGGUAUGAGAAAUUAAAUAGUGUAAUUGUAUUCUAUCCUUCGCUUCUUGGUCCAAGCAUCAGCCUUAAUCUGGUAUCACCAAUAUGCAUCUACUAAUCUAGGGAAAAGAAAAUCAUUGUACUGACAUAAGAAUUUGGAAUUUAUGGUACCAGACGUACAUAGGGGCAUCAUAAAGCAAGAGUUUGGACAAGGAAUAAUUAUUGGUGCAUGUUUGGUACUGAUAUGACUAAGGGUGAGUGGCAUUGAAUGUUUCAGUAUGUUUGUUUUGCUGAAGUGAAUAGCUUUCCACAGAAUUUCCUGAUGUUCCUGCCCUAUGCAGGCUAUAAUUUUCAAUGUGAUAUGAAGCAACUCACCAGCUCCUAUAAAACUCUGGGGUGUUUUAAGCAUUUUGAAAUGCUGUUGGACAUUCAGAAUGUAUGACUAGUAUCUUGGGGCUUGCUGUGGUAAAGUGGACUUGCAUUGUAUGACUAAUAUUGCUGCCCUGCUUACUAACAGUGGUGAAAAGGGGGGAACAUGAUUUCUUCUUGCUCAGAACUCAUGUUGGAAUCUGUGAUGCAUGCCUUUGUGGUCGCUUUUUGCCCUGAUGAGUAAUUACUUUUACCGUUAUCUCUUGCCUCUAACUAGGAAAUACUUGGUGCUGGUUUGAACAAGACAAAAAGGAAUAGCAACUGGGAGCAACGACCUUUGAAUCAAAAUCAGGUUAUUCUACAUGUUCUUUUUCUGUUUUCUUCUCAGAAAGGAAAUUGCCGGAAAGAUCACACGAUUUAAUAGCAGAACUCAAAUGGUUGCAAUAGCAUACUAUAAUGUGUGGAAUGCAUCUGGAAGAACGAUAUCAGUACACAGAACUUCAUGGAGACUUCCAAUUAUAUCUUAAUGCUCUGAACAUUCGAGAGCCUAGGGUCAGCAGACAUGAUAAUCAUUUGCUUAAGCGAUUUCUUGAGAUCUUUAGUGCAACAAAAAUUCUCGUGGUGUCUAUUUAAGACAAUGUUUAUGCCGAUAAUUUUUAAAAGAAAUUUUCCUUUUUUUUUUUUUAACAAACACCAUUUGCUAUUUCAACUCCAAGAAAGGGAGAGAAACAUAAAGUAUAUUAAAGAGCAAACACAGUGCAGAAAAGAAAAGGAGAAAAGUUAUGAUUAGAGCAGUUGUCCUUUGAUGUAACUAAGCCAUCGCAAUGUGCGCAGCUGGAAUAUGCCGCUCUUCAUGCUGCUGUUCCUGUGCACAUAUUUCAUCAUAUACAGGACCAAUCUCAGCAGGGUACUGCAGAUGGUAAUGACAAAAUCGAAUGGAAGUCUUCUAUAGUAAGUGGACAGCACCUUUUAGUUUUCCUUAAUUCUCCAAUAAAGAGAAGCUGAAGUGAAAUGACAUUCUUCUUAAGUUUGGAGCCAGCUUAUUUGACCAUUUAAAUUUUUUGCAGAUUUCACACUUGGAUGAUGCCAAGACAACUAAAAAGAAUGUUUGGAACAGAACAAAGUGCAGAGUGGACACUAACUAGCUGGACAAUCAAUUCAUGAACUGGCGGAGCUAUUUGCUGCAGGGAAUUUUUUUCUUAUGUAAAUAGCUUUUGCAUAUAAGGACAUCAUUACUUAGUGAUCCAAUUAACAAUUCUGAUUUGCAUAUGGAAUGGAUUCAUUGCAAAUGAGUGCUUCAGUUCCGUCUUCUUGUGCUGGGUCGCUUUUUCUCAAGAGAAUUCAGGUGCCUCAGAAAGCUCGUUGGUCGAAACCUGACCACGGCCACACUUGAUGCUUUUGACUUCAGGUUUCCUAACACGAAGUUACUAUUGAAUUUCCUUGAUAUGCUGCGACUGUAUAAAUCCGAUGCAUAUGUACUCGACAGGAGCCAAAUUGUCUUGCUGAGCCAUUCACCAAAAUGAGCAGCCAUCUAUGCAGAUAUUGUAUUGCUCUACCUUGCUCGCUGUAAUUUGCAUUCGUCGUGCCUUUUGCUCUAGCUAAGCGCUUUCUGGGGAAAGAAAGCGUGCUAUAUCUGGCAAUGAGAAGAACCGAAAAAAGGGACGAACGAAACCAAAAAUAACCGCAAUUUUGGUAUGCGCAUGAUCACGUUUAUAUCCUUUUGGAUGUGGUGGAGUGGUCUUGUAAUAUAAUGAUUGAUUUAUUGUUGCGGAUCUUUCUUUGAUUUUUGAAUAAUUGAACUUCCACCCACCUGAUGAACCCCAUGAAUGUAGCGAUUAGGGACGAAUUUGUCUUGCCUCCGAAGCCGAAUCCGAAUCUGGCAUUACAGGUUAGUAUCAAAGAUCUAGAAGCCUUUGUCGCAUGUAAUCCCCAACUUCACUUAACAAAAGAAAAGCAUCAUAAAAAAAAAUGUGCAUGGGUUUAUAUCCGAUGUCAAAAAGAGAAGGUCCAAAUCCUGGUCGCCUCUCUCUCUUACACGGAAGUUUCCAUCCCCAACAGAAAAAAAACCACCUCUAUGUUUGCUGUCAUCUCCAUUUCUUAACAUUAGAGAGACCCCUCCUCUCUCUCUCUCUCUCUAUGAAAAAAAUCCUUCCCAUCCGAGAAAGGGGAAAGGCAGAGAGGGAGAAAGAGAGGGGAGAUAUUGAGGACACAGAUGGACCCGUGGUCGCGGAGCUACCGAUCCCAUGGAGUUGGCCGGAGUCUAGAGAUCAUGACGAUUCAAACUCUUAACCAAAACCAGAUGUACGUUGCCAAAUCCCGGCCUCGCAUGCUCGAACACGCUUCGCCCCCGCACAGACUAGACAACGUCAAGGAGUCGGCGAUAAAAGCAUCGUGGUGGAACGAUCCGGAGAAAAAAGAGGAAGAGGAGGGUGGCCAGAUACAAGCUUUAUUCGGUCGAAGGCAAGUUCAAGGCUUCUUUCAAACAAAGAUUCCGAUGGUCGAAGCGCAAAUGCUCGAGCAUUGGGCGUCGAUUUUAAUUCGUAGAAAUUACAUUAUAUCAUGCUGAUCGUCAUGAAGAGAGGCAAGGGUGAUCAGUCAGCAGGAAACAAAGUGGUUUGUUGUGUUUAUUGGGUUAUCAUCUUAAUAAUCAUCUAAUGGUAAUUAAGGGGAAAAGUGCCAAAAAAGUCCUAAAUCUUUUGUUUUUGUGCCGAUUUAUUCCUAAACUUUUUUUUGUGCUAAUUUAGUCCUAAACAUUUUUACGUUGUACAAAUUCAGUCAUUUAUGGCCAAUUUUGGCCGGAUUUUACUAACUGGACGCCGACCAGUUAACGUGACUUGAUCGGCGCUGACUUUGAUAACUUUUAAUAAUAUUUUGUAAUUUUUUUAAUUUUUUCUUUUUUUCUUCUCCUCUUCUUCCUCCAGCCAGUCGCUGAGGCAGCCGAUGAGGUCGAGGUCGACCUUGCUGGCCACCUUGCCAGUUCACCAGUGGCCGCAGAGUGAACCCUACCAGCUUGGCAUGAGAGGCGGUCUCGAGCNNNNNNNNNNNNNNNNNNNNNNNNNNNNNNNNNNNNNNNNNNNNNNNNNNNNNNNNNNNNNNNNNNNNNNNNNNNNNNNNNNNNNNNNNNNNNNNNNNNNNNNNNNNNNNNNNNNNNNNNNNNNNNNNNNNNNNNNNNNNNNNNNNNNNNNNNNNNNNNNNNNNNNNNNNNNNNNNNNNNNNNNNNNNNNNNNNNNNNNNNNNNNNNNNNNNNNNNNNNNNNNNNNNNNNNNNNNNNNNNNNNNNNNNNNNNNNNNNNNNNNNNNNNNNNNNNNNNNNNNNNNNNNNNNNNNNNNNNNNNNNNNNNNNNNNNNNNNNNNNNNNNNNNNNNNNNNNNNNNNNNNNNNNNNNNNNNNNNNNNNNNNNNNNNNNNNNNNNNNNNNNNNNNNNNNNNNNNNNNNNNNNNNNNNNNNNNNNNNNNNNNNNNNNNNNNNNNNNNNNNNNNNNNNNNNNNNNNNNNNNNNNNNNNNNNNNNNNNNNNNNNNNNNNNNNNNNNNNNNNNNNNNNNNNNNNNNNNNNNNNNNNNNNNNNNNNNNNNNNNNNNNNNNNNNNNNNNNNNNNNNNNNNNNNNNNNNNNNNNNNNNNNNNNNNNNNNNNNNNNNNNNNNNNNNNNNNNNNNNNNNNNNNNNNNNNNNNNNNNNNNNNNNNNNNNNNNNNNNNNNNNNNNNNNNNNNNNNNNNNNNNNNNNNNNNNNNNNNNNNNNNNNNNNNNNNNNNNNNNNNNNNNNNNNNNNNNNNNNNNNNNNNNNNNNNNNNNNNNNNNNNNNNNNNNNNNNNNNNNNNNNNNNNNNNNNNNNNNNNNNNNNNNNNNNNNNNNNNNNNNNNNNNNNNNNNNNNNNNNNNNNNNNNNNNNNNNNNNNNNNNNNNNNNNNNNNNNNNNNNNNNNNNNNNNNNNNNNNNNNNNNNNNNNNNNNNNNNNNNNNNNNNNNNNNNNNNNNNNNNNNNNNNNNNNNNNNNNNNNNNNNNNNNNNNNNNNNNNNNNNNNNNNNNNNNNNNNNNNNNNNNNNNNNNNNNNNNNNNNNNNNNNNNNNNNNNNNNNNNNNNNNNNNNNNNNNNNNNNNNNNNNNNNNNNNNNNNNNNNNNNNNNNNNNNNNNNNNNNNNNNNNNNNNNNNNNNNNNNNNNNNNNNNNNNNNNNNNNNNNNNNNNNNNNNNNNNNNNNNNNNNNNNNNNNNNNNNNNNNNNNNNNNNNNNNNNNNNNNNNNNNNNNNNNNNNNNNNNNNNNNNNNNNNNNNNNNNNNNNNNNNNNNNNNNNNNNNNNNNNNNNNNNNNNNNNNNNNNNNNNNNNNNNNNNNNNNNNNNNNNNNNNNNNNNNNNNNNNNNNNNNNNNNNNNNNNNNNNNNNNNNNNNNNNNNNNNNNNNNNNNNNNNNNNNNNNNNNNNNNNNNNNNNNNNNNNNNNNNNNNNNNNNNNNNNNNNNNNNNNNNNNNNNNNNNNNNNNNNNNNNNNNNNNNNNNNNNNNNNNNNNNNNNNNNNNNNNNNNNNNNNNNNNNNNNNNNNNNNNNNNNNNNNNNNNNNNNNNNNNNNNNNNNNNNNNNNNNNNNNNNNNNNNNNNNNNNNNNNNNNNNNNNNNNNNNNNNNNNNNNNNNNNNNNNNNNNNNNNNNNNNNNNNNNNNNNNNNNNNNNNNNNNNNNNNNNNNNNNNNNNNNNNNNNNNNNNNNNNNNNNNNNNNNNNNNNNNNNNNNNNNNNNNNNNNNNNNNNNNNNNNNNNNNNNNNNNNNNNNNNNNNNNNNNNNNNNNNNNNNNNNNNNNNNNNNNNNNNNNNNNNNNNNNNNNNNNNNNNNNNNNNNNNNNNNNNNNNNNNNNNNNNNNNNNNNNNNNNNNNNNNNNNNNNNNNNNNNNNNNNNNNNNNNNNNNNNNNNNNNNNNNNNNNNNNNNNNNNNNNNNNNNNNNNNNNNNNNNNNNNNNNNNNNNNNNNNNNNNNNNNNNNNNNNNNNNNNNNNNNNNNNNNNNNNNNNNNNNNNNNNNNNNNNNNNNNNNNNNNNNNNNNNNNNNNNNNNNNNNNNNNNNNNNNNNNNNNNNNNNNNNNNNNNNNNNNNNNNNNNNNNNNNNNNNNNNNNNNNNNNNNNNNNNNNNNNNNNNNNNNNNNNNNNNNNNNNNNNNNNNNNNNNNNNNNNNNNNNNNNNNNNNNNNNNNNNNNNNNNNNNNNNNNNNNNNNNNNNNNNNNNNNNNNNNNNNNNNNNNNNNNNNNNNNNNNNNNNNNNNNNNNNNNNNNNNNNNNNNNNNNNNNNNNNNNNNNNNNNNNNNNNNNNNNNNNNNNNNNNNNNNNNNNNNNNNNNNNNNNNNNNNNNNNNNNNNNNNNNNNNNNNNNNNNNNNNNNNNNNNNNNNNNNNNNNNNNNNNNNNNNNNNNNNNNNNNNNNNNNNNNNNNNNNNNNNNNNNNNNNNNNNNNNNNNNNNNNNNNNNNNNNNNNNNNNNNNNNNNNNNNNNNNNNNNNNNNNNNNNNNNNNNNNNNNNNNNNNNNNNNNNNNNNNNNNNNNNNNNNNNNNNNNNNNNNNNNNNNNNNNNNNNNNNNNNNNNNNNNNNNNNNNNNNNNNNNNNNNNNNNNNNNNNNNNNNNNNNNNNNNNNNNNNNNNNNNNNNNNNNNNNNNNNNNNNNNNNNNNNNNNNNNNNNNNNNNNNNNNNNNNNNNNNNNNNNNNNNNNNNNNNNNNNNNNNNNNNNNNNNNNNNNNNNNNNNNNNNNNNNNNNNNNNNNNNNNNNNNNNNNNNNNNNNNNNNNNNNNNNNNNNNNNNNNNNNNNNNNNNNNNNNNNNNNNNNNNNNNNNNNNNNNNNNNNNNNNNNNNNNNNNNNNNNNNNNNNNNNNNNNNNNNNNNNNNNNNNNNNNNNNNNNNNNNNNNNNNNNNNNNNNNNNNNNNNNNNNNNNNNNNNNNNNNNNNNNNNNNNNNNNNNNNNNNNNNNNNNNNNNNNNNNNNNNNNNNNNNNNNNNNNNNNNNNNNNNNNNNNNNNNNNNNNNNNNNNNNNNNNNNNNNNNNNNNNNNNNNNNNNNNNNNNNNNNNNNNNNNNNNNNNNNNNNNNNNNNNNNNNNNNNNNNNNNNNNNNNNNNNNNNNNNNNNNNNNNNNNNNNNNNNNNNNNNNNNNNNNNNNNNNNNNNNNNNNNNNNNNNNNNNNNNNNNNNNNNNNNNNNNNNNNNNNNNNNNNNNNNNNNNNNNNNNNNNNNNNNNNNNNNNNNNNNNNNNNNNNNNNNNNNNNNNNNNNNNNNNNNNNNNNNNNNNNNNNNNNNNNNNNNNNNNNNNNNNNNNNNNNNNNNNNNNNNNNNNNNNNNNNNNNNNNNNNNNNNNNNNNNNNNNNNNNNNNNNNNNNNNNNNNNNNNNNNNNNNNNNNNNNNNNNNNNNNNNNNNNNNNNNNNNNNNNNNNNNNNNNNNNNNNNNNNNNNNNNNNNNNNNNNNNNNNNNNNNNNNNNNNNNNNNNNNNNNNNNNNNNNNNNNNNNNNNNNNNNNNNNNNNNNNNNNNNNNNNNNNNNNNNNNNNNNNNNNNNNNNNNNNNNNNNNNNNNNNNNNNNNNNNNNNNNNNNNNNNNNNNNNNNNNNNNNNNNNNNNNNNNNNNNNNNNNNNNNNNNNNNNNNNNNNNNNNNNNNNNNNNNNNNNNNNNNNNNNNNNNNNNNNNNNNNNNNNNNNNNNNNNNNNNNNNNNNNNNNNNNNNNNNNNNNNNNNNNNNNNNNNNNNNNNNNNNNNNNNNNNNNNNNNNNNNNNNNNNNNNNNNNNNNNNNNNNNNNNNNNNNNNNNNNNNNNNNNNNNNNNNNNNNNNNNNNNNNNNNNNNNNNNNNNNNNNNNNNNNNNNNNNNNNNNNNNNNNNNNNNNNNNNNNNNNNNNNNNNNNNNNNNNNNNNNNNNNNNNNNNNNNNNNNNNNNNNNNNNNNNNNNNNNNNNNNNNNNNNNNNNNNNNNNNNNNNNNNNNNNNNNNNNNNNNNNNNNNNNNNNNNNNNNNNNNNNNNNNNNNNNNNNNNNNNNNNNNNNNNNNNNNNNNNNNNNNNNNNNNNNNNNNNNNNNNNNNNNNNNNNNNNNNNNNNNNNNNNNNNNNNNNNNNNNNNNNNNNNNNNNNNNNNNNNNNNNNNNNNNNNNNNNNNNNNNNNNNNNNNNNNNNNNNNNNNNNNNNNNNNNNNNNNNNNNNNNNNNNNNNNNNNNNNNNNNNNNNNNNNNNNNNNNNNNNNNNNNNNNNNNNNNNNNNNNNNNNNNNNNNNNNNNNNNNNNNNNNNNNNNNNNNNNNNNNNNNNNNNNNNNNNNNNNNNNNNNNNNNNNNNNNNNNNNNNNNNNNNNNNNNNNNNNNNNNNNNNNNNNNNNNNNNNNNNNNNNNNNNNNNNNNNNNNNNNNNNNNNNNNNNNNNNNNNNNNNNNNNNNNNNNNNNNNNNNNNNNNNNNNNNNNNNNNNNNNNNNNNNNNNNNNNNNNNNNNNNNNNNNNNNNNNNNNNNNNNNNNNNNNNNNNNNNNNNNNNNNNNNNNNNNNNNNNNNNNNNCUUGUAUUUGAUAUUCAUAUAUAUUUAUAUUUGCCGAAAGUUUUUUUCUUUUUUCCGAAUUUCCGUACUUUCUGAAUUAUAUUUUAACAUUCAAUUCGCAGGUGUUAAAUAAAUCGAAAGGUCUUCUAUGGUUGCAUUUUGAUUUGACAGUUCUCAUAUUUAGAGUACCCUCCCAUCAAUCUCGGAUUAACAAAAAUGAGGAAAACGGAAGAGCCCGAAGUGGACCUUCUCCUGUCCUUUCGAAACUUACAUAGCUAUUGUUCCAAUGGCCAUUAAACUUAAUGGAUCUUGAUGCAAAAUGUGAUAGAACUUUCAUAAACAAGCUCGAAGCAAAUCGUUAGCAUGAAACCUAAGUAGAAGAGGAAAAGGGGAAAAAAACCCAUGAACAAAAACCGAACCAGUUCUAUCGGUUUAACACAUUCGUCCAAUUAUCCAAUCGAUUCACGGUUUUCUAAUUUCAAAUCAAUUCAGCCGAUGCGGUUGUUACUUAUGCUGUACAAGCAAUCAAACACAAAGCCAUGGCCCUUUGGAUUAAAUGCCUAGGCACAGUAGUUUAGCAGCUAAGUAAUAAAUUAUGCAGUCAAUACAUUGACUUUACUUGCGACUUUUCUCGUGUUAUAUUUUUAAUUAAUAUGCUCAAAAUUAGAUUAUUUUAUGUUUGAUACGUCUAACUAGUGUUUUGACUCGUUAAUGCGGCCUGCAUUAUAUAUGAUUUAGUUCUUAAAAAUUCAAACUUGACUUAGCAAGCUACUUGGUCUUGUCUUGAGCUCCGGAUAGUAUUGACUUAAAAGUUUAGGUAGACAACGAGCGAAUCAGACCAUAUGAUUAACUUGCGAGUAGCUUUUAACUUCUAGAGUGUCACCAUUGUAACCUAGUACGAUAUAGAGGAACAUCUAAGGGUAGUUCAGGCAUGACCAGUGACCCAAUUUGGCAUAGUAUGGUCUUGUGUAUUUAACCAAUUAGAUAACCCUCAACGUUUCAGUCCAAACCAAACAAAAUAGAUUGUUGAGAGGGGGCUUAUUUCACCCUUCCAAUAAUUAUUUAUAACAUUUUGUUUUUAUCAAUUCAACAGUAGCCAAUGCCAAAGAAAAUUUGGUUUUCGAUAUAAAAACGUAUGGCUGUCUCCUCUGCUGUGUAAAUUCAUGCGUAAAGGAAUCAAGUUUGAGAGAAUACGAUUACAGUGAUUGCAAAAUGCCAAUACAUGAACUUCCCGAGAUCCAAGAUUGUACACUAAUGAAAACUUUUGCGCUCAAAAUUCUUCCAAAUGAGAAAUUACUUUCUUUUGGGAACCUUUUCACUGAAAAUCUUGCCUGUGAUUAACGGAUUAUUUGCUGAUUCCACGACAUUCGCUUUUUCCAAAUUCUCUCACUCACAACUGUAGUGAAAUUACCUUUGCUAAAUAAGAGCACGAUGUCAAAGCUUGCGAAGUACACCACAUUAGAAGAGGACCCUUUAUAUCAAGAAUCCUAUGAGGAGUAUCAACAACAUGGAGCACAUUAUAAGCACCAGCAGCAAAGAACUUUGCAACACCUUUCCAUAAGGUCUCAUGACAUAUCUCAUUCCUGCCCACAUCUCCAUCCUGUGAUGUUUGAAGAUGUUCUCUGAAUUUUAUGAAAUGCAGGUUGAAUCUACACAAAAAGGAUAGGAUUUACUAAUUAUCAACAAAUGAAUGUAACUAAGAUCGGAGCAUCACAAUUUACACCAUGAAAGAUAAGGUAUAAAUGCACAAACAUCAUUUGCACCAAUUGCUGUUGGACCACAAUGAACAGAGACUUCAUGAGCUGGCCGAUAAAAAAGGAAAAUACAGGCUUGGGAGAAGCAAUUAAUUAGCAACACUUUCCUUGUUUGUAUUUAGGAACAUAAUACAGAACAGAAAGAUGAAUUUAUUAUUUGUUUAUUUUGCAAUAUCCCGCUAGCAAAAUCAGCAAUACAAGAUAGUUUGCUAGGAGGUGAAUUUCAACUUUACAAAGUCCAUGUCGCAUGAGAAUUGAGCUUAUCAAAUAAAAAAGAUCAAAAACCUAUAUGACAACAUUCAAAGGAUAGUAUCACAUUGAUAAACUGAUAGAAUGGGGGAGAUUGCCCUCAUGCAUACUUGCACACUGAUUUUCAUGUGAAAUUCCACAGCUCGUAUAGUAUAAACACACAAGUUAUUUUUUCAUUGCCAUGGUACAACUAGUAGUUGCAUACCUCCCUCUGCAGAGCCUCAUCAAGUUCAGGAGUGAUCACAGUAGAAUGCAACGGCGUCAAACACCUCUGCAUCAGGGUGACAUACAAAAAAAAUCAGCAGCUACAUAUUUGAUUAACAGAGAGGUUAAACCUCAUGAACAUACAAAUAGCAGACUCAACUGAAAAUACAACAUUUAAAAUCAUUCAGUUAUGUGUUGUUGAGACCAGCUAAAGUGUUUUGGAUCCUCACAAGCAUCAAAACUUCCUCAAGACACUCUUGUUGGCCCACGAGCCUCCUCAAGGUUGGCAUGUAAGAUGGUCAUCAGCUGUUGCUGAUGCUUCCUCUGCAAAAUGUAUCUUCUUCACUUUGAUUUCAAGUUGCAAAGCCCAGUUAGCCAGACUCGGAUCAAUCAUGUGAUAAAACGAUUCCAUGAUAACAAUAGGAUCAAUUGGGAUGCAAACUUAUUGGCAAAUUCUUGAGCUCCUCACCCCCGCUUGUUUCACAGAAAGGGUGAAAAGUUGUCCCAAUUAUACAAAAGGUCAUUGAUACAGCUCAUUGAAUUGAAGUCCCCAAGUAAACCUUGAUCAUCACAUAGACCAACCAGACCCAUCAUAAAAUCAGUACCAAUUUACCUUGCUUGAUAAUCUUUCAAAACAAUAAUUUGACUACUGGUUAUGAAAGGGCAAUCUACAAUCAUAUUUGAGAGACUAGCCAAAACUACUCUUCAUUUUUUUGCAUCACUGACUAGAAAAACUUUAACUUUGAUUUUUAUAUUAGCUCAGCUCCUUAUACUUACUGGAAUUAAUGCUUAUCUAGAAGGUUCAAGAGAAACAUCAAGGGAACAAUAAGAAACUUGACAGGGUUCAUCACAGAAAAUCAAAAUGUGUUUGUCCCCAUCAGGAUAUUUGCCAUUAGUUAAAUUUGACAUACAAAAGAACUUACAAAGGAACUCAAAAUGGCCAGGGAUUUUUUCAAAGAAAAUAUGAACUUUGGAUAUUGGGAAAUUCUGGGCGUAGUAUACAGUAAUGAGAAGCAGAAAUUCAUCGGCCUCUAGAUGAAAAUUUCAAAUCCUGGGUAUGCCGAUAGGGGAACUGUUAAUCACUAGGUAAUUUUUGUCUACCUUUGCUGAUAUUUUCAUUCUUGCCUUGCAAGCUGCUAUCUGUUUGCAGUCCACAGAAGCUGCCAAUGGAAGGAUAAACAAAAAACAUUGCUACAAUGUAAUCAACAACAAUUAUAUGGUGGCAAAUCCGAAGUUUCCAAAAUCAAUCAAAUAGAUACCCGGUCAAAUCAUUCUAAAAAAAUAGAGCUUCGAUAAAGUAUUACUCUAUUUGCUCAUGCUGGCCAUUCAAGGAUGAAGAAUCUUACUGUGCCUUCUUUUGACAUUAGGGUCUACAUUUUGAUCUUGGCUAAAGCAUCAUGUCAGCUUCUGACCAACUCCCCCACUCCUUCAAUUAUAUAAGACUAGCAAUUUAGGAAAGUAUAGAACCCUGUCAUAGACAACUUCUAUCAAAAGAAGACAAUGAUAAAAAGUAGGUCAUGAAUCUCAAACGAAAAGUUAUUGUUCACUGCUUAUUUACCUCUGUUCAGGAAACAUCACUCCAUGAGUCAAAAGACAGAUCUUGUUCAUAAUUUCUAAAGAUGUGCGUUCCAGAUAAGUUAGGUAUUGCUUCCAAUGAGACAACCAAAAAUAUCCAAAUCAAUUAAAUCCAACUUUUCAAGUCCCUGAAGCUAAGUAAGUUUCUCGCAGUAUCGAACUCUUAGAGAUCGUAACUUCUCACAUCCCGUCAAAUUUGGCAAAGUCUCCAUUGAUUUGCAUCCUGUAAAAUCCAACUCUUCUAAGAACUUUGCACCGUCAAGACCUUGAAUUUCGACCCCAUAGCCACUAAUUUCUUCAAACACCAUGAUUCUGGACAGAGAAGCCUUCUAAUGGAAUUGCAGUCACAUAUAAAUAUGACCUCCAAGAAUGCCAAAUUAUCAUGGCCUUGAAUUUUAACUAGGCUAUUGCAAUGCUUAGGGCAUAAUCGUUUAAGACGAAUUGAUCGUGAAAGGUCCAAUCUUUCAAUGGAACUGCACUUUUUUUUAUUGAAAGCUCUUCCAAGUCCAUGAAUCCAUCGAGCCUAAGCAAUAUCAGCUCAUCACAUUCCUCAACACCGAGUUUCAAGGGUCUUGAGGAAAGCUCAAGAUGCGUUCAAGUAGAUGGCAUACCUGAAGAUGGAGUUCUUACAAUCGGGGGCUCUAACAGAUUUGUUAAGCCCGGAGGAAGCUCUGGCAGUGACUGGAGCUCCUUACAGCCCCUUAGGUCAAGGCGUUGGAGAGAAGAAGGAAGCUCUGGUAGCGACUGGAGCUCCUUACAGCCCCUUAGGUCAAGGCAUUGGAGAGAAGACGGAAGCUCUGGCAACAACCGGAGCUCCUCACAGCCCCAUAGGUCAAGGCGUUGGAGAGAAGAAGGAAGCUCUGGUAGCGAUCGGAGCUCCUGACCCCCUAGGUCAAGGCGUUGGAGAGAAGAAGGAAGCUCUGGUAGCGACGAGAGCUCCUUACAGCCCCUUAGGUCAAGGCUUUGGAGAGAAGAAGGAAGCUGUGGCAGCGACGGGAGCUCCUUACAGCCCCAUAGGUCAAGGUGUUGGAGAGAAGAAGGAAGCUCUGGCAGCGACCGAAGCUCCUUACAGCCCCUUAGGUCAAGGCGUUGGAGAGAAAAAGGAAGCUCUGGCAGCGACGGGAGCUCCUUACAGCCCCUUAGGUCAAGGCGUUGGAGAGAAGAAGGAAGCUCUGGCAGCGACCGGAGCUCCUUACAGCCCCUUAGGUCAAUGCGUUGGAGAGAAUAAGGAAGCUCUGGCAGUGAUCGGAGCGCCUUACAGCCCCAUAGGUCAAGGCGUUGGAGAGAAGAAGGAAGCUCUGGCAGCGACCAGAGCUCCUCACAGCCCCAUAGGUCAAGGCGUUGGAGGCGUUGGAGAGAAGAAGGAAGCUCUGGCAGCAACCGGAGCUCCUCACAGCCCCAUAGGUCAAGGCCUUGGAGAGAAGAAGGAAGCGCCGGCAGCGACCGCAGCUCCUCACAGCCCCCUAGGUCAAGGCCUUGGAGAGAAGAAGGAAGCUCUGGCAGCGACCGGAGCUCCUUACAGCCUCCUAGGUGAAGGCUUUGGAGAGACGAAGGAAGCUCUGGCAACGACCGGAGCUCCUUACAGCCCCCUAGGUCAAGGCUUUUGAGAGACGAAGGAAGCUCUGGCAACGACCGGAGCUCCUUACAGCCCCCUAGGUCAAGGCUUUGGAGAGAAGAAGGAAGCUCUGGCAGUGACCCGAGCUUGUCGUUGCCCCUUAGGUCAAGGUGUUGGAGAGAAGAAGGAAGCUCUGGCAGCGACUCGAGCUUGUCAUGGGUCCCUAGGUAAAGGUGUUGGAUAGAAACGCUUCCUGGCUGGUUAAAUAUCAAUGUGCCAUUGAGAUUUAAAAUUUCCUCUUCCAGAUGAUGGUAUCCAUUGAGAAAUAGAGCCUGCAGAUUUUUCAACCUUCCAAUAACACUGGGAAGCUUUUUGAUCGUAGAAUAACUCAAGUCAAGAUGUUGCAAAUUCUGUAAAUCUCCAAUUGAGCUGGGGAUUUCUCUUAGUGAGUAACACCUUGAGGCGCUCAAUUUCUUCAGCUUCCUCAAAUAACCAAUAGAUAUAGGAAUCUCUGUAAUACCGGAUUCAUCUAAAAUAAGUUCUUCUAAAUCUUUUAAUUUGCCCACCUCCUCUGGUAGUUCCUUGAGUCUUUUACAGUUAUACAAGUGCAAGGAAAUGAGGCUCGUGAGUUUGCCAAUAGAAGGGCGGAGAUGCUCCAAUUUCCAACAUUCGCUCAAAUUGAGAAUCUUCAACUGUGUGAAAGUCGACAGAUUAGGAGUACUUCUUAAAUUAUGGCAAGAUGUAAGCCUGAGAACUUUAAGCCGCUUUGACGCCUAAUAGAAAAGGAGAAUAAGCUGUCAAAGAAUGGGUUAAUCAACUAAACAAAAACAAAACCCUAAAUUCGUUCUUUUCUCAAUCUUACCAUGAAUGACCUCCAUCCUUGCCAAUACUCUCUGAUCAUGCUGUGAGAUAAAUCCAGUACUGAUAAAUUCGAUAGAUGCAUUGAAAGAGACGAGUCGCUUCGCUCGACGCUCCACUCAAGCCAUCUCACUUCAGAACGGAGUUCAUCGUUGGAGGUUCCGCUUGAAGUUGCCAGCAAAUUGUCACGAAAACGGAAACAAGAGAGGUGUCUCCACAAAAUUUUGCAGAACUGGGAGGGGGACCUAGAGGGGAGCCAGGCGGGGCGUCUCUGCAAGAUUUUUGACUUUCAGUUAUUUUUUUUCUUUUCUUAAAUCUUGGAUUUUGCACUAUCUAUAACCUUUCUAUACUUCCCAUGCACAAAUAUGGCUCAUAUUUAUUUUAUUUUCUGACGAACUUUUCGAAAAUUAAACAAAUGACGUGAAAAAUAAAGAAAAAAAUGGCUAUUGCUCUAAAACAACUAAGGUAAAGGCAACUCAAUGUUUUAUCUUUUCCUUCUUUCUUUCAAAUUUUGUAGCACAUGCACUUUGACUUUUAUUUAUUAUGAAAUAUAUGAAACCAUAUUACAACAUACAAAUGUUUACUUGUAAAUUUUCAUGACUUUUGUAUAAUUUUUCAAAAGAAUUUGUUGAAGAGUGCCGGUGGGCUACUUGUAAGUAGCUAUGGAAACACCCGGUUUUCAUUUCAUUAUUUAAAUGUAAUAAUGCCGAAGAGAAAAUAUGGGAAAUUUUCAAUAUAUUUCCAUAUAUAGAAAAGAUUAUACGGAGAGUCUAUCUAUAACUUUUAUUAUAGGACUGUCUAAGAAAAUCAAAUUAGAUAUGCAUAAUCAAAAUAAAUAUAGAAAAUUAGAGAAAAUUAUUCUAAAUAUCUCUAGAAGAUAUCUACAUAUCUUUAACAUCAUUUACUAUUGUUCUAAAGUGUUUAAUCAUUUCUUUGAAAACUUAAACAUUUUUUUUUGUUAAGUACGUUUAAAAAGUGACGUGUUGACAUUGGACAAUAGCGUAUAAAUUAUAUCAUGACGCAGCUCAAAUGGACAAUAUAUAAUAAUAAAAUGACAUGAGCAUCAUUAUGAGAAAUAGUUGUAUGUGUUAUAAGUAACUUAUAGCGGAUACAAAUUUUUGUUAUAAGAAAUCCACUCUUUAUCAUACAUCUAACCUAAUCCAUGAAAUGAGCAAGGUCAACGUGAUAAAACCUUAAAAAACAGGAAGAUUUUCCUAAAAAUACUUUUAAGGGGAUUUUUGCUAUCUUAUCUAUUAAAAGGAAAUAAUAAUUAAAAGAGAUAAAUAUAACUAGUAGAGUAGAGGGAUGGGUAUCUUCAAAAUCAAAUGGGAGAAAAAAUAUAUUAAACAUUGUACUCCUAAAUCAUAGGACUACCACCAAUACAUCUGGCCGUACCAGUAAGCAAGAACUAUGUGAUAAGUGUGAAAUUUUUUCCAAUCUUAUUGUUUUCAAUUAAUUAUCAAUUAUUAUAAUUGGCACAUGCUAUCUUUUUUUUUUUUCAAUCAAGAAAUAUUCAUUUAUCUGAUCUAUAAUGUUUAUACUUCAUCUUCAUUCAUUAUUGUAGUCUUUAGAUUAUCAAUAUUUUCAACUAGAUAUGACAAUUACAUGCUUUUAGUAAAUGAGAUUUAUAGUGUAAAAUUGUAGUUAAAGGAACUUAAAUCGAUUGUCAAUCAAGUCUUUAUAGAUGUAAUUUAUAUCAAUGAAAUCAAAUCAAAUGGUAUAACGUUCUCAUCCUUUAAAUACUUACAAUCCAUUUAGCUAUCACAAAUAAUCUAAGAUGGACAUAAAUGGAUGUCUAUAUAAAUCUUUCUUCCUAAAAAGUAAGAGAAUCUAUCUAUCAUAGAUGAAAUAUUAGAAUAGAUCAAAUUAAAUAUAUUAAAAUAAGAGGGAAAGAAAAAGAAAAAGAAAGGAGUGUCAUAUUUUACCCAUGCAUAGACUCUUAGUACUUUUGGGACUCCCUCGUAGUCAUUGUCCCAUGGUCCAAUACGUUUCUCAAGCAGUUGUCCUUGGCAAAAAAUUCUCCUUCCAAGAUCUCUUAGUUGAUCAUGCACUAGAAAUUCACCAUGAUCUCCAAUUUUAAUUAAGCACCUCAACUUCAACUCUUCAAUACCUUGACUUGGAUAAAACCCACAGUCUUCCCACAUGUACAUGGCAUAUUCGCUUGUUUUGCCAAUAAAGUAACAAACAAUAUCGAGAAAAAUCUGCUUUUGUUCAUCUUCUAAUGCAUCAUAACUUAUUUGCAACAUCUUCUGGACAUCUCUAUGUGGUUGGUUUUUUAAUUUCUUCUUCACAUCUUCCCAUACUUUUCGAUUUUUUUUAUACAAGUAAGAACCUGCAACUUGAAGAGCCAAGGGAAGCCCACCCAUGUUGGAUAUGAUGUCACGAGAUAUACCCUCAAAUUCCCUUGGAGAAUGGUUCAUAUGAAAUGCAUGUCUGUUAAACAAAAGCAAAGCUUGCACCUUAUCCAAUUCAUUCAAUUCAUACUUGUAGUCUACCUCAAAUUUAGAUUGAUCAAGAACGGCUUCGUUUCUAGUUGUAACAAUGAUCACACUUCCUGCCAUAAACCAAUCACGCUCCCUAGCCAACGCAUCUAGUUGACUCUUGUCAUCUAUAUCAUCCAGAAGAAUGAGAACCUUUGUCCUUUUGAAUCUAGAUUGAAUUUUACUAAUUCCAUCAUCAAUGCUAGACACUUGACUUUUGCUCUGUAGUAUAAGACUCUGCAGAUACAUAAUACCGUGGCACUUGGUAGUUUCUCGAACAUCUGGAAGGAAGCUGACAUGCACAAAUUUAUUUGAGAGUUGAUUGUAGAUGCACUUGGCAAGAGUUGUCUUGCCUAUCCCGCCCAUGCCAUAAAUUCCAAUCAUUCGAGCAUAGAUGGAAGGAUUGUCAAUCCAAUUCAUAAUUUCCUUCAUACGAUCAUCAAGUCCAACUAGUUGCUUAGACACAUCCAGCUGAAAAUCUUCCCAUAACUUGCUUAUAACAUUUUCAACCACAUGUUCUAUUAAUUCUCCCUCAUGCCUGUCAAACAACAAAAACAAUGAGAAGUUAUGAACCUAGACAUAGUUUAUGCGAAGUAUUCUAUCCUUAUCAACUUAGCCAACCCUUGUUGGCUAUAGGAGCUCGAUUUUAUCUAGUGGUGAUCAAGCUUUGAAGAUCAAGCAUUGGAGUCAUUUGGAAGCCUAUUGUUUAGUGAUUGAUAAUAUUGGCUGGAGGUAUUGUUGUUUCUUUGUUUUUUUUUUUUUUUGCUCUAUACCGGAGGAAAAUGUAAAUUCUUGGGCACUAUGGGAUGCUUUGAUUUCAGUUGUCGUUGGUUUAGUUUUCAGGGACAUCUUGGGGCGUACUGGUGUUUGUUGUCUUCUCGAGGCGUUACGGCUGUUUAUUUUGGCAAUCUUUUCCAAGCUUGCAAUAAAAGUAAUCCAUCUGCAUUUCCUCGAUUUUGCCAAAAGACGAAAACUUACUUAUCAAAAAAGAAAAGUUCGGUAAAGUACCUGUCCGCAAUUUUUUGAGAUUCCCAUCCCUGUAAGUAACUGACUUCAUUAAGUGCUCGUUGCCCCUCUUGGAUAUCCUUCUCAUCAAAAUGUUCCCGACUUGAAUGAAAGGCAUUUCCAAAAUUUCCUUUUAGAUGCCGCACAUCGGAUGGGGAAACUUUGUAAAAUAUAGGCAACACUAUGUGUGACGCGCUCUUCUUACGGUCCAUGAUAUGAACAAGCUCACGGAGGCACCAUCUGCUCGAAGCAUAAUUUUCGGAGAUGAUGGGGAUCGAAAUCUUAGACCGUGCGAUGGCAUCGAGAAUCUCUGAACCAAAUUCCUCACCAAUUGGGAUGCUGUUCUCGUCCCUGAACACGCAAAGUGCUAUAGUCCCUACUUUGAUCAGACUAUGAUAGAGGUGAUCAGUGAAAGUAUUGCGGGUAUCCGAGCCUCUAAAGCUCAAGAACACGUCAUAUUGACCGCUACCUACACCUAUGGCUUCUGGAGAGAUGAAUGAAGAAGUGGAUGCUCCUUUAGUGCUCUCUUCCUCUGCCCUCUUUUUCUUUCCCUGACUCUGCCCUCUGUCCAUGGUGAUCUAAGGGGGAAAGUUGAAAAGAAAGAUCCUUUUUUUGCUGCUUAAAAGGAUUGUUGAACAACGAAAGCUGCCUUUAGAAUGUUUUUUUGCAAAUGCUUGUUGGCUCCGAAUAACGUGUUCGUUAACUCCCUAGGUAAUAAAGACACGACCUUCAGUUAAGUAAGCUAACAUCAUUUCACUGUAGAAGAUUAGGUGUCACGCCCCGACCCUCAGGCACGCACACAUCCCUUACUCUUGGUCGAUUUUAAAUUGCGAUAUCCCAGGACUAUGUAUCGCCGACCCUUUCAUUCUUUAUAGCACAUGCGGAAGCAGUUAUAAAUCCCCAGACAAUAAAGCAAUGGGAUAGAAAAAGCAGGCCAUAUAUUUUCCUUACUGAAAAUUCACAACUAUAUCUUUUUACAUGCAUCUCAUAGUAUUCUACAAUACUAUAUAUAUGCGGCUCUGGUCUAACGUCUAUUCACAUGCAAACAAGGUCUGACAAGACAGGACAGGAUCUCGGUCCUCAUCCGGGUCGUACUCGAUGUCAUACUCGGGGUCCUCCUCCACGUACUCCUCUUCAGGUUCCUCAACAAGGACCUCCUCGUCAGAUUCAUGCUCCUUAGGCUCCUCAUCCAGAUCCUGAAAUGGUUAUUCAAUAACCACUGAGACAAUGUCUCAGCAAGUUCUACCUCCUAAGACCCGAUUAGUAAACUAAUACACCUUAGGGCUGCCUAUGCACAACAUGAGUCAGAGGACUUACCUUGGCCUCAGAUUCCACCUGCAGAUUAGCACAGAUCAAAUAGGCACCCAAGCAAUCACAUCACAGAUCGAAGCAUCGAUCAAAUCGACCGAGUCGAUUACACGCCAACAAGACCACUCACGGUCACUUUCAUUCAAUCAACCAAUUCACAAUAUCAGAUUAAAACAAUGAUCAAUCGACCUAGUCGAUUACAUGUCAUACCAAUCAUUCUCCACGGAGGAGUACCUAAAAGCUAGAACACGUGCAUUUUCAAGGACGACAUUCCAAGUCUCCGAGCCACGUGCCUCGAACCUUGGGCCCACGUGCAUUCUCUAAGGCGACCUCUUCGCCAAGGUGAUACAUCAAGUCACCGAGCCACGUGCCCUUUUAGAUGCUAUUUCCGAAUACUGGACCCACGUGCAUUCUCUAAGGCACUAGUUCACCAAAGUGACGCAUCAGAUCACCGAGCCACGUGUCCUUUUAGAUGCCGUUCUCAAACACUGGACCCACGUGCAUUCUCUAAGGUACUCGCUUACCAAAGUGACACAUCAGAUCACCGAGCCACGUGUCCUUUUAGAUGCCUGGGUCCACGUGCAUUCUCUUAGGUGCUAUCUCACCAAAGUGAUGCAUUAAUUCACCGAGCCACGUGCCAUUUUAGAUGCCAAACUCUGUCACCGAGCCACGUGCAUUCUCCAGGACGACAUACCGAGUCUCCGAGCCACGUGCAUUCUCUCAGGUGACCUUUUCGCCAAGGUGACAUAUUCAACCACUCAAUUCACGUGCAUUCUCCAGGUGAUAUUCCAAUUCACCGAGCCCACGUGUUUUCUUCAAGUGAUUACCAAUCUACUAUCAAUACCGACAACCAAUGCCCAACGAUUUCUCAAUCAAAUAAUUAAAUCAACUCCACAAAGCAUUAUAAAUGCUGAAUAACAUACUUGGCUAUUUACCAAUCUACAAUUCAAUCUCAAUCAAUUCCAAUCAAUUUAGGGUAAAUCCAUAAAAUAUCACAAUUUAUUCAAUUCCAUACAACGUGGAGCUCAAAUAAAUAAACGGACUGCACCACGACGAUCAGCACGAGAUUUCGGUCGUCGGCCAUCAAAAUCUUAAUUUCCGAAAAAUAAUUAAUUAAUUUAUUAAUUUCGAAAAUUAAAAUAAUUAAUAUUAAAAAUUCAAUUUAGCUCAAAAUAAAGCCCGAUUAAAUAAACGGACUUCACCACGGUCAUCAGCAUAAUUUUCCGGUCACUGGUCAUCCCAGUUGAAUUUUCGGAAAAUAAAUAAUUAAAUAAUUAAUUUCAAAAAUUAAUAUUUAAUUCCUAAACAUUCCAAUUAGGCCUGAAUCGCCUAAUUAACACCCGAUAAGGGAUGGGAAAAAUCCCAAGAAGCAUCCAAUAAAUACUACAAGCAAUUCUCUAUCUAAUUACACUAAUCACACAACUAAUAUGUAAAGCAAUUAACUAAUAAUCGCUAAUCAAUUCUAAUCUAACUACCUAAUUACACUUAAUUAACACUAAUCAACCUUUAAGUAUAAUUAGCAAAUUAAGAAGGCAUUAGGGAGUAAAACUCACUCAAAACGACGGGCUCGACGCGAGGAUCGACUUUCCUCAAAGUGGGCCGAGCAUUCGGGCUCGGGAAGGCGGCCAAAACGGGCCAAAACCUCACUGUCAUACCCAUUUUUUGUCUUCUCUGUUUGCUGCUGGAAGGGGCGGUUCCGGCGCUGAUUCAAGCUGUACAAGGCUGGCGGAGGGCGAGGGGACUCCGGUGAGGCCGGAUGGUGGCCGAAGGAGGCCGAACCAUGGCCUGUGAUGGUCAAAACGAAGCUGAACAGAGGCAGAACAGGGGCUGGGUCGCACAGCGGGGACGGCAGGCGCGAGCGUGAGGCGGACGGCGGCGAGGCGGUGUGCGGCGACGAUGGCAGCUCCGGCGCGAUUGCAGCCCCUUCAACCGACGAUGGCUGCUGCUUCUGUUUUCAUCUUCUCUGGUUCGCAAGGUGAGAGGGAGAGGGUGGGGCGGAGCUGCGCGAGGCAGCAGGACGGUGGACGGCGGCGACUCCGGCUCCGGAUGCUUGCUACGACGGCGCUGAGAGGAAUCGCUGCUUCGGCCUGCUGGUUCGCUGGUCUUCAGCUUCCAUGGCGUCGUGCAGCUGAAGAUGAAGAUGCAGGGGAGAGAGGCAGCGACGAGGAAGAAAUGGGGAACCGGUUUCCCCUUUUUCCUCUCUCACUCUCUCUCUCUCUUAUGUCAUCCGCACGUGGGCCACCAUGGGCUGUCAUCCACCCACAUUUCUAGCCCAAAAAUGCCCCUUCUAGAAGCCUUUAGAUAGGCCAAAAUGUGGGGGUAAGUGUGGCAUACGAAUUUUGCUAGGUUUUCUUUCCAAUUGAGCCUUAACUCCUCUUGAAUUAAAUCAAAUUGACUCCCAUAAUUUCAUUCAACACCUCAUCAUUCCAAUUGGUAUUUUUCCUUAUCAAUGUAGCCCACUUGUAUCCCAAUUUCACAAUCCAUGGCUUCAAUUGAACGUAAACGGCCCUAUUUAUCUAGUCGAAAUUAGAACCUGAAAAAUCUGGAUGUCACAUUAGGUGGCCCUGAAGAAGCCCCCAAAAAGCCCACAUCAUUUACUUGUUUAGAAACAUAAAUUUGAAAUUAAACAAAUUACAUUGUAAUUAAUCGACUACCUUAAAACAUAUUUGAACAAUUACAUAACUUCACGCAUGUGUAUGAUAUUUGAAGGUGAAUUCUUUCAUUUCAAGGUAAGAUAUUGAAAUUACGUACGUAACUCCAUGGAAGCAUCUUCCUCUGGAUAUAAGCUCACACUAUGCCUAAUCCUUGUCAUAAUCUUCGACCUUGCUAUUAUUAUUUUUAUCCUAAUACAUAAACAACCCUAACUAUCUCCACCACCUCAUUUUCACAACCCCUUCUAUGUAUUCCCAUGUCCAUUGGCCAAACUAAUGAAGUGUCAUGUAAUUGUUGCCCAAUAAACCAGAUCCUCCAUAUGUGUACACUUUCCUAAUUGGAGGGAAUUUCCAUCUAUCACGUUUUUAAUUUGGCGGGUUUCGAGUUUUAGGCAUUGCUCAUAUGUAAAAUUAACUAAAUCUAAAACAUUAAUCAAGGAAAAAUUUUCAAUUGAUCAAUUGUUUUGAUUAUGAAUGAAGUCGAUGAAAAUGAUUCUAAAUGAAAGAAAAAUACUUCCUUUUGGGCCCACAUUUUAUUUCUUUCUAAAAGUGCAUAGAAAUGAGAGGAAAUGUGAAAAUUGCACUUUUCUUCGGAUUGGCCUUACUUCCUUUUUAAGGAUGAAUAGAAUGAACGAUAAUUAAGUCUAUCAAUGAAAUUAAGUUCCAUUAACAUCAUUUCCACCCAACAUGCAUCCUAACAUUUUUCGAGGACUUUUAACUUAUUUCUCCAAGCAAACUCGAGCUUCUCCGACGAGCUGAUACGUUCUUCUCUCUUCAAACGGCUCGGAACUAGGUACUCUCCCUCUUACUUAACUUCAAUUAAUCUCAUACCAUCUUUGUUCUCCUUCCCUCCCUCCCUCUUUUCUCUUUUUGUGUGAAUGUUGCUUCUCUAUUCGUAUCGGGUUGUUUGCUUCACUUCUUUGAUGUUUUCAUUCAAAUUUUGUGAUUUCACAUUUUAAUUUUAUUUAAAAUUGUCAUAUUCUUAAUGAUGUUGGAAAUGCAAGGUAGAGAUGAACAAAUGGUCAUCGUCAUUUCUCUCUUAUUUAUUUCGCGUUGGCCCCAAAUGCCAAUAAUUUUAUAUAAGAUGAAUCUAUGAUAUGAUGUUACCAAGCUAUUCACUUCAAACUUUCAAAUUUAAAUUUUUGAUUGAUAAAUUGUCUGCAAAAUAGAGUUAUAAUUUGUUAAAUGACACCAAAUGAGCAUAACGCGUUAGUAUUAAGUUACUAAUGAUAUAUGAAAUACUUGUACACUGUCCUUGAGUUCUUUUCUGGGUCAUUUUUUUUAUUACAAUUUUGUCAGCAUAGCAUUCAACUCUUGAGAAGUCAGUAAAACAAUGAUAAAAGAAGUAUGCAAAAUAUUAAAAAGUAAAAGAUAAAUUAGGAAAAAACAUAGAAAAGAAGGGAAUGAAGUGUCUAGGCUUACUUUUAGAAGGAAGCGGCGAUAUUUAGAAGUAAUGUCCAAAAGGCUUUUGAAUUAUGAAUUCACGACACAUAGAAACUUUCAUGAACAUGAAUUGAAAGCUAAAAAGGGAAUGAAAAAUGUAUGGCAAUUUGAGGGCGAAAAUUGGAACAUAAGAUGCUUUUUUGCUGCAUAAAAAGGAUCGAUGAACUAAUCUCCACGAACAAUAACAAACGUAAAUCCGUUACCGCACAAGGAAAAACGAACAUGAAAUCUUUAAUUAAUUGGUAAUUGAUCGACUAGGAGCAGUUGCAGAUGCUUUUAGCCUCCGCCUUAUCUUCUUUUGGACCUCAAACUAUUCAAGUCAAACUUGUUGGCUUGAUCCACCCACGAGUACCGUGUACAUUAAUUUUUCAAUUGGGCUAUAAAGAACUAGAAUUCGUGUACAACCAUAUGGCAUUCAAUUAAGAAUAUAAGUAUAAGUUUGAUCUUUAUUUGGUUAUUGAAACUCAGAAUUUGAUAAAUCAUUUAAAAGAUAAUAAUUGAGUUGAAACGGAAUUAGAAAUGUGUGAAAGACUUCAAGAAAGGACCAAGCUAGUAAUUGUGGAUGUGAUUUUAUAUUUUAAUUUUGUUUAACAAUGUCAGUUGGAAAUGUGAGGUAAAGAUAAACAAAUGGUAGUGGUUAUUUAUCUUUUGUCCAUUUCACGCUGGAACCACAUGCUACAAUUCCAUGUAAAAUGAAUUUAUUUUGAAUUAGUAUGUUAUCACUGAGCCUUUCAAUUCAAAUUUUCAAAUCUAAAAAGCUGAUUAAUAUCAGCUAUUAGAUGGCACCAAAUAGAGGAGCGAAUGCUCCCUUAGUGCUCUCUUUUUAUGCACUCUUUUUUCUUCUUAUUGAGAUUAUUGAACGUGGUUAUUUAUCUGUUAUCUAUUUCACGCUAGCACCACAUGCUACAAUUCCAAUGAAUUUAUGUUGAAUGGGUAUGCUAUCACCGAGCCUUUCAUUUCAAAUUUUCAAAUCUAUAAAGUUGAUUGAUAUCUUGUCUAUAAAAUAGAGCUAUAAUUUGUUAGAUGGCACAAAACGGAGGAGUCGAUGCUCCGUUAGUGCUCUCUUUUUAUGCACUCUUUUUGCUUCUUAUUGAGAUUAUGAAUACAAGCAUAAAGACACAAGAAGCACAGCAAAGGAACGACCUGAAAUGGAAGUAGAAUACGAUAAUUGGCUAAAUUUGUGAUAACUCAGGUAAAAUUGAUUAAUCACAUUUUGAAGAACGAAUUUAUUGUUUGAAAAGAAAGAGGUGUAAGAAAUGAGUGAUAUAAAGCUAGGUGACUCUCCUAAUAUGUGUGUAUGGCCCAAUUUAUUCGAUUGUUUUCAUGAGUGUGUCGUAAGAUCAAGUUAUAUUUUUUUUCUUACUAUUGGAUAUCUUGUAAAAGAUCCUAGGAAGUAUCAUACUAUGGACUUUGGCAUGUUUUAUAUUGCGAUGAUUAAAAUUGUCAUGAGUUGUGAGCAGGUAAAUGUAGCGAUAUAGUUAAAAUGCUCAAACUCUCACCGUACUCUUUAAUUCCUCAUUUACUUUUCUUUUCUUCAAGUAAAGACUCGGUCAAUUUUUGAAGCUUUGAAGUGAGAAAAUGAUUUUUUUUCCUUUAUAUUACUCAUUUGGAAUGUUCUAGAGGGAGUAAAAUUAUUGAAUGAAGUCUUCUUAAGAGAAGACUUACUCUUAGGAUGAUUGGUUUUAGGAUAAAUGGGUUAUAAACAAAGAAUUAGGAACUUAUUAUGUAAUGAUUGGUUCUCCUCUUUUAUAACCGAUAACCAAAGUAGUUGACCCAGGAACCAGCCUACUUUUAUUUUUCCAUAAAUUGAUCUAGGAUCUUCAAACGUAGAGAAACGUCACAAUGCAUAAAAAAAUAGAAUGCUCUAUAAAUUCAACCGAAAUGUGGCAAAUUUGCGUGCAACAAAGUCUAGUGUACUUGCAGACCUACUCGCUCUAGUUCAACAAAAGAUCAGAUAGGAAGGCCAUCAUAGGAUUAGCCACAUCUAGAGUUGAAAACAAAAGGCUUUCCUUUUUUCAUUGAAGUCAAAUCUAAGCUGGGGACAUACCUCGUCAAUAGGCAACAGCGACUCCAAAAGAGCGAAUAGAAGACCCUUCUCCUAUGUAGCACAGACACGGCGACACGACACGACACGACACGCGACACGUCAUUUUUCAAAAAAUAGAGAAUUCCGACACGUUCCGACACGUUAAAUAUUAAAUAAAUAUUUUAAAUUUUAAUUAAUUUGAUUCAAAUUUACAAAUAAAUAAAUAAAGAAUUUACAAUGAAUUUAUAUCAAUAAUAUUAAUAAAUCUAACACCCUUUUUUUUUAAUUUCAUUAUCUCAAAUUUACAUUUAUUUUUCGAAAUUCCCCCCUCCCCCAAAUUUACUUUUAUUUUUCGAAACCACCCCCUGCGCCCAAAACUUCCCUCGUCUCUUUCCCCCCAAAUUUUUUUCACCUUUUUUUUCCCUCCCCACCACCUGACAGCCCAUCACUUCCCCCUCCCUCCUGUCACUUUCCCCUCCCUCCAACACGCCAAGUCUUUUUUUAUUCUUUUCAACACCCUACCAGCGCGGAACGGCGCCUUCUUCUCCUCCUCCUCGCAUCCUUUUUUAUUAUUUUCCUUCUCAAAAGUUCAAAACCCUAGCAGCGCGGCCCCUUCUUCUCCUCCUCCUCGCCGCACAAUGCCUAUCUCCGAAAGCAUCGAAGACUCGAUCAAGAAAAGCACCAGCAUUCGCCGAAGGAGCGGAAAAGGGAGUAACCCAGAAAAAGUUUCAGUGAAAAGGAAUCGGAAAAGAAGGCGGAACGCGGGGUCCCUGUGCGCCGAGAGGCUGCACACCGCCGCGAACUCCUCCUCCUCCUCUCCUCCCCCUUGCCGCUGCCGCCGCCGCCCCACUCGAUGACACCGCCCUCCCCCACAAGCGCCUCCCUCCUAAAGUUUCUUCUCACGGCCCUCGCCCUCUUUCUCUGACCGUCUCUCGCCGUCACGGGCUCGCCUUCGCUCGGGGGCCUCAUCUCUACUUCCCUCUCAUCCGCCCUCCAUUCUCUAUCGGACACGCGCGUCGAAGCGUGUCAACAAAAGUUGACCACGUGUCGACAAAUCCGACACGCGUUGACCGUGUGUCGGAGCGUGUCCAAGCGUGUCGAGGUGUCCGACACGUGUCGGACACGACACGGAGGCAUGUGGGACGUGUCCGUGUAUCAUAGCCCUUCUCUGCUAUUUAGCAAGCACCCCCACAUCCCCAAUAGACAAAAUGGGCCCAGAGCACACUUAGUUCAGCCGAUUAUUCCAAUAAUACAGUGACAAUCAAAAUAAAUGAGAUGCUAAUAAGAGAUCAAAAAGUGAUUACCACAAGCAAGUUAAGAUGUGAACAUAGGCACGAGAUCGGAGAGAGAGGAGACCGUAAACAAGUUUGGGCGAGAACUUUCAAGAGGGAUAAAGAGCGAGUGUUGGACAAAUCAGAAGAUGAUGCUCUCGAAUUGUACUGCAAGAGAGAGGCCGAAUGCGAAUAAUAAAGUGAGUAGAGAGAGAGAGAGAGAGAGAGAUAGAGGGAGGGGAAUUUAAUAAAUUAUUUAAAAGAUUAUAAUUGAGUUGAAACGGAAUUAGAAAUGUGAGAAAGACAUCAAGAAAGGACCAAGCUAGUGAUUCGGAAUGUGAUCUUAUAUUUUAAUUUUGUUUAAAAUUGUCAUAUUUUUUAUGAAGUAGGAAAUGUAAGGUAGGGAUAAACAAAUACUCGUGAUUAUUUAUCUUUCAUCUAUUCUACCGCCGGUACCACAUGCUACAAUUCCAUGUAGUUUAAAAUUGUCAUAUUUUUUAUGAAGUUGGAAAUGUAAGGUAGGGAUAAACAAAUACUCGUGAUUAUUUAUCUUUCAUCUAUUCUACCGCCGGUACCACAUGCUACAAUUUCAUGUAAAGUGAAUUUAUUUUGAAAUGGUGUGUUAUCACCAAGCCUUUCAUUUCAAAUUUUCAAAUCUAAAAAGUUGAUUGAUAUGUUAUGUAAAAUAGAGAUAAAAUCUGUUAGAUGGCACCAAACGGAGGAGCGGAUGCUCCCUCAGUGCUGUCUUUUCAUGCACUCUUUUCUUUCUCCACGUUAGUCUGAACGAUUAGAAAUUAGGUAUUGAUUCAAUCAGAAGAAAGUAAAAGGAAGCUGCUCAGGAAAAUCCAGAGACGACCAAGGCUUGCAACAAUGGCGCUAAGUGCUUGUGCCCAUUUUUGUUGGAGGGCCCACCUUGAGAAUAUUACCGCAGAGAUUUUUUUUGUUAACCAAUUAAAUGGAAGUAGAAUAGGAUCAUUAGCUAAAUUCCUGAUAAGUCAGGUUAAAUUGAUUAAUCACAUUUUGAAGAAUGAAUUAAUUGUUUGUAACAAAAAGAGGUGUACGAAAUGAGUGAUUUAAAGCUAGGUGAAUCUCCUAAUAUGCGUGUAUGGCUUGAUUUAUUUUAUUAUUUUCAUGUGUGUCAAAAGAUCAAUUACGUUUUUUUUUUCUUACUAUAGAAAGGGAAUAUACUUUCUAGGAUUAAUAAUCUAACAAUUCGAGGAAAACAUAAUAUUACUCAUAUGGAAUGUUCUAUAGGCAAGUAAAAUUGUCAAAUGAAUCUUCCUAAGAGAAGAAUUACUCUUAGGAUGAUCGGUUUUAGGAUGAGUAGGUUCUAAAUUAAGAAUCAUGAACUUAUUAUGUAAUACUUGUUUCUCCGUUUCUGUAAUUGAGAAACAAACUAGUUGACUUUGGAGCCAACUGACUUUUUUUUUUUGAUUUGUUUUUAUAUAAAUUGAUCUAGGACCUACAAACACAGAGAAUUCAAGCGAAAUGUGGCAAUUUUCGCGUGAGAGUCUAGCGUUUGCAGACCUACUCGUUCAAGUUCAAUAAAAGAUCAAUACUGAAUUAGGAUGCAACUAACAAUCAGAUGGUAAGAAAAUCAUAGGAUUUGCCAUAUCUAAAGUCGAAAACAAAGGCUUUCUUUUUUCCAUCUAAGUCAAAUUUGAGCUGGGGACAUACCCCGUCAAGAGGUAACAACAACUCCAAAGAGAGAAUAAAAGACCCUCCUUUGCUAUUUAGCAACCACCCCACAUCCCCAUAGAGAAAGGGCCCAGAACACACUUAAUUCAGCUGAUUAUUCCAAUAACAAUAUGACGAAUCAAUAGAAACNNNNNNNNNNNNNNNNNNNNNNNNNNNNNNNNNNNNNNNNNNNNNNNNNNNNNNNNNNNNNNNNNNNNNNNNNNNNNNNNNNNNNNNNNNNNNNNNNNNNAAUAGUGGAAUUUUUGAAGAUGGGCGAUUCUUUUUGCUUUAUUCUAGCCUUAUGACAAUGCUCUGCGUUGCCACUCAAAUUAUUGAUCGACUGAUGGCACCCCUAUUGUUGAUUGACGUAGCAAUUGGAUUAUAAUUGGACUGUGUGGCCACUCAUAUCAAAUUGAACAUGGGCAAUACUUUUUGCUUUAUCCUUGCCUUUUGCUUUACCCACCCCAUUAACCAAAAAGGAUUGAUAGUUUCACGUUGGAGUCAAGUUAUUCACAUUGGAAAUUAGUUUCCACAUUAUGCUUUUUCGAAAGAGCCACGCAAUCACCCCCUUUAAUUAGCAACUUUUGCAAGGUGUUCGUAUUGGGAAUUACUUCCUCUCUUGCCUCAAAAGAUAAGUCGGAUGUGCUUAAGAUACACACAAUCCCGCCGUGGAUUUGUGCGUCUUUGAUGAGGAAAUUUACUUCUUUAACAGACUAACCCUCAUCUUUUGUUAGCUCUGUUUAUAAUGAGAUCACAUCGCCAUGCAAAUCAAAGUGAAGACUGCUAGAGGCGUUGAGAUGGUCCAAAAUCUACUAUUUAACUCAUCUCUAGUGACUUGGAUCAUAUAUGGAUUAGCUAAAAUUUAAAAAGUAGGUUGUUAUGAAUUUAAAGUAAAAAAAUUAAUUUAAUAUAUAUUUUAAUGAGUUUAUACAAUAUCAGGAUAAGGGCCAGCAUGUGAUUCCACCCAAUUCAAUCGGUCUAACCAUUCAUAACCAAUUAGUUUAGAUGAGAAGAUUGUAGUAAGAAAAAUUAGCAAUAUAUAUGUGAUGAUGAUUUUGACAAAGUCGAGGGAAUUUCACAUGUAAUAUUUCGUACGCCUUAUGAGUAAAAUCAAAUGUAUUUUAUUAUUUGUCCGAUCAAUUGUAAUAGACUGAAGAAUAGAGGUCGUGCUUACCUCGAGGAGCUCACUGUGAUGGGUUUCAAUGUUUGAGAAGAAGUCGCCUCGAAGCAGAUCGAGUUGCGUCUGAGUCCCGUAAGGCAGUGCAAUCCCGAGGAUCACCUUCACACCUCGACCUGGACCGGCUUGGUUUGGAAAUACGCCAAAGUAAAUUUGCAGAUCAUCUCAGGUCAGAACAUCACGAGAAAGGAUGAGUAGCGGCUACAAAAUCACCAACAGCAGGCAAGGAACUUACUAUCUCUCGAUUAAAUUGCAGCUCUUCUCUGGUAUAUCUGGAGAUCCUAGAAACGACCCUCGUGUUCCGAGCGAAGACCGCGCCACCAAACCCAGGAAACCUAAUCGCCUCAGCGGAGUCCACGAUCAGAAAUUAUAGCCAGCGGAACACUAAAAAGUUGGAAACUCGACACGCUUCGAGUCGAUUUUACCUGUUAAUCGGUGCCUGCCGAAAACCCAGUCCCUCAAGAAAACUAUCGAUGGGGUCCUUUGAAGCCGGUGGUUUGGAAGGAGCGACUGCAGGUGCUCUUCGCGAUGGCCUCAGGCGUUCUGCUCGAUGGAUUCGCGAGAGAGAAGAUCCCUUGCUUCCUCCGCCGAUUCAAGCUGAAGCUCUCGCCCUAGUAAGAGGAUUCGAUGUGCUUCAGAUCGAGAAGUAGAGAGAACUUGUACUUGGGAGUCGGGCAACGCGGCUCUGUGUUGAGUCUCUCUGCGGGAGCAUAAUCACGUGCCAUAGUUAGGGGGGAGGCGCACUGAUUUUGGUCGCCGGCGCAUGAUCACGUGCCAUGGUUAGGUGGACGCCCGAACCCAGUUGGCUAAUUUUCAAAAGUGUAUCCGCGUCCCAUAACUUUAAGAUUGCAUUUGGCGAUUAGAAUAAAGUUCAAAUUAAAAUAAAAUUUAUUAUAUUCUAUAUUUGGUGUCUACUCAAAAUAAGAUAAAAUCAAAUACAAAUAAGAUAUAAAUCGGAUAAAAGUAUCCCAUUGAGAAAUGCGGAUAUGAUUUCUGAUAUUCAUAAUAAGAAAAUAUUUUCUCAAAUAACAAAUUUCUAAAAUUAAAAAAUUACAAUUAUAUUUCAGUAUAAAUAAUAUUUGAAUCUAGUAUAAAAAAUAAAAAAAUAAUUUUUUAAUUUAAUCUUAUUUUUAUUUAUAUAUUAGAAUUUAAUUCUAUCUUAUAAUAUAAAUUCAAUAUAUAAAUAUAUAUUAUUACAUAUUUUCAAUGUUUUAGUAUUUCAGGUAUAUUAGUAUAAUUUUCUAUUUAAUACAUUUUUAUUAGAGAGUGAUGGAAGGGGGAAGAGAGAAAUAAAAUAAAAUAAUUAAAAAAGAGAGGAAAAUAAAAUAAAAUAAAAUAAAUUAGACAAAAAUGUCACAAGAAACAACGAUUCCAAAAGAGAGAAUAAAAGACACCCUCCUCAACUAUUCAGCAGCCACCCCACAUCCCCAGUGGACAAAAAGGGCCUAGAAGACACUAGUUCAGCCUAUUUUUUCAAUAAUAAAGCGAUGAAUCAAUAGAAACGACACGGUAGUAAGAGAUGAAAAAGUGAUUACCUUCCGCGAGCUAAGAUACGAAGAGAGGCGCGAGAUCAUUGAGAGAAGACCCUAAGCAAGCCUGGGCAGGAACUUUCAAGGGGGAAAAAGAACGGAGAAAGCGAGUGACGACUGACCAGUGGACGCUAGUCUCAAAUUGUUCUGCAAGAGAGAGGCCGAAUGCGAAAGAUAAAGUGAGCAACGAGAGAGAGAGAGAGAGAGAGAGAGCCCGACCAGUAGACGAUAGGGAGGGAUCAAUCAGUGGUAGACGACAAUCUCAAAUUAUUAUUGACCGACCAGUAGACGAUAGGCUGAUUGACUGGUAGCAAUAAAAAUUCUUUUUAGAUGGCAAGCAAAGUCAAGCCACACAAUUUGGACCAGAGUACAGAAUGACCACUUCCAUUCAUAUCCACUUAAAAACCAUUUUGUUAAAUAGAUAAAUAUGGUUCUAACCAGCUUGUAAAUCUUCCAAUAUAUUAUUGUCAAAGACGUUUUUACCCCUGUAGGUGCUGCAUUUUCCUCCCACCAUAAAGAUGCAUAAAUCAUAUUAUCAAAUCCAUUGUAGGCCAAUAAUUUCCUACGCUAAAUAUACGUAAAAGUCAUGUCUUUACUGUAAGCAAUAAAAUCGCAUGAAAAGCACAUUUUAUGACAAGUUUCUCUAAUUCAAUCCACAAAGAUAAAGCCUACCUAAAAAUUGUCCACAUAAUAAAUACGUGUGAGUGCAUUGAAACCAACAUCUUUGCUCACUUUCAAGUUUUCCAUUGUAACCAGCACCAAAAAAAGAAAAAAAAAAAAAAGGUACAAUGGUGAAUUUUUCAUAAUUGGAAAAAAUUUGAAUUUUCUAUCAUUCUUCCAAAAAUAUGAAAAUUGCCAAUAUAAUGGGAAAUGGUUUGACAACCAAAAAUUAUCUAGCUGAUCUAAUAUGUUCAGAUAAAUUUUUGUUGUUGACAAUUUUGAUCCGUAGCCUAUGAAAGGUUUUGUGCAAUAUUGAAGAGAAAAGACUAGCAUGAUCGAUAUUUGGAAAAAUAUUUUUAACAAUUUCAAGAAACAAAGAAUUAUUUUUGCAAAAACCGAGUAUUUUGGAUGUUUUAGGCUUUAAGUAAUUUUGGACAAGUAGGGUACGCAUAGGGCUGAUGGACCCAAAAUCGGGUCUAGAAAGAUAUUUUGGUAAUAUUCAUUCCCAAGGUAGUUCGAUCAACCAUUAAUGUUUAGAAAACAACAUUAGGAUAAAGGCUGGCAUGCGAUUCCACUAGAUUCAACUAGUCUAACCAUACAUAACCGAUUAGUUUAAUGGGAAGAUUGUAGUAAGGAAACUAGCAAUAUAUGUAAUGAUGAUUUUGGAAAAGGUGGGGGAACUUCAUGAGUAAUGUUUCGUAUGCCUUAAAGGAUAUUGGGUGUUAUGCAAUGAGUAAUAAUCAAAUGUAUUUUUGUCCUAUCAAUUGUAAUAGACUAGAGAAUGAAAGUCGGGUUUACCUGGAGGAGUGAUGCAGAGAUGAAAUUCUUGUAAUGGGUUUUAGUGUUUGAGAAGAGGUUGCCUUGGACAGAUCAUUUUGUGUUUGAGUCUCGGAAGACAGUACAAUUUGAGGAUCACCUUCACGCCUUAGCUUGCAGCUAUCAAUACAAAUAUAUCUCACAACAAAAAUGAGGAUCUCAAUGAUUUAUGGUGAUUGGCGUUUCUCCUCUUCAAGCACAAGCAUUUGGGACUUUAUAUAAAGCUGUACUUCUCUUGCCCCAGAGGAGACGCAAAAUCUUGUGGUGGAUGGUGUUUCUUAGACGAGGCAAUUGUACUUCUUUUGAUUCUAACCUUUUUGACCAAGACCACCAAAACAAUCCCUUCCUCGAAAUUGGCAAGACGAUCCCGAUAGACUUCACUUAUUAAUUAUUUUUGUUAUUGCAUCCCAUGGCCAAGCAAAUCACAGUGGAAAUUAAAUUUUUUGACACAAUGCUAGUCCUUAACAGCCACAGAAUCAUCUCCUUUUCUUUUAUUUUUUCCUUCUUUUGUCAAACAAAAUUAUCGCCUUUACUUGGAAACUUUUGCAAGGUGUUCACAUUGAAAAUUUCUUCUCUUGCCUCGAAAACUGAGCCCAAUGUACUAGGGACACACACAAUCUUAACAUGGAUUUGCACAUCCUCGAUGAGAAAAUUUACUUUUUUUACUGACUAACCCUCGCCAUUUGUUACUUCUCUUUGUAAUGGAAUCACAUGGCCGCACAAAUCAAAGUGAGGAUGGACAACAUUUUGCUUUCCCUUCCUAUUGAAAUAAAAGCCUCUCACUGCUGGAAGCAUUGAAAUGGUCAAAAAUCUAUUUGUUAACUCAUAUUUAGUGACCUGAAUCAUAUAUGGAUUGGCUAAAAUUGAAAGAAUAGGUUGUUAUGAAUUUAAAGUAACAAGAUUUUAUUCAAUAUAUAAUAUAUUUUAAUUAGUUUGGAUCAUGUCUAUAUGUAAUUCAUGUUAAAAGAAGAAGAAGAAGAAGAAGAAGAUAAAAGUAAUGAUCUUUUCAUUUGCUUUCACAUGGCUCUUCUUAGGGGAACUCAUGCUCGAGUGUGGUAUGCCUUGACACGUGGAGCCCAUUGUAAGUGGCACGACAAUUGCAUGAGCUUUUUCUUCACUUGCCCAUUGCUUUAAUCAAUGAUCGAGUGACCCAUCAUUCAUUCCCUAUUCAUUAUUGAUUGUUUAAUCUAGUGGGACUCAUGUAGAACUUAUGGCUCCGGUCAUUUUUAGUUUUCCAAAUGUAAUCUUUCCCACGAUAUCGUUUAGCUCCACAUCUAGACGAUGAUGUCAAUUAGGGCCAAUUCAGCCAAAUCUCCUAUGUACUCUUAAGUAUUGAGAUAGUUAGUAUAAGCACCUAGAGGGGGGUGAAUAGGUGUAAAAAUAAUUUCUCGAGAUAAGAAAGUAAUACUACACAGACAAUAAAAUGGAAGUUCUCCUCCGGUUAACAAAACGAAUUAUGAUCAAAGUAAAGCAGAUAGUAGGGAAGAGAAAAUUGAACACAAGGUUUAUAGUGGUUCGGCUUAUUCCAAGCCUACAUCCACUCUUCCGUACUGAUAGCCUACCGGCUGGAUUUCACUAUGAACAAAAGAGAUGUUACAGCAAAGCUUUCCCUUGAUUCGACAGUGUAGAUAUUCUACUACACUUCCUCAAGGUUUCUCAUGAAUAUAGACUCUCAUUUGCGUACAAGAUUUCGCUCAGCAAAUGAAUUGACUAAGAACUAGGAGCUUCAUACUUUGGAAUUCUUCUAUCGCGCACACACUCGAACAACUGGAACGUCUUCCUUAUAUAUUCUUUUAUGCCAGCAUACCCGUUGGCACUUACCAAAAGAAUUCCUCCAAUCUACCCAUUGAACGGAAUCAAUUAGGAAGAUCAUUCGAGCUAUUAAAGGAACAUGUCGAUAGCCCAUCAAUCAUGCUCGCCCAUUCAAUCAGGAUCUCGGUUUCCAUAAGUAGAACCUUCCAGGUAUACUUCGCCAAUCAUCGGAUCCUUAAUCUCCGAAUCAAUCAUGAUCAAAUAAAGGAUUUUGUUAUGUCAUAUCCAGCCAAGAGAUCUUCUUCAGUCGAUAAGGUCACAUCCUUAAUGAGACAUCCAGUUCUGGAUAGCCUUUCUUCAACAGAUUAGAAACUGUCAAUGAGAAUAGACUUUGAGUCUUGAGUUUGGCAGUCCGGAGGUCUUCAGACUUUAAAUAGUAGAGUCUGCAAAUCUUCAUACUAGACUGAUGGAAACGUUUUGUCAGCUUCAAAACACUUCAUGAAGAUUUCUCCAACAAUCUCCCCCUUUUUUUAUGGUGACAAAACUUUCCUGCAAAUUUGGAUAACUUUGACCUGCAAAAUAUUACUCAAACAAAUAUGGAUAUCUUAUAAAGAUAAAUGGCUUAAUGAAUGAUAACACUAGAAUCUGCAACCACAGAAAAUAGGUUAGUCUUGCAUGUGAGUAAAGCCAUCCAUAAGAUAUCAAUAGUACUUAAUAUAAGCAGUCAAAUCCAAAUCCCAAAUUCAGUCCACAUCCAGACACAAAAGUCAAGUAAACAUUAAAACAAUCCAAAAGUUCAAAAAAGUUUAAGGUUCAAAGUUUUCAAAUCUCGCAUCUCUCUCCCUUUUUGUCAUCAUAAAAAAAAGGUUGAGAUGGAAAUGGAAAAGAGUCAAGAUUGCUUGGGAACAUGAACAAGCUGGAAAUCUCCCAUUGACUGGACAAGCCUUCCAGCUUUUUCAAUUAUUCCUUCAGUUGAGCUACAUCUUCACCCUUAGCGUUUGCUUGAAUCUGAAGAGCAAGAGCUUGGAUCUUAUCAUUCAAAGAAACUAAAGAAACUUGUCCUGCAUUCUGCAAGUUCUGAACUGCGCAUCCAGAGCAUAUAUCUGACCCCGCAUUUCCAAUAGAACAUCAAGAAUUUUGUGAAAAUCUGCUGAAUUAUCGGUCUGCGUACUGGCUUCUGCACGAUCAGAUGGAGUAAAGGCAGACGAUGGUAAAUCAGCAUAGUCACGUAGAUUGGACGAUGAAACAUCAUGUCCUUCUUCAGGAAAUUGAGAGACAUAAAUGUCCUAUGGAUCUGCUGGAGAGCGACUGACUCCCUCACUGGUAGCAGGAUAUGAGGACAUUCAUCUUUUCUCACGGUCUCCCCCUGUUUCCAUGCCUCAAGGUGGAGAAGAGUGUUCCUCAUGCUCUCCUUCCUCUUGAUUUCUUUUCUCCUCUGCAUCUCCUUUUUCAGCUUCUCUCUCCUCUGUUUCUUUCUCCUCUGCUUCUUUCUCUUCAUCUUCUCUUUCUCCAGUCCUCUGUUAUGAGUCUUUCUCUGGAACAGAACGACUCAGGUUCUUCAAUGCCAUUGCAGAAAUGGUGAUGUCUUCCUCAUCCUCAACGAUGAGAGCUCUUCUUUUCUUGGAUGGAGCAACCAUGGGCUCCUUCCCUUUUCUCUUUGCAGCCGAAGAGAUUUGAUGAGUUUUGACAGGGGUUUUCUCCUUGAAUUUCUCCAACUUCUUGCUAAGUUUCUUUAGUCGCAUUUUAGUCACAAUUUUCAAUCCUACCACCAUAUGAUCACAAGAUCGAGUACAUAGAAUUCGUGGAGGCUGAAUAUUCAGAUGUCUGAAUAACUUCUUCACAAGACCUGGAUAAGGAAGUUGACCUUUGUCCUUCACCACUGCUCUAUACAUGUGGAACAUAACAGUGUGAGGAAGAGAAAACUUUUUCCCAGUGAUGAUGGCAUACAUCAGUUUUGCCUCUUAAUUUGAAACAUCAGUCUUUGAAGUAGAUUUUGGUUUGAAGCAAUUAAUGACAAUCUUGUGAAGCAGAAUGUUAAAUGCGCUCAUCCUCAAGUAGGAAAUAUUUUCCUCUGUUCUUCUAUCCUUAACAAGUUCCAACGUAGCAUGAGCAAUAGAGACAUUGAUGGGUUGAUAUCUCACUCUCUCAACCCCAAUGACAUCAGCCAACAUAUCUACAUCCACUACAUAGUCCUAAUCUCAUACACUAAAAGAGAAUCUAUUCGCAUCCAAGAAACUGAGAUUCGAAUAGAAAUAUGCAGUGAGUUCAACAUAGCCUUAUGUAGAGUCAGAACAGAACUGUUCAAGUUAAAGAAGAUUGAAUUUUUCCCUCAAAUUAACAUUCACAGCAUCGAGGAAAUCAAAAUCCACACUUCUAGGGUUUAUCACCCCACGCUUCAACAAUUUAGAGUAUAAAAACUUUUGUUCCUCCGAUUGAAACAAGUCGGUCCUCUUUCCCCGAAUUUUUACCGCAACACCCAUUCUCGGUUGAAACUGACUGUAUAACUUAUCAUCAUCAUUCCCAUCUCGCUUAUUCAGCCCUCCAACAUGCGGAUCACUUGGGAUAUUAGCAAGGGUUUCUUCUGCCAACCCCGCAGGGGCAAUUCCCAAACGCUCCAUAUUUCGUAAAAAGAUGUACUCAUUUCCAUACCCUUUGUCCUUAAGAAACCCAUCAAUGUAGUUCAAUGGAGUUCCACCUCUUUUCAAAGCACGAUAAAGCUUGUAAAUAAAAGAGGGCUUUUGAAUUCUUACAGGAUCUGCGCCUUCGAUGAUUUCUUCAUUUUCUUGAUGAGCAACAUCCUGUGGACUAAAUGGAGGAGAAUGACGCUGCUGAGAAUGUUGUGGGCUCUGUUGCUGACUAGGAGACUUUUCUUCCUCAGUGAGAUCAAAGUGCGUAGGCCCCUCACGCAUUUGCGGUCCCCUGCUUGCAAUCCUCAAAGACUUCCUUUGAGACGACAUCUUUCACAGUCUUUGAAAUAUUCCAAACUUGACUUUCCCAAGAAAGAUGAUAACUUUUUUGAAGAUUAAACAAGAGAACAAAACAGAAAUGGAAGAUUGGUGCUUUCUUAGGGUUUUCGGAGAGUAAAGCGAAGAAGAAACAACAAUGUAUAAACAGUCGAAGAGAGGCAUACGAAACGUUAUAAAAGAAAGUAAAAAGAUGUCUUUUUAAAAAAUAACUGCCUUUUUCGAGAAAUUAGAUAAUAGUCAUUUAAAAAAUAACUCAUUUUUUGUAAAGGAAACGUUGCAAUAAUCACGUCAAUUAAAGAUAGCAAUAAUCAAACACGGUUGAUGAUCGUACCUUUUCAAGCUGAGAUUCGAGAUAUAACUUACAGUCAAAAUCUUGUUUGUUUGAGUCUAAGAGUCUCUAGACUUUAACUUCUUCAAACCUCAAAAUGUUGAGUCUGGAGCGGAUGAUUUCAAAUUGAUUUUUCUCCAAAGGCUUUUGUGAAUAUAUCCGCUAGUUAGUUCUUUGAGUCAACAAACUGAAUCGAAACUUCUCCAUUUUGAACAUGAUCUCUAAUGAAGUGAUGUCGAAUCUCUAUAUGCUUUGCUCUUGAGUGAAGAAUUGGAUUUUUGGUGAGAUUGAUUGCACUGGUGUUGUCACAUUUAAUCUCCGUGCAUGAAUCUUCAAUUCCAAAGUCUCUUAACUGUUGUUUUAUCCACAGAAUUUGUGAACAACAACUUCUAAGAGAUACAUACUCUACUUCUACUGUAGAAAGGGUUACUGUAUUUUGCUUUCUUGAAAACCAAGACACUGUCCUGCUUCCAAGUAGUUGACAAGUACCCGAGGUGCUCUUUCUAUCAACUCUGCAACCGGCCAAAUCUGCGUCUGAGUAUCCAAGAAGAGUAAAGUCUCCCUUUUUAGGAUACCAAAGACCAAGACUUGAAAUUGAAGCAAUGUAUUUGAUAAUACGCUUUGCAGCACUUAGAUGAGAUUCUUUAGGGUUUGCUUGAAAUCUAGCACAAAUGCAAACACUAAACAAAAUGUUAGGUCUAGAAGCAGUAAGAUAAAGAAGUGAACCAAUGAUACUCCUAUAUAACUUUUGAUCAACUUUCUUUCCUCCUUCAUCUUUGUCUAUCUUCAAAGAACUUGACAUUGGUAUGUCAGUCUUUUUGCAAUUUUCUAGUCCAAACUUUUUGACAAGAUCAUUAGCAUAUUUUUCUUGAUGAAUAAAAGUUCCUUUCUUCAAUUGUUUCACUUGAAGUCCAAGAAAGAAGGUUAGUUCACCCAUCUUGCUCAUUUCAAAUUCAUCCUACAUAGACUUAGAGAAUUUCUUGCACAAACUUUCAUUAGAGGAUCCAAAAAUAAUAUCAUCUACAUAUAUUUGAACAAGCAGAAAACUUUUGUUUUCUCUUUUAAUAAAUAGAGUAGUGUCUACUUUACCUUUAACAAAGCCAUUUUGAAUUAAAAACUUACUCAGUCUGUCGUACCAAGCUCGAGGUGCUUGUUUUUAGACCAUAUAAAGCCUUUUUUAGUCUGAACACUGAGUCUGGUUUCCUUGGGUCUUCAAACCCAGGUGGUUGUUCCACAUAGACUUCCUCAUGGAUAAAUCCAUUUAGGAAAGCGCUUUUGACGUCCAUUUGGAAUAGCCUGAAAUUCUUAUAACAAGCAAAAGCAAGUAAUAAUCUAAUUGCUUCUAACCUUGCUACUGGUGCGUAAGUCUCGUCAUAGUCUAUCCCUUCUUCUUGCGUAUAUCCCUUGGCCACGAGUCUUGCUUUGUUUCUAACGACUUUUCCUUUCUCGUUCAUCUUGUUCCUGAAAACCCAUUUAGCUCCAAUAAUAGAUUUACAUUUUGGUUUAGGAGUCAACUCCCAGACAUCAUUAACGCUGAAUUGCCUGAGUUCUUCUUGCAUAACUUCAAUCCAGCUUUCAUCAUAUAAAGCUUCUUCUAUGCUUUUGGGUUUUAUUUCAGAAAUAAGAGCCACAGCACUAGACUCUUCGCGCCUUUUGGAUCUUGUGCGAAUUCCUUCAUUAAUGUCGCCAAUAAUGAGAUCUUUGGGAUGACUGGACUUAUGCUUCCAGUUACUGGUUGAUUUGUUAGAUUGAUGAACACUUUCUUCAUUUGAAUCUUCAAUAAUUACUUGUUGCUGAUCUUCCAAAAUCUGAGUUGCUUUUUGAGAUUUAGACUUUAUAGAGUCUGGAGCAGGCUCAGAUUCUUCAAGAUGAGUCUGAAUAGAUUCAUUUUGCAUAGAAUCUUGGAAUUUAACAUUCAUUGAUUCCUCCACAGAUUGAGUCUUUUUGUUGUAGACUCUGUAGGCUUUGCUUGAAAUUGAAUAUUCAAGGAAGAUGCCUUCAUUUGACCUUUCUUCAAACUUGCCAACUCGAUCAUUUGCAUUUUUCAAUAUAAAGCAUUUGCAUCCAAACACAUGAAAAUAUAAAACAAUAGGCUUCUUUUCUUUGAAUAACUCAUAGGGGGUUUUUUUUCCAGAAUAGGCCUUAGAAAAACUCUAUUAAUAAUAUAACAUGCAGUAGAAACUGCUUCAGCCCAAAAACGUGAAGAGACGUUACUUUCAAUUAAACGAGUUCUAGCCAUUUCUUGAAGAGACCCAUUCUUUCUUUUCACAACUCCGUUUUGUUCUGGAGUAUAUGGAGAGGAGAACAAGUGCUAAAAACCAGAUUCAUCACAAAAUUUAGUAAAAUCUUGAUUUUUAAAUUCACCUCCAUGGUCUGUUUUUAUACUUGAAAUAACAUAGCUUUUUUCGUUUUGAACCUUUUUAGCAAACUUUUCAAAGUAAGAAAAUGUUUCAGACUUACUUGCCAGGAAAUAUACCCAGGUAAAUCGUGAGUAGUCAUCUACAAUUACUAGGCAAUAUUUCUUACCUCCAAUGCUUUGAGUUCUAGUUGGUCCAAAGAGAUCCAUAUGCAGAAGCUGCAGUACACGAUUAGUGGAAAGUUGAUUUAUUGGUUUAAAAAAAUUUCUUACCUAUUUUCCCAAUAUGCAUGGUGUACAUAGAUCAGACUUUUGGUAUGAUAGAUUGGGUAAACCACGAACAAGCUUCUUUGCUGAAAUUUUGGCUAUUUGCUUCAUAUUGAUGUGCCCAAGCUUUAUGUGCCAUAAGUUCGCUUCGUCUUGAAUUGAGAUUAGGCAUUGCGAUUCAUCUGGUUUCACAUCCAAGAGGUAGAUAUUUCCAUGUCUUCGACCCAUGAAUGACUGAGUAGAAUCUUUACUGGUUCCUGAACAUAUUCCCUCUUGAAAGUUGAUUUUGAAACCAGUAUCACACAGCUGGCUGAUACUGAGCAGAUUGUAGUUGAGUCCUUCAACUAAAGAAACAUUGCUUAUUGUGAGGUUUCCAAUCUUUACAGUUCCAAAUCCCACAAUUCUUCCUUUGUUAUUUCCACCAAAUGAGACUUUUCCACCAUUUACUUGAACAAGCUUUAUGAAGCAAUUUGAAUCUCCUGUCAUAUGUCUUGAGCAUCCACUAUCCAUAUACCAUUUUACAUUUUUCUUGAUAGUGACCUGUAUUUAAAAAGGAAACUCAAACUUUCUUUGGUACCCAUAUUUUCUUGGGUCCAUUGUUGUUAGUAUGAUAUGCGGUUUUUGCCCAUACUUUCUUAACAGGUUUCCAAACCAUAGGACAUUCUUUUUCAAAAUGAUCUGCACUAUUGCACUUUGAACAUCUAAGAGCAUUGCGACCUACUGGUUUUACAAAGAUCUUUUUGAAAUGAUUUUUGUAAGCAUCUCUUGUGAGUCUUUGCUUAAUUCUUUCCUUAACUUUAGGGAAAUCAAUUAAAGGAAUGGUUUCCGCAGUCAUUCCCAAACCAAAUUUAUUGAAAUAAGGUCUUUGAACAUAAAGAAUUUUUUCCAGUUUCUCAGAUCCUAUAGAAAAUCUUUUGGAAAUAUUUGAGAUCUCAUUUUUCAAGAAUGCAUUUUCUUUUGAAAGAUUACCUUCACUUUCUCUAAGAGAAGAAACAUUUAUGUCUAAACAUUUCACAUUUUCUUUCAAAACAUUUUCCUGUUGUUUUAGAGAAGAAUUUUCUCUUUUGAGUUCGGAAAUCUUUUUAAGAGAAGUCUUAAGACUAAAACACAACUCAUCAAUGUAUUUAGAAACUUUAAUAGGGAUUUUGAAGUUACUCACCUCAAAUUCACUGUCUGAAUCUGAGUCUAUCUCGGAGUUUGAAUCUGAAUCCGAUUGUGCCAUCAGACAUAUAUUUACAUAAUCAUCAUCACUUUCUUCACACUCUGUAUCACUCCGGGUUUCUGCGUUAAGAACCUUUCGAUACUUUUCAGCUUUUCCUUUCUUCUUUCUCAGAAGAGGACAGUUGGGUCUGAUGUGUCCCUUUUUCUUACAUUCAAAGCAGACUACAUCUUUGUUUGAUUCAUCAUCUUCAACAAACUUAGUAUGUUGCUUUUGAAAACUUUGUUUCUUUGGAUUGAAUCUUCUUCAUUUUCUAUUCAGCUUUCUGAAUCUUCUUAUCAUGAGAGCAAGCUCCUCAUCAUCCAUAUCGUCUUCAGAAUCUGUAACAUCAAAAUCAUCAUUGGAUUUUAAUGCAAUGGAUUUCUUACCUUUAGGAUCUUUGUCUUCAUUGAUUCGUUUCACUUCAUAAGACUGAAGAGUCCCAACCAACUCAUCAACAGAUAGUGGCAUGAUUCUUUGUGUCUCUCUUAUUGAGGUCUUUAUGUGAUUCCAAUCCUNNNNNNNNNNNNNNNNNNNNNNNNNNNNNNNNNNNNNNNNNNNNNNNNNNNNNNNNNNNNNNNNNNNNNNNNNNNNNNNNNNNNNNNNNNNNNNNNNNNNNNNNNNNNNNNNNNNNNNNNNNNNNNNNNNNNNNNNNNNNNNNNNNNNNNNNNNNNNNNNNNNNNNNNNNNNNNNNNNNNNNNNNNNNNNNNNNNNNNNNNNNNNNNNNNNNNNNNNNNNNNNNNNNNNNNNNNNNNNNNNNNNNNNNNNNNNNNNNNNNNNNNNNNNNNNNNNNNNNNNNNNNNNNNNNNNNNNNNNNNNNNNNNNNNNNNNNNNNNNNNNNNNNNNNNNNNNNNNNNNNNNNNNNNNNNNNNNNNNNNNNNNNNNNNNNNNNNNNNNNNNNNNNNNNNNNNNNNNNNNNNNNNNNNNNNNNNNNNNNNNNNNNNNNNNNNNNNNNNNNNNNNNNNNNNNNNNNNNNNNNNNNNNNNNNNNNNNNNNNNNNNNNNNNNNNNNNNNNNNNNNNNNNNNNNNNNNNNNNNNNNNNNNNNNNNNNNNNNNNNNNNNNNNNNNNNNNNNNNNNNNNNNNNNNNNNNNNNNNNNNNNNNNNNNNNNNNNNNNNNNNNNNNNNNNNNNNNNNNNNNNNNNNNNNNNNNNNNNNNNNNNNNNNNNNNNNNNNNNNNNNNNNNNNNNNNNNNNNNNNNNNNNNNNNNNNNNNNNNNNNNNNNNNNNNNNNNNNNNNNNNNNNNNNNNNNNNNNNNNNNNNNNNNNNNNNNNNNNNNNNNNNNNNNNNNNNNNNNNNNNNNNNNNNNNNNNNNNNNNNNNNNNNNNNNNNNNNNNNNNNNNNNNNNNNNNNNNNNNNNNNNNNNNNNNNNNNNNNNNNNNNNNNNNNNNNNNNNNNNNNNNNNNNNNNNNNNNNNNNNNNNNNNNNNNNNNNNNNNNNNNNNNNNNNNNNNNNNNNNNNNNNNNNNNNNNNNNNNNNNNNNNNNNNNNNNNNNNNNNNNNNNNNNNNNNNNNNNNNNNNNNNNNNNNNNNNNNNNNNNNNNNNNNNNNNNNNNNNNNNNNNNNNNNNNNNNNNNNNNNNNNNNNNNNNNNNNNNNNNNNNNNNNNNNNNNNNNNNNNNNNNNNNNNNNNNNNNNNNNNNNNNNNNNNNNNNNNNNNNNNNNNNNNNNNNNNNNNNNNNNNNNNNNNNNNNNNNNNNNNNNNNNNNNNNNNNNNNNNNNNNNNNNNNNNNNNNNNNNNNNNNNNNNNNNNNNNNNNNNNNNNNNNNNNNNNNNNNNNNNNNNNNNNNNNNNNNNNNNNNNNNNNNNNNNNNNNNNNNNNNNNNNNNNNNNNNNNNNNNNNNNNNNNNNNNNNNNNNNNNNNNNNNNNNNNNNNNNNNNNNNNNNNNNNNNNNNNNNNNNNNNNNNNNNNNNNNNNNNNNNNNNNNNNNNNNNNNNNNNNNNNNNNNNNNNNNNNNNNNNNNNNNNNNNNNNNNNNNNNNNNNNNNNNNNNNNNNNNNNNNNNNNNNNNNNNNNNNNNNNNNNNNNNNNNNNNNNNNNNNNNNNNNNNNNNNNNNNNNNNNNNNNNNNNNNNNNNNNNNGUAAGGCGAGAGCUAAGAUGACCUAAUUGAAGAGGGAGGGAGGAGGACCAAUAAGGAAAAGCCAAUCAAAGCCUUUCACUAUCCUGCUCACUCAAUUACAAAGAAAGUGGUAAGGCAAAAGCUAACAAGACCUACUCAAAAGAAGGAAGGGGGGGUGAGAGAAGCAUUGUCGAGGAAUAGCAAAUCAAAGUGUUCCGCCAUCUUGCUUGCUAAACCAACAAGACCUACCUAAAAGAAAUGGGGGGGGGGGGGGAAUUCUAGCAAUUGAAAGCAAGUCAAAGUCUUCCACCAUUUUGCUUGCUUAGUUGCAUUGGGAGAACAUACACCAUUAUUUAUGGGGAAAAUAUUGUCUAAAUUUAAUUUAUAAAUGAUGCACCGGGGCAUAUCAAUUAUGAUAUAAUAAUUGUAUGGAAAUUUGCAUUUUGCGGUGGUGAGGGGGGGAGACUGGCAAGGAAAAGCAUGUCAAACCAUUCCACCAACUUGCUUGCUUUGCAAAUAAAGUGAUAAGACAAAAGCUCACAUGACCUAAAAGAAGGAGAGGGGGAGACCGGUGAGGAAAAGUAAGUCAAAGUCUUCCACCAUGUUGCUUGCUUAGUUACAAAGGAAGCAAUAAGACAAAAGUUGACAAGACCUAAAAGGAAGGGGGGGAGGGGACGGACUAGUGAGGAAAAGCAAGUCAAAGUCUUCCAUCAUCUUGCUUCCUUAGUUACAAAGAAAGCGAUAAGGCAAAAGCUAACAAGACCUAAAAGAAGGGGAAAGGACCGGUGAGGAAAAGCAAGUCAAAGUCUUCCACCAUCUUACUUGCUUAGUUGUAGAGAAAGUGAUAAGGCAAAAGCUAACAUGACCUAAAAGAAGAGGUAGAGGGAGAACUGGCAAAGAAAAGCAAAUCAAAGUCUUCCACCAUCUUGCUCACUCAAUUACAAAGAAAGUGGUAAGGCAAAAGCUGACAAGACCUACUCGAAAGAAGGAGGGGGUGGGCAAAGGAUCGACGAGGAAAAGCAAAUCAAAGUCUUUCGCCAUCUUGCUUGCUAAACCAACAAGACCUACUCAAAAGAAAUGGGGGGAAAAGAUUCUAGCAAUUGAAAGCAAGUCAAAGUCUUCCACCAUCUUGCUUGCUUAGUUACAUGGGGAGAACAAAGACCAUUAUUUAUGGUGAAAAUAUUGUCUAAAUUUAAUUUAUAAAUGAUGCGGCGGGGCAAAUCAAUUAUGAUAUAAUAAUUGUACUGAAAUUUGUAUUUUGCAGGGAGGGCUUUGUAUGGGGUUUGCAUGGUUUAUCUUAGGUGUUUUAUUAAAAUCUAAAUGUCUGACAAUACUACAUAAAUAUGUUAUACAUCAAACUAUCCUGUUGACUCUAAACAACUUAUAUUUAUCUAAUAGCACGUGGUAAUAUUAUUGUUCUAUAAUUAUGCUCUUUUUCCUUUAAAUUGACAAGAGUGAGCCAAUAUAGAUCAUGAUCCAUGAAUGUGAACUCACGAAUAUUUGAUACAUGUAAUCUAGUCUAUCAUCGAGUGUUUGGCAAGAGUUGAAAUUGACAUGUGAAAGCUAUCUGUUACUUGAAAUUACAUCAACAUAUCCUAAAGUAGCUACCUGGUAAAGUUUGUCAAAUUUUCAUAUUUAUUUAAAUUCAUAAAAUCCUAUUUCCUCUGCCCUGCUUGCUUCGCUUUUGCUGCUCGUGAGUUGUUCUGUUUUUGAGAUUAACAUUAGAUCCAACAUUUUUUUUGGUCCGAAUACAAUUCAGCACAUAUAUAAGAUAAAAAACAAAAAAAACAAAAACAACAACAACAACAACAAUUGCUUCGUAUUAUGAGAAUGCUAUUAAAAGGAGUAACAUGUAAAAUUAGUAAAUUUUUUGCUUUCUAAUGAGGAACAUCCUUGUCGUUUUAGGGCUUAACAAGUUAACAGAUAAUGGACUGUUAAACUGAUAUGAAAAUCCCAUUUUGCUGGCUUUUAUUGGUCAUAAACCACAGGAAUCGAAAGUAUCUUGGGUACGCUCCUAAGUGGUCUUCUAGAGCAAUAGUUGGAUAAAUGGAAUAAGAUUGUAUCUUGACUCUUCCCUCCUUCAUCAGUCCACUGAGAUGAGACAUUAGUGGCCCAAAAUGGAAAAGAACAAGANNNNNNNNNNNNNNNNNNNNNNNNNNNNNNNNNNNNNNNNNNNNNNNNNNNNNNNNNNNNNNNNNNNNNNNNNNNNNNNNNNNNNNNNNNNNNNNNNNNNUUCAUUCACACCCAUAAUCUUAAUACCACAAAAUAUUAAGACUUCGAAACGAGGUUAAAAAUCUUGGGUUCUAUUGCUCAAUAGACAAACGCAAAGGAUCGACGCAUGAAGAAAACAAAGAAUAUUGUUUACCUUCACCAGCCAAAAGACUGCAAGGUCGACAGCAAAUGCGGGAAGGAAAUAGAAGAAAACCGUACAAAACCUUUUAUUAUUUACAAACACAUACCAUCCUAGAAACAAUAUGCAUGCCAUCAAGGGGAAGAGCUGAAAGAUUGUCUUCAACACAAAAUAACUAUAGUCAUACCUCAUCUUUUUUAACAUGUAAAAACAACCAUUUCAUUUGGCAAAAUUUACCACCCUAGUCAUGAAGAGCAUGAUAUUCAAAAAGCACAUCACUCUCAAACGUACUAUUCAUGCACAUGGCAAGGUGCUUAUAUCAUAAAAAUUAUUGCUUAUAUCACUUAACGUAAUUAGCCAAUGAAAAAUGUUUUCAUUAUCGACAAAAAUUUAAGUCCAAACAUUUUCAUAAGUCAUAAAAGUAUCUUUUGUUCAUUCGUUAUUGUUAGCGAUUUUAGUGGAAAUGUUUGUCAAAUUCAUUUUCCACGAGACAAACACACCCUUAAUGUCAAAUAGCUUCAAUGUUUAAAACUAGUAGAGGGAAAUUUGAUACAGACGUUUUACUUUGGUUUAUGGCAAGUAAAAUGGAUUGAAAAUAUCUUUGGUUUUUGCACGUGUGAAAAUGAGAAAACACGGUCUCUAUCUUCCGUAGUGUUGUUGGGUCAUUGGAUGUGGGAACCAAAGAAGAUUUGCGUAAAAAAUUGAAUGCGGUUCUAGCGGAUAGUUUUCAAUUUUCACCCAUACUACGACUUAAUAAUGGAUUGAAUUACAAAAUUCGUAAUAAUUCUUUUUAUAUAAUUAUGAUGUAAUCAGAGCAGCUUGAUAUUUUUCAUUCCAAAUUUUUACUUUGCAGCUUCCUUAAAUUAUAUUUAAAAGAAGGUAAUGAAGGAGGUGAUGUAUACUCAUAUUUAAAUCAAUCUUGGUUGGUUAUUUAUGUGGAAAGCAAACAACUUCCAAAUCAUGAUUGUUAGCUAAUCAUAUUUCAUAGCGUGAGGCGAGGGAAAGCAAGUCAAAGUCAUCCUUCAUCUUGCUCGCUUCAUUGCAUUUCCCAAGUCCUCUUUUAACCAAAGAAAGGGACAAUGCAAAUGCGAACAAAACCUACUCCAAAAAAUUAAUAAAUAAAUAAAAGACUGUGGUCAACGUUCAACUUUGGAGUGAUUCUUGUUCUUCCCCUGAAUUUCCUCGAAGGUGUGUGAAUGUGGGGUAAUCAUGUAUACCUAUCUCUAGGGGACAUCAUAAUUACAAACACUUAGGUUAUGUUCACGGCGAGACAAGAGACCGGUCUUUAUUGUGGAAAUGUUGCAUAGGAAUUUGUGAGUGACGCAACGGACAAUACUAAUCAUAAUUUGGAGCUUUUGGAUGAAAGUGUGGCUACUUGUGUUUUCUAGUAAGACUUGAUAUAGGGUUCUCAUAGUUUUUCAUAGAUUAUUUUAAGAAAUUUUGAUGUUUGUUGUAAAUUUGAUAUGCGCUGAACUUUUCAUUUUGUUUAUUAACUCCAAGUAACUCUUAUUUAUCUAUACAUUUGCUGCUCUAUAACUAUACUUUUUUCUUUUUCCUCUUGAAAUGAAAAGAAGUGAACUAAUAUAAGUCACAAUACAUGAAUGUGAACAUGAGAAUAUGCGAUGCAUUCAAUUGCUAGCCUCAUGAAAGGUUCGAAGGGGGUCGACAUUGAUUUGUCAAGCUAUCAGUUGCUUGGAAUGUACAUCAAUAUCCUAAUAAAAUUUGUCAAAUUUUCAUCUUUGUCCUAAUUCAUAAUGUGUUUUCUUCUCUCAUGCUUGCUCUGCUCAUGGUGAGUUUAUUGAGUCCACAUUAGUCCAAUUAUUUUCAUUGAUCCAAGGGAACAAUAGUACGAGAGUGCUAUUAAAAGGAGUAACAUGAAAAACUAACAAGAUUUUUGCCUUCUACCGAGGAUCAAACUUGUCAUUUUCCAGCUUAACAUAUAACGGACCGUUAGACUGAUCUGAAAAAAUCUGAUUUCAUCGGCUUUUAUUGGAUAGAAACUACAUAAAUCAAAGGUAUGCCGAGGCUCUAUCACGUGCCUUCCGGAGCAAUACUAGGAUAAAUGGAGUACUAUUGGCUCUUUGACCCUUCCCUCUUUCAUCCGUUGACUGAGAUAAGACAUAAGUGGCCCAAAACACAAAAGAACAAAAAGGAAUAAAUUCAGUGACACCCGUACCAACAAAUAUAAGACUUCAAAACGAGUUUAAAAAUCCUGGGCUCUGCUGCAUAAUAAACAAAAGCAAAGGAUCAACACAUGAAGAGAAAAAAGAUCCUUUACCUUCACCAGCCAAAAGAUUGCAAGGUCAGCAGCAAAUGCAGGAAAGAGAUCCAGAAGAAAACCAUAUGAAACCAUUUAUUACUUACAAGCAUAUACCAUCCUGGAAACUAUAUGCAUGCCAUUAGCGGGAAGAGCUGAAAGAUUGUCUUUAACACAAAUUAACUAUAGUCAUACGUCAUCUUUUAACAUGUAAACACAAUGAUUUCAUUCGGCAAAAUUGGCCACCCAUGUCAUGAAGUGCGUGGUAUCCUCAAAUUGGAGAGUUGCAAGCUGACAGCCAUUUAGAGGAUCGCAGCCUUCAGCCACUAAUCAUAUGUGAAAGACAGCCAAAUGUCAUGUGAAUCAGCAACUACUGUCCUAUUCGGCAAUACUAACAUUUCAGCCUUCCCGUUGUUCACAUGAAGAGCACAGACAAUCAUAAGGAAAUGAGAGAAAGCAGUGUGCGAUGAUAUACUCUUUAGUCAGUGAUGAUAUGUGUCAAGCAGAACCAUUUAAGGCUCCACUGCCUUCAAAAAAGCAGAUCACCAAGUUUUGUAUCUUCAAGCCAACUUCGAAUGGUAGUUGCAGAUCACUUCUUUUAGGAACACUCUUGGGGAAAUCGAGCAUUUGAUGAUGUUAACCUACAUUCUGACAAAUACAGGUCAUUGUCUUCAUUUUCAGAGUCUUCAGCGACCCAACCAUCACGAUUCACUUCACCAUUGGAUUGCAUAGCGGCCACAUCACUAUUAUCCUCUUUUGCAAGGAUAUGGAGAUCCACAAACAUCAAAGACACAUUCUGUGAGAGAGUAGUUUCUAAAUCUGGAUCGGCAUGGUCAGUAGCUGAAAUGGAAUGGAAGUCCUGAUCUCCAACCAUUGAAGAGGGGAGAGACUGUGAACUUCUAAUAACUCUAUACAGAUUUUGCUGACUACUUGCAAUUUUCGCUAAAGACAUGGAACUACCCUGAACAGGAUAAGACUCCUCAUUAAGACAUGCUAGUCGGCAAAAGCACUGAUAAUUAGAGGCAGACAACAAGUGGCUCAAAAAGAACAUAAAUUUUCCUGCAGUUGACAGCAACAAGGUAUUUUAGCAACUGAAAUAUCACCUUUCCUGGAAGUUCAAUGAUCAAAUCUUUUGUGAUUCAAAAUAUGAAUGUGAUCCCAUCUUUUAGCAAGCUUGUAUAUAUCUUCUGGAGCUUACAGCCAGUCAAGGGCAUCGUAGUGGGACUCACAAUGCUACAGAGCAUCUUAUAUGAGGCCAAUAGAAAGAUUCAAUGGUAAUAACAUUGCUGAGCAAUGUGCUUUGAGCAACCAACAGGCAGUCCUAAUUCACACUGGAAAAGCGAGAACUGGCUGAGGAUCUUUUAACAAUUAGCGGUUCAAAUUGUACGUUGUUUAACACCUUGUUUCCUUGAACCACAGAACACAAUUCUUUAGGACUGAUUUAGAAGUCAAAGUCAAUGAUUUUGUCAUGCCGGGAAGUUUCACUGUUUCUCAUCGUAAUCAAAUUCCCAAGUAAAAGGAUAUUACCAAAAACCAGGAUUAAUCAAGCAUAGCUAUUUCCUAUUUCAAACUAUAAUCGUCACUAAACCUUGAAAUGAUACAGAUCUUCUUUUCAAACCCUUAAAAGAGUUUUCAUAUGCGAAGACAAGAUAAAGAUAUGUGCAUUUUGACACAGUGAUCAGAUAUCAAAAGGAAAAUAUGCAAGCAAAUCACUGGACCUUAAUCUUGAAGAAGAAAAGGAUAUUUCUGCAAUUAAAUGAGUGCACUUCCUGGUCAAUUCUGCAGAAUAUCUCCCACCAUUUUCUGUAAUAUGCUUCUGAAUCUCCUUCCGUGCAUCUGAGAUCAUGAAGGACAUAAAAAUUGAAGAACUGGAGGACAACCAACAGCAGCAGCUAUAUCAAACAAUCAGUACCUGCAGGAAAUCCUGUGAACAUUCAUUGUCAAUCCGGAAAAUGGAAGAACUCUAUAAGACUCUUGAGGUACAACACGGUGCUCAAUAUGGCAUUGGUAUAACCAAUUAAUGGUGACAACAGGUCACUUCAGAACAUUUAAAGCCCCCUGCACGAUGACAACAUUAAUUGAUAAAUACAAUUUAUCUCUCAAGAUGGAAUUCAUAAAAGAAUUUGCACAGAGAAUAUUCAAAAAAAAAUAUCCCCCAUCAAAAGUCAACAUUUUUUUCCCAGGCAGAAGAACUCCUCUCGACUUGCUUGACCAGCACAUUGACCCAAAUGCCUCCGCUCUCAUUUCUCAACUACAAGUCCUGGUUUAGCAUUUAGCAGCCUCGAGGAAAAACCAGAAGAUAAGACUAGGACGAGAACAAGAUCUUUACCGACUAGCUCACAACCCUUUCGCCUGAAGAUCCUUGAACUUCUCAAGACGUAAAACAACCUCAAACCCAAUUCUCAAAAUGAACCCAAAAGCCGUUAGCGCCGCCCAAUCCCAACGUACUCACGUGAUCGGGGAGAAGAAACAGCGUGAAAAUCGCAGGGCCCACUCCUGGAAGGGUCGCGGCGGAGGAAGGCCUCAGCUCCGUUCAGCUUGAUCGCGUCGAACGGCUCGGGAGGCACUCAAGUUCCUCAGCACGAACACGGUCGCCCCCCUGAAAUGGCUUCGUCUUCGUCAUUUCCUAUCUUUCUUCUUCGGCAGCGACUUCCUCAACAGGUGAUCGGUCUCGUUGCUAAGGAUUCUGCGAAAUCCAAAUGCAUGUGCGUGAGUGAGAGAGAGAGAGAGAGCAACGACGAAGCGCAGAGGGAAUCGGAACUUGGAAGAGGAUGAAGGAAGAGCGACUUGGGGGAAAAUUGAGGGGAGUGAGCUUUUUCUGAAUUCUUCCCCAAAUUGGGAUGGAUAAGGGUACGAGAAAGCGCGGGAAUGGGGUUUUUCUUGCGCUCUUUUCGGAUUUUCCUUUUUAAUUCCCCUUUUUUGUGCCAUUAAUUUUGUGGAUAAUUUCUCAAAAACCCCCGCAACUUCCACACCGUUGCACGACUGCUCUCCAACUUCGAAAAAGUUACACACUAUGCACGCGCCAGGCGACACGAGCCAUGAAAAGAAAGUAAGAGAAAAGAAUAAAAGCAAAGAAUUCAAAAAGAUUCUUUUAAAAAUUGUAAAAAGUUGUUCAUGCCAAUAUUGGUUACGUCACAACAAAUGAUUAAUAUUUACGUCAGUAAUUUUUAAUUAAAAUUAGUCAGAAGAAUUACAUUAACGAAUUGUCAAUAAUUUUAGAACUAAAUUGACUAAAUUAUAAAGUUUAUGAUCGAAUCGACAUCUGUUAAGGAUUAUUUUGUUAAUUUUCUCUAAGAGGUUAGUCACAUGUCUAAAUCAAAACUUCACAUGAAGUUUUGAUUGUGGACCCGUAAGUGCUUAAAAAUUACAUCGGAUCAUGGAUAACACUUUUUAUCAUGUUUCAAGAGCAACCACAAAUUGGAGCUUCUUGGCGAUAAAUCUUUUUAUAGAAUUUUUUUUUUUGGUAAAAAGAGAGCAACAAAAUGAUGUCUGGGUGAAAACAAAGAGGUGCAAAUGUUGGGAGAUUCAAACCUAGGACCACGAGCAAUAAAGAUUGAAUGUUAGUGAACUUAUUUUGCCAUUUGGAGAUAGAUCUUCAUAUACCCAUCAAAAGGGUGUUUCGGCUUGAUUUUGAUAUGUAUCGAAAAUGGUUCAGCUUAAAUAAACUCAUUUUAAUCCGUUUUAAUCAAUUUAUAUACAAUAUGUAUAUAAGUGACUCAUAUUUGACAUUGUCCCGUGAUGCUAAAAUAUUUUUUUAUUUAAUCCAAAUCUAGAAAAAUUUACACCCAAAAACGAGAUGGUCGGGUCGUAAAUCCAUUUAAUAUCUUGUCAUUUAUUAAACGAUCUACUUUUAUAGGUUUAGAUAUUCAAGAAGGAUAAAAAGACAAGAACACACCCGGAUCAGAUCCGGACUCAGCACCGUUUUCGUAGCACCGAUUGCCACGGGCAAAUGGCCUCUUUCCUCGCCCGACCCACGAUCCAUCCCCCACAUUUCUCGUCUGUGGCACGUGACUCACAGGUGCAGAGACAGAGGGAGAUUCGAAGGCUUCCGGUUUCCAUGUGAGCCUCCCUCCAACGCCUAGAUCCGCCAGCUUCAGCGCUUGGAGUUUAAAGGAAAAAACAACGACGCAGCACGAACCGCUCGACCUCGGCAGUUCUUGGCAGAGGGGAACGUCGUUUCGCUCUUCCAUCCUCCGUUUUUGAACUUUUCAUCUUUUCUUUUUUUCCUUUUCUUUUUUUCUUCUUUUUGAAUAUGGUUAAAGGCCAAAUCGAAUAUUUCUAACAAGGCAAAUCCCGAUUUGUGCAGGACGAAAUUUUCUUUUCUUUUCUUUUCUUUUGCUAAUUAAAUGAAAGAGAUCUUGAAAAGGGAAAGUCCGUCAAAUUGAAGCCAUGUAUAUCUGGGUACCCUUCUUUCUUUUUUUUUCAUUUUCACUUGUUGGCAAUAAAAUUAUUUUUGAAUAGUGGAGAAACCUCAUUUUUUGCAAAAAACGAGAACGAAUCCCUCAAGAUGGAUUAGAUGCGUUGUAUAAAAAGAAGUAAUACAAAUGCUUUGGCCACUUAUUAGGAUUUGACUAAANNNNNNNNNNNNNNNNNNNNNNNNNNNNNNNNNNNNNNNNNNNNNNNNNNNNNNNNNNNNNNNNNNNNNNNNNNNNNNNNNNNNNNNNNNNNNNNNNNNNNNNNNNNNNNNNNNNNNNNNNNNNNNNNNNNNNNNNNNNNNNNNNNNNNNNNNNNNNNNNNNNNNNNNNNNNNNNNNNNNNNNNNNNNNNNNNNNNNNNNNNNNNNNNNNNNNNNNNNNNNNNNNNNNNNNNNNNNNNNNNNNNNNNNNNNNNNNNNNNNNNNNNNNNNNNNNNNCGCCUCAAUUCCCAUCCUACCGAAAAUUCAUAAGACUCGCACCUUUGGUCUUCCUCCUCAUAUCCUCUCUCUCUCUCUCUCUCUCCGUCGCUCUUUGAAAAACACUUUCACCACCCUUCACUCUGAAAAUGCAGAACAGACAUAGCAGUUCAUCGUCUCCGUCAAGCAUUGAGCGAGCGUCGACCACCAUGGGGAACCGAAGAGGCAAAACCCUAAUCUCCCACACCCUAGUAGUUUAUCAGGAUUCUUUUAGUACCGGAUGAUGAUGAUGAUUGAUUACGGUUACUUUUAUGCAACACAAGUGAGCUUUUCUGUUUCAUCCUUUACUUUGUCUGCCGUUUUCGAUGCGGACUCCACAUGUAAUUAUGGCAUACAACCUCAAAUAUGUUCAUAUUGGAGAGAUGAAACAGCUAGGAUUCUGGUCCCAGUAUCAUGUUAAUAUGGUAAGGAUUGAAAGCUUUUUUGCAUAAACAAAUUUAGAAACCCUAGCAGUUGCCGUUGUUGGGCUGUGAAUAGGUCUGCUAGCAGUAGUUGUACCAUGAAGCCUAAAUCAAUAGACAAUCUCUCUGGCGGGGUUUGUGGCUGAGCAACUGAAAGACCCUCAACUGGAACUGACUCCUCUGUUUUAGGCACCAACAUCUUUUCCCGCCUCAUUUUCUUUGAUCCUCCUAUAAACAGAUUAUAAGGAUGACAUAAGCUACCAUCCAGUGGCAUAUAUCUGCUUAUGCAUCGCACUUGGAAGAAAAUUCACAUACACGAGUAAAGAAGAAAGAUGCUACUCUACAUUCUCAUGAAAAGCGAAACUGCAUAUAUUUCUACCACUAUGAGGUCUCAAAAUUCAUAAAUUACACCGCUCAAGGCAAAUACAUUAAUUAUACUAUCAAUGUCUAAUCUAUUUUAUAAAGCCGACAACCACUUUUAUUUCUUUGCGAAUCGGGAAUCACCAUUUCCUCCGUCCACAUGAAGAAACAUAAGAGCCAUAUUACAUAGCAAUUACCCAUAAAAAAAAAGUCAAAGCAAUAGGUGGAUAAGUAAAGACAAUAUUAUAAUCACUUUGAAGGAAAACUAUGUUAAGUCAUGUAGCGGCCAGGUAGAACACAAAACAUAUUGGCGUUCUCCCCUUUCACCAAGCACUACAUAUUCUCUUUGAGUUCAUGGAAAAGAAAGUUGGUGGAAGAAUGUAGAAAUUAACCAUACCUCGUGUCUGUUGUAAAGUGUCCUUCGCCUCUCUUCGGCCCUACAAAUUGCCGGCUUAAUACCAUGGUUGUCCAUAAAACCAUUUGGCCACAGCUCUGCAAGCUGUACCUAGCCUCCAAAAAGCGAAGACUUUACACUGACAAAAGUCUUAGAACCAGUGGAUGCAGGUAAAAACCAACCGAGGUGAUAAACAAAUAGAGAUCAUAAAAAACCGUUUGCGAUGCAGAGAUGACAAACUCCAUGAAAAUGUUUCUUAUUUUAAGAUGCCAGUGCUCACAGGCCUCGCAACCUCAAUUCCUCCUGUAUCUUUUCCUUCUCGAGAAUACCCUCUAGUUGUUUUAAAUCCCAGUAAUCCCAAGGUUCAGACAAGGACGGAGAUCAAAGUGUGAUAAAUAAAUAGAGAUCAUAUAAAAUAACAAGUCAAGCCAACCAAUUCAAUGGGUUCUCCACAUUUCAUAUGGAUGCUAUCACGAUUAUCAUCAAAACGUUUACUCGAAACGACUUCAUACCGGCCCAAAGUUGACAACUUCAGCCAUUUCAAAAAGUAGGUUGCACUCUCCACCCUUUGCAUCAGUUAUUAAUUCAGAACAAGGGGAAAUGCGGGUUUAGUGCUUGCAUAAUUUCAUAUAAUUGCAUAAAUAAAUCAUAAACUAACACUGCAUGUGAAACCCACAUUAGGAAAACCAUCACCAUGUUUGACCACUAUAUGAACAUACUUGCAACUGUGAAGAUAAAAUAUAUUAUAUAUCAGUACUGUAAAUGCAGUUGAUCUCACAUCCAACUAUUAUAUCCUGCAAACUAUGGCAAUAUACACCAUCAUGAUGGUUUUGUGAACGCUUCACAAAGAUGAACUGUCAAAACAAGAUUGCAACAUGUCUAUAACAGCUAAACAGCCAUACAGAUAGUAAUUUUUAGUUUUUGGGGCUAGUGGUACCUCAGCAUAUAACUUUCUGACUUGUGGACCGGUGUCCUCAUCAAGACCCUCAAAGCAUGAAAUCAAAUAGACAAUCAUGUUUAAAAGUAGCUUUCUAAAGCAUGUUUCAACUAGAAAAAGGAAGUAUAAAAAAUGCAAAGGAAAUAUGUACAUCAACAAAAAGGUCAUAGAGAUCACAAAUAUUGUCCUCCAUUGCAGGAUCCAUAUCAUAUUGUCUUUUAGGAAUUUCUUUUUCCUUCCAAUUCCUGAAAAUCAUUCGAUGCUCCAGAUUGAUUAUGUAGAGCCUGAAUAUCUGGCGGGGAAUGCUAACUUUGGUAAGCAAUGCAACAACAUAAACCACAAUUAAGGAACCAACAAAAUACAAAUUCUUCUGAAUCCCUUGGCAUCAAACAUUAAUAAAUGUGAUAAAAAAAGCCAUUAACAAGUCAGUCACAUCACGAAAGAAACCGUUAAAGAUGACAAAUCAUUCAAUUUUGCACUUCGUAAAGUCUUGAGAUCUUUGUCUUGGUAAAUUUCCUUACUCAUCGUAACUUUUCUUUAUCAAAUGAUAAUUUGAUCACAUCCAUGACUUUCUUUCAUGUAUUGAAGUGAUGACAGAAAAUCGAUUUUGCAAAAUAGACUCGACCGAUCAUGUUUUUGCCCUUUCUAUCCAACGGUCCACGUUGAAUGUAGGACUAAUCCCAUAAAAGAGAGUUUUGAUUUGCGAAAUUUCUGUCCCCAUCAAGAGGUUUUGCCUAUAAUAAAGUAGCUUUUUAUUAUUAUUUUUGCCAAACAGUAAAGUAGUGUUUGGAAAUGCUAUUUUUCCUGAAGUUUUGAAAAUCAUUCCAUUGUAAUAUAUAUUUAAUAUAUAGAAAGGAAAAAAAUGUAAAUUAAGAAACAAUAUUACUUUGCCAAUGUUGUCUUUCACUGACGCACAGCAACAUAUACGUCUAUAACUUUCAUAUGAUAUGCAAGUCUUCCGUUUCCGAAGUAACCUUCACACAUAAUCCUAUCUGCCGAGGUUAACGAUUUUUCAAGCCCAAGCGUGUCAAAUGAAGCCCGGGGUGCAAAAUAGAGCUUAGACAAACUUCAGGGGCGAAAGAGGAAAUUUCAAAAAAAAAAUCGAAAAAAUAAGGUUCCAAUCUCUCCCAUUCUCCAGCGUAUAUAUAAAAUUAGGCAGCGGAAAACAUCACCAAUCCCGCCAUCGCUGGAACGUCUUUUGAAAAGAGCACUUUGAAGCCCGCGGUAUCUAGAGAGAUUAGCGAUCGUCUCGAUUCGACUACAGCUUGUGCAUCAUCAAUCAAUCGAUUGAAUCGUUCGAACAUGUUGAGACUUCAUGGAGGAUCGGGGCUUGGAAGAGGUAGAGAAAGCUUGGGGUUGCUGAGCUUGGCUCUUGAGUUCAGCUUCGACAAGCAGUCCACCAGCAAGUGCUUGGGACAGUCUCGUUAUUUCGUCGCCCAUUUUUUUAUGCUGAUUAGCGUUGCGGAGGUUGUGUAGGUAUUCUGACGAUUGAUUGUGUUGCGUGGAUGAUUUGUGAAUUGAUUGAUUGUGCAGUCUUGAAUACGGAGAUUUAUUGGGGUUAGUCGUCAUUUUGACGAUGGCUGUGGAAUGGUCUGCCUUUUGGAUGUGAAUGGACCAGAGCUGGUUAAAUCUAGUUCAUUGAUCUCGUCCCUAUUUCUCUGUGGGAUUUGCGGAGCAGUCUUAUUGACUAGCGAAAUGUCUGACUUAUUUCUGAACCGACUGCAAUUUUACAUAUGGUGUCUUGCCUACAUAUAAAUAUGGUGUCUCACUGAACUAAGUGCAAAUUACGUAUUGUGGAUUCUGUUGAUUUGAUCUCUUGUUUGCCAUGGAACUUGCAAAAUCAUCUCUUUCUUCUUUUGGUUUUCUUAAGGCGACAGAGGUUGAGAGUUUAUCACUGUUGAGCAUUGGGGUGAUGACUUCCUAGCAGAACUUCCUGAAAACCAUGCAAAAUUCUGAGGAUUGGGAUGAUUUGCAAGCUGUGGAAUCAGAGGCUUGUGGAGUUUUGACUGAUAUGUUUGGCCAACAUAUCAGUAAUGAUGGUGAAUGCAAUAUUGUGCACGAUGUCGAUAUUAUAGAAGAUUCUCCACGACCUGAGAAAAAUUGAACUUUCCUUGAGGUAGAUUCUUCUACUAACGGUGAAGACGACGACGAUAUAUUUGGCAGUAAAAUGGGUAGGAAACCCACAUGCUAUAUUCCUGAUCAAAGCAGUACUCCGAGCCCUCUAUCCACUCAACUUCUGGCCAGAUGAUCUUUAGAAUCCAUGGUGCUUCUGAAAACGGUGAAGUUGUCUCACUCCCUUCUGCCCCCACCAGUUUGAAAGGAUUAAGAAAAAGAAAGAAAAGCAAGGUGGCUUGGCAUGUUUUUUCCCAUGCCCAAACGUAAUUGGGUGAUACUUGUUAAAUUUGUGGCUCGAGUUUUUGAUUCAUGGACCUAGAUUUGGCUUGGGAUUGGCUCAUUUAAUUGCAUGGACCAAAUACACAACUUGAAGAAUGUCUGAGUAUUGUACAGGGUUGGCUGUUCAGUCGAGCAACUGUGGACACCUGAAGAAGCCACGAUAGUUACUGGGCAAAUCCUAGGAGUCUAGCCACAAUGGUCCAGUUGUUUAGGAGGUUAACAAAAAGUUGGCAGAUCUCUGCUCAUGACUUUAUAUUCUUUUAACAAUGAUUCUGCAACUCAUAUUUUUAUAUAUUUUUGUUGCUGAGGUAUAUUUGGGCCAAGAAGGAAAAUAAGAAGAAUUGAGAACUGAUUGUCUUGGUUUUCGAUCAAGAGAGUUUAGAGUGUCCUUUAAGAAAACUCUUGGGAAAUGCUUUCCACUCAUCUAGUUCGCUUCUGAUUGACUCUUGCAAUUGGGGUUUUGGUUAGUGAGAAAUUGAUUUGUUUCUUAUUGUAAUUCCCUCUUGGUCAUUGUGAAACAAGUCCUCCCAUUGACAUGGACAAAACUGCCAACCCCUUAAAUUAGCGUGUCACUGUUCUCUGCUCUUAAAAUUAAUGUCUUUCCUUUGAUCAUUUCCAGUUUUCUUGUAAUUCUGCUUACAGCAAAGGACCUUAAACAGGGUUGUCUGUACAAGAGCAUUUAGUAAAUUGCCUAUGAGGGCUCUUGUCCGAUCAAAUGUAUAGGACACUCCUAACUUUUGCUAAUUACUUCAGUCUUUAAGAUCUAAAAUGACUUAUAUUAGUACCGUUUGGUCAAUAAAAACAGUUGAUUUUUGUUUUGCAAGUAAAGUACAUCAUCCAAGUGUUGGACUUAGCAUCUGACGUCUUUGAUAGGAGUGUUUUGCGAAGUGAAGGCUUGGGAUUUAUUUGUGCACAAUUUUAAUUUUCCAUCACUCCCAUAUUAGAAACUAUUUAUGGUGCUGAAGAGGCUUAUUUGUGUUGAAGGACUGUAAAAACACUGUCACUGAAGGUUCGAUAUCAUCAAUUUCAAAUAAAAGACAUUGCACUCAGAUUUUGACAUGGAAAAAAGGAACUCUGAGUUAUGAGGAAUUGCAAGCCUUGGAUGACAUAGAAUUAGCAAAUGUUGUAAUAUCUGGAAACAAAGCAUUUCAACCAAUGCAGCAUCAGGCUUGUAAAUCUUCAGUAGCCAAGUAAGAUUGCUUCAUUUCAACCAAUGCAGCAUCUACAACCUUCUGAUUACUGACUGGAAAAUUCAUCUUGUUUAUGCAUGCGAGUGUUGUUGUCAGUCAUAAUUUAGGUCCAAUCCAAAUGGGUUACUAAGUCAAAGAGGAAUAUUUUUCAAAGUACUUCCAUCAAAUAUGGGUUCUAGAUUUCUAAGUUUCCUCGCAGUUAUUGGCUAUGUCAUUAUCUGAAUUUAUGAAUUUGAAUUUUCUAGAAGUGUUUUUUGUUCAGUCUUAAGGUGGUUGAUAUAUGUUUCUAGUUGAAAGUAAUUAUAAGACAUGUAGUGACUACUGGUCCUUCCUGAUCAGCUGAUGGUGAAAGAAAUAAUAAUUCGCUUGCCCCUUCCUUUCUUCAUGUGUUCUUUUGAUGUUUUUACCCUUUGUUUUAGCCGCCAGCAACUCUUAAAUCAGGCGUCACAGUUGUUAUAUCUUGUUGCUAUCUCUCGUCCACAAUCAAUUAGUUACUCCAACCCUCAAGUACGGAAUACCAUCUAUUUUCUUGAACUCUCAACCAACUGCUGCCCAAGCAGCAACUGUCCUCCAAGAACUAAGGCAUAGGUUUAACUAUAUUGGACUUCUAAAGCUUUUAUGGUAAGUGUUGUGACUGUCAAAUUAUUAAUCUCCAAAAGAUAAACCAUCAUGCAAGCUAUUGUAUGUAACUCCUCAAAGGAUUGUGGGAAACCCAUCAUCUCUCGAGAUAUUGAAAUGCUUGCAUAAAAAGGUAUUGUUUCUGAUGCACCAGAACUUUUUUGAAAAGGUUAUUCAUAAAUUUUUUAUAUUCAACCAUCAUGCAUUGUGGGUGUAACUAGCUGGUUUUGUUGUUGAUGAGACACAUUGCGCGAGGUAUGCAUAAUCUUUGGUAUGCCUUGUACAUGAAGAAAGAUCAUGCUAGAGUUACUUCAAAAGUAAUAAGUAUUUGUGAUGUUGCCUCUGCAAAACUAUUGUGCUUGUUCCUGAUAUAGCUAAGCAAGUUAACUUUUAUAUACACAAACUUAAAACUGUUUCUCCAAACCUUUUUGCAUUUUCAGUGUUUCUAGCCUAAUUAAAUUGUCAGUGUUACACUAAACCUUCUGAAGCCCAAACCCCUUUGAAGUUAUACUAUAACAGAAUGCAGUGUUCGUUGUUUGAACUUUAGAAAAGAUCUAGGUUCCAUCAUUUGGGAACACUUAGUGGCUCAUCAUUCAUUAUAUUGAGUAAAAAAGACACAACUUAGAUAAGCUCCAAUGGAGAUUACUUUCCAAAGUAUUUGGAACCAGCAUAAGCUUGGAUAACGAUCUCAUCUCCUGUCUUUGUUUGGCAUGAUUCUCAGUCUCUUAAGCUGGUUCUUGAGUCCCUUUUUAUUCUGUUAAUGGUUAAACUAUAUGUUAACAACUUGAGAAAGACGAAGGUUCACCCAUGUGGUCAUUGAUUAUGUUUCUUUCAAUGUCUUAACUCGAUUUGCUCUAUCAAUGUGAUCUCGUGAAAGGAACGUAUUGCUAGUUUGAGUUUCUCUUGUACAUUUGACUGAUUAAUGAGAAAAGCUCAUUGAUUGUCACUUUCGUGGUUGUCAUUAUUGUUGUCAAUGGGAACAUGAUUUUUGUCCAAAUUAUCGGGGACUGGGAUGUCACAAGCAAAACUUUCUGUAUGUCCCAGUGAUGGCCUUAACUGCUACUGCCACUCACUCAGUACGUGAAGUACUAAACUUACACUUUAACCUCCUGAUUUUAUUGAAAUAAUCUGUUUUUUCUAAUUGAAUUAUACAUCACUGUAGGAUAUCCUAAAAGCUCUUAGGAUUCCUCAUGCUCAUGUUCUUGAGACAAGCUUUGACAGAGCAAAUCUAAAAUAGAGGUUAUAGCUAAGACCAAGGAACCACUAAAGCAGCUUAAACAGCUACUAAAGAAUUGUUUUGCUAAUUUUUGUGGCACAAUAUAUUGCCUUUCGAAGAGUGAACGUGUUGACGUCACAAAAUACUUGAAUGAGAAGUGUCGUAUAAAGACAGUGUACUGUCAUGCUGGAUUAGCAGCCUGUCAAAGAGUAGCUUUUUAAACGAAAUGGCAUACUGGAGAGGUCCAGAUUGUAUGUGCUAACAUUGCCUUCGGGAUGGGAAUACACAAAUCUGAUGUGGUCUCUCAAUGACAGUUAGCUCCACCUUAAGAAUGGUAGCAAUUCAUGUCUCUUUCAUGGCCCCCCCUUGCUGAUGCUUUUCUUUAUUUACAAAAAAUUUCAUAUUCAUUUAAUGAGCUUGGCCCCUCCAAAAUUUUGUAGUUUCUUUACAUCCCAAAGUUUAAGGAAUUACUGUUAGAAACUUUUAGCAUUAUAUUAUUGCAAAUUUAAGAGCUGUGUUUUGCAACAAUCAUUCUUCCGAUUGUGAAAUAUGAUAAAAUGAAGAGCAAUUAUUUCGGAACUUGAGAAAUAAUGCUUUUGGUGUAGAUGGUUGAGAAAUAAUUCUUUGGUAUAGAUAGAAUGAUGGAACUUUACUACUAGGUCUAUCUUUAUUUUGGUAAAAUUAGCUAUCCAUUGAAAAAAUACGCACUAUUGACAUUUCGUGAGAGAUUUUUUAGGAAAGAAUUCGAGUGUGUAAGAAAUCUAAAAAGUUGAGAAAGUCUGCAUUCCACCUCGAAGGCGAAGCACAAGAUGUAGAGUCAUUGUAAUCCGCCAGUGUCUAGCCAUCCUCGAGUUGCUUCCUGGGAAAAAAUAUGCCUCUGCUGAUCUAGAGAAUGCCUACCUUGUCCUGUAUCUAAGCUUUGACGUUAUCAACGGUAUCCAAGCUCUCCACUUCCAAAGAUAUGAUCUUUCCAAUGAUUAUAAUCAUCCGUAACCAAUGUGAUAACAGUCAUGACUGCUAUAGUGGCACUCGCUUUUGCCACUUAGAUUUUAUCUUGUCCAUCUACACAAUGAAUUGUCAGUUCCAUGUCACUAUUUCUAUGACACAUCAAUAGAAGUGUGAUUGCCAAGUCACAACUGUACUUGAAAUUGGGAAAAAAUGUUUCACAAACUCUAGUUGCCAUUUUCAAGAAUUAUCAAUUUAGAGCAGUAUUCGAGAAUAUUUGUGAAUAUUGAGUCACAAACUUAAGAAGCAUAAUGCAAUCAGGAAUUGGAUGGUUGGAUUCAAAGAUGCAAGCAAAGCACACAAAGGUAGAACUAAACUUAUGAACCAGGAAACAUCAAUUUCGGUAGAUACAUUUGCUUAUGAAUAUACAAAGUAGCUGCUUUUCAAUAAGAAACCAGAAACAUCAAUUUCUACCAAAAAUUGUUUCAAAUAUACACACCCGGUAAUGACUGGCACUCUAUAAGAGAGCUAAUUUGUGCCAAUGUAUAUGACCUAAAUGCAGCUCAACUACAGGGAAAAUGCAGCUCCUCAUCUCUUUUUCAGCCACUUCAGAGCAAUGCCCACCAAUGCCUUCAAAGCCUCCUCACUUCUCACUCAACUCAAACAUAGGUAUCCCAUGUUAAAGACCAAAACAGACAUCCCAAUAGCAGCAAACAAAUGACAAAAAAUGUCAUUAGCUUCUAAAAGCAAAAUGCCAGAUGACUUAUUCUCCCAACUAAACUACUCCAGUUAAGCCACAUUGUCUUCCAUUUGUAAAUCAUUAGAUAAGGCAAGAUGACUACCAAACUAAUAAACACUACAUCAUGAUAAGGCACAUAAUUAUCAUCCUUGACCCAUCCCAGUCAACAAAAUAGGUAAUCUCCACAACACGAUUGAAGCAUUAAAUCAAUUGCAAAAGAAGUUACCUUUGGUCCACGUCAAUAUUUCACAUUUUCAUGAUAUGCAAGAAUAGAUCGAUUGCUCUAGCAAAAAUUGAUAGUGCAAUGUUAGUAACCAAUCUAAUCUAUGCUUUUCCUUUCCACAUAAAUGUCCAGGUCAAGAUUUAUGCAUGAAUUAUCAUAUUCUAUAGCACAAGGCCGGAUCAACGAAUUGUCUUCCAACAAAACUAUUCCAACUAGUUUAUGGUGACUUCCCUCCAAACUUUACUACCCAAAGCAAGACAAUUAUUAUUGAAUAGACAGUCUUAUCUAUUCAUCCGUAAUUGACCCAUUUCCUACUUCCUUCCAACGUCACCUACAAAUUCAGCAAACCAAGCAUCCUAUGAACGAGCUACGCAUUUGGUCAAAACUCGUUGGCUGUAAAAUAAGCAGUCUUUGGCUACGGAUUGGCAAUCUCAUGAGGCAAUAGUUCGAUUUUUAGGGCAAAGUAAUCCUGACAAUGCGAAGGAAGAUUUGAUACUGCUAUUAUUUCGAUCAAAAUCAAAUGAUUAUUUCUCAGAUUUGACAAGGUUUCAAUGUCAUGUUAGGAGGGAGGGAGGGAGAGACCUUUGCGCUACUAUCUAGAAGAGAAGGACAAGAUAGCAUCGGAGGAGGAGCAGCUUUGGAAACGAUAGAAUUUUUUUUUUUUUAUCACCCAUUUUUCGCGUCCCAAAUAUUAGAUAUUAUGGAAAAAGUAUUUUUUUCCGCGAAAUAAACACAAUCUUAAUUGAAAAUAGCCUUAUUUUAUGUAUAUUUAGUAAAAUAUUAAAUUGAUUGUAACUUUCUUUAUAUUUCGUAAAGUUUUGCAGCCUAUGUGUCACUAAUUUUGUAUAUAUUUAGCAAAAUAUUGAAGUAGUUUUGGAAAUGUAUAUUUAGUAAAGUAUUAAAUUGAUUGUAACUUUCUUUAUAUUUCAUAAAGUUUUGCUGCCUAUGUGUCACUAAUUUUGUGUAUAUUUAGUAAAAUAUUAAAGUAGUUUUGGAAAUGCUAUUUUUCUAAAAUUUGAAAAUCGUUCCAUUGAAAUAUGUAUAUUAAUAUAUAGAAAGGCGAAAAUCUAUUACUAUGUCAAUUUUUUGCUUUGCAGAUAAACAUCAACAGGAAAGAAAUUUGAGAUACGUCUCGUAAAUGUAAAACUUUCGGUACGACAUGCAAGUCUCGUGUUUGCAGGGGAGCCUUCACACAGAACGAACCCAAGGGUGUCAAUUGAAACCAGAAAAAACUUAUGCGGGGCAAAAAUAGAACUUAAACAAAAUUCAGGGGCGAAAACGGAAUUGUAAAAAAAAGAACUAAAAAAUAUGGCUCCAACUCCAAGUCUCUCCCAUUCUCCGGCGUUUGAAAUUGGAAAACGAAGAACAUCAAUCCUGCCAUCGCUGGCAAGGUUGUCGAACCAGAGCACUUCGAACUCGCUCGAAUUCGAUUCGAGACUACGCAUCGAUUCGAUUCCGACCCGGGCAUCAUCGAUCGAUCGAAUCACUCGAACAGGUUGAGAUUCCAUGGAGGGAGCGGGGCUCGGAGGUAGAGAAAGCUCGGUUGCGGAGCUCGGCGCUGGAGUUCGGAUUCGACGAGCGGUUUGCCAACGAGUGCUCGAACCGUUUCAAUUCGCGCUCUACAGUAACUCGAAUCAUUAUCUCGUCGCGCGUUCUUAUGCUAAUUAGCGCUGGCGGAGAUUAUGGAGGUAGCUCUCGUCCCCUCAAUGAUGAUGAUGAUGGCUGUGGAAUCGUCUUGCUUUAGCUUUGAAUGCAUCGGAGCGGGUUUAGCGAAGUAGCAGUCCUACUGACGAGCGAAAUGUCCGGCACUAGUCCAGCUUGAUCUGCUUAGGUUACUUCGGAUGGCCGGCAGUUUUUUCUUGAUUAUUGGCCCAAAUUGCGUGAUAUCUGGUCAUCAGGCAAUGAAUGAUUUUAAUCGCUUGUGUUGCAGGGAUAUUUUGUGCAUUUGAUUGAACGUGCAUUCCUAGUUAAGGAGAUUCAUCGCGGUUAGUCUUGAUUCUGAUGAUGGCUAUGGAAUAACGGUCUACUUUGGAUUUGAAGGGGACCAGAGUUUAGGUCAUUGAGCGUUAGUCUCAUCCCCUGUUUCUUUGUGGGUUUGGCGGAGUAGUCCUAUUGACAAGUGAACUAUCUGGCUUAUAUCACUACAAAUUACUUAUGGUGUUUGGCAAUAAUAUCAAUAUCAUGUCCUUUUGAACUAAGUGCAAAUUGCAUAUUGGAAAUUGUAUUUAUUUGAUCUCUUGUUUGCCAUGGAUCUUGCAAAAUCAUAUCUUUCUUCUUUUGCUUUUCUCAAGGUGAUGAAGGUCGAGAGUUGAUCACCAUGGAGCACUGUGGCGAUGACAUCCUAGCAGAACUUGCUAAAACCAUGCAAGAUUCUUAGGAUUGGGAUGAUUUGCAAGCUGCGGAGUCAGAAGCUCGUGGAGUUUUGACCAAUAUGUUUGGCCAAGAUAUCUGUAAUGACAAUGAAUGCAAUGUUAUACACAAUGUCAAUAUUAUAGAAGAUUCUCCACAACAUGUGAAAAAUCGAACUUUCCUUGAGGUGAGGAUUCCUCUACCGACGGUGAAGACAAAGAUGAUGCCAGAAACUAUUAGGUAUGGAAGAGGCUUAUUUUUGUUGAAGGACUAUAAGAGCACUGUCACUCAAGGCUCAAUAUCAUUAGUUUCAAAUAAAAGACAUUGCUCUCCGAUUUCAACAUCCAAACAAGGGACUCUGAGUUAUGCGGAAUUCCAACCCUUGGAUGACACAGAAUUGGCAAAUGUUGUCAUAUUCGGAAACAAGGCAUUUCAACCAAUGCAACAUCAGGCUUGUAAAGCUUUUGUAGCCAAGCAAGUUUGCUUUAUUCUCAUGCCCAAUGGAGGUGGUAAAAGUUUAUGUUACCAGGUUAGUGAAUGUUAACAUUGUCUCAAUUGGGUGAUGAUUGUAUGUAGAAGUGUAUGGAGACAAUGUUAGAGCACAAGCCCUGUGCACUUUGCUCAGUGGUUCCACCAAUUAAAUGUUUGAGGGUAGACUUGUAUGUCAACAUUUAAGCUUUAACAUGAUCUUCUGAUCUGCUUUGUUUAUCAUUUUUAAGAAGGUUGUGAACUUAAGGAAGGAAAUGUUUUUCAAAUGAAAAUUAAGCUAUAGGAAGUGAUUCAGGUACAUAAGCAUGGGUUCAAUGUAUGGCAUUGGACAAAAGUAGAAAAGAAGGAAAUACAGUACAUUCUCAUUCUGCCUUUGUACUUCUGUAUCUGGUCUGUAAUUUUUAGGAUUUGAAGUUUGUGCACACUUCUAGGACCUUCUAAUCACUUACAGGAAUAUUCAUCUUGUUUAUGCAUGUUAAGUGUUGUUGUUAGUCAUAAUUCAGGUCCAAAUCAAAAGGGUUAUUAAGUCAAAGAGAAAUAAGUUUUCAAAGUACUUCCACCAGAUACGGGUUCUAGAUUUUUAUAUUUCCUUUGCAGUUAUUUGCUAUGCCAUUUUCUCAACAAAGGGUGAUGAUCUAUGACUUCUUUUUCCCAUAAUUGGUUUGAAAUUAAUGUGCUUUAAUAUACAAUGGAUCUUGGUUGCAAGAAAAAUUAAUGAUAACUGAAUUAAGGAGGAAGAUAUAAAUCUGGAUUUAUUAAGUUGAAUUUUUUAGAAGUGUUUUCUGUUUAGUCUUGAAGUAGUUGAUAUAUGUACUAAAAGUAAUAUAAAACAAGUAGUGAUAACUGGUGCUUCCUGAUCAGCUAAAGGUGAAAGAAAUAAUAAUUCCAUUGUCCCUUCCUUUCUUCAUUUGCUCUUCUGAUGUUUUUACCCUUCGUUGCAGCUGUCAGCAACUCUAAAGCCAGGUGUCACGGUUGUUAUAUCUCCCUUGCUAUCUCUCAUCUAGGAUCAAAUAAUUACUGUAACCCUCAAGUACAGUAUACAAUCUGUGACAUCCAGAAUUUUCAGUAUUGUUUUCUAUUAAAUUAAUCGGGCAUUUCAUUGACGUGUCUAUAGGGUUGUUCUCAGAGCUGAUCACUCUCGAGAUAACUGGACUAGCUGGGUAAGCCAUUAAAGAAUAUUAAGGCAAUAGACUUGAGAAUUCGACCAGGAAGUGGCUUCUCGGCCGUGUACAUCUUUAGAGGUCAUUACUGCACAGUUAAAGAUCGAAUUGAGAUCAGAGAUAGGUCGGUUCGACUGAGAUGUGUGGCCGAUCGUGGGUGACUCCACUAAAUUGGAAAAUUCUCGUCGACCGGCACUAAUUUGAUUUUCUGUCGUUUUGGUACCCUGUGUUGGUAAUCGAGCCCUCGAGAUUUUCACGACAAUUGAGAGUCGCCAAUGUGUCGAGUGGGUUCAUUGUGGCUCGAAGAAAAUCGACCACGAGUCAAUUGCCCUAAAAAGUUCUGAAAACUACCCGGUAGUCUAGGUCACACUAAAAGCACGCCGGAGUGAAAUUAACCGUCGAUUUGAGUCAGAUUUCAGAAAUCGAAAGUUCAGUGAUGUCACAAGCUAUUUUAGGAACGUCAACUCAGCCUCAGAAGAUUUUUCGGAGGUCCCGAGAUUUUUACGGAAAUUGGAUUCGGACGUCGUGGAAGUUUGGCCGAAGUUCGGAUUGGCUAAAUUAAUGGGAAAUUUGACUUUCGGGUUGAGCCGUUGUGUGUCGGGGAAUUAUAGAAAAUCAUUUGGGAUUUUUCUACAUCAAAAUUGGACCUCAAUUUGGAGAGAAUGGUUGUGCAAGUUAAGCCAUCUCUCCCAAAAUUCGUAACCCCCCACCUAGCCACAACAAUUGGACCAAUUCGGCUUCUAGAAGAAUGGAUGAGAGGUCCAUUGUGAGCCAAGGAAAUUAUGCAUGGCUGAGAAUUGUUUUGGGAGAUAUUUUGUAAAAUAUCAAGCUUAAAGGGCCCUCACCCCUCAUCCUCUUCCCCAAGCUGCCGUGGAUUAAUUCUGCUCUCUCUCUCACCAAAGAAGCCUACGAAUUCCAGCAAAGUGUUUCUCCAUUUUCGUUCAUCCCUCUGCCACACAAACAGUCCAUUUCAACAAAAAGGAUUGACUGGCUUUGACGCCAAGAUCCCACCGAAGCCUCAACUCCACUCGUCCAUCUUCCACGCCCUUUUGUCAGCGUAGCCACGACAUCCAGAGAAGCCAGGCGCUUCUCCACGCAUCAUCUCGGUCAAAGUCUCCACAUUUGCCGCAGCUCCUUUCCUCUCUGUAGACCAGCGAAGCCCCACGCGGGUCCAGCAAUUUCCACCGGUUUUGCCCCACCGUCUUUUGUUUUUGUUCGGUCAAGCUUAUUUCAACGAAAGAAGUCCAGCAAAGCCUCCCCGCGUACAGUCUCUGCGGCCACAAUCUUCCUUCACCCGUGUGCCUUCUUCAGCCGAAUUGAAGACCCAACGAAGACUCCUCCGUUUGCUCCAGUCAACCUCGAUUCUUCAAGGGUAGUUUGUUGACCUUGUGGCUGCGUGUCUUCAGCUCCAUUGAACUCCACUGCAGCGACGUCCAAGCCUCCGCACGUCAUCUCGGUCAAUUCUCCACCGAGCGGAGCAAUUGUUGACCGAGCAACACCACCGAAGAAGCUGCCCCUCAUCCGCGCCAUCUGUCCGCAAUCCAACUUCUCUCAGUCAACUUCAAGCCACGCCGAAGCCCCUUCGUUGACUGCAUCCCGUCCGCAGCGCCAGCCACGCAUCUUCAUCCACGAAGCCAGCUCGUGGAAUCGAGCAAAGCGCAGCCCAUCACCCGCAAUCAACCCAGCAAACUCUAGUGAUUUGGGCCAUGUCUUCAGUCCAGCACUUUCAGCAAUUCGGGCCCAGCAAGAUUCAGUCCAAAUGAGGGCCAUUUCAAGCCCGCAAGAGUCCAACAGCCCAGUCUUUUUGAGGCCCAAUUUCCAGCAAAGAACUUGAAGCCCAAGUGAAUUUCGCAAGCCCAAUUCAGCAGGUCCAGCCCAUUCCAGUACAAGAACAAAUCUCAGUUGGGCUGAGAUUUGUUGGGCCAAGUCCAAGGCCCGGUCCAAGUUCGCCGGUGUCGUCGAAAGUCCUAUUUCGGCCGCCGUCGCGUCGCCGUUGCGGUGAUUCGGUCUCUGCUUUUGUCAAGUGAGUGUUACUCACUAAUGCUUUAUUAGUUUGCUAAAUUCGUUUAGGGGUUGGUUAGAUUUAAUUAAAUGCAAUUAGGUGGUUAGAUUAGUUUAGAUCAAUCAAAUUAGAGACUUAAUGAUGCAUGUUAGGUGGUUAUAAAUAGACAUUAGCAAGUAGGCAUGCCAUGUUAUUUAUGGAACGAGUCUCGGUAAUUUUCCGGGUUCGUAUCGGCUUCCAAUUAGGCUAUAACGGGCCUAAGUUGGAUUUAUUGCAUUUAUUUAAUAUUUUUUUUCGUAAUUAUUUAAUUAAUUAUUUAUUUUCCGGAAAUUAGGCUGGGAUAGCCGACAACCGAAAUUUUGUGUUGAUUCUAAUGGUGCUUGCUGUUUAUUUAUUCGAGAAUCAUAUUAUGAAAUUUUUGUGAAAUUGGUGAAUAUGAGAAUUGUCCCAAAAAUUGGGAAAAUGUCGGUACUUGAAGGGAAAGUAACUGUGUGAGGUUGUGAGUUGGAUUAAAAAUUGCCAGGUGGGGCCGUGAUGCCACCAAGUUGAGAAAAAUUGCCAGGUGGGGCCGUGAUGCCACCAAGUUGAGAAAAUUGCCAGGUGGGGCCGUGAUGCCACCAAGUUGAGAAAAUUGCCAGGUGGGGCCGUGAUGCCACCAAGUUUAGAAAAUUUGCCGAGUGGGGCCGUGAUUCCACUAAAAAUAAAUUAUGCCUAUAGGGUCGUGAUUCAGAGUCAAGAAUGAAGAGACGGGAUGACCAUGUAAUGGUUUUGAUGACAUGUAAUCGACUGAGUCGAUUGAUCGUUAAGUCGAUCUGAUUGGUUGGAUGCUAUGAUUGUCAGUAUUUAUUAUUUGAACUGACUUGCAGGAAGGAAACUGAGGCCAAGGUAAGCCCUCUGACCCAUGAUGUGCUUAGGCAGCCCUCAAGGCGUAUUUUCUUACUAAUCGAGUCUUAGGGGGUAGGACUCGCUGAGACGUGGUCUCAUUGGUUAUUGAAUAACCAUUUCAGGACCCUAAGGAGAAGCUGAGGAGGAGAAACCCGAAGAGAAGAAAGACUUUUAAAGAAGUUGAUGACCCAAGGAGGGAUUUUGAGUAUAACCGGAUGUGGAUUGAGAUCCCAUCCCUUUUGUGAACCCUGUCUUGGCAUAGAUAGGUGUGAGACUUCCAUGCUGUAAAUAGUAUUGUAAAUAUACUAUGAGUUGUGCUGUUAAUGAAAGUGUGGUUGUGAAUUUCAAUAUGAAAAAUAUGGCCUGCUUUCCUAUCCCAUUGUUUUAUUGUCUGGGGAUUUAUAACUACUUCCGCAUGUGCUUAAUAAGAAGAAAGGGUCGGCGAUACAUAGUCCUGGGAUAUCGCAAUCUAAAAUCGACCAAGUAGAAGGAUGUGCGCGCGUCCGAGGAUCGGGGCGUGACACAAUCUACUUUCUUGAACUCUCAACAGACUGCUGCUUAAUUGGCGGUUCUCCUCCGAGAACUAAGGCAAGGUCUAGCUCUAUCGAGUGUUGUGACUAUCAAAUUAUUAACCUCCACUUCUGCUUUGCCUUCCCUUUCAAAAAAGAUAAACAUCGUGCAAGCUAUUGCAUGUAACUCCUAAAAGGAUUGGGGGAAAAAUAUCAUUUCUCGAGAUAUUGAAAUGCUUGCACAGAAAGGUAUUGUGUAUGAUGCAUUGUAACUUUUUUCCAAAAAGGUUCUUUAUAAUUUUUUAUAUUCGAUGAUAUUUUAUUGCUGGCACAACUAGCUGGUUUUGUUGUUGAUGAGGGACAUUGCGUGAGGUAUGCAUAAUCUUUGGCAUGCCUUGUACAUGAAGAAAGAUCAUGCUAGAGAUACUUCAAAAAAAAAAAAAAUCAUUUGUGAUGUUGCCACUACAAAACUAUUAUCUGUAUUCCAGAUAAAUAUAAGCAAGUUUCCUUUUAUAUAAGCUAACUUAAACUCUUUUUCCAAACUUUUUUGCAUUUUCUGUGUUUCUAGCCUUAUUAAAUUGUCAGUGUUACCCUAGACCUUCUGAAGCCCCUAUGAAGUUAUAAUAUACAGAAUGCAAUGUUCCUUGUUUGAGCUUUGGAAAAGAUCUAGGUUUUGUUGUCUGGGAAAACUUAGUGGCACAUCAUUCAUUAUAUUGAGUAAGAGCACUCAACUUAAAUAAGCUGCAAUGGAAAUGACUUACUAAAGUAAUUGGAAGUGGCAUAAGCUUGGAUAAGGAUGCCAUCUGCUGUCUAUGUUUGGCAUUAUAAUCUAUCUCUUAAGCUAUUAAUGGUUACACUAUAUACUGACAACUUGAGAAAAGCAAAGGUCCACUCACGUGAUCAUUGAUUGUGUUUCUUACAAGGUAUUAACUGGAUUUGCUCGGCCAGUUUAAUCUUAUGAAAGGAAGAUGCCAUCUGCUAUCUAUGUUUGGCAUAAUACUCAGUCUCUUAAGCUCAUUCUUGUGUAUCUAUUUAUUCUAUUAAUGGUUAUACUAUAUACUAACGACGUUAGAAAGGCAAGGGUCCACCCACGUGAUCAUUGAUUGUGUUUCUUGAAAGGCAUUAACUGGAUUUGCUUUGCCAAUUUAAUCUCAUGAAAGGAACGUGCUACUGGUUUGAGCUUUUAUUGUACAUUUGCCUGAUUGACGACAAGAGCUCAUUGGUUGUCAUUCUUGUGGUUGUCAUGAAAGGAACAUACUGCUGGUUUGAGCUUUUAUAUAUGCUAACUUAAGCUCUUUUUCCAAACUUCUAUGCAUUUUCUAUGUUUCUAGCCUAAUUAAAUUGUCGGUGUUACACUAGACCUUCUGAAGCCCAGAACCCUAUGAAGUUUCUAUAAUAGAAUGUAGUGUUCCUUGUUCGAUGAAAAGAUUUAGGUUCCAUCGUUUGGGAACACUUAGUGGCACAUCUUUUCAUUAUAUUGAGUAAAGAGUGCAAAACUUAAAUAAGCUCCAAUGGAAAUUACUUCCCAGAGUAAUUGGAAUCGGCAUAAGCUUGGAUAAGGAUCCAAUCUCCUAUCUAUGUUUGGCAUGAUACUCAGUCUCUUAAGCUGGUUCUUGUGUCCCCGUUUAUUCUAUUAACGCUUAUACUUUAUGGUAACAACUUGAGAAAGGCAAAGGUUCAAUCAAGUGAUCAUUGAUUGUGUUUCUUACAAGGUCUCAACUGGAUUUGCUCUGCCAGUUUGAUCUCAUGAAAGGAAUGUGCUGCUGGUUUGAGCUUUUCUUGUACAUUUGACUGAUUAACAAGUAAAGCUCAUUGAUUGUCACUUUUGUGGUUGUCAUUAUUAGUCAAGGGGGACACGAUUUUCAUCUAGAUUAUAGGGGACUGGGAUGUCUCAAGCAGAACUUUUCAUAUGUCCCAGUGAUGGCCUUAACUGCAACUGCCACUCAAUCAGUUCGUGAGUACUAAACUCACAUAUUAACCUCCUGAUUAUGUUGAAAUAAUUUGUUUAUUCUGAUUGAAUUAUUACAUCCAUCACAAGAUAUCCUAAAAGCUAUUGGGGUUCCCCAUGUUAUGAUAUAUUAGAUCUAGUUUGUCAAAGCUUGGGGACCCAAGGUUUGACAGACUAGAUUUAAAAUACAAGGUCAUAGAACCACUGAAGCAGCUUGGAGGGCUGCUAAAAAAAUUGUUUUGCUAAUUUUUGUGGUAUAGUAUAUUGCUAUUCGAAGAGUGAAUGUAUUGAUGUCGCAAAAUACUUGAAUGAGAAGUGCCAUUUAAAAAUGGUGUACUAUCAUGCCGGAUUAGUAGCUCGUCACUGUUCAAAAGAAAUGGCAUACUGGAGAGGUCCAGAUUGUGAAUACUACCAUUGCCUUUGGGAUGGGAAUAGACAAACCUGAUGUUUUUUGUCGAAAUGGACUCUGGCCUUUGCCUAUUUCUUACGUUUUAGAAGUCGAUAAACGUGGUGGAAUGACUCGGAGAAGGAGAGAAGAGGAGGGUGGCCAGAUACAAGCUUUAUUUGGUCGAGGGCAAGUUCAAUGCUUCUUUCAAACAAGGGUUCCGGUGGUUGAAGUGCAAAUGCUCGAGCUUUAUGUGUUGAUUUGUAAUAUGUAGAAAUUACGGAAUAUCAUGCUCAUUGUCAUCAAGAGAGAAAAGGAUGCAAUCGGUCAGGAAGAAACAAAGAGGUUUGUGUUGUUUAUCGGUUAAUCAUGUUAAUAUGUAUCUAAUGGUAAUUAAGUAUUCAGAAGAGUGCCACAAUGUUCGAUCUUUCCAGUAUAAUGUUUGUUCAAAUCCUUGAUUCAUUCAUUGAUCUCCAACAUUCGAAAAAUAGGAAAAUGAGACGACUCGUAUGUGAUAUUCACAUAUAUUUACAUUUGCCGAAAGUUUUUUUUCCCUUAAUUUCCUUACCUUCUUAUUUAUUUGCAACAUGAUUCUGCAUGCAUUCUCGUGCAAAGUAAAAAUUGUCUGAAAUGCUAAUUUCUCUUCUCAACAACACGAUGUUGAUUGCAAAAUAAGAUGGCUGCUUUCAUUUGUAGGAUUUGACGUUUACAUCUACUUCCGCGGUCGAUUUCGUUGUUUAGACCUUUUAUUUUUGACCAAAUGUUGUUUUAAGUCUCCGUUUUGGGGUUCAUUAACCCCGUAAUUCCUCAAUUUGUCUAUUUCGAUUCCUCCGCAUUAUAUGAUUAAUCAUAUGGCAAACUACUAAAGCUAUACAUUCUAACAUGAGCUAGCAGGUGUUAAAUAAGCUGAAAGGGCUUUCUAUACUUCCAUUUUGAUUUGAGGACAGUUUUCAUAUUUCAAGGUGCCGUCUUGUCGAGCUUGGNNNNNNNNNNNNNNNNNNNNNNNNNNNNNNNNNNNNNNNNNNNNNNNNNNNNNNNNNNNNNNNNNNNNNNNNNNNNNNNNNNNNNNNNNNNNNNNNNNNNNNNNNNNNNNNNNNNNNNNNNNNNNNNNNNNNNNNNNNNNNNNNNNNNNNNNNNNNNNNNNNNNNNNNNNNNNNNNNNNNNNNNNNNNNNNNNNNNNNNNNNNNNNNNNNNNNNNNNNNNNNNNNNNNNNNNNNNNNNNNNNNNNNNNNNNNNNNNNNNNNNNNNNNNNNNNNNNNNNNNNNNNNNNNNNNNNNNNNNNNNNNNNNNNNNNNNNNNNNNNNNNNNNNNNNNNNNNNNNNNNNNNNNNNNNNNNNNNNNNNNNNNNNNNNNNNNNNNNNNNNNNNNNNNNNNNNNNNNNNNNNNNNNNNNNNNNNNNNNNNNNNNNNNNNNNNNNNNNNNNNNNNNNNNNNNNNNNNNNNNNNNNNNNNNNNNNNNNNNNNNNNNNNNNNNNNNNNNNNNNNNNNNNNNNNNNNNNNNNNNNNNNNNNNNNNNNNNNNNNNNNNNUUACAUAGUUGUUUGAUGGCUGUUAUUCAUAGGAUCUUGAUGUAAAAUAUGAUAGAACUUUCAAAAACAAGCUCAAAGCAAAUUGUUAGCAUGAAACGAAAGUAGAAGAGAAAAAGGGGGGAAAACCCAUGAACAAAACCACGUCAGCUCAAUCGGUUCAGAAUGUUCAUCCAAUUAGCCGGUCUAUUCACGCAUUCCAACUUCAAAUCAUUCGGUUGAUGGGGCUGUGAAUGAUGUUCCAUAAGUAGUCAAGCACAAAGUUACUGCCCUUUGGAUUAAUUGGCUAGACACUGAUUAAGCAGCUAAGUAAAUAAAGUGUAGAGUUGAUACAUUGACUUUACUCGCGACUUUUCUCGUGUAAUGUUUGACCAAUAUUCUGAAAUUAAAUUAUUUCAUGUUAAGUACAUUUAACAAGUAUUUCAACACGACCUGCAUUUCAUAUGUGUUGGUACUUAUAGAUUCAAAUGUCGCUUAACAAGCUACUUGGCCUUCUCUUGAGCUCUGGAAAAAUCGAGUCAAAGUUCAAGGCGACAACAAGCAAAUCAAAUCAUGAAUAACUUGCGAGUAGCUUUCAACUACUAAAAUUCCACCAUUGUAAUCUAGUAUAGGAUACAGGAAUAUCUGAGAGUGGCCUCAAAGAAAUUGCUUCAAUUGAAACUUGAACGUGUGAAACGGUAACUGCAAUUUGGUGGAGUAUCAUCUCAUUAUAUAUCAAUUAGAUGACCCUUAGAAGUUUUUUGUACAAAGAAAAUGAGUAAAUUCUGGGAAGGGCUCUUUUCACCCUUCCAAAAAUUCUGUCCACGUUUUGUUAUUGUCUUCCACCGCAACCUAUGCAAGAGAAAAACAGGUUUCAGGUGUGCAAAUAUAUACGGUUGGGUCUCUUCAGCUUUUAGAUUCAUGCUUAAAUAAAUCAAGUUUGAGAUCAUACAAUAAAAGUGAUUGCAAAAUGCGGACACAUAAAUUUUCUGAUGUAACAACAGACCAGAGAAAUUAUUUUACACUACUGAACACCUUUCUUUCUUUUUCUUUUUUUGGUAAAAGGUAAUAAUAUAAAGAGGAACGGUCAAAAGUACAAAAGAUCACAACAUCAAAAACUUGCACUCAAGAUGAACAACUAUAAUGAGUGGAAGUAUGCCAUGAUGUAAGACACAAGGCAGCGCCCAAAAGAAGGCAAACAGACAACUAGAGAGGCACGGCAUGAACAACCAGCAAAGAAACAAACACCUCGGCAAAGGAGGAGAGAGACGUCGACUCCAAAGCACUAGCAGUUCCUUGAAGCAUCGCCGAAACCAGGGUCGAUUACGGGUCCCUCGAGAAGAUAAUGGGAUCGAUGCCCCAACUCCUUUGCAACCUUCUGUUUCUAAAGCUACUGAACACCUUUAUUUUGUGUUCAAAAUUCAACCAAAUGAGGUAAACCUUUUCACUGGAACUCUUGGCUGCAAUUGGUAGAUUUCUUGCUGAUUCCUUGGCAUUUGCUUUUUCUAGUCACAUAAUUAUAGCCUGAAGUGGACAUCUAACUGGUAAUCUCGUUGACAAAUCUCAUUUUAUGCUUAACUUGCACAAAUAAAACCACCUGCACGUGCGGUCUUCCUGCAAGCGAUUUGCGCUUGCAAAAGACAAAUAUCCCACAUGAGAAGAGGCUGCUUUACAUCCAGAAUCCUUUGAAGAGUAUUAACAACACGGAGCACAUGAUAAACGCCACCAGGUUCAGAAUACAUUUUCAUAAUGACAUAGCUCAUUCCUGCCCGCAUCUCCAUCGUGUGGUGUUUGGGGACUUUCUCCAAGUUCCAUGAAAUGCAGCUUGAAUCUACGUGAUGAGGAUGGGACUGACUCAUUAUCAAUAAAUAAAGAAAUGCAAGAUUGCAGCAUCACAAUUUACCACAUGAAAGAUAAGGUACAAAUGCGUAAGCAUCAUUUACUCCAAUCGCUGUUCAACCACAGUGAACAGAGACUUCAUUAGCUAGCAGAUGAAAAAGAAAAAAAAUAGACUUAAAAGAAGUAAACAAUUAGCAACAACACUUUCCCUGUUUGUGUUCAGGAACAAAAUUGAUGUUAAUAAAAUUAUGCUGAAAAGGUGAAAUGCCUAAACUACAGAACAGAAAUACGUACUUGUUACUUGAUCAUUGGCAAUAUCAAAUCAGCAAAAUCAGCAAUUCGGGAUAAAUGGUGAGGAGGUCAGUUUCAACUUCACUAAUUUAAUACUGCAAACAUGAGAACUAAGCUUAUCAAAUCAGAAACCUAUAUGACAACAUUCAAAGGAUAAACUGAUAGAAAUGGAGGAGCUUAGCAGUGCAUACCUACCUCUACAUAGCCUCAUCAGGUUCAGGAGAGAUAUCCUUAGAAUGCAACCACUUCAAACAACUCUGCAUCAGGGUAACAUACACAAAAAUCACCAGCAACUCAUUUGAUUAACAAAGAGAUAGUACCUAACGAGCAUACAAACAACAGAUUCAUUUUUAAAAACUACAUUUGCUAUCAUUCAGGUACACGCUGUUAAGACCAGAUCAAGUGUUUUGGAUCUUCACAAGCAUCAAAACUUCCUCAGAACAUUCCGCUUGGCCCAUGAGCCUCUUCAAGUUUGGCACCUUAGCUGUUGCUGAUGCUUUCUCUGCAAAAUUGGUCUCAGGUAUGGAAUUUGAAGUUCCUCAACCAAGUGAACCACACCCAAUUUAGUCAUGUGAUAAAAUAAUUCCAUGACAAUAAUAUGAUCGAAUGGGUUGUAAACUAAUUAGCAAAUUCCUGAGCUCCUUGCCCCAGCUUGUUUCACAGAUGGGCAAAAAAUUGUCCAAUUAUGCAAAAGGUCAUCAAUACAGCUGAUUGAAUUUAAGUCCCAAAGUAAGCCUUGAUCAUUACAUAGACCAAUCAAACCUGUCAUAGAAGCAGCACCAAUUUACCUUGCUUGACAAUAUUUCAAGACAACAUUUUGACUACUGGUAAUUUUAAGAAAGGCGUACAUUCAUAUAUGACAGAGUAGCCAAAACUACUUUUAACAUUUCUUAAUCACCAACAAAAAAUACAAAUAUUCUCGUUCAAGAAAAAGACCCUAUAUAAACUCCAUCUGCACUAGAGACUCAGACAAACCUUUGAUCGAGAAUUUGCAUAAAACAACUCAAUACUCCACUCCAGACCCCAGUACUUGAUCGAGAAUUUGCCAAGCGGUGUGAGCUCCAUGCAUCCACCUGAGAGAAUUUGGAAGGGGAAAAGUAAUGCUGCUCUUCAAGAACAAACUGAUCUCUCUACUUGGCUUUAGGUAUGAAAAUGUACAUGGCCGUGUCUCUUCUGCUUUUAGAUUCAUGCUUAAAUAAAUCAAGUUUGAGAUAAUACGACCAAAGCGAUUGCAAAAUGCCUACAUAUGAAUUUUCAGACGUAACCAACCUAGAGAGAUGAUUUUACACUAAUGAACGCCCGUAUUUUGUGUUCUAAAUUCUUCCAAAUGAGAAACUAGUGUCUUCUUGAAAACCUUUUCAUUGAAACUCUUGGCUGCAAUUGACAAAUUAUCUGCUGAUUCCACGGCAUUUGCUUUUUCAAGAAAAAAAUCUCCCCCAGUCUCAAAAUUGUAGCUUGAAGUGGACAUCUAAAUGGUAAUUUUGUUAACAAAUCUCAUUUUUCGCUUGACUUCACGUAUAGAACCACUUGCAUCAGGAAGCAUCAGCAACAGCUGAGGACCAUCUUGCAUGCCAAACUUAAAGACACUUUAGGGCUGGCUGGAGCGUCCCAAGGAAGUUUUGAUGCUUCUGCAUAUUCAAGUACUUGAUCUGAUCUCAACAUCACAUCCCUAAAUAAUUGCAAAAUCCCUUUACUUUAUUUUGAUCGAUCUCAAGUAUGCAAUUUGAAGUUCCUCAGUCCACUUAGCCACACCCAAAUCAGUCACAUCAUAAAGCAAGGGGACAACCAUAGCUACCACCGCCACCACAGAGGGGACAGAUACAGGGUAUGCCCCUUAGAACGUGCCAUAAGAAGGACAGCUGAGGCCUCCAGUUCAGGGCACUAUGUAUGCAAUUACACAGGGUCAGGCUGAAGCUGCACCUGGCGUGAUCACCGGUAUGAUUCCGUUGGAUGGACCACCAGCUUAGAGAUGAAUCGAGCUAUGCACUGAGAAGGAAGGACAGUGUUCCUUGAACAAUGCUAUUAGAGUGGCGCAGCAGAAAUUUGGUUAAGUUUAUACAACUUCAGUUGUUGUAAUGAAGUCAUAGAAAGGAGAGUCACUGGUUAUAGUUGUACUUGAAUCCUUUGCCUAUAUAUAACUUUGAUAUAAUAUAUAAAAAGGUUUGGCUUGAAGAGAUUUUUUAUAGUGAAGUGUUGUUGCAAUGUGAUACAGUUUAAUCCGUUGAAGGAGAUUUUUUUUUUUCAAAUUUAUCAGAAGUCGAGGAGGACCCUCGAUUUCCCUAAAUCUCAUUGCGAGUGGUAACCCAUUUGUUAGAUGGAGGUUGCCCAGGGUUACGUAGCGAUUGUCAUAGAUAAGAAAAAUUGGAGAACUAAAGGUUGAGGACACCUCAGUAAUCCAAGAAUUUAUAGACGAGUUGUCAUAGGAAUUGUCAGACCUGUCAUUAGAAAAAGAGAUAGAACUUGUGAUGGAAUUAACAUCCAGGACAGAGCCACUCUCUAAGGCUUAUUAUCAUAUGUCGUUGUCUGAAUUGUUAGAACCGAGGGUGCGGAGAUGAGGAUUGUUGAAUAAGGAAUUCAUGCAUAUCAGUGCAUUACCUUGUGGUAACAUUAGUUCUUUUGUGAGGAAAAGAAAGACGGUUCGUUACGAGUAUGCAUCGACUAUCGUUAACUCGAUCGAGUGACAAUCAAGAACAAGUAUUCAUUGUCGAAGAUCAAUGAAAUGUGUGAUUAGUACAUAAGGUGUCGAUCCAGUAGUUACUUCAUGUGAAGAAAAAAAAUGCGAAGCAUACACCACAGUUAUACAAAGAGAAAAAGGCAUAGAAAGAAAGCUAUGGCAUACCAUUUUGAGUAGAACAAAUUCCUCCAUAAUCUUCACAGCUCAAAACCAAGAGUCAGUCGAACAAUCAAUGACAACCAGAUGAGAAGGGGAAAUUGACGAGAUCCGCAUGGCAAUAUGAUUGCCAAACUAAUAAACACUAAAUCAAAAUAAGGCACGUGAUUAUCAUCCCUUCCCAUCCCAUUCAACAGAACAAGGAAUCUCUACAACACAAUUCAAGCACUAAAUUGGCUUAAAAAAAAAAAACUAUUGUAGAUCCAGGCCAAUAUUUCAUAGUUUUAUUAUAUGCAAGAAUAGUCCUAUUUCUCUAGGAAUAGGAAGCCAUGCAGAGAAGACCCCAGAAUUAGGCAAAAGGUGAUAGUGCGAUGUCGGUAAUCAAUCCGAUCAAUGCUUUUCAGAGCGAGACAUAUGCAUGAAUUAUCAAAUUCUAUAACAAAGGGCUAGAUCACCGAAUUGUUCUUCCAACUAAACUAGUCCCACCACUUUAUGGUGGCUUCCCUUGAAACUUUACUAACCAAAGUAAGACAGCUAUGACUACAUAGACAUUCUAUUUGUUGAUCUGCGAUCGACCCAUUUCUGACUUCCUUCCAACAUCACCAACAAAUUUAGCAAACCAAGCAUUCUGUAAAUGACUUACGAAUUUGCCAACACUUAUCAACUGAAAAAGAACGUCUUUGGUUAUGAAUUGACAGUCUCAUGAGGCAAUAGCUCAAUUUCUCGAGUAAAGUAAUCCCGACAAAGCGAAGGAAUAUUUGAUACUGUUAUCAUUUUGAUCGAUCAAAACAAAUUUUCUCAACAAAAUUGAACAAUCAUUCCUUAGAUUUGACAAGGUUUGAGUGUUAUGUCAGGGAGGGAGGGAGAGAGAGAUGAACUAACCUUUUUCGUAGUAACUAGAAGAGAAGAGCGAAGUAGCGCAAGGAGAAGCUCUAAAUAUAAGAAAUUGUGAAAAAAGUACUUUUUCUGCAACAUAAACACAGUCUUAGCUGAUAGUAAAUUCCUUUUGCGUAUAUUUAGUAAAAUAUUAAAUUGAUCAUAACAUUCUUUAUAUUUUGUAAAGUUUUGCAACCAAUGUGUCAAUAAUUUUCUUUACUUGUGAUAACUUUUUUCAAGCAAAACAAAUUUGACGGAUUAUGUUUUUGCCCUCUUUAUCUAGCUAUCCACCUUGAAUGUAAGAUCGAUAUCAUAAAAGAGAGCUUUGACUUAUGAAGUUUCCAUGACAAUCAUAAUGUUCUAUGCACGAUAGAAUAAUAGUAAAGUAGUGUUGGAAAAGCUAUUUUUCUAAAAUUUUUUGAAAAUCGUUCCAGUGAAAUGUGAAUAUUAAUAUAUAAAGGUAAAAUCGUAAAUUAGAGAAAAGGUAUUACUUGUCAAUUNNNNNNNNNNNNNNNNNNNNNNNNNNNNNNNNNNNNNNNNNNNNNNNNNNNNNNNNNNNNNNNNNNNNNNNNNNNNNNNNNNNNNNNNNNNNNNNNNNNNCAGGGAAAAGUCGUAGGGCGGGCCAAAAAAUAGAACUUAAACAAACUUCAGGGGCGAAAACGGAAUAGAACUUAAACAAACUUUAGGGGCAAAAACGGAAUAGAACUUAAACAAACUUCAGGGGCGAAAAUGGAAUUGUCAAAAAAAGAACUGAAAAAUAUGGCUCCAAGUCUCUCCCAAUUCUCCGGCGUACAAAAUUGGAAAACGAAAAACAUCAAUUCUGCCAUCGCUGGGAAGGUUCUCGAACAAGAGCACUUCGAGCUCACUCGAAUAUCCGAUUCGAGACUGGAGAUCGAUUUGAUUCCGACUCGGGCAUCAUCAAUCGAUCGAAUCGUUCGAACAGGUUGAGAUUCCAUGGAGGGAGCGGGGCUCGGAAGUAGAGAAAGCUCGGUUGCUAAGCUCGGCUCUCAAGUUCGGAUUCGACGAGCAGUCCGCCAACAAGUGCUCGGACCAUCUUGUUUCGCGCUCUACGGUGACUCGAAUUGUUAUUUCGUCGUGCGUUCUUAUGCUAAUUAGCGGUUGUGGAGAUUAUGGAGGUAGCUCUUGUCCCCACGAUGAUGAUGAUGAUGAUGGCUGUGGAAUCGUCUUGCUUUAGGUUUGAAUGCAUCGGAGCGGGUUUAGCGAAGUAGCAGUCCUACUGACGAGCGAAAUGUCCGGCAUUGGUCCAGCUUGAUGUGCUUAGGUUACUUCGGAUGGACGGCGGUUUUUUCUUGAUUAUUGGCCCAAAUUGCGUGAUAUAUAAGGGAAUGCCUUUAAUCGCUCUUGUUGUGGGGUUAGUUUGUGCAUUUGAUUAAACGUGCAUUCCUAGUUAAGGAGAUUUAUUAUGGUUAGUCUCAAUUCUAAUGAUGGCUAUGGAAUAACGGUCUACUUUGGAUUUGAAUGGGACCAGAGUUUAGGUCAUUGAGCGUUAGUCUCAUCCCCUAUUUCUUUGUGGGUUUGGCAGAGUAGUCCUAUUGACAAGUGAAUUGUCUAGCUUAUAUCACUGCAAAUUACUUAUGGUGUCUUGCAAUAAUAUCAAUAUCGUGCCUCUUUGAACUAAAAGCAAAUUACGUAUUGGAAAUUGUAUUUAUUUGAUCUCUUGUUUGCCAUGGAUCUUGCAAAAUCAUGUCUUUCUUCUUUUGCUUUUGUCAAGGUGACGAAGGUCGAGAGUUGAUCACCGUGGAGCACUGUGGCAAUGACAUACUAGUAGAACUUGCUGAAACCAUGCAAGAUUCUUAGGAUUGGGAUGAUUUGCAAGCUGCGGAAUCAGAAGCUCAUGGAGUUUUGACCAAUAUGUUUGGCCAAGAUAUCUGUAAUGACGGUGAAUGCAAUGUUAUACGCGAUGUCAAUAUUAUAGAAGAUUCUCCACAACAUGUGAAAAAUCAAACUUUCCUUGAGUCGAGGAUUCCUCUACUGACAAUGAAGAUGAAGAUGAUGUAUUGGGCAGCAAAACGGGAAGGAAAUCCUCAUGUAUAUUCCUGCCCAAAGCAGUACUCCAAGCAAUACAUCCACUCAAAUUCUGGGCAGACAAUCUUUAGAAUCCAUGGUAUGCUUCUCCCAUGGACAUAGAUAAUACUGCCAAACCACUUAAAUUAGUGUGUGACUGUACUUUUCUCUUAUAAUUUAUUCUCUGCUUGAUCAUUUCCAAUUUGCUUGUGAUUUUGCACACAGCAAAGAACCUACACAAUGUUCAUGUCCAAAGCUUUUUGUAAAUUGCUUAUGGGGUCUCUCAUCCAAUCAUAUGUCCAAUAGACGGUAAUAACUUUUGCCACUCAGUUCCACACUCUUCAAGGUCCAAAAUGACAUAUUAGAACUCUUUGGUCAAUAAAGAAGUUGAUUUCAGUUUUGGAUGAUGUACAAAUACAUAUAUUUCUCAAAUGCUAUGAGAGUACAGCAGAUCAUCAAAGUGCAGAACUUAGCAAUCCAGCGUCUUUGAUAGGAAUGUUUUGUGUAAAUGAAGGCUUGUGAUUUCUUUGAGCACAUUUUUCAUUUUCCAUGACAAUUCAUGUCAGAAACUAUUACGAUAUGAAGAGGCUUAUUUCUGUUGAAAGGCUGUAAGAGCACUGUCACUCAAGGCUCAAUAUCAUUAGUUUCAAAUAAAAGACAUUGCUCUCCGAUUUCGACAUCCAAACAAGGGACUCUGAGUUAUGCGGAAUUCCAAGCCUUGGAUGACAUAGGAUUGGCAAUUGUUGUCAUAUUCGGAAACAAGGCAUUUCGACCAAUGCAGUAUCAAGCUUGUAAAGCUUCUGUAGCCAAGCAAGUUAGCUUUAUUCUCAUGCCCACUAGAGGUGGUAAAAUUUUAUGUUACCAGGUUAGUGAAUGUUAACAUUGUCUCAACUGGGUGAUGAUUGUAUGUAGAAGUGUGUGGAGACAAUGUUAGAGCACAAGCCCUGUGCACUUUGCUCAGUGGUUCCAUCAAUUAAAUGUUUAAGGGUAGACAUGUAUGUCAACAUUUAAGCUUUAACAUGAUCUUCUGAUCUGCUUUGUCUAGCAUUUUAAAGAAGGUUGUGAACUUAAGGAAGGAAUGUUUUUCAAAUGAAAAUUAAGCUAUAGGAAGUGAUUUAGGUACAUAAGCAUGGGUUCCAAUGUAUGGCAUGAUAUUCCAUCUCUUAAGCUGGUUCUCGUGUAUCUGUUUAUUCUAUUAAUGGUUACACUAUAUACUGACAACUUCAGAAAGGCAAAGGUCCACCCACGUGAUCAUUUAUUGUGUUUCUUACAAGGUAUUAAUUGCAUUUGCUCGGCCAGCUUAACCUUAUGAAAGGAAGAUGCCAUAUGCUAUCUAUGUUUGGCAUAAUACUCAGUCUCUUAAGCUCGUUCUUGUGUAUCUAUUUAUUCUAUUAAUGGUUAUACUAUAUACUGAAUGUGAGAAAGGAAAGGGUACACCCACAUGAUCAUUGAUUGUGUUUCUUAAAAGGUAUUAAUUGGAUUUGCUCUGCCAAUUUAAUCUCAUGAAAGGAAUGUGCUGCUGGUUUGAGCUUUUAUUGUACAUUUGCCUGAUUGACGACAAGAGCUCAUUGGUUAUCACUUUCGUGGUUGUCAUGAAAGGAAUGUACUGCUGGUUUGAGUUUUUAUAUAUGCCAACUUAAGCUCCUUUUUCCAAACUUCUCUGCAUUUUCUAUGUUUCUAGCCUAAUUAAAUUGUCAAUGUUACACUAUUCCUUCUGAAGCCCAGAACCCUUUGAAGUUUCUAUAUAAUAGAAUGCAGUGUUCCUUGUUCGAUGAAAAGAUUUAGGUUCUAUUGUCUGGGAACACUUAAGUGUCCCCCGAUGCCAAGUUAUGGCACUUGGGCUGUACUUCUGCCUCCAGUGGAAAUUACUUCCCAGAGUAAUUGGAAUCGGCAUAAGCUUGGAUAAGGAUCCAAUCUCCCAUCUAUGUUUGGCAUGAUACUCAGUCUCUUUUAAGCUGGUUCUUGUGUCGCUGUUUAUUCUAUUAAUGCUUAUACUUUAUGGUAACAACUUGAGGAAGCCAAAGGUUCAACCAUGUGAUCAUUGAUCGUGUUUCUUACAAGGUCUUAACUGGAUUUGCUCUGCCAGUUUGAUCUCAUAAAAGGAACGUGCUGCUGGUUUGAGCUUUUCUUGUACAUUUGACUGAUUAAGGAGUAAAACUCAUUGAUUGUCACUUUUCUGGUUGUCAUUAUUAGUCAAGGGGGACACGAUUUUCAUCUAGAUUAUAGGGGACUGGGAUGUCUAAAGCAGAACUUUCUGUAUGUCCCACGGAUGGCCUUAACUGCAACUGCCACUCAGUUCGUGAGUACUAAACUCACAUAUUAACCUCCUGAUUAUGUUGAAAUAAUCUAUUUAUUUUGAUUGAAUUAUACAUCCAUUGUAGGACAUCCUAAAAGCUCUUGGGGUUCCCCUGUUCUCAUAUAUUAGAUCUAGUCUGUCAAAGCUUGGGGACCCAAGGUUUGACAGACUAGAUCUAAAAUAUGAGGUCAUAGCUAAGGCCUAGGAACCACUGAAGCAGCUUGGAAGGCUACUAAAAAAUUGUUUUGCUAAUUUUUCUGAUGUCACAAAAUACUUGAAUGAGAAGUGCUGUAUAAAAGUGGUGUACUAUCAUGUUGGAUUAGUAGCUCGUCACUGUUCAAAAGAAAUGGCAUACUGGAGAGGUCCAGAUUGUAUUCGCUACCAUUGCCUUUUGGGAUGGGAAUAGACAAACCUGAUGUUGUAAGUCAAAAUGGACUCUGGCCUUUGCCUAUUUCUUAGGUUUUAGAAGUCGAUAAACGUGGUGGAAUGACCCGGAGAAGCAGAGAAGAGGAGAGUGGCCAGAUACAAGCUUCAUUUGGUCGAGGACAAGUUCAAGGCUUCUUUCAAACAAGGGUUCCGGUGGUUGAAGUGCAAAUGCACGAGCUUUAUGCAUCGAUUUUUAAUAUGUAGAAAUUACGAAAUAUCAUGCGCAUCGUCAUCAAAAGAGAAAAGGAUGAAAUUGGUUAGGAGGAAACAAAGAGGUCUGUUUUGUUUAUUGGCUAAUCAUCCCAAACCCGGGGCAGUACGGAGGGAUGGACUAAGAUCGCCUUGGCAAUACGUAGGUGAGGCCAAGGGCAUGUCUCCCGUCCCACAUUGCUUAGGGGGGGUCCUAGGCUAGUUUAUAAAAGCUUGGAUCCUUUUAAUCUGUAUAACGCGUUUUAAAGUCGUGGGGACUUAGUGUCCAAAGCGAAUAAUAUUAUACAGUGGGAUCCGGGUUGUUACAAAUGGUAUCAGAGCUGACUCCCGACCGCAUGUGGCAAUGCGUUUUAAAGCCGUGAGGACUCAAUGUCCAAAGCGGACAAUAUUAUACGGUGGGACCUGGGUCAAUACAAUAUGUAUCUAAAGGUAUAUAAGUAUUAUGAAGAGUGCCACAAUGUUCGAUCUUUCCAGUGUAAUGUGUGUUCGAAUCCUUGUUUCAUUCGUCAAUCUCCAGCAUUUGAAACAUAGGAAAAUGAGACGACUCGUAUGUGAUAUCCACAUAUAUUUAUAUUUGCUGAAAGUUUUUUUUCCCCGAAUUUCCUUACCUUCUGAUUUAUCUGCAACAUGAUUCUGCAUGCAUGCAUGCAUUCUCAUGCAAAGUAAAAAUUGUCUGACCUGCUAAUUUCUCUUCUCAACAACACGAUGCUGAUUGCAAAAUAAGAUGGCUGCUUUCAUUUGUAGGAUUUGACGUUUACAUCUACUUUCGUGGUCGAUUUCAUUGUUUAGAACUUUUAUUUUUGGCCAAAUGUUGUUUUAAGUCUCCGUUUUGGGGUUCAUUAACCCUGUAAUUCCUCAAUUUGUCUAUUUCGAUUCCUCUGCAUUAUAUGAUUCAUCAUAUGGCAAACUACCAAAGCUAUACAUUCUAACAUGCAGCUAGCAGGUGAUAAAUAAGCUGAAAGGCCUUCUAUACUUCCAUUCUGAUUUGAGGACAGUUUUCAUAUUUCAACUACUGUCCUGUCGAGCUUGGAGUUACAAAUAUGAGGAAAUCAAAGAGCCUGAACCGAAUUUUCUCUUGUCCUUUGGGAACUUACAUAGUUAUUGUUUGAACGGCUGUUAUUCAUAGGAUCUUGAUGUAAAAUGUGAUAGAACUUUCAAAAACAAGCUCGAAGCAAAUUGUUGGCAUGAAACGAAAGUAGAAGAGAAAAGCGGGGAAAACCCAUAAACAAAACCCCAUCAGCUCAAUCAGUUCAGAAUGUUCAUCCAAUUAUCCGGUCUAUUCACUCGUUCCAACUUCAAAUCAAUUCGGCUGAUGGGGCUGUGAAUGAUGUUCCGUAAGUAGUCAAACACAAAGCUACUGCCCCUUGGAUUAAUUACCUAGACACUGACUAAGCAGCUAAGUAAAUAAAGUGUAGAGCUGAUACAUUGACUUUACUUGUGGCUUUUCUCGUGCAAUGUUCGACCAAUACUCUAAAAUUAAAUUAUUUCAUGUUAAGUACAUUUAACAGGUAUUUCAACACAAUUUGCAUUACAUAUGUGUUAGUACUUUUAGAUUCAAAUGUGGCUUAACAAGCUACUUGGCCUUGUCUUGAGCUCUGGAAAAACUGAGUCAAAGUUCAAGGGGACGACAAGCACAUCAAACCAUGAAUACCUUGCGAGUAGCUUUCAACUACUAAAAUUCCACCAUUGUAAUUUAGUACAGGGUACAAGAAUAUCUAGAGUGGCCUCAAAGAAAUUGCUUCGAUUGACACUUGAAUGUGUGAAACGGUGACCACAAUUUGGAGGAGUAUCAUCUCAUUAUAAACCAAUUAGAUGACCCUUAGAAGUUUUUUGCUCAAUGAAAAUGAGUAAAUUUUGGGAAGGGCUCUUUUCACCCUUCCAAAAAUUUAGUCCACGUUUUGUUAUUAGUCUUCAACUGCAGCCAAUGCAAGAGAAAAACAGGUUUCGGGUGUGAAAAUAUAUACGGUUAGGUCUCUUCGGCUUUUAGAUUCAUGCUUAAAUAAAUUAAGUUUGAGAUUAUACAAUAAAAGUGAUUGCAAAAUGCGGACAUAUGAACUUUAUGAUGUAACACCAGACCAGAGAGAUGAUUUUACACUACUGAACACCUUUCUUUUGUGUUCAAAAUUCAACCAAAUGAAAAUCUACUGUCUUCUUGUAAACCUUUUCACUGAAACUCUUGGCUGCAAUUGACAGAUUUUUUGCUGAUUCCGUGGCAUUCGAUUUUUCUAGUCACAAAAUUGUAGCCUGAAGUGGACAUCUAACCGGUAAUCUCCUUGACAAAUCUCAUUUUAUGCUUAACUUGCACAAAUAAAACCACCUGCACAUGCGGUCUUCCUGCAAGUGAUUUGUGCUUGCAAAGGACAAAUAACCCACAUGAGAAGAGGAUGCUUCGUAUCCAGAAUCCUUUGAAGAGUAUUGACAACACGGAGCGCAUGAUAAACACCACUAGGUUCAGAAUACAUUUUCAUAAUGACAUAGUUCAUUCCUGCCCGCAUCUCCAUUGUGUAGUGUUUGGGGACUUUCUCCAAGUUCCAUGAAAUGCAGCUUGGAUCUACACGAUGGCAUAGGACUGAAUCAUUAUCAAUAAAUAAAGAAAUGGGAGAUUGCAGCAUCGCAAUUUACCUCAUGAAAGAUAAGGUACAAAUGCGAAAACAUCAUUUACACCAAUCGUUGUUCAACCACAGUGAACAGAGACUUCAUUAGCUAGCAGAUGAAAAAGAAAAAAAAAAGGCUUAAAAGAAGUAAACAAUUAGCAACACCACUUUCCCCGUUUGUGUUCAUGAACAAAAUUGAUGUUAAUAAAAUUAUGUUGGAAAGGUGAAAUGCCUAAACUAUAGAACAAAAAGACGUACUUGUUACUUGAUCAUUGGCAAUAUCCGAUUAGCAAAAUCAGCAAUUCGGGAUAGAUUGUGAGGAGGUCAGUUUCAACUUCACUAAUUCAAUCCUGCAAACAUGAGAACUGAGCUUAUCAAAUUAGAAACCUAUAUGACAACAUUCAAAAGAUAAACUAAUAGAAAUGGAGGAGCUUAGUGCAUACCUUCCUCUGCAUAGCCUCAUCAAGUUCAGGAGUGAUAUCCCUAGAAUGCAACCACACCAAACAACUCUGCAUCAGGAUAACAUACACAAAAAUCACCAGCUACUCAUUUGAUUAACAAAGAGAUAGAACCUAACGAGCAUACAAACAAUAGAUUCAAUUUUAAAAACUACAUUUACUAUCAUUCAGGUACAUGCUGUUGAGACCAGAUCAAGUGCUUUGGAUCUUCACAAGCAUCAAAACUUCCUCAGAACAUUCUGCUUGGUCCAUGAGCCUCUUCAAGUUUGGCACCUCAACUGUUGCUGACGCUUUCUCUGCAAAAUUGGUCUCAGGUAUGGAAUUAAAGCUCUUCAGCCAAGUGAGCCACACCCAAUUCAGUCAUGUGAUCAAAUAAUUCCAUGACAACAAUAUGAUCAAAUGGGAUGUAAACUAAUUAGCAAAUUCUUGAGCUCCUCGCCCCAGCUUGCUUCACGGAUGGCAAAAAAUUGUCCAGUUAUGCAAAAAGACAUCAAUACAGCUGAUUGAAUUUAAGUCCCAAAAUAAGCCUUGAUCAUUACAUAGACCAACAAACCUAUAAUAGAAGCAGCACCAGUUUACCUUGCUUGAUAAUAUUUCAAGACAACAUUUUGACUAUUGGUAAUUUUAAGAAAGGCGUACAUUCAUAUAUGACAGACUAGCCGAAACUACUUUAACAUUUCUUAAUCACCNNNNNNNNNNNNNNNNNNNNNNNNNNNNNNNNNNNNNNNNNNNNNNNNNNNNNNNNNNNNNNNNNNNNNNNNNNNNNNNNNNNNNNNNNNNNNNNNNNNNNNNNNNNNNNNNNNNNNNNNNNNNNNNNNNNNNNNNNNNNNNNNNNNNNNNNNNNNNNNNNNNNNNNNNNNNNNNNNNNNNNNNNNNNNNNNNNNNNNNNNNNNNNNNNNNNNNNNNNNNNNNNNNNNNNNNNNNNNNNNNNNNNNNNNNNNNNNNNNNNNNNNNNNNNNNNNNNNNNNNNNNNNNNNNNNNNNNNNNNNNNNNNNNNNNNNNNNNNNNNNNNNNNNNNNNNNNNNNNNNNNNNNNNNNNNNNNNNNNNNNNNNNNNNNNNNNNNNNNNNNNNNNNNNNNNNNNNNNNNNNNNNNNNNNNNNNNNNNNNNNNNNNNNNNNNNNNNNNNNNNNNNNNNNNNNNNNNNNNNNNNNNNNNNNNNNNNNNNNNNNNNNNNNNNNNNNNNNNNNNNNNNNNNNNNNNNNNNNNNNNNNNNNNNNNNNNNNNNNNNNNNNNNNNNNNNNNNNNNNNNNNNNNNNNNNNNNNNNNNNNNNNNNNNNNNNNNNNNNNNNNNNNNNNNNNNNNNNNNNNNNNNNNNNNNNNNNNNNNNNNNNNNNNNNNNNNNNNNNNNNNNNNNNNNNNNNNNNNNNNNNNNNNNNNNNNNNNNNNNNNNNNNNNNNNNNNNNNNNNNNNNNNNNNNNNNNNNNNNNNNNNNNNNNNNNNNNNNNNNNNNNNNNNNNNNNNNNNNNNNNNNNNNNNNNNNNNNNNNNNNNNNNNNNNNNNNNNNNNNNNNNNNNNNNNNNNNNNNNNNNNNNNNNNNNNNNNNNNNNNNNNNNNNNNNNNNNNNNNNNNNNNNNNNNNNNNNNNNNNNNNNNNNNNNNNNNNNNNNNNNNNNNNNNNNNNNUACAUUUUCAUGACCGACAGUUAUAAAUCCCCAGACAAUAAAACAAUGGGAUAGGAAAGCAGGCCAUAUUUUUCAUAUUGAAAUUCAUAACCACACUUUCAUUAACAACACCACUCAUAGUAUAUUUACAAUACUAUUUACAGCAUAAAAGUCUCACACCUAUCUAUACCAAGACAGGGUUCACAAAAGGGAUGGGAUCUCAAUCCACAUCCGGGUUAUAUUCAAGAUCCCUCUUUGGAUCAUCUUCUUCCUCAAAAGUCUUUCUCCUCUUCAGGUUCCUCCUCCUUCGAUUCUCCUCAGGGUCCUGAAAUGGUUAUUCAAUAACCAAUGAGACCACGUCUCAGCGAGUCCUACCCACUAAGACUCGAUUAAUAAACUAAUACGCCAUCCGGUUGCCUAAGCACAACACGAGUCAGAGGACUUACCUUGGCCUCAGUUCCAACCUGCAAUUUAAGGUUAAACACAAGUAUUCAAACAAUUCACGACAUUCGAUCAAGCAUUGAUCAAUCGACUAAGUCGAUUACAUGUCAGUCAGACCCUCUCUAGGUCAUUCCCACUCAUACCAUGAAUUCCCAGUGGUGUACUCAUUCACCAAAUCACAUGUGUUUCUCGGGCGUCGUUUUCGCCAAUGACAUACCGAUCACCGACACCGUGCGUUCUUUAAGGCGCCGUUUUCACCAGUGAUAACCUUGAUCACCGAACCACGUGUCCUUUCAAGGGCGCCGUUUUCGCCAAGGUGACAUCGGCUAUAGACAACAUCGUGCGUUCUUUAAGGCGCCGUUUUCACCAGUGAUAUUCCCAUAACCACCGAACCACGUGUGUCUAUAAGUCAUUUACGUGCGUUCUUUAAGGCGCCGUUUUCGCCAGUGAUACUUCCAAUCACCGAACCAUGUAUGUCCAAUAACAUCGUACCUGAUUGGUCUCAGCCAAUAACAUUCUCAGUUAGCUAUCACCAUUCUCCCUACUACAUAGCCCAUCAACGUACUGGCGCUAUAUACUCAUGCUCGGCCAUUACCAAUCAAAUACUCAAUAACAAACAAUUUAAGACAAUUCCUAAAAUUCCACAAUAAAUUCAAUUCCACACAACGUAGAGCUCAAAUAAAUAAACGGACUGCACCACGACAAUCAGCACGAAAUUCCGGUCACCGGCCAUCCCGGUUGAAUUUCCGGAAAAAUAAUUAAUUAAAUAAUUAAUUUCGAAAAUAAAUAAAUAAACAUAAAAAAAAUCCAAUUUAGGCCUAUAUUGCCUUAUUGGAGCCCGAAACGGGUCGGGAAAAAUCCCGAGAUACAUUCAAUAAAUAACCAAACAUUUCUACUUGUUAAUAGCUAGGUCUAACCACCUAACAUGCAUCCUCAAGUCACUAAUUUAAUUGUUCUAACCUAAUCUAACCACCUAAGUGCAUGUAAUUAAAUCUAACCAACCCUAAGACAUAAUUAGCAAACUAAUAAAGCUUUAGUGAGUAAAACUCACUUGAUAAAAGCGGAGACCGAAUCACCGCAACGGCGACGCGACGGCGGCCGAAAUCGGACUUUCGACGACACCGGCGGGCUUGGGACCGGGCCUUGACCUUGGCCCAACAAAUCUCAGCCCAACUGAGAUUUGUUACUGAAAUGGGUCAAGCUUGAUUGAAAUAGCACUUGCUGGGCUUCUUGGGCCGCAGGACUUCAAAGACUGGGCUGACUUGUGAAAACAAUCAACUUGCUGGGCUGAGCUUGGGCCAAAACUUCUGCUGACUUGGCCUAAAUGGGCUGCUGUUGGUGUAAUAUUUGAAUGGGCUUGAAGACUGCACUAUGGCCCGAAAUUACUGGCUUUACUGGGCCUGAGGAUUGCUGGACUGAAGCUUCGGUUUGGGCUGAGGACACGCGUGCAGCUGGUCGUGGGAGUGUGCGGUCAAUUGACCGAUCGAUGCUGCCCUCGGUGAAUUGAUUUGUGAAUAAACGAAGGUGGAGCUGGCCACGUGAGGAACUUCGGGCGCUGAAGAUGGAGAGGAAAUUGGAUUUGCUUCGUGGCAGGGCUUCGCUCGGUGGAGUCUUCGUUCGGUGGAGCUUCGGUCUUCAAGGCUUCGCUGGUUCGCUUGUUGACCGAAGCAGGAAGAGAAGCGGGCAAGUGGCAGCGGAUGAGGGGCAGCUUCUUCAGUGGUGCCGCUCGGUCAACAAUUGCUCCGCUCGGUGGAGAAUUGACCGAGAUGACGUGCGGACAGCAGAGGCGUGGGGACUUCGGUGGACUCGGCUUCGCAUGGGGCAGCUUUAGUAAGUCUUCACGCUGCUGGAGAAGACACGAAGCUCUGCACGCGGUUAACGAUCUUGUUGCUGCUGAUGUCUCGGUCCUCAAGCGGCAGAAAUUCUCGGCAGAAUGGAGCUUGUCGCACAAAGAAAUGAGAAGGGAGAGAGAGAAGUAAUUCACGGCAGCUUGGGGAAGGGGAUGAGGGGUGAGGGCCCUUUAAGCUUGAUAUUUUACAAAAUAUCUCCCAAAACAAUUCUCAGCCAUGCAUAAUUUCCUUGGCUCACAAUGGACCUCUCAUCCAUUCUUCUAGAAGCCGAAUUGGUCCAAUUGUUGUGGCUAGGUGGGGGGUUACGAAUUUUGGGAGAGAUGGCUUAACUUGCACAACCAUUCUCUCCAAAUUGAGGUCAAAUUUUGAUGUAGAAAAAUCCCAAAUGAUUUUCUAUAAUUCCCCGACACACAACGGCUCAACCCGAAAGUCAAAUUUCCCAUUAAUUUAGCCAAUCUGAACUUCGGCCAAACUUCCACGACGUCUGAACCCAAUUUCCGUAAAAUUUCCUGAAUCUCCGAAAAUCUUCUGAGACUGAGUCGAUGCUCCUAAAAUAGCUUGUGACAUCACUAAACUUUCGAUUUCUGAAAUCUGACUCAAAUCGACGGUUAAUUUCACUCCGGCGUGCUUUUAGUGUGACCUAGACUACCGGGUAGUUUUUAGAACUUUUUAGGGCAAUUGACUCGUGGUCGAUUUUCUUCGAGCCACAAUGAACCCACUCGACACAUUGGCGACUCUCAAUUGUCGUGAAAAUCCCGAGGGCUCGACUACUAACACAGGGUACCAAAACGACAGAAAAUCAAAUUAGUGCCAGUCGACGAGAAUUUUCCAAUUUAGUGGAGUCACCCACGAUCGGCCACACAUCUCAGUCGAACCGACCUAUCUCUGAUCUCAGUUCGAUCUUUAACUGUGCAGUAAUGACCUCUAAAGAUGGACACGGUCGAGAAGCCGCUUCCUGGUCGAAUUCUCAAGUCUAUUGCCUUAAUAUUCUUUAAUGGCAUACCCAGCUAGUCCAGUUAUCUCGAGAGUGAUCAGCUCUGAGAACAACCCUAUAGACACGUCAAUGAAAUGCCCGAUUAAUUUAAUAGAAAACAAUACUGAAAAUUCUGGAUGUCACACCUAUAGAAACUCCAUUCACACUAAAGACUCAGACAAACCUUUGAUCGAGAAUUUGCAUAAAACAACUUGUUAGAAGUAAGAAGGGCAAAUGGGUCUUUACCACUUUUAGGAUUUAUUUUGAUGUGUAUAUAUAUUAAACUUUAUUGAAUAAUACAAUGUACGUUGUCCUCACAUGGUAUCAAAGCUUAGGGCUUAACCUUAGACGCCGGAACAGUCGCCGUCGCCAUCAUCGGCCACUCGCUGGAUUAGUCGCCAUUGCGGCAAGUUUCCAUCGUGUGUCCCUUUUCUCGUGCGACUCUUCCUUAGGAGAGUUCUCUCUAGUGUGAGCUCGCGCAAUUCACGCUCACCUAGUUCGCGGGGCACCCUCGCGCGGCUUGCCCAUCUCGCGCUACACCCUUGUGCGGCUUCUCUAGUUCACUUGGUUCCCUUGAUGCAACUCUCGUGGUUGCUGGGAUGUUAGUCGCUGACUUUAGUCAUUUAUUUUGGUUGCUAGGGUGCUGGUCGCUAACUUGAAUUGCUGAUUUUGGUCACCUCCAGCAUUGAAAAAUAUAUAUUGGUGGCAGGUUUGCUCAUUUCUGGGCUGCCGAUUCUUGGUGAAAUAUAUGAGUUGAUUUUAAUGUAUUUGCUGAUGUUUAUGGGUCAUUGAGACUUUUAUAUGGAGAUAUAUUAUCAAUUUUGGUGAGUUAUUGAUUUGUUGGGGCUGAGUUAUUAUUGUGAGAAUUUUUAAGUCGUUCUUGGAAAAUGAGCGAUCAAUCGAAGAGUACAAUUGAAGUAGAUCUUGAGAAGAAUAAUACUAUGAUGACUAGGGUGAUUUCCUCUUCGUCUAAUCAAAUUACUGAUAAGAAGCUCGUAGGUAGUGCUAACUUCCACCAAUGGAAGAAUUUGUGAAGCUUACUUUGACAGGCAGGAAUCAACAUAGACACUUAACUAAGUUUAAGCCCAGAGAUGAUGUAACUUGGGAUGGUGUUGAUGCACGUAUUCUUGGUCAAAUGCUGAAUUAUAUGGAGAAUAAUGUAGUUGACAUGGUAACUCAUAUUGAUACAGUUAGUGAACUAUGGGAGUAUUUGAAUGUAUUGUAUUCUGGCCAAAAUAAUUUGUCACGGAUUUAUGAGCUAUCGCAAGAGUUUUAUCGAUUUGAAAGGAAGGGAUGCUCCAUUACCCAUUGCUUUGCAGACUUUAAGAGAUUGUAUGAGGAGUUGAAUGCCGUUCUCCCUAUUUCAGCUGAUGUUCAACAAAUGCAACGUUAGAGAGAACAAUUGACUAUAAUGGGAUUCUUAGGAAGUCUUGGUUCUGAAUAUGAAACUAUUAGGUCUCAGAUUCUUGGAGGAGAGACUAUAGCGUCACUCACAGAUACGUUUACUCGAGUUCUUCGAGUAUCUCGUGAGUCUUCUCUAGAUACCACAUCUAUGGUGGGGAGUUCAGCUCUUGUGUCCCAAACUCGAACUGGUAGUGAUAAUAGGAGUGAUGGAGGAAACCGUGGCAGAUAUAAUGGGCAUAGUGUCUGAGGAGGAGGCUGAGGCAUAGGAAUAGGGAGAGGUCAAGGUCAUCAGCAUCCUUAUGAACAAUUUCACAUAUCUAUUAAUAAUUCGGAAACUAAAUGAGUUUGUCAUUAUUGUGGCAAACCUGGUCAUAUUCAAAAAUUUUGUUACAAGCUACAUGGGAGAUCAGGGCAGUAGCACCAGUUCGCUAAUACGACGUCUAAUAUUGAAUCUACUCCACAAUCAUCUGAAGACAAGGUAGUGGUUAUGUUUGCUGAGGAAUAUGCUCGGUCAAACAAUCUCAAAUCUCACAGCCCGUUUCUUCCGCUGCUACUUUGGCACAGACAGGUAAUGCUACUGCAUGCCUUUCAGCUACUUCUUGUCCUUGGAUCAUUGAUUCAGAGGCUUUUGAUCACAUGUCAGGUCUUUCAGGUAUAUUUUCCUCUCUUUCUCCAUCUUUGUCCAUAGUUACUCUAGCCAAUGGAUCACCUACACAUGUUAAGGAAAUUGGCACAGUUAACCCAACUCCUUCAUUGCCGUUGUCCUCAGUGCUUUUGUCACGCCCCGAUCCUCGAACGCGCGCACAUCCUUCUACUUGGUCGAUUUUAUAAUGCGAUAUCCCAGGACUAUGUAUCGCCGACCCUUUAUUUUUAUUAAGCACAUGCGGAAGCAGUUAUAAAUCCCCAGACAAUAAAACAAUGGGAUAGGAAAGUAGGCCAUAUUUUUCAUAUUGAAAUUCACAACCACACUUUCAUUUACAGCACAACUCAUAGAGUAUUUACAAUACUAUUUACAACAUAAAAGUCUCACACCUAUCUAUACCAAGACAGGGUUCACAAAAGGGAUGGGAUCUCAAUCCACAUCCGGGUUAUAAUCAAGAUCCCUCUCUGGAUCAUCUUCUACUUCAAAAUAGUUUCUCCUUCCUCAGCUUCUCCUUCCUCAGCUUUUCCUCAGGGUCCUGAAAUGGUUAUUCAAUAACCAAUGAGACCACGUCUCAGCGAGUCCUACCCACUAAGACCCGAUUAAUAAACUAAUACGCCAUCCGGUUGCCUAAGCACAACACGAGUCAGAGGACUUACCUUAGCCUCAGUUCCAACCUGCAAUUCAAGGUUAAACAUAGAUAUUCAAACAAUUCACGACAUCCGAUCAAUCAUUGAUCAAUCGACUAAGUCGAUUACAUGUCAGCCAGACCCUUUCUAGGUCAUUCCCACUCAUACCACACUUUCUCAGUGGUGUACUCAUUCACCAAAUCACAUGUUUCUCGGGCGUCGUUUUCGCCAAUGACAUACCGAUCACCGACACCGUGCGUUCUUUAAGGCGCCGUUUUCACCAGUGAUAACCUUGAUCACCGAACCACGUGUCCUUUCAAGGGCGUCGUUUUCGCCAAGGUGACAUCGGCUAUAGACAACAUCGUGCGUUCUUUAAGGCGCCGUUUUCACCAGUGAUAUUCCCAUAAUCACCGAACCACGUGUGUCUAUAAGUCAUUUACGUGCGUUCUUUAAGGCGCCGUUUUCGCCAGUGAUACUUCCAAUCACCGAACCACGUAUAUCCAAUAAUAUCGUACCUGAUUGGUCUCACCAUUCUCCCUACUAUAUAGCCCAUCAACGUACUGGCGCUAUAUACCCAUGCUUGGCCAUUACCAAUCAAAUAUUCAAUAACAAACAAUUUAGGACACUUCCUAAAAUUCCACAAUAAAUUCAAUUCCACACAACGUAGAGCUCAAAUAAAUGAACGGACUGCACCACGACAAUCAGCACGAAAUUCCGGUCACCGGCCAUCCCGGUUGAAUUUCCGGAAAAAUAAUUAAUUAAAUAAUUAAUUUCGAAAAAUAAAUAAAUAAACAUUAAAAAUCCAAUUUAGGCCUAUAUUGCCUUAUUGGAGCCCGAAACGGGUCGGGAAAAAUCCCGAGAUGCAUUCAAUAAAUCACCAAAUAUUUGUACUUGCUAAUAACUAGGUCUAACCACCUAACAUGCAUCAUUAUGUCACUAAAUUAAUUACUCUAACCUAAUCUAACCACCUAAGUGCAUGUAAUUAAAUCUAACCAACCCUAAGACAUAAUUAGCAAAUAAAUAAAGCAUUAGUGAGUAAAACUCACUUGACAAAAGCGGAGAUCGAAUCACCGCAACGGCGACGCGACGGCGGCCGAAAAGCCGAACUUUCGGCGGCGAUGACAAACACACGGACCGGGCCUAAAAGCCUCGCAAGCUUGCAGAAAUUUCUAGGCUUGGGCUUGGCUCCGCGGGCUUCAAAAACUGGGCUUGAAAUAAAACUGAAUUGGGCCUGACUUUGCUGGGCCCAAAAAUUUGAAAUUACUGGGCUUUCCAAUCCAAUUGAUGCUGGGCUUCAAGACUAGGACAGAAUUGGACUGGGCUUGAACUUGGGCUAAACUGAUGCUGGAACUUACAAGCUGAUGGGCCAAAAUUGCUGUGAAGAUGGGCCUCCAAAAACUAACUGAAACUGAACUUGCGUGGGCUGGAUGUUGGGCCGUGUUUGAUGGAGAUGGGCUCACGAAACUCGCUGGAUGUCGAGGCUGGAGACGCGGACGAAGGGAGCUCCUUCGUUUGAGGUUGGCGCGGCAAGAUUGAAGCAGAAACGGAGCUGGGGAUGGGUGGCGUGAGUGGCCGACCAACCUUGGUGGAGAAGGGACAAAUUCUCGCGGACGGAUGCUGGCUUCCUCGGUGGUUUCAUUCGGUGGUCAACAAGGUGGAGAGAACCUGCUUUUGUUGACCGUGGAGUUGCAGGCCAUGGACGCGUGGAGAGGAGAAGAGAGCUUCGGUGAGUGGGGUCUUCGUGGAGUCUUCAACGUGGAGAAGAAUGUUGACCGAAGAAGUGGAAGACGCCUGGCAGCUUGCAGGUGUUGUUGGCGACGGAUCUUUGCACGGAUGAGGGGCUGUUUCGCUGGAGAUUGACCGAUGAAGAUGGGAAUUGAUUUGUUGCCGACAAAUCCCAGUGGAGGACGCGGCUUCGGUCUUCAGUGCAGCUGGUCUAUCGAUCUUCAAGCAGCGGUAAUGGAAAGCAAAAAAGGGAGGUUGUCGCACGAAGGAAAAUGAGAAGGGAGAGAGAGAAGUAGUUCACGGCAGCUAGAUGGAGAGGAUGAGGAAGAGUUGAGCUCCACUUGGUUGGAUCUUUUGCAAAAUAUCUUUCAAAGCUAUUCUAAGCCAAGUAUAAUCUCAUGGCUUCCAAGGAUCCACCAAGACACUCUUCAAGACUUUCCAAUUGGUCAAAAAUGGCUAGGAGGGAGGGGGCUACGAAUUUUACCAUUUGAACUUCAAUUUCUCCAAUAAAUUCCCAAAUUGAGGUCCAAUUUCGACGUAGAAAAAUCCCACAUGAUUUUCUAUAAAUCCCUGACACACAACGGCUCAGCUUGAAAGUCCAAUUUUCCCUUAAUUUAGCCAAUCUGAAUUUCCGUCAAAACUUCCACGACGUCCGAACCCAAUUUCCGUAAAAAUCUCGGGACCUCCGAAAAUCUUCUGAGACUGAGUCGAUGCUCCUAAAAUAGCUUGUGACAUCACUGAACUUUCGAUUUCUGAAAUAUGACUCAAAUCGACGGUUAAUUUCACUCCGGCGUGCUUUUAGUGUGACCUAGACUACCGGGUAGUUUUCAGAACUUUUUAGGGCAAUUGACUCGUGGUCGAUUUUCUUCGAGCCACAAUGAACCCACUCGACACAUUGGCGACUCUCAAUUGUCGUGAAAAUCUCGAGGGCUCGAUUACCAACACAGGGUACCAAAACGACAGAAAAUCAAAUUAGUGCCGGUCGACGAGAAUUUUCCAAUUUAGUGGAGUCACCCACGAUCGGCCACACAUCUCAGUCGAACCGACCUAUCUCUGAUCUCAGUUCGAUCUUUAACUGUGCAGUAAUGACCUCUAAAGAUGGACACGGUCGAGAAGCCGCUUCCUGGUCGAAUUCUCAAGUCUAUUGCCUUAAUAUUCUUUAAUGGCUUACCCAGCUAGUCUAGUUAUCUCGAGAGUGAUCAGCUCUGAGAACAACCCUAUAGACACGUCAAUGAAAUGCCCGAUUAAUUUAAUAGAAAACGAUACUGAAAAUUCUGGAUGUCACAGCUUUAUCUUCCACAAUUUCCAUUUAACCUCAUGUCUGUUAGUAAGUUAACCAAAAACUUUCAGUCUUCGAUAACUUUUUAUCCUGAUUCUUGUAUUUUCCAGGAUUUGGCUACGAAGAAGACAAUUGGUAGAGGACAUGAGGAAGGGGGGUUGUAUGUACUUGAAGAUGCUUCUUCAAUUGCUUGCUCAAGUGUUGCGUCCCCACAUCAAAUCCAUUGUCAUCUUGGUCAUUCUUCUCUAUGUAGUCUUCAAAAAUUGGAUUCUAGUUUUCAAUCUCUUUCUAGUCUAGAGUGCGAGUCAUGCCAACUUGGCAAAUUACAUUGUGUUAGUUACACACCUCGAGUCAUUAAACGAGCAUCAUCUCCUUUCUUAUUAGUUCAUUAAGAUAUUUGGGGUCCUUGUCAUGUGGUUUCUAAUUCGGGUUUAAGAUAUUUUGUUACUUUUAUUGAUGACUAUUCCAGAGUUACUUAGUUAUAUUUAAUGAAAGAUCAUUUAUAAUUAUUUUCUAUUUUUUGUGCAUUUAUAUCCAAAAUUUAUACUCAAUUUGGCAUGCAUGUUAAAAUUCUGCGUUCUGAUAAUGCCAAGGAGUACUUUUCCACAUCUUUUUCUUAUUUUAUGACUCAACAUGGUAUGAUCCAUGAAUCUUCCUGUCCUGAUACUCCACAACGGAAUGGUGUUGUUGAAAGGAAGAAUAGGCAUUUAUUGGAAGUUACUAGAUCCAUGUUAUUUGAGAUGAAGGUCCCCAAAACUUUUUGGUCUGAUGCUAUUCUAACUGCAUGUUAUCUCAUUAAUCGCAUGCUUUCUUAUGUUCUACAAGGUGGUAUUCCUUUUUCCAUUUUGUUUUCUAAUGAACCACUAUUUGUUCUACCACCCUGUAUCUUUGGUUGUGUCUGUUUCGUUUGUGAUCAUUGACUUGGAGUAUCAAAACUUGAUCCCAAGGCAAUCAAGUGUAUGUUUAUGGGUUAUUUUCACACUCAAAAGGGAUAUCGUUGUUAUUCUCCAUUACCGAGAAAAUAUUUUAUAACAGCUGAUGUUUCAUUUUUUGAAUCCACUCCUUAUCAUAAUGUUCUAAUUGAUGUACCUGAAUUGGAUGAAGACUUGUAUGUGACUACCAUUCGGUCUACUAUUUCAACUAUAUCACUAGUAUCUACAGAGAAACCACCUCCUCUCCAGGUUUGUACUCGACGUCCUUGUGUUGCUACUGCUCCCUCCGCUCCUCCUAUCACUACUACAUCAUCUUUUGCUCUAGAUCUGCCAUUAGCUAACCCUUCGCUUGCAUUUGAUCUUGAUCUUCCUAUUGCUCAUCGCAAAGGUACACAUACUUGUACUCAACAUUCUAUUGCAAAUUUUAUUUCACUCUUUUGUGUCCCCUACGUUUCGAGCUUUAUUAACUACUGUUGAAUAAUAUCUUGUCCCCAAGUUUGUCGCUGAGGCAUUACAAAGUUUUGGCUAGAGGACAGUAAUGGAAGAAGAAGUAAAGGCUCUCGAGAUUAAUCAAACUUGGGACUUAGUACCACUCCCUCCAGGCAAAACUGCUAUUAGUUGUCGAUGGGUAUAUGCUGUAAAAGUCAACCCCGAUGGUUCUCUUGCUCGUUCAAAAGCAAGACUUGUUGCCAAAGGUAUGCUCAAGUGUAUGGGGCUGACCAUCUAGACACAUUUUCUCCUGUUGCCAAACUUACUUCCGUUCAUAUUUUGAUCUCUCUUGCUGCAAUAUAUAACUGGCCUUUAUUUUAGCUUGAUGUUAAGAAUGCUUUCUUGCAUAGCACUCUUCAUGAAGAAGUUUAUAUGGAGCAACCUCCAGGGUUUGUUGCUCAGGGGAAGUUUGGACUAGUUUGCCAAUUAAAAAAGUCUUUAUUGGUUUGAAACAAUCUCCAUGGGCAUAGUUUGGAAGAUUUUCUGAGAUUGUACUGUCUUUUGGACUAUCAAGAUGUGGAACUAAUCAUUCUUUCUUUUAUAAACAAUCAGGGGGAGGCAAACCAUUCUUGAUUGUGUAUGUUGAUGAUAUUAUCAUCACGGGAGAUGACGUGAUUGGUAUAGCUGAGCUAAAAACCUAUCUUCAGCAAUAAUUUCAAACUAAGGACUUAGGAAAAUUAAAAUAUUUCCUAGGAAUUGAAGUGGCGCAAUCACAAAAAGGUAUUGUUCUGUCACAGCGAAAAUAUGUAUUGGAUUUACUCAUUAAGACAGGUAUGUUGGGAUCAAAGCCUCUUGAUUCACCCAUGAAACAAGGGGUUAAAUUAGUUGCUGAUGGAGGAGAAAUUCUUAAUAAUCCCGAGAGAUAUAGAAGACUGGUAGGUAAGCUGAAUUAUCUUACAGUUACUCGACCAGACAUUGCUUUUCCUGUUAGUGUAGUAAGCCAGUUUUUGUCUUCCCCUCAUACAUCUCAUUGGGAUGCAAUUAUUCGGAUAUUAAGGUAUUUGAAGAAAACUCCGGGGAAAGGAAUUGUCUACCAAAACCAUGGUCAUAUCAGGGUUGAAGGUUUUUCUGAUGCUGAUUGGGUUGGGUCUCCAGAUGAUAGAAGAUCAACUACUGGGUAUUGUACCUUAGUCGGAGGAAAUCUGGUAUCAUGGAAAAGUAAGAAACAAAGUGUUUGUUGCCCGCUCCAGUGCUGAGUUAGAAUAUAGAGCCAUGGCACAAGUGACGUGUGAAUUAGUGUGGAUUCGACAAUUAUUGACUAAGUUAGGCUUUAAAGAUUUAGUGCCCAUGACUCUAUGAUGCGAUUAUAAAGCUGCAGUGCAUAUAGCUUCCAAUCCCGUGUUUCAUGAGAGAACUGAACACAUUGAGGUUGAUUGUCAUUUUAUCCGAAAGAAGUUGCAAAGUGUAGUAAUUCUUCCUAGUCAUAUUUGAACCAGUAAACAACUUGCAGACAUCUUCACUAAAUCCUUGGGUAAUGGGAGGAUAUAACAUAUUUGUUACAAGCUGGGCACGAUUAAUAUUUAUGCUCCAACUUGAGGGGGAGUGUUAGAAGUAAGAAAGGUAAAUGGGUCUUUACCACUUUUAGGGUUUAUUUUGAUGUGUGUGUGUCUAUAUAUAUAUAUAUAUAUAUAUAUAUAUAUAUAUAUUAAACUUUAUCGAAUAAUACAAUGUACGUUUUCCUCACAUAACUCAAUACUCCACUCCAGACCCCAGUACUUGAUCGAGAAUUUGCCAAGCGGCACGAGCUCCGUGCAUCCACUUGAGAGAAUCUGGAAGGGGAAAAGUAAUGCUGCCCUUCAAGAAUGAACUGGUCUCUCUACUUGGUUUUAGGUAUGAAAAUGUACAUGACCGUGUCUAUUCUGCUUUUAGAUUCAUGUUUAAAUAAAUCAAGUUUGAGAUAAUACGAGCAAAGCAAUUGCAAAAUGCCCACAUAUGAAUUUUCCGAUGUAACCAGCCUAGAGAGAUCAUUUUACACUAAUGAACGCCCGUAUUUUGUGUUCUAAAUUCUUCCAAAUGAGAAACUACUGUCUUCUUGAAAACCUUUUCUUUGAAACUCUUGGCUGCAAUUGACAGAUUAUUUGCCGAUUCCACGGCAUUUGCUUUUUCAAGAAAAAAGUCUCUUUCACUCACAAAACUGCAGCUUGAAGUGGACAUCUAAAUGGUACUCUUGUUAACAAAUCUCAUUUUUCGCUUGACUUCACAUAUAGAACCACUUGCACACGUGGUCUUCCUCCAAGUGAUUAGUGAUGGGGCCUUGGUUAAAGAAUAACACGAUUUCAAAGCUUGCAAAGGACUAAUACACCACAUGAGAAGAGGUCGCCUUUAUCAAGAAUCCUUCAAAGAGUAUUAACAACAUAGAGCAAAUGAUAAAUGCCAAUUGCAAAUAACUCUGGAAUGCCUUUCCAUACUGACAUAGCUCAUUCUUGCCCAUAUCUCCAACCCGCGGUGUUUGGGGAGUUUCUCCGAGUUUCAUCAAAUGCAGCUUUCAUCUGCAUAAGGAGGAUAGCACCGACUAAUUAUAAUUAAAUGAAGAUAUCCAAGAUCAUAGCAUCAUAAUUUACCGCAUGACAUAUAAGGUAAAAAUGUGUAAGCAUUGACACCAAUCGGAGUUGGACCACAAUGAACAGAGACUUCAUUAGCUGGCCGAUGAAAAAAAAACCAAUAGACUUGAAAGAAGUAAACAUUUAACAACACGAUCCCUGUUUGUGUUUAGGAACAGAAUUGAAGCUAAAAAAAUUAUGCUGAAAAGGUGAAGUGCCUAAACUACAAAAUAGAAAGAUGCAUUUGCUAUCGGGUUAUUUUGCAAGUUCCAAUUAGCAAAAUCAAAAAUGCAGAAUAGUUUGCGAGGAGGUCAAUUUCAACUUUACAAAUCCAAUGCCACAUACAUCAGAACUGAGCUUAUCAAAUUAGAAACCUAUAUGACAACAUUCAAAGGAUAUCAUCACAUGAAUAAACUAUUAGAAAUGGAGGAGCCUAGCAGUGCAUACCUCCCUCUGCAGAGCCUCAUCAAUUUUGAAGUGAUAUCAUUAGAAUGCAAUCGCGUUGAACAACUGUGCAUCAGGGUAACAUACAAAAAAUCAAUAGCUUAGUAUUUGAUUAAAGGAGAGCUAGAACCUAAUGAGCAUACAUAAAGCAUAUUUAACUGAAAAAAGACAUUUACAAUUAUUUAGGGAUGUGAUGUUGAGAUCAUAUCUAGUAUUUAAAUAUGCAAAAGCAUCAAAACUUCCUUGGGACACUCCAGCCAGCCCCAAAUUAUCUUUAAGUUUGGCAUGCAAGAUGGUCCUCAGCUAUUGCUGAUGCUUCCUCUGCAAAAUCCCUUUUCUUUAUGUUGAUCGGUCUCAAGUAUGGAAUUUGAAGUUCCUCGGCUCACUUAGCCACACCCAAAUUAGUCAUGUGAUAAAGCAAUUCCAUGACAACAAUAGGAUCAACGGGAUACAAACUAAUUAGCAAAUUCUUGAGCUCCUCAUCCCAGCUUGUUUCACAGACAAGCAAAAAAAUGUCCUUUAAUGCAAAAGGUCAUCAGUACAGUUGAUUGAAUUAAAGUCCCAAAGUAAGCCUAGAUCAUUAUAUAGACCAACCAAACCUGUCAUAGAAGCAGCACCGAUUUACCUUGCUUAAUAAUCUUUCAAAACAAGAGUUUACCUACUAGUAAUGUUAAGGUGGUCAGCAUUCAUACAUGACAAACUAGCCAAAACUACUUUUAAUAUUCUUUUGUCACCAACCAGAAACACUUGAACCUUGAAUUUUAUUUUAGCUCAGUUCACCAUAUAUACUGGGAAGUGAUGCUCUUCUUAGAAGGUUAAUGAGGGCCAUCAAGGCAACAAUAAGAAACUUGACAGGGUUUGCAUUCAUCACAAAAAAUCAAAAGCCGUUCGUCCUAAACAGGACAUUUGCCAUUAGUCAAAUUUGACAUACAAAAGAACUAAAGGAACUCAAAAUGGCCAAGGAUUCUAAAAAGAAAAUAUGAACUUUGGACAUGGGGAAAUUCCGGGUGUAGUAUAUAAUAAAACAAUAAUGAGUAGCAGAAGUUCAUUGGCCUCUAGAUGAAAAUUUCAAAUCCCAGGUUUGCCACUAGGGGAACUGUAAAUCACUAGGUAAUUCUUGUUUACCUUUGUUAUAUUUUGAUUCUUUCCUUGCAAGCUGCUAUCUGUUUGCAAUCUACAGAAGUUGCCAAUGGAAGGAUAAAUGAAAAACAUUACUAUAACGUAAUCAACGACAAUUAUACAGAGGCAAAUCCAGAGUUUCCAAAAUCAACCAAAUAGAUAUCCAGUGUGGAGCAAAUCAUUCUAGAAAAAUAGAACUUUGAGAAAAGUAUUACUCUAUUUUCUUACACUGGCCGUUCAAGGAUGAAGAAUCUUACUAUGCCUUCUAUUGACAUUUGGGUCUACAUUUUUAUCUGGGUUGAACCAACAUGUGAGCUUCUAUGACCAACUCCUCCACUCCUUCAAACGUGCAAGACCAGCAAUUUAGGAAAGUACAGAAUCCUGUCAUGGAAAACCUUAUGGUCAAAAGAAGAUAGUGAUGCAAUGGAGGUCAUGAAUCUCAGAGGAAAAAUGAUUGUUCACUGCUUAUUUACCUCCGUUGAAGAAACAUGACUAGUUUCACUAUUGUAAUAUGCGUACAAGAUUCCUCAUAUCUUUAUCACUGCAAGAUAAUAUUUCCAUAAAGAACUCAAAAUAGUUCCUAAUAUCUUAAGAUGUGCAUUCCAGAUAAUUUUGGUAUUGCUUCCAAUGAGUCACAACCAGAAUCAAUUAAAUUCAACAUUUCAAGUCCCUGAAGCUGAGUAAGUUUCUUGCAGUCUUGAAUUGAUAGAGAUCGUAACUUCUCACAUCCUGUCAAAUCUGGCAAAGUCUCCAUUGAUUUGCAUCGCCCAAAAUCCAAACUUUCUAAGAACUUUGCACUGUCAAGACCUUCAAUUUUGACUAGAUUGCCGCACCUAACGGCCUUUAAUUCCUUCGAACACGGUAAUUCUAGACAGCGAAGCCUUUCAAUGGAAUUGCAGUCCCAUAAAGAUACAACCUCCAAGGAACAUCACCUUUUUUUUAUUGAAAGCUCUUCCAAGUGUGUGAGUCCGCUGAGCCAAAGUGAUGUCAGCUUAUGACACUCCUCAACAAAGAGUUUCAAGAGUCUUGAGGAAAGCUUGGGGAUGUCUACAAGUAGAUAGCAUCGCUGAAGAUAAAGUUCUUUUAGGUGGAUUAGUCUAGAAAGCUGUGGCAAUUUGGGACUCUGACAAGUGAUCAACAGAAACGUUAAGCUUGAAGGAAGCUCUAGCAGUGACCAGAGGUUGUAAUAGCCCAAUAGGUAAAGGAGUUGGAGAGAAGAAGGAAGCUUUGGCAGCGAGCAGAACUCCUUACAGACCACCAUGUCAAGGCUUUGGAGAGAAGAAGGAAGCUCUGGCAGCGACCGGAGCUCCUUACAGCCCUCUAUGUCAAGGCUUUGGAGAGAAGAAGGAAGCUCUGGCAGCGACCAGAGCUCCACACACCACCGUAGGUCAAGGUGUUGGAGAGAAGAAAGAUUCCAAACGCUUUCUGGCAAGUCAGAUAUUGGUGUGCCUUUGAGAGUGAGAUUCUCGAGGGAAGGCAAGUCACCGAUUUCACUUGGAAUUGCCCCUUUCAAACUCCAGCACCAUGAGAGACAUAGAGUCCGCAGAUUUUUCAACCUUCCAAUAGCACUGUGAAGCUUUUUGAUCCCAGAGCGACUCAAGUGAAGAUGUUGCAAAUUCUGUAAAUCCCCAAUUAAGCUAGGGAUUUCUCUCAAUGAGAUACAAAAGUCGGCUGUCAGUUUCUUUAGCUUCCUCAGAGAACCAAUGGACGUAGGAAUCUCCGUAAUACUAGUCCCAUCCAAUAAAAGUUCUUCUAAAUUUUUUAAUUCACCCACCUCCUCUGGUAGCUUCUUGAGACUAGUAGAGUGAGCCAAGUUCAAGGAAACAAGGCUCGUGAGUUUGCCAAUAGAAGGGUGGAGAUGCUUUAGUCCACUAUGACAGAUGAAAAUUUUCAAUUGUGUGAAAACCGACAGAUCAGGAGUACUUCUUAAAUUAUUGCAAUCUUGAAGCAUGAGAACUUUAAGUCGCUUUGAUGCCUAAUAGAAAAGGAGAAUAAGCUGUCAAAGAAUGAGUUGAUCAACUAAAUAAAAACAAAACCCUAAAUUCAUUCUUUUCUCAAUCUUACCAUGAAUGACCUCCAUCCUUGCUAAUACUCUCUAAUCUCGCUCCCAUAUAAAUUCAAUACUGAUAAAUUCGGUAGAUGCAUCGAAAGAGACAAGUCGCUGCUCCACUCAAGCCAUCUUACUUCAGGAAAGAGUUCCUUGUAGGAGGUUUUGCUUGCAGUUGCCCGCAAAUUGUCACGGAAACAGAAACAAGAGAGGUGUCUCCACAAAAUUUUACGGAACCAGGAGGGGGACCUGGAGGGGCACCUGGGGCUGGGGGGAAACCAGGCGGGGCGUCCCUGUGAGUUUUUUUUAACUUUUUAGUUUUUUUUUUUCUUUUCUUAUCUUGGAUUUUGCAUGAUCUAUAACCUUUCUAUCCUUCCCAUGUACAAAUAUGGCUCAUAUUUAAUUUUUUUUACGACCUUUUCGGAAAUUAAACAAAUGAUGUGAAAAAUAAAAAUAAAAAUGGUUAUUGCUCUAGUACAACUAAGGUAAAGGCAACUCAAUGUUUUAUCUUUUCCUUUUUUCCUUCAAAUUUUGUAGCGCAUGUACUUUGACUAUUAUUUAAUAGGAAAUAUAUGAAACCAUUUUACAACAUACAAAUGUUUACUUGUAAAUUUUAUUGACUUUUGUACAAUUUUUCAAAAGAAUUUGUUGAAGAGUGCCGGUGGGCCACUUGUAAGUAGCUAUGGAGACACCUGGUUUUCAUUUCAUUAUUUAAAUGUAACAAUGCCGAAGAGAAAAAAAAAAGGGAAAUUUUCAAUAUAUUUCCAUAUAUAGAAAAGAUUAUACGGAGAGCCUUUCUAUAAACUUUAUUACAGGAUUGUCUAAGAGAAUCAAAGAAUAUCAAAUUAGAUAUGCAUAAUCAAAACAAAUAUAGAAAAUUAGAGAAAAUAUCAUAAAUAUGUCUAGAAGAUAUCUACAUAUCUUUAACAUCAUUUACUAUUUUUUUUGAAGUGUUUAAUCAUUUCUUUGAAAACUUAAACGUUUUUUUUUGUUAAGUACGUUUAAAGAGUGACGUGGUGACAUUGGACAAUAGUGAGGCGGCCCAAAUGGACAAUAUAUAAUAAUAAAAUGACAUGAACAUUGAUAAUUUAAUUAAAAGAUUGGCUUCAUGCUAAGCAUCAUUAUACUCAAAGGUAUGGAUAUAAUAAUAAGUAUGGCAUUUCCUCUUAUUAGUCGAGUUUUCAUGGAUUUUUUUUAUGAGAAAUAGUUGUAUGUGUUAUAAGUAACUUAUAACGGAUACAAAUUUUUGUUUUAAGAAAAUCCACUCUUGAUCAUACAUCUAACCUAAUCCAUGAUGAGCAAGGUCAAUGUGAUAAAACCUUAAAAAACAGUACGAUUUUCCUAAAAAUACUUUUAAGGGGAUUUUUGCUAUCGUAUCUAUCAAAAGGAAAUAAUAAUUAAAAGAGAUAAAUAUAACUAGUAGAGUAGAGGGAUGGGUAUCUUCAAAAUCAAAUUGAAGAAAAAAAAUAUUAAACAUUGUACUCCUAAAUCAUAGGACUACCACCAAUACAUCUGGCCGUACCAGUAAGCAAGAACAUGUGAUAAGUGUGAAAUUUUUUUCAAUCUUAUUGUUUUGAAUUAAUUAUCAGUUAUUAUAAUCGGCACGUGCUAUCUUUUUUUUUUUUUUAAGUCAAGAAAUAUUCAUUUAUCUGAUCUAUGAUGUUUAUACUUCAUCUUCAUUCAUUAUUGCAGUCUUUAGAUUAUCAAUAUUUUCAACUAGAUAUGACAAUUACAUGCUUUUAGUAAAUGAGAUUUAUAGUGUAACAUUGUAGUUAAAGGAACUUAAAUUGAUUGUCAAUCAAAUCUUUACGGAUGUAAUUUAUAUCAACGAAAACGAAUCAAAUGGUAUAACGUUCUCAUCCUUUAAAUACUUAUAAUCCAUUUAGCUAUCACAAAUAAUCUAAGAUGAACAUAAAUGGAUGUUUAUAUAGAUCUUUCAUCCUAAAAAGUAAGAGCGUCUAUUCAUCGUAGGUGAAAUAUUAGAAUAGAUCGGAUUAAAUAUAUUAAAAUAAGAGGGAAAGAAAAAGAAAGGAGUGCCAUAUUUUACUUGUGCAUCGAUUCUUAGUACUUUUGAGACUCCCUCAUAGUCAUCGUCCCAUGGUCCACUACGUUUCUCAAGCAGUUGUCCUUGGCAAAAAAUGCUCCUUCCAAGAUCUCUUAGUUGAUCAUGCACUAGAAAUUCACCAUGAUCUCCAAUUUUAAUUAAGCACCUCAACUUCAACUCUUCAAUACCUUCACUUGGAUAAUACCCACAGUCCUCCCACAUGUACAUGGCAUAUUCGCUCGUUUUGCCAAUAAAGUAACAAACAAUAUCGAGAAAAAUCUGCUUUUGUUCAUCUUCUAAUGCAUCAUAACUUAUUUGCAAUAUCUUUUGGACAUCUCUAUGUGGUUGGUUUUUUAAUUUCUUCUUCACAUCUUCCCAUACUUUUCGAUUUUUUUUUAUACAAGUAAGAACCUACAACUUGAAGAGCCAAGGGAAGCCCACCCAUGUUGGAUAUGAUAUCACGAGAUAUACCCUCAAGCUCCCUCGGAGAAUGGUCCAUAUGAAAUGCAUGUCUGUUAAACAAAAGCAAAGCUUGCACCUUAUCCAAUUCAUUCAAUUCAUACUUGUAGUCUACCUCAAAUUUAGAUUGAUCAAGAACGGCUUCGUUUCUAGUUGUAACAAUGAUCACACUUCCUGCCAUAAACCAAUCACGCUCCCUAACCAACUGUCUAGUUGACUCUUGUCAUCUAUAUCAUCCAGAAGAAUGAGAACCUUUUUCCCUUUGAAUCUAGAUUGAAUUAUACUAAUUCCAUCAUCAAUUCUAGACACUUGACUUUUGCUCUGUAGUAUAUCCGAUAUUAGUUGACUCUGCAGAUACGUAAUACCGUGGCGCCUGGUAGUUUCUCGAACAUCUGGAAGGAAGCUGACAUGCACAAAUUUAUUUGAGAGUGGAUUGUAGACGCACUUGGCAAGAGUUGUCUUGCCUAUCCCACCCAUGCCAUAAAUUCCAAUCAUUCGAGCAUUGAUGGAAGGAUUGUUGAUCCAAUUCAUAAUUUCCUUCAUACGAUCAUCAAGUCCAACUAGUUGCUUAGACACAUCCAGCUGAAAAUCUUCCCGUAACUUGCUUAUAACAUUUUCAACCACAUGUUCUAUUAAUUUUCCCUCAUGCCUGUCAAACAACAAAAACAAUGAGAAGUUAUUAACCUAGACAUAGUUUAUGCGAAGCAUUCUAUCCUUAUCAACUGAGCUAACCUUUGUUGGCUAUAGGAGGUUGAUUUUAUCUAGUGGUGAUCAAGCUUUGAAGACCGAGCAUUGGAGUCAUUAGGAGGCCUAUUGUUUAGUGAUUGAUACUAUUGGCUAGAGGUACCGUCGUUUCUUUGUUUUUUUUUUUUCGCUCUAUACUGGAGGAAAAUGUAAAUUCUUGGGCACUAUGGGAUGCUUUGGUUUUUAGUUCGUUUAGUUUUUAGGGACAUCUUGUGGCGUACUAGUGUUUGUUGUCUUCGAGGCAUUACGGCUAUUUAUUUGAGGAUCUUUUUUGAGCUUACAGUAAAAGUAAUUCAUCUGCAUUUUCUCAACUCUGCGUGAAGAAGAAAACUUAUCAAAAAAGAAAAGUUCAGUAAAGUACCCAUUCGCAAUUUUCUGAGAUUCCCAUCCAAUUAAGUGACUAACUUCAUUAAGUGCUCGUUGCCCCUCUUGAAUAUCCUUCUCAUCAAAAUGUUCCAGACUUGAACGGAAGGCAUUUCCAAAAUUUCCUUUUAGAUGCCGCACAUCGGAUGGGGAAACUUUGUAAAAUAUAGGCAACACUAUGUGUGAUGCGCUCUUGUUAUAGUCCAUGAUAUGAAUGAGCUCACGGAGGCACCAUUUGCUCGAAGCAUAAUUUUCGGAGAUGAUGGGGAUUGAAAUCUUAGACUGUGCGAUGGCAUAGAGAAUCUCUGAACAAAUUCCUCGCCAAUUGGGAUGCUGUUCUCGUCCCUGAACACGCAAAGUGGUAUAGUCCCUGCUUUGAUCAGACUGUGAUAAAGGUGAUCAGUGAAAGUAUUGCGGGUAUCCGAGCCUCUAAAGCUCAAGAACACGUCAUAUUGACUGCUACCUACACCUGUGGCUUCUGGAGAGAUGAAUGAAGAAGUGGAUGCUCCUUCAGUGCUCUCUUCCUCUGCCCUCUUUUUAUUUCCCUGACUCUGCCCUCUGUCCAUGGUGAUCUAAGGGGGAAAGUUGAAAAGGAAGAUCCUUUUUUGCUGCUUAAAAGGAUUGUUGAACAACGAAAGACGCUUUUAGAAUGCUUUUCUGCAAAUGCUUGUUGGCUCCGAAUAACGUGUUCGUUAAUUCCCUAGGUAAUAAAGACAUGACCUUCAGUUAAGUAAGCUAACAUCAUUUCACUGCAGAAGAUUAGGUGGCCCUAAAGAGGCCCCCCAAAAAGCCCACAUCAUUUACUUGUUUAGAAACAUAAAUUUGAAAUUAAACAAAUUACAUUGUAAUUAAUCGACUUCCUUAAAACAUAUUUGAACAAUUACAUAACUUCAUGCAUGUGUACAUGAUAUUUGAAGGCGAAUUCUUUCAUUUCAAGGUAAGAUAUUGAAAUUACGUAGGUAACUUCAUGGAAGCAUCUUCCUGUGGAUAUAAGCUCACACGAUGCCUAAUCCUUGUCAUAAUCUUCGACCUUGCUAUUAUUAUUUUUAUCCUAAUACAUAAACAACCCUAACUAUCUCCACCACCUCAUUUUCACAACCCCUUCUAUGUAUUCCCAUGUCCAUUGGCCAAACUAAUGAAGUGUCAUGUAAUUGUUGCCCAAUAAACCAAAUCCUCCAGAUGUGUGCACUUUCCUAAUUGGAGGGAAUUUCCAUCAAUCAUGUUUUUAAUUUGGCGGGUUUCGAGUUUUAGGCAUUGCUCAUAUGUAAAAUUAACUAAAUCUAAAACAUUAAUCAAGGAAAAUUUUUCAAUUGAUCCAUUGUUUGAAGUCGAUGAAAAUGAUUCUAAAUGAAAGGGAAAUACUUCCUUUUGGGCCCACAUUUUAUUUCUUUCUAAAAGUGCAUAGAAAUGGGAGGAAAUGCGAAAAUUGCACUUUUCUUCCAAUUGGCCUUACUUCCUUUUUAAGGAUGAGUAGAAUGAACGAUAAUUAAGUCUAUCAAUGAAAUUAAGUUCCAUUAACAUCAUUUCCACCCAACAUGCAUCCAAACAUUUUUUGAGGACUUUUAACUUAUUUCUCCAAGCAAACUCGAGCUUCUCUGACAAGCUAAUACGUUCUUCUCUCUUCAAACGGCUCAGAACAAGGUACUCUCCCUCUUACUUAACUUCAAUCAAUCUUAGACCGUCUUUGUUCUCCUUCGCUCUGUGACAUCCUGAAAUUCGAGUCCUCUGAAGGACGAGUGGAUGUGAAUUUCGUCAAUGCAUUGUUGGUUGAUCUCCCUCAGAUUUGAUCACUCUUGAGAUACUGACCUUGAGGGGAAAGGCUAAUGAGAACAGAACUCGUACGACUAAAAGACUCGACCUGGGAAAACGACUUGACUGUGAGAUUUACGUGAGGACGAUCCUGUAGAUAGGCAGGCCGAUUCUAAGGACGACUAAAAGUCGAUUCGCGGACAGAACAUAAUGGAACGACUGAUGAUUCCGUUUACUGUUAUCGAAUCCACGAACGAUCCUAUGUCGAUCCUCAGUAAUCGUGUACUUUGAAAUAAGAAUCUAUCCUCCGUAAUUUCAUGCAGUCAAGGACGUCCAUGUGUCGAGAUGUCUUGAACGUGGUUUGGCACGAGUCGGUCAUGCGUGAAUCCUCACAGCCACCAGUUAGUCUGAGUUGUAACCAAAAUGGCAUUUGGCAAAAUUGACAUGACAAGAGAACUUAUUAUUGGACUUCAAAUUAUCGGGAAUGUCCGGGAUGGACUUUGGAUGAAGCUACUUCAGACAAUCGACAAAGCCAAUUAAGCCGAGCAAUUGGAAAAAAGGGAUUUUCGGACCGAGGAAGAAAGCCCGUGAGGUCAUGGGCCGGGCCAAGCUAGUGUGGGCCCUAGGCCCAAUGUUAGACAGCCACCAAAUGGGCCUAAGUCAAGCAAGUGAGCCCAUUGGGCCAAACCAACUAUUUCUCUUUCGAAGCCUAUGGUCCAACUUUGAGCCCAAUCAAGCUCAACCAAUUUCUAAACCCACUCCUAUUCAUGGCCAAGCCCAUUUCUUAAGCCCAUCCACCAAUUUCAGCCCAAGGUCAGAUUUGUAAUUUGUGCAAGGUGAAAUGACCGAAAUACCCCUAGUUGUAGGGCGAAAAGGCUAGAGAAGAGAGAGAAAAUGAUGAUGGCUUGGCAUGGGGACUUGAAGCAAGCUUUGAUGGGGGUCUUGACAGCCCUCACUUCACUCUCUCUCUCCCCCAUUCGGCCUCCCUCGAGCAGAGCUCUCUCUCUCCUCGUUUUCCCUCUCCUUCAGUUUCUGCUCCAACUGACCCUUCAGUGAAGAAUCGAGUCAAAAGUGGUCUUCUCUGAUGAAUCAGCCAUCGAGCCACAUAUCACCAUGACUGGGAGAGACAGACCGUUCCAACGAGACUAAUUUCGUCCCGAACGGAGCCGCCUUCCGGCCUGGGAGCUGCCGGGAAGGAGCCGGUCGCCGGUCCGUCGGUCUGCCUGCAGCCUGCACUGUUUCGCGUUUUCGGCCAUUUUUUUCCCAUUCCGGUCCUUCCUCCGCCCAUCCCAACCUCCAACAAAACCCCCAAGACCCCUUGUCGGAGCUCCGAUCGGCCCGUUUUCGCCAUUGAAGCUGUGGUUUCUUCUCUGUAGUUUAGCCCAGAACAGAAGCAGAAGACAGCAAUGUUUUGGAGACUUUGUGGCCCAUUAUCAAGCCCUUCCUGGCCUCCGUUGGUGUCGCCGCUUUGGGGUUUAUCGACCGCCUUGGUGUCGUGGUCGCCGUGAACUCACCGGCGCGCAAAACCGGUGAGUUUAUCCUCUAAUUCUUGCUUAGUGAGUUAAUGACACUUAAGGGGUGUUUAGAUUAGUCUAAUUAGGUUUAUGUGAUUAAAUUAGAUUAUUUUAAUGUAAAUUAGAUUAGUUGUAUGAUUAGUUUAAUGGAUGUUUAAUUAGGGCUAAUUGUAUGAUUAAAUUAGUGUAAUCGUGUUUAAGCCCUAAUUAAUUAUUUCGAAUUUUUAAAUAUUAUUUUAUUAAAUUAUAUUAUUAUAAUACAAUAUUUAAUUAUUUAAUUUUCUGAAUUAAAUUUAAGUAUUUAAUAAUUUCGAAAAUUAUGUCGGGAUGGCCGGUUGUUAGAAUUUCGCGCUGAUCGCAGCAGUGCGGUCGGUUUGUGUUAAUUGUAUGUUUAAAUUGAGAAAUUGAGUGAUUGAUGAUUAUGGUUAAUUAUUCCAAAAGUGUGGAAUUGAGUGAUAUUGAUGAAGUUGUGGUAUUUAACUUGAAAAUACCCAGUGUUGGCUUUUAGCACCGUAAUUGGUUUGUAUGACUAGUUUGAACCGUUGGUUAUUAUUCGAUUGAAUAUCUAGUUCUAUGGUUUAUUAUUGAAUGAUCAGCUUUGGCAAGAAUUGGUUUAUAUAUAUAUAUAUAUGUAUCCGCUUAGGCGAGCAAUUAUGAUAUUCAUAUAUAUUGCGGCAGCUUCUGGUGAGCUAUAGUAUACUCUAUUGAAUAUUGCGGCAGCUUCUAGUGAGCUAUAGUAUACUAUAUAAAUAUUGCGGCAGCUUCUGGUGAGCUAUAGUAUACUAUAUGAAUAUUGCGGCAGCUUCUGGCGAGCUAUUAUAUUAUCUAUCAGCUACAGCUUUGGAAAGCAUAUGUCUUAUUAAUGACUGGUUUGAUAGUCGGUAUGGAAAGAUAGAUAAUGUGAUGGAAUUGAAUCAUGGCGAAUGAUUGGAUUGACUGAAUUGAUAGACCGAUGGGUAUGUCGGUAGUUUCAGCUUGUACGAGCAUUGCUUGAAUAUGAAUUGUACUGACGUGCAGGAAAAAGACUGAGGCGAGGUAAGCCCUCUAUCCUAUUUGUGUGGCUAGAGCGCCUUGAGGCGUAUUUUCUUCCUAAUUGAGUUUUAGAGGGUAGGACUCGCUGAGACGUAGUCUCAUCCCGAUUGUGGGAUAACAUUUCAGGUCCCUAGAUGACGGUCGUGGAGGACUGGAAGUCCUGGAGUUCAGAAGGUGGAGGCUGAAGAAUCGGCGAACGUGUCUGUCAAGUUGGUCAUAGGACAGUUCCCUAGUUGUUGAGUCUGUUUAUUUUGUAGAUAAUCCAGUGUUGUAUAUAAACCUAUGCGUUUAUAGAAAGCUUGUUUGGUUGUGAUUGAUUGCCUGCUUUUCUAUCCCAAGUUAAAUGUUGUCAGGGGAUUUGUUUCGCUUCCGCAUGUGCAAUAUAAAAAUGAAUGGGUCGGCGACAUGUCCUGGGAAGUCGCAUUUGUAUCGACCAGAGUGGGAUGUUCGCGCGCUCGGAGGAUCGGGGCAUGACACCCUCCCUCCCUGUUUUCUCUUUUUGUGUGAAUGUUGCUUCUCUAUUCGUUUUGGGUUCUUUGCUUCACUUCUUUGAUGUUUUCAUUCAAAUUUUGUGAUUUCAUAUUUUAAUUUUAUUUAAAAUUGUCAUAUUCUUAAUGAUGUUGGAAAUGCAAGGUAGAAAUGAACAAAUGGUUGUUGUCAUUUCUCUCUUAUUUAUUUUGUGUUGGCCCCAAAUGCCAAUAAUUUUAUAUAAGACAAAUCUAUGAUAUGAUGUUGCCAAGCUAUUCACUUCAAACUUUCAAAUUAAAAUUAUUGAUUGAUAAAUUGUCUGCAAAUAGAGUUAUAAUUUGUUAAAUGACACCAAAUGAGCAUAACACGUUAGUAUUAAGUUACUAAUGAUAUAUGAAAUACUUGUACACUGUCCUUGAGUUCUUUUUCUGGGUCAUUUUUUUUAUUACAAUUUUGUUGGCAUAUCAUUCAACUCUUGAAAAGUCAGUAAAACAAUGAUAAAAGAAGUAUGUGAAAUAUUUAAAAAAUAAAAGAUAAUUUAGGAAAAAGCAUAGAAAAGAAGGGCAUGAAGUGUCUAGGCUUACUUUUAGAAGAAAGCAGUGAUAUUUAGAGGUAAUGUCCAAAAGGCUUUUGAAUUAUGAAUUCACAACAUAGAGAAACUUUCAUGAACAUAAAUUGAAAGUGAAAAGGGGAAUGAAAGAUGUAUGGAAAUUUGAGGGCGAAAGUUGGAACAAAAAGAUGCAUUUUUGCGCAUAAAAAGGGUUGAUGAACUAAUCUCUAUGAACAAUAAUGAACAUAAAUCUGUUACCACAUAAGGAAAAACGAACAUGAAAUCUUUAAUUAAUUGGUAAUUGAUUGACUAGGAGCAGUUGCAGAUGCUUUUAGCCCUUGCGUUAUCUUCUUUUGGACCUCACACUGUUGAAGUCAAACUUGUUGGCUUGAUCCACCCAUGAGUACCGUGUACAUCAAUUUUUCAAUUGGGCUAUAAAGAACUGAAAUAUGUGUACAAGUAUAUUGCAUUCAAUUAAGAAUAUAAGUAUACGUUUGGUCUUUAUUUGGUUAUUGAAACUCAGAAUUUUAUAAAUCAUUUAAUAGAUAAUAAUUGAGUUGAAACGGAAUUAGAAAUGUGUGAAAGACUUCAAGAAAGGACCAAGCUAGUAAUUGUGGAUGUGAUUUUAUAUUUUAAUUUCGUUUAACAAUGUCAGUUGGAAAUGUGAGGUAAAGAUAAACAAAUGCUGGUGGUUAUUUAUCUUUUAUCUAUUUCACGCUGGAACCACAUGCUACAAUUCCAUGUAAAAUGAAUGUAUUUUGAAUUAGUAUGUUAUGACCGAGCCUUUCAAUUCAAAUUUUCAAAUCUAAAAAGUUGAUUGAUAUCUUGUCUAUAAAAUAGAGCUAUUAGAUGGCACCAAAUAGAGGAGUGGAUGCUCCCUUAGUGCUCUCUUUUUAUACACUCUUUUUUUUUUCUUAUUGAGAUUAUUGAACGUAGUUAUUUAUCUUUUAUCUAUUUCACGAUAGCACCACAUGCUACAAUUCCAUAUAAAAUGAAUUUAUUUUGAAUGAGUAUGCUAUCACCGAGCCUUUCAUUUCAAAUUUUCAAAUCUAUAAAGUCGAUUGAUAUCUUGUCUAUAAAAUAGAGCUAUAAUUUGUUAGAUGGCACCAAACGGAGGAACGGAUGCUCCGUUAGUGCUCUCUUUUUAUGCACUCUUUUUUCUUCUUAUUGGGAUUAUUGAGUACAAGCAUAAAGACACAAGAAGCACCGCAAAGGAACGACCUAAAAUGGAAGUAGAAUAUGAUAAUUGGCUAAAUUUGUGAUAAUUCAGGUUAAAUUGAUUAAUCACAUUUUGAAGAAUGAAUUUCUUGUUUGAAAAGAAAGAGGUGUAAUAAAUGAGUGAUAUAAAGCUAGGCGACACUCCUAAUAUGCGUGUAUGGCCCAAUUUAUUCUAUUGUUUUCAUGAGUGUAUCAUAAGAUCGAUUUAUAUUUUUUUCUUACUAUUGGAUAUCAUGUAAAAGAUCCUAGGAAGUAUCAUACUAUGGACUUUGGUAUGUUUUAUAUUGCGAUGAUUGAAAUUGUCAUGAGUUGUGAGCAGGUAAAAAGUAGCAAUAUAGUUAAAAUGCUCAAACUCUCACUGUACUUUUUAAUUCCUCAUUUACUUUUCCUUUUUUCAAGUAAAGACUCUGUCAAUUUUUGAAGCUUUGAAGUGAGAAAAUGAUUUUCUUUUUCUUUUUUCUUGCUAAAGAAGGGGGAAAAUGAAUCAGAGGUGAAAGGGAAUAUACUUUCUAGGAUUAAUGGUCCAACAAUUCGAGUAAAAUAGGAUAUUACUCAUUUGGAAUGUUCUAGAGGGAGUAAAAUUGUUGAAUGAAGUCUUCUUAAGAGAAGACUUACUCUUAGGAUGAUUGGUUUCAGGAUAAAUGGGUUCUAAACAAAGAAUUAGGAACUUAUCAUGUAAUGAUUGGUUCUCCUCUUUUAUAACCGAUAACCAGAGUAGUUGACCCAAGAACCAGCCUACUUUUAUUUUUUUGAUUUAUUUUUCCAUAAAUUGAUCUAGGAUCUUCGAACAUAUAGAAACCUCACAAUGCAUAAAAAGAUAGAAUGGUCUAUGAAUUCAACCGAAAUGUGGCAAAUUUGCGUGCAACAGAGUCUAGUGUACUUGCAGACCUACGCACUCUAGUUCAACAAAAGAUCAGUACUAAAUUAUGAUGCAACUAAGAAUCAGAUAGGAAGGUCAUCAUAGGAUUAGCCACAUCUAAAGUCGAAAACAAAAGGCUUUCCUUUUUUCACUGAAGUCAAAUCUUAAGCUGGGGACAUACCUCGUCAAUAAGCAACAGAGACUUCAAAAGAGAGAAUAGAAGACCCUCCUUUGCUAUUCAGCAACCACCCCCACAUCCCCAAUAGACAAAACAGGCCCAGAGCACACUUAGUUCAGCCGAUUAUUCCAAUAAUAAAGUGACAAAAUCAAAAUAAACGAGAUGCUUAUAAGAGAUCAAAAAGUGAUUACCACAAGUGAGCUAAGAAGCGAAAAGAGGCACGAGAUCGGAGAGAGAGGAGACCGUAAACAAGCCUGGGCGAGAACUUUCAAGAGGGAUAAAGAAUAGAGUGAGGACUAAUCAGUAGACGAUAGUCUCGAAUUGUUCUGCAAGAGAGAGGCCGAAUGCGAAUGAUAAAGUGAGAAAUGAGUGAGAGAGAGAGAGAGAGAGAGAGAGAGAGAGAGAGAGAGAGAGAGAGAGAGAGAGAGGACCUAUUAGUAGUAGAGAGGACCUAUUAGUAGUAGGCUAUAGUCUCGAAUUAUUUUUGAUGGACUUAUAUCUUCAUAUGGCUGAUUGACUAGUAGCAAUAAAAUUGUUUUUAGGUGGCAAGCUAUGUCAAGCCACACAAUAUGGACCAGCGUACGGAAUGACCUCUUCUGCUCAUAUCUACUUAAAAACCAUUUUGUUAAACUGAUAAAUGUGGUUCUAACCGACUUGUGAAUCUUCCAUUAUAUUAUUUUCAAAGACAUUCUUACUCCUGUAAAUGUUAAAUUAUCCUCCUACCCUGAACAUGGAUAAAUCAUAUUGUCAAAUCCAUUGUAAGUCAGUAAUUUCCUGCACUGUGUAUAUAUGUCUUUGCUCUAAGCAGUAAAAUCGCAAGAAAACCACACUUUAUGAUGAGUUUUUCUAAUUCAGUCCACAAAGAGAAAGUCCACCUAAAAAUUGUCUACAUAUUAAAUAUGCAUAAGUACGUUGAAAGUAGCAGCUUUGCUCACUUUCAAGUUUUCCAUUGUAACCAGCACAGAAAAAUGGUACGAUUGCAAAUUUUUCAUAAUUUACGAAAGACAUUUGAAUUUUCUGUCAUUUUUCCAGGAAUUACGGAAAUUGCUAAUAAAAUGAAAAAUGGUAUUAUGGACAUCCAAAAAUUCUCUGGUUGAUCUGACCUGUUCGAAAAAAAAAUUAUUGUUGAUAAUUCUCAUCCAUAGCCUGUGAAAGGUUUUGUGCGAUUAUAGAAGGAAAUAGAUUAGCACCAUCGAUAUUUGGAAAAAUAUAGUUUUUUAAAUAUUUUCAAGAAAAAAAGAAAUAUUUUCACAAAAACUGAGUAUUUUGGAUCUUUCAUGCUUUAAGUAAUUUUGGACAAUUGCUGUACGUAUAAGGCCAAUGGACCAAAAUUGAGUCUAGAAGGGUAUUUUCGCAAUUUUCAUCAAGCAGGCUUUUUUGUCCCAAGAGCUUAGUCAACCAUUAAUGUUUUGGAAACAAUGUCAAAGAUAAGGGCCAGCAUGUGAUUCCACCAUAUUCAACCGGUCUAACCAUUCACAACGGUUUUUUUUUCUAGGUUCAAAAUAACCAAUUAGUUUAAAUGAGAAGAUUUUAAUAAGAAAAAUUAGCAAUAUAUAUGAUGAUGAUUUUGAAAAAAUCGAGGGAAUUAUACAAGAAAUAUUUUGUAUGCCUUAAAGGAUGCUAGGCGUUAGGCCAUGAGUAAUAAUCAAAUAUAUUUUUGUCCUAUCAAUUGUAAUAGAUGGGAGAAUGAAGGUCAAGCUUACCUCGAGGAGCAAUGCAGAGAUGAAAUUACUGUGAUGGGUGUUUGAGAAGAAGUCGCCUUGAAGUAGAUCAAGUUGUGUUCGAGUCUCGAAAGACAGUACAAUUCGAGGAUCACCUUCACACCUCAGCCUAGAGCUAUCAAAGCACAUAUAUCUCAGAACAAAAUGAGAGUCUCAAUGAUUUAUGGUGAUUGGUGUUUCUCCUCUUCAAGCACAACCACUUGGGACUUUAAAUAAAGCUUUACUUCUUCUCUUGCCCCAAAGGAGAUGUGUAACUUGUGGUAGAUGGCUUAUGUUAGAGGAGGCAAUUGUACUUCUUUUGAUUCUAACCUUUUUGAUCAAGACCACCAAAACAAUCCCUUCCUAGAAAUUGGUAAGACGACCCCUGUAGACUUUACUUGUUAGUUCUUUUUGUUAUUGGAUCCCGUGGCCAACAAAUCACAGUGGAAAUUACCUUUUUGAAGAUAGGCGAUACUUUUAUCCUCACCUUUUGACAAUGGCUCCGUGUGGCCACUCAAAUUAUUGAUAGACUAGCAUCCAUAUUGCCGAUUGACAUAGCAAUUAGAUUGUAAUUGGACCGCAUGGCCCACUCAAAUCAAAUUGAAGAUGGGCGAUGCUUUUUGCUUUAUCCUCACCCUUUGCUUUACCCGCCCCAUCAACCAAUGACUAGAUACUUUUAUGUUGGAGUCAAGGUGUUCACAAUGAAAAUUAGUUUUCACAUGAUGCUACUUCAAAAGAGCCCUGCAAUCAUGUCUUUUAAUUGGCAACCUGCCCCAUCAACCAAUGACUAGAUACUAUUAUGUUGGAGUCAAGGUGUUCACAAUGGAAAUUAGUUUUCACAUGAUGCUAUUUCAAAAAACCCCCCACAAUCAUCUCCUUUAGUUGGCAACUUUUGGAAGGUGCUCAUAGUGGAAAUUACUUCUUUUCUUGCGUCAAAAGAUCAGCUAGAUGUGCUUGCGAUACAAACAAUCCUAUCGUGGAUUUGCAAGUCUUCAAUGAAAGAAUUUACUUCUUUAACCGACUAACUCUCACCUUUUGUUAGUUUUCUUUUUAAUGGAAUCACAUUGUCACGCCCCGAACCCCGAGCGCGCGCACAUCCCACUGCGGUCGAUCAAAAAUGCGACAUCCCAGGAUAUGUCGCCGACCCAUUCAUUUCUUUACGCAUGUGGAAGCGAAACAAAUCCCCUGACAACAUUUAACUUGGGAUAGAAAAGCAGGCAAUCAAUCACAAUACCAAACACUCAUUUACAAACACAAAGGGGGUUUAAAUACAACACUGGACUUUCUACAAAUUAGACCAGCUCGACAAAAGGGGGAUUAUCCUACAACCAACUAGCAAGACACGCUCUUCAACCCUUAUGACUUCACCUCUGCAACUCCUCAAGGCCAACCAAAGCUAUAUGGCCGCUCCGUCCACCAGGGACCUGAAAUUUUAAUCCCACAACCGGGAUGAGACGAUGUCUCAGCAAGUUCAACCCCCUAAACCCCUAUUAGAAAGAAAAUACGCCCCGGGUGGCCUAGCCACAUCACACAGAAGACUUACCUCGCCUCAGCCCUUAUCUGCAGGUUAGCACAAUUUAUAUAAACCAACCACGUGCAAUUAUGAUAACCAAACAACCAUGGUACAAUCACAUCAUCAAACCAUUCAACCACUUGGAUCGUCUCAGCGAUCAAUCGACUCGACCGACUUCAUGUCAUUCUAGCAAAUCAAUCAUUGCUCUCAACUACGGCCCUACUCGGCAAAUUUAAAUCAGUGGCAUCACGGCCCCACUCGGCGCGACCUUUAACAGGUGGCAAUUCACGGCCCCACUGGGCACGACCUCUUGUAGGUGGUUUUUCACGGCCUCAUCGGGCACGACCUUUCCAAGGUGGUUUAUCACGGCCUCUCUGGGCACGACCUCUCAGAGGUGGUUUAUCACGGCCUCUCUGGGCACGACCUUUCACAGGUGGUUUAUCACGGCCUCUCUGGGCACGACCUCUAAUAGGUGGUAUUUCACGGCCUCAUCGGGCACGACCUCUUGUAGGUGGUUUUUCACGGCCUCAUCGGGCACGACCUUUCCAAGGUGGUUUAUCACGGCCUCUCUGGGCACGACCUCUAAUAGGUGGUAUUUCACAGCCAAUCUCCCAUCAAUUUCUACACUUAGGAUUUCGUAAAGAAUCCCUAUAAAUCACAAUCACACUCAAUUCAUCACAACCAAUCAUCAGUUUCAAAUUCUAAAUGCACAGCAACGAUCGGCACGAAAUUCUGAGCAAAUAAGGUCCCAAUGGAAUAUUUUCGGAAUUUAAUAAAUAAUUAAAUUNNNNNNNNNNNNNNNNNNNNNNNNNNNNNNNNNNNNNNNNNNNNNNNNNNNNNNNNNNNNNNNNNNNNNNNNNNNNNNNNNNNNNNNNNNNNNNNNNNNNNNNNNNNNNNNNNNNNNNNNNNNNNNNNNNNNNNNNNNNNNNNNNNNNNNNNNNNNNNNNNNNNNNNNNNNNNNNNNNNNNNNNNNNNNNNNAUAAUAUUUUCCAGAAUUUCGAAGCACUUAAAUAAUUCAAAACUAAAAUCAUUUUGUGUCACAUCAAGGCUUAACUUUAAAUAAACUCUCUUAGCAUUUAAUUAAACAUACUUUAGAUUAAACAAACAUCUUAAUCUAAAUCAUAAUCAAAUCAACUAAAUUAACCACCUAAGCUUAAUCAACUUAAGCUAAGCACACCUAAAGCAUAAUUAACCCUCUAAGCGAGGUUUAGUGAGCUAAACUCACCGGAUUAGCGAGCCGAGCGAACCAAAACGACGGGGACGACGCGAGGAUCGACUUUCCUCAAAGCGGGCCGAGCAUUCGGGCUCGGGAAGGCGGCCAAAAAGGGCCAAACACCAGCUGCAUACCCAUUUUCUGCAACUUCCGGUGGCUGCUGGUUGGGGGCGGAUCCGGCGGUGAUUCGGCGGAGGAACGGCGGAGGAGAGACCGGCGGGGCUUGGACGAGCUAGGGGGAAGUCAACGGCGGCUCACGGCGGGGCGCACGGCGGCGCUGCUGGCUGCUGCUUCGGCGUCCUACCAGAUCUGGAAUUUUCGAGCAGCAAACGGAGGGAGAGAAGAGAGGCGGAAGGCGAGCGGCGAAGGCGACAAGAGGCGGCAACGGGCGUGCGGCGAGCGGCGACCGCUACGAUGGCGAGCAGGCGGGCGGCCGGUGAGCUGCUGGUCGAUCUUCACUGUUGCUGGCGCGGUGACGGAGGGGCUGAACGGAGGGAGAGACGGUCGCGGGGCUGGUAGGCGCGGGACGACGCGUCUGCACCGGCGGCUCGGCACGACGACGACGAACGGCGAGGGAGGAGGCGCACGGCUGGCUGGUCGACGGGCGGCUCCCCUUCGCUGGUUCUCUCUUCCCCCUCUUUCUCUCUCCUUCCCAAGGUUGAAGAUGAAGUGAAAGCCCCCCCUUUUCAAGAGCCAAUCUCCACCCUCCAUUUGUCAAGAUCUCAACCAUUGGCCUCAACUACCAUGACAUCAUCCUAUGUCAUCUUCCACUCACUCCAAUCCUCCACAACUUCUCCAAUGGUUGCAUUUUAUUUUUCCGCCGGGGUCCAAUUCUUGUACGUCCCAUUUCUUCAAUUCUCAUCAAUUCUCUUCCAAUUGAAUUAAAUUAAAGCCCAUAAAAUUAAUUCAAUGCUACCACACUUUAAUUCACAUCUUCACUUGUCUAUAGAACCAACUUAAGUCUUAAUAGCAAUACCAAAGGCGGGCCUACUAAUUUCUCGGGUCAAAUUAACCAUUUUCCGAUUUAAUUGCUGAAAAACUCGGCUUACAUGAAAAAUCUUCCAAAGAUGAUUCAAUGAUCUUGAAAUGAUUUGUGACACACCCAGACUUCCAAUUUCUGAAUUCGAUCUCAAUUCCACGGUUAAUUUCACUUUGGCACGAUAUUAACGCGGCCCAACCUACCGGGUAGCCUUUAGAAGUUUUCAUGCAUUUGACUUGUGGUUGAUCAUCUCAAGCCACAAUGUACAUCUUUGAAACAUUGGCAACUUUCGGUUGUCGGGGUAAUCUCGAGGUUUCAAAUACGGACACAGGGUACCCAAUCGAUAGAAAAGUCGGUCCAGUGUCGAUCGACAAGAAUUGUGUGAUCCGGUGGAAUCACCUACACUCGAUCACAUGCCCUUAUCGAGUCAACCUAUCUCCGGUCUCUAAUCGAUUUUUAUUUGUGCCGUAAUGACCCUUGCAGAUUAGCUCGGUCGAAAGGUCGCUUCCUGGUCAAAUUCUCGAGUCUGAUGCAUUAGAAACUCUUAACAGCUUUACCCGAUAGACUAGUUUUCACAUGAGUGGCCGACUCAAGGAAAGGAACUAUAUGCGUGCCAACGAAAUGCCCGUCUCAAUUUAUUGAAAAUAGAAUCGGAAAAUCGGGAUGUCACACACAUGGCCACGCAAAUCAAAGUGAAGAUUGACAACAUUUUGCUUUCGAGGUAAAUACAGUUUAAGUGUCAAAACUUUUGUAUGAUGCUCACUUUGGUGCCAAAACUUUUUUUUCACUCACUUGAGUGCCAUAUCGGGAUAAAUCGAUCACUUACGUGCCAAUUCUGGCCAAAUGGGUUACGUGGAAUUUUUUUUUUUUUUUUUUUACUUUUAAAAUUUUUUUGAAUUUUUUCUUUACAUUUGUAUUUUGCUUUUUUUUUUCUUUAAGGCCGGCGAGGGUUGCGACCCUCGCCAGUCGUGGUCACCUUGCCCUCGGCCGCAAGGCCCCCCGCCAGUCGUGAUCAGUGAGGCCGUGAUGGCCCUCUUCCACUCUAGGUGGUGUCGCUUGUGACUACCCAAAGCUGGACGCCGCCCAAAGUGGCCCCAACGGCCUUGCCCAAGGCCUUUGCGGACAAGGGCGAGGCGGCCGUGGCCAGCGAAGGUCACCGAUGACCCUCGCCGACCCUAAAGAAAAAAAGAAAAAAAAGUUAAAAAAAGUUAAAAAAUAUUAAUAAUAAAUAUUAACAUAUUAAAAUAAUAUUUUCUGGCGGCCACGUCAGACAACUGGCAACCAUGUUAGCUUUUUCGACGAGCCAAAUUGGAAAUGGUACUCAAGUGAUUGAUUUUUCAAAUUCAUAGCACUUAAGUGAGCGACAAAGAAGUUUUUGCAUUAAAGUGAACGUUGUACGAAAGUUUUGGCACUUGUUUUACUUUCCCUUCCCGUUGUCACUCAUAUUUAGUGACCUAUAUCAUAUAUGGAUUAGCGAAAAUUCAAAGAAUAGGUUGGUAUGAAUUUAAAGUAAAAAAAACUAUUCCAAUAUAUAUUUUAAUGAGUCUUGACCAUUGACCAUGUCUAUAUGAAAUUCAUGUUAAUCGAAAAAGCGAGAAUAGUAAUGAUUUUUCCAAUUGCUCAAAGCUGCAAUAAUACUUGACUAGAUGUAGCAUUGAAUUUGAGUAAUUCUGGCAUGCAUGGAGCUCGACGCGGUGUUAGAUCUCAAUUAGAUCUAAUGUUGAGCCCAACACUGUGGUGGGCCGUUAUCAAGGACUCGCAUUGUAGCAAUUAAGCACGACACCUAGUUGGGUCAACGGGAUAUUUCUCCUUAUAUAGCAUGCUUAUGCCAGUAUUUGAAUUUUGCAAAAUAAAUCAUUAUGAAGAAAAAAAGACUUCUUCGAAAAUUCUAUAUCAAUUUUUCUAUAAAAUUGAGUUAAUUACCUUUUAGAAAAUUCUGUGGUGAGAGAAAGCAAGUCAAAGUCUUCCACAUCUUGCUUGCUUAGUUGCAAAGAAAGUGAUGAGGCAAGAGCCAACAAGACCUACUCAAAAGAAAGGAGGGACAAAGGACGGGAGAGAAAAAGUAAGUCAAAAUCUUCUACCAUCUUACUUGCUUAGUUGCCAAGAAAAGGAUAAGGUAAAAGCCGACAUGGCCUACUCAAAAGAAAAAGGGCGGAAAAAGUUUUUGGCGAUGGAAUGCAAGUCAAAGUCUUCCAUCAUCUUGCUUGCUUAGUUGCAUUGGGACCAUUAUUUAUCAUGAUAAUAUUGUAUAAACUUAAUUCAGAAAUGAUACAACAAAAAAGAUCAAUUACAAUAUAAAAAUUGUACCGAGAUUUACGUUUUAUGAUGGGGCUUUUUAUGGGGUUUGCACGGUUUCUCUAAGGUGUUUUAAUGAAAUCUAGAUGUCCGGUAAUGCUACGUCAAUACAUUAUACAUCAAACUCUUCAAUUUGCCUAUUAACUCUUAUAACUAAUGUUGAUUUGAUAGCACAUGUGGUAAUGUUAUUGUUCUAUAAUUUAUAUUCUUUUUCCUUUAAAUUGACUAGAGUGAGCCAGUACAGAUCACUGUCUAUGAAUGUCAACUCACAAAUAUGUGGCACCUAUAAUCCCGACGCUAGUCUAUUAUCAAGUGUUUGAGGAGAGUUGAAAUUGACAUGUGAAAGCUAUUUGUUACUUGAAAUAUACAUCAACAUAAUAAAUAAAAAAAAGCAGCUACUUGAUAAAGUUUGUCAAAUUUUCAUCUUUAUUUAAAAUUAUAAAAUCCAUUUUCUUCUCCCCUGCUUGCUUUGCUUAUGCUGAUUGUGAUUUUUUUUUUAAAAAAAAAAUUACAUUCAAUCCGACAUUCUUUUUUGGUCCAGAUACAAUUCAGCACACAUAUUAUAUUUACAUAAUAAUUGCUCGUAUUAUGAGGACGCUGUUAAGAGGAGUAACAUGUAAAACUAGUAAGAUUUUUGCCUUUUGCUUAGGAACAUACUCGUCAUUUUCUGGCUUAACAGAUAAUGGACCAUUAAACUAAUCUGAAAAAUCCGGUUUUGCUGGCUUUUGAUGGUCAUAAACCACGGGAAUCAAAGGUGUAUUGGUGCUCUCUAAGUGUAUUCCAGAGCAACAGUAAGAUAAAGGGAGUACCUUUGGAUCUUUGACUCUUCCCUCUUCCAUCCGUUGACUGAGAUGAGAUAUCAGCGGCCCAAAAUGGAAAAGAACAAAAGGGAAUAAAUCCAUUCACACCAUCAUCUCAGUACUACCAAAUUUAAGACUUCGAAACGAGGUAAAAAAUCUUGGGUUCUACCGCGCAAUAAACAAAAGCAAAGGAUCAACACAUGAAGAGAACAAAGAAGAUUGUUUACCUUCGCCAGCCAAAAGAUUGCAAGGUCAACAGCAAAUGCAAGAAAAAAAUCCAGAAAUAAACCAUACGAAACCGUUUAUUAUUUACAAGCAUAUACUAUCCUAGAAACAAUAUGUGUGCCAUUAGCAGGAAGACUUGAAAGAUUGUCUUCGAUACAAAAUAACUAUAGUGGUACAUCAUCUUUUUAACAUGCAAAACAAUGAUUUCAUUAGACACAAUUUGCCGAACCCUAUCAUGAAGAACGUGAUAUCCGAAAAGCACGUCACUCCCAAAAGUACUUUUCAUGCAUAUGGCAAGGUGCUAAGUGUUGCUCUGUGUCGCAAAACAGAAAAAAUUGAUUUGAUCCCAACACAAAAUUAGUAAUUUUGUAAGAUGGACUCAAUUGGUAAAUUAUCAAAAAGUUUAAGCUUCAAUUGGCAAAAUUGAAUGGCUUGGGACUGAAUUGAUAAAUUUUCAAAAGGUAAAGAUAAGGGAGAAAAGAUCAUAAGUUCCUCAAAUUGGAGAGUUGCAAGCUGAUGAGGACAUUUAAGGGAUCACAUUAUCUUCCACCACUAAUCAUAUUUGAAAGACAACCAAAUGUCAUGUUAAUCAGCGACAACCAAGUGUCCGAUGAUAUACUCUUCAGUGGGUCAUCAUAUGAGUCGAGUAGAACCAUUUAAGACCCUGUUGCCCUCAAAAUCAGAUCACCAAGUUUUGUAUCUUCAAGCUAAUUUUGAAUGGUAGUUGCAGAUCACUUCUUUAAGGUACACUAUUGGGGAAAUCGAACGAAGUGAACAUCCAAAGGAUCAAGCAUUCCCCUCCAGCAAUUUAUCCAGCAAUCCGGUCAUCUGAUUUGGGCAAAUUAUACGACAUUGGAAAGCUCUUACGAUGCACAAUCAAAUUAUAGACAUUGAUCAUAAUCUUAGCAAGGGUUAACUUUUGAUCAAAAUCAAGUCGAAACUUGGUAAAAAAUAUAGGUGUCUUCAAGGUCAACAGUCUUCAAUGAAGUAAUAAAUUUGAUUCACAUCCAAUAUUUGUUUGGAUUGAGGGAAGGGAAAAAAAGGGUGGCAGUAAUAAUCUAGGGACUUUUCUUUAGAGGCAGAGCAAUAAGCGGAUGAAACAUGAUUUUCUAAUCUCUAAAAUAGUCAGAUGAUUCUUUUCCGUCUUUCUAAGUUAUAUUGAAAAACUUCAUUUGACGCGGGACUGUUCUUCAGACCAGUUGAAAAGUGCAUAACAUAGGGUUUCAUUUUAUUUUAUUUUUGGUCGGAAACAUAGGGUUUCUUUUCGAUAAAUAAUGCAAUGCACUUUUUCAUGAAUGCACAGAAAUGGUAAGAGUGACUCACCAUGUUUUUUUUUUUUGGGUCAUAGACUUACCUUGUUCAAGCGCUAAAUAAUCCACACAAGCUAAUGAUAUAUUUCCUUAGCCCCCGCACUUUGAGAAUUAAAGAAAAAUUAAACCCCCAUAUGGCAUCUUAUUCUGUAAAAUUGGAUCAAGCGAUCUUGAUUGUUAUUUUGAACAUGGGUGAAUUAUUUCUCAUAUAUCGCUUGUUGACAUGUUAGAUUAUGAUAAACUACAUAUUGAGAUAUGAUAUAUGUUCACCGACGAUUCUGAUUUGGGGUCUAAUCGCAGUCGAUGUAAUUUUUUAGGCUUAACGACAAUUGAUAUAGUAUCUAGGACCUUGUCACGUGAUGAAGCAUGACUGAGAUUGGGCAUCAGAGCUUGCCAGGGACGACACAACGCCCUUUUUUUUCUUUUAAUAAAUAAAUUCAAUAAAAACUAUUUUUUUCGUUCAAAUAUUGGAAAUAAUGAGAGAUUAAUUGAGGAAAAUUAAUAAAAACACAUAUUUCUGUUAAACCAAAUUAAAACAUAAGUAUACCUUCAAAAAAUUUGAAAAAGCUCUAAUUAAUUGUUACACUCAAAUAUUCAUGUCCCUCACCAUGAUUCAUAUAAUACAAUGUCAUUGUUGUUCUAGUGUCCAUGUUGGGUGUCCAUGUUGGGUACAUUCCUCUGGAGUUAAUUCUUGUGAAAACUAAUCACACCCUACAGUAACCAUUUCUAAAUUUUACGCACACAAGUUUGAUCUAUUUGACUUCCAAAAGUUGGCCAAUAAUAAACAUAGACUUUCGACAUUUAUGCCGGUGGAAUGAGUAAGUCACAAGCCAUGAUCAAAAGAGUCAGAAAAGUGGUGGCUUACCUCUUCCACUAUUUCAAGUCCUCAGGUCCUCGAGGUUAUCUCUACCAACUCUAUCGAUGUGCUUGGAGUAGUUGAUUCCCACGUACAUCUCCAACUCAUUGGUGGAUGAUGAAGACGAAGACUUUGCAAGCUAUGGCGUGUUCUACUUAUGAAGCAAAGACCAUAUAGGUUUGUGGACACUACUCAGAGGCUGCAUUCUUUGGCCGUGAGAUGGGUUGUAUUAUAUCGAUUGAUAUAUGCCACAUAUAUAUUUGAGAGCCAACUCAUCGUUAUUACCAAUCUGUGUUCCACUUGAAACUCUUGACUUAGUCCCAAAUAUAUGUAAUAUGGAAGAAGAAGCGUUUGAACCCCCCCAACUUGAACCGUGUAUCCAAGAUAGGGGCUACCAAGACAAAAGCACCUCCAACUUGAACCUUGUUUUUGUAAUAUUUAAUGAAUUUCGCCUUUGUGGCCACUACUAUUUCCUUGUUGUUCAUUUAUUCAAUUACAUUAGGAAUAGAAAUGGAAGGACUUGAUUGCCCACUAAUCCAAACCUCCAGAUUUCAGUCACAACAAAUUCGCAGUUUUUCAUGUAGUUUGUAAGUUCAUUCUCGUAUUCCAAGGUCUAAAGCAAGUAUCAGUGGAACAAACUCACCUUGAUGCAAAACAAGAGCUUGAAUUAUCAUAUCAGAAAUUGGAAAUGUGAUUGUUUCAAGCAUGAUUUCUGCUAUUAGUCAAAUCUGACGUAUAAAAAACUAAUCAAAGAUUUCAGAUGGCGAGGAACCCCCCUAAGAAAAUCAAUAUAGCUGGGAAAAAUAAGAAAGGUUCUGGCUGGAGUAAGCAUUAAACUUGUAAACUAGCACAAGAACAUAGGUAGCUAAAUGGAAGAUGAAAUCCCAAAACUACCCAGAUGAUUCUGCAAAUCUAUGCAAAGCGACAAAACACCAUUUUUGUUUGAACAAAUUCCUCCAUACUCUUCACAACUUAAAGCCACCUGGAGAUUGGUGAGGACCAACCUAAUGAUCAAUGACGACCAGAUGAAAAGGGAACGAACCGGAUCCUGUCUAAUUGAUGGUGAUUUUUUUUUUUUUAUUCGUCAUUUUCCUCAUUAACAAUAAUUUCCUGUUAACAUAUCAUCUCGUAACUUCUUGAACAUGGCGUAAUUUCCUUUUAGUAGUUGUAAGUUUCAUAGAUCCUAUAAUUUGUAAUAUUCCAUUAAAAUUUUUAAUCUGCCUAAGUUUAUAGUAAAUUUCUUUUCUUAUUGUUGGUAAAUUACCUAAUGAAUCUUAACGUUCGUUUGGCAUACAUAAUCAUCCUCACUAAUAAUAAUUUACUUGUAAAAAAUCCUUUUGUAAUUUUUCUUUUAGAGGAUGCGGUUUUUGUUUGGAGGGCAUAAAUCUCUGGAACUUGUGCUUUGUAAUAUUUCAUAGAAACAGUAAUUUAUUUGGUUAGUGGUAAAUUUCUUUUUUGUGCGUUUAAUGAAAUAUCUAAAUUGAUAGUAGCUUUCUUUACACUUUGUAAAUUUUGAAACUUAUAUGUUGGUAAUUUUCCUUACUCAUUAUAGCUUUUUUCAAUCAAAUGAAAGUUUGAUCACCUUGUGUUCGUAACUCUCCUUUACUGUUUGCAAAUCCAAAUUCUAUGACAAAAAGUCGAUUUUGCAAAACAGAUUUGAUGAAUCGGUUUUUUUCCCUUUCUUAUCCAGUGGUCCACGUUGAAUGCGGGACCAGUCCCAUAAAAGGAGAGCUUCGACUUAUGGAAUUUCCAUCGUGAUCAUGAUGUUUAGGGCACAACAAAUUAGUGUUUUCUUUUUGCCAAACAGUAAAGUAGUGUUGGUACUGACCAAAAAAAAAAAAAAAUAGUGUUGGAAACCUAUCUUUCCAAAUUAUUUGAAGUUCGCUCUAUAUAUAUAUAAAGCUAAAAAAUUAAAUUAAGAUAAUUAUUACUUUGUCAUUUUUUUUUUUUGCUGAUAUACAGUGUCAAUUUUUCCUUUUGCUGAUAUACAGCUACAGAUAAAAAGAAAUUUGAGAUACUUCUCAUAUUCUUAUGUAUACAAAGAAGCCUUUACCCAUAUUCCGAUCUACCAAGUUCAAGAAUGAUUCAAGCCCGGAAAGGAAAAUGUAAAAUAGAAAGCCCCCCACCCCCAAAACCAACCAGACCCAACCGUGGGGGCGAAAAUAGAACUUCAACAAACUUUGGGUGCAAAAACGGAAUUUUCUAAAGAAUGGAAAAAAAUAUGGCUCGAAUCCCUCUCAUCCUCCAGUAUAUAAAAAUAGGAAAGGAAAAACAUCAUCAAUCCCGCCAUAGCUGGCAGGUUUUUCGAACAGAGCAAUUCGAGCGCGCGCGCUCUCUCUCUCUCUCAAGAGACUAUGGAUCGAUUCAAUUCCAUUUCGUGCAUCAUCGAUCGAUCGCUCGAAUCGCGUCGAGCAGGUUGAGAUUCCAUGGAGGUAUCGGGGCUUGGAGGUAGAGAAGGCUCGGUUGCUGAACUUGGCUCUCAAGUUCGGCUUCGACGAGCAGUCCACCAGCAAGUGCUUGGAUCGUCUCGUUUCCCUCUACGGUAACUCGGAUCGUUACUUCGAAGCCCAUUUUUCAUGCUGAUUACCGUUGGCAGAGGUUAUCUAGGUAUUUCUCGUUCCCGCGAAGAUGAUGGCUGUGGGAAUAGUUUGCUCUAGGUUUGAAUAGGGCACUUUUUGUCCUGGUCAGCGUCGCAGAGGUUGUAUAGGUCCUUCUGGAAGUCUGCUUUAGGUUUGAAUAGAUUGGAGCUGGUUUAGCGAAGUAGUCUUCCUGACUAACAAAAUGUCUGGUGCUGUUCCAGUUUGAUGUGUUUAGGUUGCUUUGGAUGGUGGUUUUUCUUGGUUAUUAGCCGAAUCUCGUGGUAUCUGGUGAUUAGGGAAUGGCGUAAAUGCUUGUGUUGUGAAGAUAAUUCGUCAUUGAUCGAUUGUGCAUUUGUAAGGAAGGAGAUUUAUUGCUGUCAGUCGUCACUCUGAUGAUGGCUCUGGAAUAGUCUCCCUUUUUGGAUUUGAAUGGACCAGAGCUGGUUAAAUCUAGUUCAUUGAGUGUUAAUCCCAUCCCAUUUCUCUGUGGGUUUUGUGGAGUAGUCUUAUUGACUAGCGAAAUGUCUGACUUAUCUUUGAACUAACCGCAAAUUACAUAUGGUGUCUUGCCUACAAUUAAGUAUGGCAUCUUACUGUAUUAGCUGCAGAUUACAUAUUGUAGAUUGUAAUUAUUCGAUCUUUUUCUUUUUCUUGUCAUGGGACUUGCAAAAUCAUCUCUUCUUUUGGUUGUCUGAAGGUGAUGAAGGUCAAGAAUUUAUCACUGUGGAGCACUGUGGCGAUGAUUUUCUAGCAGAACUCGCCGAAACUAUGCAAGACAGUGAGGAUUGGGAUGAUUUGCAAGCUGCAGAAACAGAAGCUUGUGGAGUUUUGACUGAUAUGUUUGGCCAAGAUACCCCUAUUGAUGGCGAAUGCACUGUUGUGCACGAUAUUAAUAUUAUAGAAGAUUCUCCACAACUUAAGAAAAAUCGGACUUUUCUUUAGGGGAUUCCUCUACUGACAGUGAAGACGAAGAUGAUAUAUUUGGCAGUAAAAUGGGCAGGAAACCCACAUGCUAUAUUCCUAAUCAAAGCAGUACUCCAAGCAAUUCAUCCACUCAACUUCUGGCCAGACCAUCUUCAGAAUACAUGGUGUGCUUCUAAAAACUGUGAAUUUGUCUCAUACCUUUCUGCCCCCACCCCCGCCCCCAUGCCCAAAACUCAUUUGGUCAAUAGUUGUUAAGUUUGUGGCUCGAGUUUUUGAUUCAUUUGGCUUGGGAUUGGCCCGUGUAAUUGCAUGGACCCAAUAUGCAGCUUGAAGAAUGUCUCAGCGUUGUACUGGGUUGGCCUUUCGGUGAAGCAACUGUGGACACCUGAAGAGGCCACAAUAGUUACUGGGCAAAUCCCACGAGUCUGGCCACAAUGGUCUAGUUGUUUAGGAGGUUGACAAAAAGUUGGCAGAUCUGGGCACGACUUUUGGUUCAUUUAAGAAUGACUCUGCAACCCAUAUAUCCAUUUAUUUUUGUUGCUGAGGUAUAUUGGCGUCAACAAGGACAAUGAGAAGAAUUGAGAACAGAUUAUCUUGGUUUUUGAUUGGGAGAGAUUAGAGUGUCCUUCUCAUAAAACUCUUGGGAAACGCUUUCCACUCAUCUCAUACGUUUUUGAUUGACUCUUGCGACUGGGGUUUUGGUUAGUGAGAAAUUGAUUUAUUACUUAUUGUAGUUCCCUCUCGGUCAUUGUGAAACAACUCCUCCUGUUGACGUAGAUGAAACUGCACAUCCCCUUAAAUUAGUGUGUCACUGUUAUUUGCUCUUAAAAAUGUGUCUUUCCUUGAUCAUUUCCAGUUGCUUGUAAUUCUGCUCCCAGCAAAGGACCUUAUGCAGGGUACCUGUACAAAAGCAUUUAAUAAAUUGUUUAUGAGGGCUCUCAUCCUAUCAAAUGUAUAGUAAACACUUCUAACUUGCCAGUUACAGUCUUUAAGAUCUAAAAUGACUUUAUUAGAACUGUUUGGUCAAUAAAAACAGUUGACUUUUGUUUUGGAUGAUGUAACAAUACCUAUAUUUUUCAAUUAUUUUGGGAGCAUGGUACAUCAUCCAAGUGCUCAACUUAGCAUCCAGCGUCUUUGAUAGGAGUGUUUUGCAAAAUGAAGGCUUGGGAUUUCUUUGUGCACAAUUUUCAUUUUCCAGCACUUUGUGUCAGAAACUUUUAUGGUACUGAAGAGGCUUAUUUGUGUUGAAGGACUGUAAGAGCACCAUAACUCAAGGUUCAAUAUCAUCAGUUUCAAAUAAAAGACAUUGCUCUCAGAUUUCGACAUGCAAACAAGGAACUCUGAGUUAUGAGGAAUUGCAAGCCUUGGAUGACAUAGAAUUUGCAAAUGUUGUAAUAGUUGGAAACAAGUAAUCUCAACCAAUGAAGCAUCAGGCUUGCAAAGCUUCUGUAGCCAAGCAAGAUUGCUUCGUUCUCAUGCCCACAGGAGGUGGUAAAAGUUUAUGUUACGAGGUUAGUGAAAAUGUUAAGAUUAUUUCAUUUGUGUAAUGAUUUAAUGUAGAAGUAUGUGUGGAGACAAUGCUUAGAGAACAAGCCCUAUGCACUUCGCUUAAUGGUUCCACCAACUAAAUACUAGACAGGUAGACCUGAAUGUCGAAAUUUAAGCUUUAAAAUGAUCUUGUAUAUCUGCUUUGUUACCACUAUUGAGAAGUUUGUGCUUAAACUUAUGGAAGGAAAUGUUUUCCAAAUGGAAAUUAAGUGAUAGGAAGUGAUUUAGUACAUAACCAUGGGUUCCAAUGCAUGGGAAAAGAAGGAAAUACAAGACAUUCUCUUUCUGGCUUCGCCCAUCAUCUAUUUUGGAGUUUCUAGAAUUUGAGGUUUGUGCUAUGCUUCUAGGACCUUCUAAUUACUUACUGGAAAUUUAUCUUGUUUUUGCUUCUAGGACAUUCUGUUUCUUCAUUUUCUCUUCUGAUGAUUUUACCCUUCGUUUCAGCUGCCAGCAACUCUUAAACCAGGUGCCAAUUGUUAUAUCUCCCCUGCUUUCUCUCAUCCAGGAUCAAAUAAUUACUCUAACCCUCAAGUAUGGAUACCAUUUACUUUCUUGAACUCUCAGCAAACUGCUGCACAAGCAGCGGGCUGUCCUCCUAGAACUAAGGACGAGGUUUAGUGCUCUCUCUCUCUCUCUCUCUCUCUCUCUCUCUCUCUCUCUCUCUCUCUCUCUCUCUCUCUCUCGCUCUCUUCCUAGUGAAGUAUAUUAUACCAUACAAUCUUUAUCCCGCCAUAAAAUGGUUAUGCUCUAUAUGUUGCAAAGGAUCGACAUUUUUUAUGUAGUUAAUGAAAAGAUGCAUGCCUAAGAUGUUUCCCUUAAAAGUAUAUUUUAGGAUCUUAGUGUUCCUAGAGAAGUAUAUCAUAACAUACAAUCUUUGUCCUUCCAUUAAAUGUUGAGCUAUGCUUCAUACGUUGCAAUGGGAUUUCUUUUGGACUUCAUAAACUUUUUUUGGCCGGUUGUUGUGAUUGUCAAGUCAUUAAUCUCCACUGCUUUGCCUGCCUUUUCAGGAAAGAUAAACCAUCAUGCAAGUUAUUGUAUGUAACUUCAGAAAGGAUUGUGGGGAGCCCGUCACUUCUCAAGAUAUUGAAAUGCUUGCAUAGAAAGGUACUAUUUGUGAUACACCGUAACUUUUUCUGAAAGUUUCUUUUUAACUUAUUGAUACUUGGACAUCUCGCAUUGCAGGCACAACUAGCUGGUUCUGUCAUUGAUGAGGCACAUCGUGUGAGGUAUGCUCUUUGAUAUCCUUGUAUCUAAAACAAAGAUCAUGCUAGAGUUACUUCAAAAUGAGUAAGUAUUUAUGAUGUUGCCACUACAAAACCACCGUCCUUGUUCCAUUUAAAGGAAAACAAGUUCACUUUUAUAUAUGCUCACUCAAACUCUUUUUUCGAACGCUUUUGCAUCUUGUGUUUCUAGCCUAAUUACAUUGUCGGUGUUGCACUGAACCUUCUGUGGAGUUCUAGUUUAAUAGAAUGCAAUGUUGAAAUAACUAAUUUUGGAAAUGAUCUAGUUCCUUCUUUUGUGAAAAGUCAGUGCCGCAUCAUUAAUCAUAGUAAGCAAAAUUCACACAACUAAAAUAAGCUCCACAGAAAUUACUUUCGGAAGUAAUUGAAAGUGUCCAUGUUUGGCAUGAUAGUCAGGUCUUUUAAGCUGGUUCUUGCGUCCCUUCUUAUUCUUUCAACCUUUAUACCAUGUAUUAACAGCUUGAGAUAUAAGGCAAAAGUUCAUGCAUGUGAUCAUUGAUCGUGUUUCUUAUAAGGUCUUUAUUGGAUUUGCUCUCCCAGUAGAUCUUAUGAGAGGAACGUACUGCUGUUUUGAACUUUUCUCAUAUAUUUGAAUGAUUGUAAAUGAGUAAAUCUUAUUGAUCAUUACUUUCUUGGUUGUCGUUGUUGCAGUCAAUGGGGACAUGAUUUUCGUCCAGAUUAUAGGGGACUGGAUGUCUCGAGCAAAAUUUUCUGUACGUCCCAGUGAUGGCCUCAACUGCAACUGCCACUCAGCCAGUUCGUGAGGUAUGAAACUUGCACAUUAUCCUCCAGAUUAUGUUGAAAAAAUCAUUUGGGUCUGAUCGAAAUGUACAUCUAUUGCAGGAUAUCCUAAAAGUUCUUGGGAUCUGCCAUGCUCUUACUCUGGAGACAAGCUUUGACAGACCAAACCUAAAAUAUGAGGUCACGGCUAAGACCAAGGAACCACUGAAGCAGCUUGGAGAGCUGCUAAAGAAUCAUUUUGCUAAUUUGUGUGGCAUAGUGUAUUUUCUCUCGAAGAAUGAAUGUGUUGAUGUUGCAAAAUACUUGAAUGAUAAGUGCGGUAUAAAGAUAGUGUACUGUCAUGCUGGAUUAGCAGCCCAUCAAAGAGUAGCUGUUCAAAAGAAAUGGAGAGGUCCAAGUCGUAUGUGUAACCAUUGCUUUAUGUUGUAAGUUGAAAUGGACUCUAAGCCUUUGCCUAUUUUUAGUUUUAGAAUCAAGGUGACAUGCUGGCAAAUACUCAACUAAUUCACUUUUUUUUUAAUGUUUUAGUUUCACUAAUCAGUUUGUUAGUGUGCUUGGAAGUAAACUUCGCUGGUUCCAUGGUCCAGUGGCCUGCUAAAUUGUCAUUCUUGGCUAUUGAUUGCGGGAACUAGCAAAUUAUGUGUUUUUUUCAAGUCAUUCUUUCUUCCACGCAUGGAACUUUGCUGUGCUGAACUAGGAUAAAGUUCUUUUCUUAAGUGGCAAAUGAAUUUGAUCUAACUUGACUUUCUGUCAUAAUGUUUUUGUCAUAUUUCAACUUAUUUUUGUUGGUUCGGUAAUUAUAUUUUUAUGGCAUGUGGUCAGCGUUUUGUCGUCCACAACACAGUGUCCAAGUCAGUUGAAAGCUAUUACCAAGAAUUAGGGAGGGCAGGAAGAGAUGGUCUACCAGCAUUGUGCAUUGCUCUAUAUGCCAAAAAGGAUUUCAGCCAGGUUGUGUGCAUGUUUUUUUUUUUUUUUUUUGGUAAAGUAAAAGGUAUUGUAGCUUUGGACAAUAAUACAGGACCGGCUCCAAAACAUACACUCUCAGGGCGCUACGCAUAGAGAGUGUUAAGGAGCCGAAACAAAAAGAUUACAAAGAAGAAAAGAACAAUCACAAGCAAGGAGCAAAGACCAACAGGUCACAAGCGAAAAGAAAACGCUAAACAAAACCUUAGCCGCCUAAGGACCGAAGGCCAGACACCCAAGGAGGGAAGGAGAAAAGAUCGCACAGCUUGGUCUUCAUCCGGAUCUAUGCAUUCUCCUCACAAUCAGCGAAGAUGGAAGGGUCGAAGCCCUAGUUUCUCUCAAGCUUUCUAUUUCUAGGGGUAUUCGGGACAUCAGAGAAGGUGAGAGCUUUGUCCUUGACCAUCUUGAUAAUGUGAUUUUUCAUUGCAGCAAGAACCACCGCUUCGUCGCGGAAUAUGAUAGCAUUCCUCUUCUUCCAAAUUAAGUAGCACAUGGCAACAAAAGAGUAACGAGCUAAGUUGUGAAAGAAAUCGUUGCCCUUUAGGAAGGAGAUAGCCCAUUGGAGAUUCUCCUUCCACGGCCUUGGGCACCAAGGAAUGUUGCAAUGAGAAGCCCAAAAAUAAGCAAUGGAAGCCGAUAUGUGGCAAUCAAAAAACAAGUGAUCUAUAGAGUCAGGAACAUCAUCACAGAAGGCACAGGUGACAUAAUCAAUUCUACCAUAGGAAAUGAGAAGUUCCUGGGUAGGCAAACGGUUUCUAGCAAUCAACCAGAGAUUGAAUUGGAACCUGGGGGUGAUGACGUUGUUCCAAAUAAGUGAAGCCCAGGGCACUACGCUUCUUUUGGUCCUGAAGUGGUUCCAAGCAGAUCCUAUCGAAAAAGAUCCUGACGGACGCCAACGCCAAGAAAACCGGUCCGGAGCUUGGGAGAGCGUUGGGAUAGAGAGACCCCAGCUCUCCAUAAUACUACGAAGUGAAAGGCCCAUAGGCGAAAAGAGAUCAGCCACCACUGCAUGCUUGGGUAGACCAGACCACUGAAUAACAGGAUCUGGCAUAAUAAUAUCAAGAAGGCCUUUUGGGUGCCAAUGAUCAAACCAUAACGAAGUGGAGCGUCCAUUUCCAAUCUUCCAAAGGAAGGAAAGCCAAGAGUCACUUCUUAAUUGCAAAAUUUUCUUCCAAGCCUAAGAGCAAAUUUUAGGAGAUGAAGCUUUCCAGAAGUUGUUCCUCUUUAAAAAGUUGGAAUGAAUCCAACAGCACCAAAGGGAUUCUUUGUUUGUGAACAGAAUCCAAAUGUGCUUCAUCAUGGACGCCUUGUUGCAAUCUCUCAAUUUUCGAAUACCAAGUCCUCCUUCUUUUUUUGGUAAGCAUAUAUCAUCCCAUGACACCUUCGCCCCCCCCCCCCCUCUUACCGAGGGCGGAUCCUUUCCAAAGAAAUUGCCUUAAAAUCUUUUCAAUGCUAUUGAGAACCGAAAUCGGCAAUGUGAAAACACUCGACCAGAAGGUUUGGAUAGAGUGCAAGACUGACCUGAUUAACUGCAACCUUCCAGCAAAAGAGAGGAAACGAUGAGCCCAAGAUUGGGCUCUAGCUAUAAUCCGAUCAAUAAGGGUGAUGCAGUCAGCUUUCCCAAGCCUGGAGGAUAUGAUAGGCACUCCCAGAUAGCGUACCAGUAGUUUUCCUUCUUGAAACCCAAAGGCUAAGGAAAUGUAGUUGCGAAGAGACGGAGGACCACCCGAGAGAAAAAUUUCGCUCUUGUUCUUGUUUGGAAUCAAGCCACUCCAUGAAGAGAACAAGUCCAAGCCUUUCUUCAGCAAGGUAAUAGUCGCCCAAUCAGCCUGACUAAAAAGAAAGACAUCAUCGGCAAAGAAAAUGUGAGAUAGCUUGACCGCUUUGCACCGCCAAAAGUAUUUGAAUUCCUUAUGGGAGGUGCGAGCAAUCAAAAUUCCCGAGAAUACCUCCAUCACUAGGUUAAAAAGAUAAGGGGACAUCGGGUUGCCUUGUCGCAGGCCCCGGCCACCAGGAAAGAACCCAUGAAGUUCUCCAUUGAUUGAUAAUGAGUAUUUUGGCGUCCGAACGCAUAUCAUGAUCAACCGGAUCAGGAAAUCAGGAAAGUCAAAGGCUACUAGAGUUAGUUGAAGGAAAUCCCAAUCAACCGUGUCGUAGGCCUUUUGAAAAUCAACUUUCACAGCACAUUUAGGGAGGUAUGGGUCAAGGUGAAAUCCAGCAAAGACUUCCUGAGCUAUCAAUAUAUUAUCCCUUAUCCUCCUACUCUUAAUAAAAGCAUUUUGGGAAGGAUCAACCACUUCAUUCAAGACAGUAGCAAGGCGAUUAGCCAGGUUGUGUGCAUGUUAAGGAGUGGUCAAGGAUGUAAAACCGAAAUCUUUAAAAGUGUAAAGGCUCAAACUAGGAAAAUGCAGCAAGAUUGUGAACUCAAGGUAAUCCAAUUUCUCAAUUUAUCUCUGAUGAUCUCAACUAAGUGAUGCUUCUAUUUUGUGUUUGCAUUUUCCACUCCGUUCUAUUGAUUGUUGUUAGUGUUGGUCUGGCAUCAACCCGUCUGGGUGCUGGAUCAUUAGGUGGGUCUGUUGGCAACAUAUUCAAAUAAUAAUGGAACCUUUGGGAUAAACUCAUAUUCCACGCACCUAAAUGGAGCAAAGUCUAUUGAUAAACGUGUGUGUCCUCUCUAAUUUGUGAAAUUUUCAGUAUGAGUGUUGGCGGCAAACGUUGCUUGCACACUUUGGCGAGUCUUUGAAUCAGAAAGACUGUAAAUAUGGUUCUAAUCCUUAUGGCAAUUGUCUUAAUGCCUCUUCAUAAAGGUAAACCUUUCAGGUGUCUCUUGAGGGUGAAAGGUACCUGACUUACGCAUGAUCUUGAGCCGCACAGUACUUCUGGUUCCAUCAUCCGCAAUUAUUGGAAGACUAUAUGGUAAUGGAGGGGCAGAGGUCCUUAACUAUGGACACAGAAUUCUGCAGUUCCGAUGGUUCAAUCGGACGAUUCAACCGACCUUUAGACUAGAACCCAAACCGGUUCUUUGACCGUUCCGGGUUUGGAAGUGCUGUUUGAUACGAUUGCAAGACCUGAUUAUUACACGUGAACAAAAAUUGCCAGCUCUCACAGUGAUAACGUUAUGAUAACAUGGAGGAUUGAGCGGCACUAACUUGGCGGAGAUAUGGUGCUUACUAGGGGUGGCAAAUAGGUGGGUUGAGUCGGGUAUUGGUUGAGUCGAAAAUGGACUUAUAUUUGAUCCAUUAAACCCGUUUUAACCCAUAUUUAUAUAGUGUAAAUUUAGUGAUCCAUACCCGACCUGAUCUAUAUUGCUAAAACCUAUUAAUAUUCUAGGAAAACCCACUUCUAUCAUAUGCUAAUUGGAUUAAAAUUUCAAAUUAAAUUAAAAAUAGUAAAUAAAUAAAAAAAACCUAUAAAUUGAAAUAUUUAUAAAAAAUUAGACUAUGCACAUAGUCUAAAAUGCACGUACCGACUCAAGCCUUGCUAGUCGUCGGCCAGCAGUUGGCCGUUGCCCUGCCAGCUGCCGGAAGGAAGAAAAAGAAAGAAAAAAGAAAAGAAAAAAAAUUGAAAUAUGAAAAAUACUUAUAAUUUCGAUUUUUUAUAAAAAAACAUUUUUAUAAAGUUAAAAAAGGCCAUGGGUUUAAACUUUAAUGUGGGUUUCCUUUCCUAAUUAUCAAUUUCUGACAUAUAUUUAACUUUCACUUGAUCCAUUUUUUACCCAUAUUUAUUUUUCAUUUGACCCAUAUAUGACUAAUUUAACUAAAAAUGGGUCAUAAUAUGGGUUUAUGGCCUAUUUUGCCAACUCUAGUGCUUACUUGAUGCUGACAUUAUCUUCCUAAGAAUGAUGCAAGACCAGGCAGUGGCGCUAUGUCUGAUGAGUGGUUCGUUGACAAAUGAGGUUCGAAGGGCGGCAGGGUAUGAUGGUACGGAUUGGACGAGUUUGUGCUGUCCCGGCUCAUGAGGCUUUCGUCCAUGGUGGAGUUGGGUCGCGGUGGGCGUCAAUUCAGCAAUGUGAUUGUCGGAUUCAGUAUUUCGUAGUAUAUGGUUGCGGAGGCUGUCUCAACGGCGAUGGCGAGUUUGAAAUGCUUGCAGGAGAUGAACGAACUGAAGGCCUUUUUUUACAUAACUAGAAUGUCUAAUACAAGUACAGGGGAUCAAUUAUUUAGACCCCAAACUAAUAGAGGGAUGCACAAUAUCAUGAAUGUAGACAUAACAUGACCAUCUACAAGAUACAUGCGAUAUUUUGAAUAUAUAAGAGAUUAAGUAAUUUUGCAAAAGAUGUUCACCGCAAACAUAUAGGACAAGUUGCAACAUUGUUUUCAUAAAUUAAUGAUUUUAAUCCGAUGUUACAAUUAUUUAGACUUUGGGUGUUCAUUUGAAGGGAGGUCUUCACCUUAUAAUUUUGUCGGACAAAUUGGAGUCUUGUACGGUUUUUACUCUCAAAGUUGGCUUUUCCUAUAUGUACAAACUUUUUAGAGUUUGAAAUCAGGGUUUGAUUCAAUGUUAACAUCUCAAUUUUUUAAAACUCGAAGACAAAUUUUCAAGCUGGCGUUUUAAUUUGGUUCAUAGCAAGAAAAAUUUCUCGUUAAAUAUUUAUGGGUUGUUGAACGCAUGAAAAUGAGAAAACAUGGUAUUCGUCUUCUGCAGUAUUUGCUUGGUAACUGGAAUUAGUAUAAUGUGGAAACAAAGAAAUAAUAUUCAGUGUCAGGUCGCAAAAAAACAAUAGAAGAAGAAGAAGUAGUAGAUUUUGAAUAGAAGGCACGCAGUUUAAGAAAUUGUUCAAGAAAUUAUGGUCUAUUAUUAAAAGAUAUGCCAAAAAAUGGAACGCUAUUUACUGUCCAUUAUUAAAAGAUUUGCAUCUCGAAUAAUGUUUCACUGGUCCAUAAGCAAUGAUUUUUCACAAGUAGUCGCGGGACAAGUUAUUAAAGCCAACUAGAUUGUUCCGUCCAAGAAUCACAAAUGGGGAUUUUUUUUUUUUUUUAUGGCCAAACUUUCAUUUUAUAUUGAUCUAGUCCAAGGAGCACUAAUAAGUCUAAUUUGGCUAAAAAAAGAAAAAUUAAUAAGUUUACCUCACUAGUCACCGAUUAUUUGUUUGAUCUUUUAUAAUGGUUUGAGUAUUGGUCUUUGUUUUUUUUUUUUUUCCUCUAGAAAGAGUCUUGGUCUUCAUUACAUCUUCCAGUUGGCUAACAUGGAUGAGAGCUUAGCUUGUGACAUUCUUCCCAAGAUUAAGAGUUAAUAAUUGCCUUUUAAAAGUUGGUCACCAAAAAAAAAAAACAAUAAAAAGAAGAAAGAAGAUUUCGAAUAGAAGGCACGCGGAUUAAGAAAUCGUUCAAGAAAUUAUGGUUUACUAUAGGAAUAUAUGCCAAAAAAAUGGAACACUAUCUACUACCCAUUAUAAAAAGAUUUCCAUCUUGAAUAAUAUUUUAUUGGUCCACAAACAUCGACUUGUCAAAAAUAGUCACAGGACAAGUUAUUGAAGCCAAUCAGAUUAUUCUGUCGAAAGAAUCAUAAAGAAGGAUUUUUUUUUUUUUUAUGGCCGAUCAUGAUCAAAUUUUGUCACACUUUCCUUUUAUAUCGAUUUAGGUAGAGGAAAACUAAUAAAUUCGAUUUAGCUGAAAAAAGAAAAAUUGCUUCACUAGUCAGUGAUUAUUCGUCUUGGUCUUUUAUAAUGGUUCAAGUCUAAUUCUUUGUUUUUUUUUUUCGCUGGGGAGAGUCUUAGUCUUUGUAACAUCUUCCAGCUGGCUAACAUGGAUGAGACCUUAGAUUGUGGCAUUCUUCCCGAGGUUGAACAUCAAUAAUUGUCUUUUAAAAGUUUUUUUUAUAAAGAUAAGUAAUAUAUUGAUUUUGCAAGAAAGAAUACAAGAGGGAGGCAUGGCACCAACAAAAACAGACACUCAAGAAGACAAAAGUCUAGAAUGAGUGUAAGGGUGCCAUGGUUCCCAGAAAAAGGAGCAACAACAACAAAAGGAAACAAAAGACAGCAAAAACUAGAAAACCUCCAUCAAUCAAAAAUAGAAGGAUGGAUGUUCCAGCUUCGUUGAAGUCUUCUAUUCAUGGGCACAUCGGGAACAGGUUUAAAGGUCAUAGCCUUAUCUUUGAUAGCCUUUUGAAGAUGCAUUUUCAUUGUCUUUUAAAAGUUGGUCGCAAAAAAAAAAAAAACAAAUAAAUACGAAGAAGAAGAUUUUGAAUAGAAGGCAUGUGAUUUAAGAAAUUCUUCAAGCAAUUAUGGUCUAUUAUUAGAAGAUAUGCCAAAAAAAUAGAACGCUAUUUACUGUCCAUUAUUAACUGAUUUGCAUAUUGGAUAAUGUUUUAUUGGUCCACAAUCAUUGACGUUUCAAAGAUAGUUGCGGGAUGAGUUAUUGAAUCCAACAGAUAAUGGGAAUUAUUUUUUGAUGGCUGAUCAUAAUCAAAUUUUGUCGCACUUUCAUUUUAUAACGAUUUAGGCAGAAGAUAACAAAUAAGUUUGAUUUAGCCUAAAAAAGAAAAAUUAAUAAGUCUGCCUCACCGAUCAUUGAUUAUUUGUCUUGGUCAUUAAUUUGAGUCUUGGUCUUUGAAUUUCUUUUUUUUUUCCGCCAUAAAGAGCCUUGGUCAUUGUUGCAUCUUCCAUCUGGCUAACAUGGAUGGGAUCUUAAAAUGUGACAUUCUCCCCGAGGUUAAGAAUCAAUUAUUGCCUUUUAAAAGUUGGUUGUGGGUAAUGAUAGAGAAAUAUACUUUAAAUUGAUUAUUGUAGGGUAAAAGAACGGCAAAUAUAAUAUUAUUUCAAUUUAAAAAAUAAAAUUAGAUAGGAAUACUACUUUUGUUGUACUUACCCAAUAUCAUCAUUAAAUUACUAUUAUCCUCAGUUGUAAUCUUUUUGAGCCGAUUGACUAUGUAGCCAACACUCGAAAGACCAUGGAAGUUUCUUGCAAUUGUAAUGAAAGGGAAAACCAAAAAAAUAAAUAUAUAAAUAAAUAAAUUUUGGAAAUGUGAGAUUGUUUGACAAACCUUAUUUUUCAACUUGACCACAGGAAGGAAACGAUAAAUAGAUGCUAAUUCCUGAAUUUGUUAAAUGAUCAUUGUCCAUCUCCUUAGAAGUUCUAAACUUCAUCGAUUUAUCAAACGUGUGAGUAUAUUUUAUACUAGUCAUAACAAGGUGCAUUACAUAGUAUUUUCCUUUCAAUAAUCCAUGCAAUGCACUAUAUAAACCACAUAGCCCAACCACAUAUUUCCUCAACCCAAGCACUUUGAGAAUUAAGGGAAAAAUUAAACCAUUUCACGGCAUCUAAUUUAAUAAGAUUGGAUCAAGUAUUGAAUGGAUUUCAAGUUAGAUUGUUAUUUUGGACAUGCAUAAAAAAUGUUUAGAUGGGUGAAUUAUUUCUAUUAAUCUCAUAUCAGCAUGUGGGAUUACGACAUAUGGAAAUUGGGUUGGUGCUCAUGGUUGGCCUACAUCUUGAGAUAUGAUAAAUGUUCACAGGCUGGUUUAGUUUUGCGCUUAAUCACAACCGACAUAGUUUUCAAGCCUUAUCACCUAGGCGUGACUAGGAUUGAGCAUUGGGGCAUGUCAGAGCCGAAAUGACGUGGGCACGGCUAGCAUGUGCCUAGAUAUUUUAAAAAUUAAUUAAAGCAAAAUUAAAUUCAAAAAAUCGCAACACUUAUUUUCAAAUAAUGUAAAUAAUGAGAAAUUAUUUGAGGUAAAUUAAUAAGGAAAAGCACUCGUUCUUUUUAACCAAAUUGAAACCCAAGUACAUCUUCAUAUAAUUUGAGAAAAAAAAUAUUACACUUAGUGGAGCUCUCCUAAUGAUUUCACUCAAGCAAUCGUGUCCUCAGGCAACGCUACCUUGAAGUCAAUCAUUGUCUAAUUUCCGUUCACUUUAUACUCAAAACUAGGGACUUGAUGUUUUGUAUACCACUGGGUGAAGAGUGUUUUACUUGAUCCUUGUUGUGUUUUGUGUUUUGCAUCUACCAAUUCCCUUGUGUAGAUAGCCAUUAAUUUCCUAAAUUUCUACCUUUUUUUUUAUUAUGUAUAAUUAAUUGUAUCAUAAUGAUGCUCAUACUUUAGCUUAACAUUAUCUCCCCAGCAAAAUGGAUUCUGCCCGAGAAAGGCACUCUAAAGAUCAAUGUGGAUGGCUCGAAUGUGAAGGGAGAGAGAAGAGGAAGCAUCGCCGGUGUUUGUGGGGACGAGUCUAGGAACAUCGUGGCUGGAUUUACCAAGGAAGUGCGGGUGAACUCGAUGGAGCAAGUGGAUACUCUAGCGUGCACAGAAGCCCUUCGCUUCUGUUCUAUUUAUGAACCCAAGUAUUCUCUAGAGUCAAAUAAUUGGCCAAUGAAAUGUGCAUUUUCAAGUCAAGAAUAGCCAACGUGGAGUAUCCAGCCUCUUAUCUCUAAAGGCAAAUGCCUGCUGGCCCAAUACGAAAGCACCCGUUAGCCCACUGCAGGAGAGAAGCGGACCAGGUAGCUGAUUGUAUCUCUAGGGCCCAUCGGCAAAAAUCCCUUCCCACCAAUUGGGUUUCUUAUCCCUAAAAAAUAUUAUGCGAUCUAAUUUAUUCAGAGGCCCAUUUAGUUUGUAAUCGCAGAGCUACUUAAAGUAUGAAAGAAGUUUAUUUCGACAAAAAGAAGACAAACAUUUAGAUUUCUCCACCAUCUUCAAAAUGUAAAAGAACUUACAAAAAUUUUGCAGAAAAACUUAAUUUCAAAAGUUUUCGGUGAUUGGGUCUCUUCCUAAAAUUCUGAUAACUUUAAGACAACUUGAGUAGAGCUUGAACCUGCACAUCAUCAAGGAACUCGUUGAACUGCUUAAUUUCAUCAUCUUCGAACACUAUCUUAUGAAUGUGCGGAUUUACAAAAAGAGAAAAUUGGCCUAAGUGACGAGAAAAAUCAAUUUGCGCUUCUGCUCUUUGAUUUGAUGGUCUUGUUCGAGAAUCUAGUUAUCUCAUUGAACCUCUCACUCAUCUCCCCACCAGCAAUUAUCUCCCCAUUAGUGUCUUUACAUAAAAUCAUUUUUUUUCGCGUGGCUCUCACACUUGCCCAUCCACCACUACGAGUGAUUGAUUCCAUGAAUCGCUCCGAGUCUUCGCCUAUUUGUGAUAAACAAAUGCAAAAAUGGCGGAUUUCUAGAAGGGCGACGGUGCUUUAUUUUGCUUGAAGAGGAUGAUUAGGAUAAGCCCUUUGCCUUCACCUGCCUAUUUCACCCAACUCCUGGAGGGAUCAUGGGGAAGAUGAAGAAGCAUUGCACCCCCGCCAUUGACGCGAUCGGUCGGAUGAAUUCGAAGGGAAUGACCCCCAACGUUUUUAGCCUUUGCAUUCUGAUGAAUUGCCUCUACCAAUUGAAAAGGUCCAAUCUUGGACUCGAACCCACAACCGAGAGCUUUAAUCCUUGACAAGUGGCUUAUCUUGCAUAGGCAAAUGGAAAAUAAAGCAAAGAUUUUGUUGAUGAAUACAACGCUAUUUAGUAUCCAUUAUUAAAAGAUUUGCAUCUUGAAAAUGUUUUUUUGGUCGACAACUAUUGACUUUUCAACGAUAGUCACGGGAAGAGUUAUUGAUGAAAUUGAAAAGACCAUCGAUGGAGUCUACUUUUUUUGUUAACUGAUCAUGAUGAAAUUUUGUCUCACUUUCAUUUUAUAUCAAUAUAGGCCAAACACAACUAAUAGAUUUUAUUUGGCUGAAACAUCUUCCAGCUAGAUAACGUGGAUGGAACCUUGGGCUCCAUAUGUUUCCGAAAAACAUUAGACCAUGUGGUUGCAUCAAGGAGUCAUGAACUCAACCGUUCGCCAAUAGGGAGGCUGUUAUCAUCUGUGGACGCAAAUAUUGGUACAAUUCCUUCAUUUAUGAGAUUGGCGUAAUCUCGAAAUAUCUACCAUUUAUCAUAGGGAUCACUUCCCCCCUCCUAUUGGUGUUGGAGAGACGAAUGUAGAUGUAGACGCUCUGGUAGUGCUCUUAUUUUCGGCAUGCGGUAUUUGCUUCUGCUGUUUUUUCUUGUCUUGAGAAGAUUAUAAGCGCAUGGCGAAAGAAGAAUUGGCGCGACAAGCACCGCUCAAAGGGCACCCCCAACACCGAACUGUUGGCACUUCCUUAUUUUCGUUGAUCCGGCUCUUCCCUUCAAAAGGAAUGCCCUUCCUGUAGCGCAAAAGGGAUGAAUUAACGCAUGAACUGGACUUAUGCAUCAACUUGAAACGACCGCCAUCACACGCUCAACAGUAAAGUGCACAACUUCUUUUACCCAAGAAAAAAAAAAUUACAGAUGCGAAAUCGGAAUAUGCAAAAAUAGAAAGGGAAAACAUCAAUCCCGCCAUCGCUGGUGAGGUUUUUCAAACAGAGCACUUCGAGCGCACACUCCCGAGAGAGAGGCUAGCAACCGAUUUGAUUCCGGCAAUUCGUGCCAUCGUCGAUCGAUCGAAUCGCUCGAACGGGUUGGAAUUCCGUGGGGGAUUGGGGCUUGGAGGUACAGAAAGCUCGGGUUACUGAACUUGGCUCUCGAGUUCAGCUUUGACGAGCAGUCUGCCAGCAAGUGCUUGGACCGUUUUGUUUCACUCUACAGUAAUGCGAAUCAUUACGUCGAGUUAUGUAGCCCAUUUUUUAUGCUGAUUGGCGUUCCAGAGGUUCUGUAGGUAUUCAUCGUCCACCACGUUGAUGAUCAAAGUGUGGAACUUAGCGAUCUGGCAUCUUUGAUAGAAAUGUUUUGCAUAAAUGAAGGCUUGUAAUUUAUUUGUGCACAUUUUUUCAUUUUCCAUGACAUUCCAUGUCAGAAACUAUUAUGUUGCUGAAGAGGUUUAUUCCUGUUGAAGGACUAUAAGAGCACUGUCACUCAAGGUUCAAUAUCUGUUUCAAAUGAAAAUGACCAAUGUUGUCAUAUUCGAAAAUAGGGCAUUUUGACCAAUGCGGCAUCAAGCAUGUAAAGCUUUUGUAGCCAAGCAAUUGCUUCAUUCUCAUGCCCACUAGAGGUGGUAAAAGUUUAUGUUACUAGGUUAGUGAAUGUUAACAUUAUUUCAAUUGUGUAAUGAUCGAAUGUAGACGUAUGUGUGGAGACAAUGUUUGGAGCACAAGCUUUGUGCACUUUGCUCAAUGGUUCCACUGAUUAAAUACUAGACGGACAGACCUGUACAUUGAAAUUUAAGAUUUAAAAUGAUCUUGUAAUCUGCUUUGUUAGCACUGAUGUGAAGUUUGUGCUUAAACUUAAGUUUGAAAAUGUUUUCCAAAUGCAAAUUAAGCUAAAGGAAGUGAUUCAGGUACAGAACCAUGGGUUCCAAUGUACAUGAUCUGACUAAGUUGGAAAAGAAUAUUAUAUUGGACAUUCUUGUUCUACCUUCGCACAUUUCUAUUGUUGAAAAUCAUAAUCAGAUUUGCUGGUUAUUUUGUUUCUAGAUUUUCCAGAUCUUCAAGAUUUUCUAGAUUUUCCAGAUUUUAUUUUUCCAGAUUUGUUUGUUAGCUUUUAGGAAUUUGUUUAUUACGUUUUAGGUGGUGUAGCAGCUAUAAAAAGGUGAGAUGCCUCAUGUAAAUUUUUAUUCUCUGGAGAAUAAAAAACUCAGAGCAAUUUCUCUUGAAUUUCUUCAUCUAUCUAUUCUGUGAUUUCUAGAAUUUGAGGUUUGUGCUAUGCUUCUAGGACCUUCUAAUUACUUACUGAAAAAUUUAUCUUGUUUUGCAUGUAAGUGUUGUUGUCAAUCAUAGUUAAGGUCCAAGUCAAAAGGGUUAUUAAGUCAAAGAGGAAUGAGUUUGUAAAUUACUUGCACCAAAUACGGAUUUAGAUCUCAAUAUAUCCUACAGGUAUGUGCUAUGUUAUCAUCUCAACUGGGGUGAUCAUGUAAGAUGGAUCUCGGUAGCAUGCAACAUAUUUGAUCUACUGAAUCAUGAAAGAAGAUAUUAAUCUGAAUUUAUUAAUUUGAGUUAUCCUGAAGUACUUUCUGUUGAGUCUUGAAGUAGAUGAUAUGUGUUUCUAGUUGAAGUAAAUAUAAGACAGAUGGUGACAGCUAGUGCUUUCUGAUCAGCCGAAGGUGAAUGAAAGGAUAAUUCCUUCAUCCCAUCCUCUCUUCAUGUGCUCUUUUGAUGCUUUUAUCCUUCAUUUCAGCUGCCAACUACUCUUAAACCAAGUGUCACAUUCAUUAUAUGUCCUCUGGUAUCUAUCAACCAGGAUAAAAUAAUUACUCUAACCCUCCAUAUGUUGCAAUGGAUGCACAUGUUUUAUGUAUUUAAUGAAAAGAUUCAUGCCUAAGAUGUUUGCCUCAAAUAAAUUUUAGGAUCUUAGUGUUCCUAGAGAAGUACAUCAUACCAUACAAUUAUCAUUUUACCAUAAAAUGUUGGGCUGUAAUUGUUGCUGUGAGGUUUCUAUUGGACUUCUAAAACUUUUUUUUUGCUGACUGUUGUGAUUAUCAAGUUAUUAAUACAUAAAAAGGUGCCUUUUCAGGAAAGUUAAUCCAUCGUGCAAGCUAUUGUAUGUAACUCUUGACAGGAUUGUAGGAAACCCAUAAUUUCUUUUUCACUUUUUGAUGCUCGGCUGCCGUGCAUUGCAGGCACAACUAGCUGGUUUUGUUAUUGAUAAGACACAUUAAGUGAGGUAUGUUCUUUGGCAUUCUUGCAUCUGAAGCAAAGUUAAUGCUAAAGUUACUUCAAAAGGAAUAUGUAUUUAUGACGUGGCCACUGCAAAACCACUGUCCUUGUCCCAGGUAAAGAAGUUGACUUUUAUAUAUGCUCACUCAAACUCUCUUUUUUGAACGUUUUUGCAUAUUAUGUAUUUCUAGCCUAAGUACAUUGUCGGUGUUACACUAAACCUUCUGAAACCCAGACCUUCUUUGAUUAUCUAGUAUAACAGAUGCAAUGUUGAAAUAAGUAAUUUUGGAAAUGAUCUAGUUCCUUCUUGUGGGAAAAGUCAGUAGCACAUCUUUAAUCAAAUAAAGCAAAAUGCACACAACUAAAAUGAGCUCCAAUGGAUAUUACUUUCGGAAGUAAUUGGAAGUAUCCAUGUUUGGCUUGGUAGUCAGGUCUCUUAAGGUGGUUCUUGUGUCCCUAUUUAUUCUUUUAACCUUUUUACUAUAUAUUAACGUGGGAUAUAAGGCAAAAGUUCGCCCAUUGGAUCAUUGGUUGUGUUUUUUAUGAGGUCUUUAUUGGAUUUGUGCUGCCGGUGCCAUCUCGUGAAAGAAACAUACUGUUGGUUUGAGCUUUUCUCGUAUAUUUGAAUGAUUGUAAAUGAGUAACGCUUAUUGAUCAUUACUUUCUUUGUUGUCAUUAUUGCAGUCCAUGGGGAUGUGAAUUUUGUACAAAUUAUAGAGGAUUGGAUUGUCUCAAGCGAUGGCCUUAACUGCCACUACUACCUAUUCAUGAGGUAUGAAACUUGCACAUUAACCUCGAAAUUUUGCUGAAAUAAUCAUUUGGGACUGAUUGAAAUCCUGAAAUCUCUCAAGAUCCCCCAUGCUCUUGUUCUUGAGACAGAUUUAACAGACCAAAUCUAAUGUCUGAGGUCAUAGCUAAGACCAAAGAACCAAUGAGGCAGCUUGAAGAGCUGUUAAAGAAUCAUUUUGCUAAUUUUUGUGGCAUAGUAUUUUGCCUCUUAGAGAGUAAAUGUGUUGAUGUUACAAAAUUCUUGAAUGAUAUGUGUGGUAUAAAGACGGUGUACUAUCAUGCUGGAUUACCAGCCCAAUAAAGAGUAGCUGUUCAAGGAAAUGACAUACUGGAGAGGUCCAGGUUGUGUGUGCUACCAUUGUUUUUGGCAUGGGAAUAGACAAACCUGAUGUUGUAAGUUGAAAUGGACUUUGUGCCUUUGUCUAUUUUUAGUUUUAGAAUAAAGCUGACACGUUGGCAAAUACUCAAUUAAUCCACUUUUCUUCAAAUGUUUAAGUAUUGCUAAUUGGUUUCUUAGUGUGCUUUGAAGUAAACUUUGCUAGUUGCAUGGUUCAGUGGCCUGCUAAAUUAUCAUUCUUGGCUAUUUUUCAAGCCAAAUUCUUUCUUCCAUGCAUGAAACUUUGGUGUGCUGAAAUUAAGUUAAACUAGGAUAAAGUUCUUUUCUUUACUGUAAAAGUGGCAAAUGACUCUGAUCUAACUUGACUAUCAGUUAUAAUGUUUUUGUCAUAUUUUAACUUUUUUUAAAUUGGUUCGAUAAUUAUAUUUUAUGGCAUGUGGUCAGCAUUUUGUCAUCCACAACACAAUGUCAAAGUCAAUCGAAAGCUAUUACCAAGAAUCAGGGAGGCAGGAAGAGAUCUACCAGCAAUUUUUCCACUUAACUUCUGGCCAGACGAUCUUUAGAAUCCAUGGUAUGCUUUAACCAUGGACAUAGCCAAUAUAUGCCAAACCACUUAAAUCGUUGUCAAUGUUCUGUUCUCGUAUAAUUUAUUCUCUGCUCGAUCAUUUCCAAUUUGCUUGCGAUUCAGCACACAUCAAAGGACCUACACAAUGUACAUGUCCAAAAGCAUUUAGUAAAUUGCUUAUGGGGCUUCUCAUCCAAUCAAAUGUCCAAUAGACAGUCUUAAAUUUUGCCAAUUUCUUCCAUGCUCUUCAAGAUCCAAAAUGACAUACUAGAAGUCCUUGGUCAAUAAAGUAGUUGACUUAAGCUUUGGAUGAUGUGCAAAUACCUAUAUUUCUCAAAUACUUUGAGAGUAUAGCAGAUCAUCAAAGUGUGGAUUAGCAAUCCAGCAUCUUUUAUAGGAAUGUUUUGCGUAAACGAAGACUUGUGAUUUAUGCUGGGUGUUGUGACUGUCAAAUUAUUAAUCUCCACUUUUGCUUUGCUUGCCUUUUCAGAAAAGAUAAACCAUCGUGCAAGCUAUUGUAUGUAACUGCUGAAAGGAUUGUGGGAAACCCAUCAUUUCUUGAGAUAUUAUAAUGCUUGCUUAGAAAGGGAUUGUUUCUGAUGCACCGUAACUUUUUCUGAUAGGUUCUUUGUAAAUUUAUUUUAUUCGACCAUCAUGCAUUACAGGCACAGCUAGCUGGUUUUGUUAUUGAUGAGGCACAUUACGUGAGGUAUGUGUAAUAUUUGGCAUGCCUUGUACAUGAAGAAAGAUCAUGCUAGAGUUACUUCAAAAGGAAUAAUUAUUUGUGAUGUUGCCACUGGAAAACUAUUGUCCUUGUUCCGAUAAACAUAAGCAAGUUAACUUUUAUAGAUGCUAACUUAAACUCUUUUUCCAAACUUUUCUGCAUUUUCUGGGUUUCUAGCCUAAUUAAAUUGAUAGUGUUAAACUAGACCUUCCAAAGCCCAGAAACCUGUAAAGUUCUAAUAUAACCGAAUGCAGUGUUCCUUGUUUGAUGAAAAGAUUUACGUUCCGUUAUUUGGGAACACUUAGUGGCACAUCGUAUAUUAUAUCGAGUAAAGAGGACACAACUUAAUAAAACUCCCAUGGAAAGUACUUCCUAGAGCAACUGGAUCCAGCAUAAGCUUGGAUAAGGAUCCAAUCUCCUCUUUAUGUUUGGCAGGACACUCAAUCUCCUAUUUAUUCCAUUAAUGCUUAUAGUUUAUGUUAACAACUUGAGAAAGGUAAAGGUUCAACCAUGUGAUCAUUGAUUGUGUUUCUUAAAAUGUCUUAACUGGAUUUGCUCUGCUAGUUUGAUCUCAUGAAAGGAAUGUACUGCUGAUUUGAGCCUUUAUUGAACAUUUGACCGAUUAACAUUGAAAGCUUGUUAAUUGUCACUUUCGUGGUUGUCAUUAAUGUAGUCUAUGGGUACAUGAUUUUCAUCCAGAUUAUGGACUAGCAUGUCUCAAGCCUAACUUUGCAUGACCUAGUGCUGGCCUUAGUUGAAACUGCCACUCACUCUUCGUGAGGUACUAAACUUAUAUAUUAACCUCCUCAUCAUUAUGUUGAAAUAAUCUGUUCAUUCUUAUUGAAUUAUUCAUCCACUGCAGGAUAUCCUAAAAUCUCUCAGGAUUCCCCAUGCUCUUGAGACAAGCUUUGACAAACUAAUUCUAAAAUAUGAGGUCAUAGCCAAGACCAAGGAACCACUGAAGCAGCUCGGAUAGUUGCUAAAGAAUUGUUUUGCUAAUUUGUGUGGCAUAGUAUAUUGCCUUUCAAAGAGUGAAUGCGUUAAUGUCACAAAAUACUUGAAUAAGAAGUGUUGUAUAAAGACAGUGUACUAUCAUGUUAGAUUAGUAGCCCGCCAAAGGGUAGCUGUUAAGAAGAAAUGGCAAACUGAGGAGGUCCAAAUUGUAUGUUAUAAAAAGAAAUGGCAUAGUAUGUGACAUCCAGAUUUUUGGGUUUUAAUUUCGACUGGAUAAAUAGGGCCGUUUUCGUUCAAUUGAAGCCAUGGAUUGUGAAAUUGGGAUGCAAGUGGGCUACAUUGGUAAGGAAAAAUACCAAUUGGAAUGAUGAUGUGACAUCCUGAAAUUCGACCCCGUUUCGAUAAAGUGAAAUGGGCAUUUCGUCGAUGUGUUUACGGUCUUUUUUCUCUUAGCUGAUCACUCACCAGUUAACUAACCUAUUGGGUGAAGCCGUUAAGGGACGUAUCUGCAGUAAAAUCCCUAAAAGCUACUCAAUUUGUUGGAUUGGACUAAAAUCACGCCCGACCGAUUUUUAACCACGAAAUUGAACUCGAUUUUGGGAAUCGAAUUUUAAGCAUGUCAUAAUCCUUUUUUUUUUAGGACAUUGUCUCAUCGCUCGUCAAUUUAUUGAUGAGUCCGAAUUUCAAGAAGAAUUAUCGGAAGAAAAUUGAAGACCAAAGAAUUAGAAGGGAAANNNNNNNNNNNNNNNNNNNNNNNNNNNNNNNNNNNNNNNNNNNNNNNNNNNNNNNNNNNNNNNNNNNNNNNNNNNNNNNNNNNNNNNNNNNNNNNNNNNNCGUCCUUCCCCGUGCGGACCUCACCCCUGCUCCACCUCUGUCCAACUCAAUCUGGCUACCUCCGGCCACCGCCUACCUCCGUCCGGGCCACCUCACAGCCCCCCCGGCGUCCCCCUCGCCCUCCGCCGGCCUUCCCUCGCCGCCCUAGCCGCCAGAUUAGCUCCGGCAAGCCUUGAACCGCAACCCACGAAAUGGGUUUCCAGCGACUUUAGGCCCGUUUUGGGCCGUUUCCGGGUCCCGAACCCGAGCCGUGCUUUGGGAAGAAUCAUUCCUCGCGUCGUCGCCGUUGGAUUGAUCCGAUUUGCGCGCGAUUUGGUGAGUAAUCUCACUAAUCCCAGAUUAGUUGACUAAUUAUGCUUUAAGGCUGGUUUAGUUUUAAUUAAUUAUGUUUAGGUUUUUAGAUUAGAAUAAAUUAGUAAUUAUUAGUCAAUUGUGAUGCGAUUUAGAUAAAUUGAUUGUGUAAUUAACAAGUAGACAUGGUCUACUAUUUAUUGGAAGCAUCUCGGGAAUUUUCCGACCCCUAAUUGGGCUUCAAUUUGGCAAUUCGGGCCUAAGUGAGAUUUUUGGGCAUUUAAAUAUUAAUUUUCAGAAUUAAAUUAAAUAAUUAUUUAUUUUCCGAAAAUUCAAGGGAGAUGGUCCGGAACGGGAAUAUUAUGUGGAUGACUAUGGUGAAGUCCGUUUAUUUAAUCGGGCUUUAUUUUGAGCUAAAUUGAAUUUUUAAUAUUAAUUAUUUAAUUUUCGAAAUUAAUUAAUUAUUUAUUUAUUUCCUGAAAAUUUAACUGGGAUGGCCCAUGACCGAAAAAUUAUACUGAUGACCAUGGUGAAGUCCGUUUAUUUAAUUGGAUUUUAUUUUGAGCUAAACGGAAUUUUUAAUAAUUAAUAAUUAAUUUUCAAAAUUAAUUAAUUAUUUAUUUAUUUUUCGGAAAUUAAGUUUGAGAUGGCCGACGACCGAAAUCUCAUGCUGAUCGUCGUGGCACAGUCCGUUUAUUUAAUUAAGCUUUAAAUUGUUUUGAAUUGAUUUAAUUGUGGAUAAUUACUUUAGAAAUGGGAUGAAUCAUCAUGAAAGACAUGGGGCUUGAUGAUUAGAUAUAUCACCUCGGAGAAUGCACAUGGCUCGGUGACGAAGUAUGUUGCCUUGGAGAAUGCAUGUGGCUUGGUGAUUAAGUUUGGCAUCUAAAAGGACACAUGGGCUCAGUAAUUUGAUGCAUUAUCUCGGAGAAUGCACGUGGUCCCAAUGAUUAAGUUUGGCAUCUAAAAGGAAACGUGGGCUCGGUAAUUUGAUGCAUUACCUCGGAGAAUGCACGUGGUCCCAAUGAGUACAUUUGGCAUCUAAAAGGACACGUGGGCUCGGUAAUUGAUGCANNNNNNNNNNNNNNNNNNNNNNNNNNNNNNNNNNNNNNNNNNNNNNNNNNNNNNNNNNNNNNNNNNNNNNNNNNNNNNNNNNNNNNNNNNNNNNNNNNNNNNNNNNNNNNNNNNNNNNNNNNUUUUCCCUGAUUGGGCCUACUAGGUCGAUUGAUCAUUGAUUUGAUUUGAUGUCGUGGAUUGAUUGACUGAUUAGAAAUGACCGUGAGUGGUCUUGUUGGCAUUUAAUCGACUAGGUUGAUUUGAUCGAUGCUUCGAUUAGUGAUAUGAUUGCUUGGGUGCCUAUUAUGAAUUGUACUGACUUGCAGGUGGGAUAUGAGGCCAAGGUACGUCUUCUGCCCUAUGCGUGUAUAGGCAGCCUAUAGUAUAAUGGUUUACUAAUCGGGCUUAGUGGGGUAGAACUCGCUGAGACGUAAUCUCAUCCCAGUUUGGGGAAAACAUUUCAGGACCCCGAUGAGGAGCUAAGGUGAAACUUAAAGAGAACUCGGAGGUGAAACUUAAAGAGAAGGAUUUUUGGGAAGAAGAAGAUAAUCCCGAGAGGGGCCUUAAGUAUGGUCUGGAUGGGCUGAGAGUCUAUCUUCUUUUGAGAAUUCCUUUUGAAGUGAUCAGUUAUGAAUUGGUUUGUGUUUUAUAUAAAAGUUUGGUUAUAAAUUUCAAUAUGAAAAAUAUGGCCCUGCUUUUCUAUCCUAUCAUUUUAUUGUCUGGGGAUUUUAACUGCUUCCGCAUGUGCUUAAUAAAUGAAAGAGUCGGCGAUACAUUAUCCUAGGAUAUCACAUUAUAAAAUCGACCAAGAAGAGAAGGAUGUGUGCAUGCCCGAGGAUCGGGGUGUGACAUCUAGUUUAAGUGGUAUCAGAGCGAAAUUGAAGAUUGGAGUGAUAAGGAGCGUUGACUAUGGGAUAGUUAGUAGGAAAUGCCUUUAAAUUCAUGCUGGUGCAUGUCUGUGUUAGCUGAAUGCUAGAAUUGUUUGUUGUGUGUGGAUCGCUCAUCUUCUAAUCUAGUGUGGAAGUGGAAGUCGGGUUUCAGUGUAAAGACUGAACCAUGAGCGAGCAGGAGCUAAGAACUCCUAAUAAGAGGACAAUGUCCUCUAUGACUCAGGUUAAUGCACUGACAAAGGUCGGUACCCGAGGUGGUUGUGGUAGAGUGUCGACUCUGGCCAGCUCGAGUGUAAGAGUACCACCACAGGUUGGUACUAGUGUAGUAGCAUCGAAUGAUCCUAAGUUCGAUAAGAUCGUUCUGAUGCUAGUGUCAUGGGAACUGGAUGAGCCAGCAAGCUCAGGAUUAAGCCGUUGUUGUUGUUGCUAUCAUUACCACAAUUUUUGCUUCACUUGUUGAGAUCCAGGGUGGAGAUGUGAUCCAAGAGCGAGUCAUUGCAUUUGAGUCGAGGUAUAGAUGUAGUUCAAGCAGAAAUGGGAAUCGGUCAGGCAAAAGAUCGAGGCCGAGAGUGGUCCUAGCAGACUGAUGCGUGCUGUCACUUGGCAGGAGAUAGAAGACUCACACGAUAGUUGUCAGAAUUGUAGAAGGUAGCAUGGAUGAAUCCAGUUUCCGAAUAUGACUAGAACUUGUUGUGAUGAUGACCAGCGUGGCCAUCAGGUGAAGGACUGCCAGUAGAAGUCUAAGGUGGUAUAGACAUCGCUACUAUGGCCAGAACGCCACUAGGAUGGGGAAAGGAAUGGGAGUAGAAUGGACCUUGCACUGAUCAGAGAAAGAAUGUGUUGGAAGUGAUUUUAUUUGAGCAGCGCAGCAUAGCUUUGUGCAGAAUUGGUAGAACUUAAAUUGUUGAAGUAAAAGUGUAAGAGAAGGGAGUCACUAGCAAUAAUUGUGCUUAACUAGUUGCUGAGGUGUGAGUUUGACGCCACAUGAAUAGUGUGGGCUCAAGGAGCAUCUAAUGAUAAUGAAUCACGAUCUUGGAGUAAUCCAGUUUAGUCCAUUAGCAUGUGGAAGUGUCGAGGUUAUUGGGAGUUGAAAAGGAUCUUCGAUUUCAUUAAUCUCGUUGGCUAAAGAUAAUCCGUUUGUUAGACUGAGGUUGCCAAGAUUGAUUUGACAGUUGUAGUGGAUGUGUCAGUUGAGAAAUAGAAUGUGAAGAAGGUGGCCGUAAUACAGAAAAUUUCUAAGAUGGUUCCAAAGGAAUUGCUUGGGUUACUGCCAGAAAGAGAUAGAAAUUAUGAUCGAACUAGCACCAGGAUAGAGCCACUCUCGAAGGCUUCUUACCAGUUGUUAUUGUCUGAAUUGGUAGAAUUGAAGAUGUAGAUGUGAAGAUUGAUGAAUGAGGAAUUCGUGCAUAUCAUUGCAUCACUUUGGGGAAACAUCAGUUGUGUUUGUGAGAAGAAGAAAGAUGGUUUGUUGCGAGUGUGCAUUGACUGUCGUCAACUCAAUUAGGUGAAGAUCGAGGACCAGUGUUCUUUGCCAAAGAUCGAUGAAUGGUGUGACUAGUUAUAAAGAGUAUCGAUGUUUUAAAGGUUGACUUGAGAUUAUGAAGUCAUCAGUUACGAACCAGGAAGGAGGUUGUAUGAAAGACAACUGUUCGUACUUGAUAUGAUCUUUACGAGAGUAUUGUAAGAUCGUUUGGCUUGGUGAACACUCCAGCUAUUGUCAUGGAUUUGGCAAACCGAGUGUGUAAGGAAUAUCUAGGUCAGUUGUGAUCAUGUCGUAUAAUGAUAUUCUGGUGUAUUUGAGGAAUGCUAAAGAGCACAAGAGAUGUCUGAGAAUGGAGAAGGAAUUUCCAUGCACCUGGUCAAGACCGAAUCAGUUAUCAGUGGACCAAGACCGACAACAGUGACAGAGAUCAGAAGUUUUCUGGGGUUAGCAGGUUAUUACAGACNNNNNNNNNNNNNNNNNNNNNNNNNNNNNNNNNNNNNNNNNNNNNNNNNNNNNNNNNNNNNNNNNNNNNNNNNNNNNNNNNNNNNNNNNNNNNNNNNNNNNNNNNNNNNNNNNNNNNNNNNNNNNNNNNNNNNNNNNNNNNNNNNNNNNNNNNNUGGAGGAUUCGAGAUCUAUAGUGAUGCGUCAUUCAGGGGAUUGGGUUGCGUGCUAAUGCAACAUGGCAGAGUGUGCAUACACUUCCCAGUAGUUAAGACCUCAUAAAUUGAAUUAUCUGACGCAUGAUUUAGAACUCGCAUCCAUCAUAUUUGCAUUGAAGAUUUGGAGGCACUACUUGUGCGGAGAAAAGUUUCAGAUCUUCACAGACCAUCAAAGUCUCAAGUAUUUGUUCUCUCAGAAGGAGUUGAACAUGAGACAACGGCGAUGGAUGGAAUUGUUGAAGGAUUACGACUGUGAUAUUAUAUAUCACCCGGGAAAGGCGAACAAGGUCGCUGAUGCAUUGAGUCGGAAGUCUUCAGUGGCACGGAUCUUGGUUAAGGAGUGGAACUUAAUCGAGAGAGCUCGAUAUUCGGAAUUUAAAUUUGAGGUAGGCCACCUUUCAAGUCUUAUGGCCACUCUCAGAAUUGAGCCGGAUGUCCAGGUCAGAAUCAAACAACUUCAACCGACAGAUCCAGACGUACAGAGAAUUCUUCCAGAGGAUACCAAUAAAAGAAAGGCUGAUUUUCAAGUUUCUGAUGAUGGGAUACUGAGACUUCGUGGACGUUUGGUUGUACCUGACGAUGUAGAGCUUAGAGAAGAAAUUUUAUCUGAAGCAUAUCGUAGUAAUUACAGCGUUCAUCCUGGAAGCACUAAGAUGUAUCAGAAUUUGCGUCAACACUACUGGUGGUCAGGUAUGAAGGCGGACAUCGCCAAAUAUGUAGCCAAGUGUUUGACUUGUCAGCAAGUAAAAGCCCAGCAUUGCAAGCCACGAGGAUUUCUGCAACCUCUCGCGAUCCCAGAGUGGAAAUGGGAGCAUAUCACGAUGGACUUCGUGACUGGACUACCAAGGAGUCAAAGAGGAAAUGAUUCGAUUUGGGUAGUAGUCGACAGGCUGACAAAGUCGGCUCACUUCAUUGCAAUUUGAAAGGACCUGAGUUUGGAUAGACACGCAGACCUGUAUGUGCGUCAAGUAGUUCGUAUGCAUGGAGUGCCAGUUACGAUAACAUCUGAUAGAGACCUAAGGUUUACUGCUGCUUUUUGGAAGAGCUUGCAGAGUGCUUUGGGUACAAAGCUUCAGUACAGUACGGCGUAUCAUCCUCAUACGGAUGGCCAGUCUAAAAGGACAAUUCAGACUCUUGAAGACAUGCUGAGAGCAUGUGUAAUAGACUUCAAAGGAAAUUGGGAAGAUCAGCUUCAUCUGGUGGAAUUCGCCUACAACAACAAUUAUCAACAGAGCAUCAAGAUGGCCCCAUUUGAAGCGUUGUAUGGCACAGCAUGCAGAACUCCAAUGUGUUGGGAUGAAGUCAGAGAAAGGAAGAUAACAUGCCUAGAGUUGGUUCAGCAAUUAGUAGAUGCACCGUGGCAAUGAUCAGAGACAAAUUAAAGACCGCACAGAGCAAGCAGAAAAGUUAUGCAGAUAAGCGUCGAAGGUCUUUGGAAUUCCAAGUUGGUGAUCACGUUUUUCUGAAAGUGUCACCAAUGAGGGGAACUUCACGCUUUGGUAAGAAAGGCAAGCUGAGUCCGAGGUACGUAGGUCCGUUUGAGAUUCUUGAAAGAAUCGGAAACCUAGUGUAUCAUCUUGCAUUGCCGCCAAGAUUAGCGCAAGUGCAUGACGUCUUUCACAUGUCGAUGUUAAGGAAGUACGAGCCUGACCCAACCCACGUGCUCAAUUUUGAGGAAUUGGACGUGGAUGACCGUGUGUCAUACGUCGAAAGCCCGGUUCAGAUUGUCGAUCAUAAAGAGCAAGUUCUACGUACAAAGACCAUUCCAUUGGUCAAAGUGGUCUGGCAACACCACGGUAUUGAAGGAGCGACUUGGGAGACUGAAGAAUCGAUGAAACAGUUGUACCCCCACCUUUUUGAUCAAAGUGUAAUGGUUUAAAUUCGAGGAUGAAAUUUUUAUAAGAGGGGAAGAGUUGUGACAUCCUGAAAUUCGACCCCGUUUCGAUAAAGUGAAAUGGGCAUUUCGUCGAUGUGUUUACGGUCUUUUUUCUCUGAGUUGAUCACUUACGAGUUAACUAACCUAUUGGGUGAAGCCGUUAAGGGACGUAUCUACAGUAAAAUCCCUAAAAGCUACUCAAUUUGUUGGAUUGGACUAAAAUCACGCCCGACCGAUUUUUAACUACGAAAUUGAACUCGAUUUUGGGAAUCGAAUUUUAAGCAUGUCAUAAUCCUUUUUUUUUAGGACAUUGUCUCAUCGCUCGUCAAUUUAUUGACGAGUCUUAAAUUUCAAGAAAGAAAUUAUCGGAAGAAAAAUUGAAGACCAAAAGAAAUUAGAAAGGGAAAGAGAAAAGAAAAGAAAAGAAAAAAAUAAUACCAUGUGGUGUUAUAUUAGUAUUUCUUUUCUCUCCCUCUCUCUUCUUUUGUUUCUUUUUCUUUUUUUCUCUCUUUUCUCUCUCUUCUCUCUCCUCUCCCCUCCCCCCUCGUGCGUUUUACCCACCAACCGAAUCCCCUUGCCAAAUUCAAUUUGGCUUCUCUCUCUUUCUUUUUCACUUUGACUUUUCAAGCCUUUUCUUUCUCACUUAUCUCUUCUUCUCUCUCCUCUUUCUUUCCCCCCAACCCCACGUGACCGACUCCUUCUCUCUCUUUUCUUCUUCUCCUUCGUGCGAACUAGAAAGGAGAAGCUUGAGCGGAAGUUGCAGGCGCACGGGAGACCGUAGCUCGCCGAAGCCGUCGCCGCUCGUCCCGCCGCCGCACCGCCGCCCGUGCACGCCGCGCACGCCCCCCGCGUCCACCGCUCGCUGCCGUCCUCCCCCGUGCGACCUCACCCCUGCUCCACCUCUGUCCAACUCAAUCUGGCUACCUCCGGCCACCGCCUACCUCCGUCCGGCCACCUCACAGCCCCCCGGUGUCCCCCUCGCCCUCCGCCGGCCUUCCCUCGCCGCCCUAGCCGCCAGAUUAGCUCCGGCAAGCCUUGAACCGCAACCCACGAAAUGGGUUUCCAGCGACUUUAGGCCCGUUUUGGGCCGUUUCCGGGUCCCGAACCCGAGCCGUGCUUUGGGAAGAAUCAUUCCUCGCGUCGUCGCCGUUGGAUUGAUCCGAUUUGCGCGCGAUUUGGUGAGUAAUCUCACUAAUCCCAGAUUAGUUGACUAAUUAUGCUUUAAGGCUGGUUUAGUUUUAAUUAAUUAUGUUUAGGUUUUUAGAUUAGAAUAAAUUAGUAAUUAUUAGUCAAUUGUGAUGCGAUUUAGAUAAAUUGAUUGUGUAAUUAACAAGUAGACAUGGUCUACUAUUUAUUGGAAGCAUCUCGGGAAUUUUCCGACCCCUAAUUGGGCUUCAAUUUGGCAAUUCGGGCCUAAGUGAGAUUUUUGGGCAUUUAAAUAUUAAUUUUCGGAAUUAAAUUAAAUAAUUAUUUAUUUUCCGAAAAUUCAAGGGAGAUGGUCCGGAACGGGAAAAUUAUUUGGAUGACUGGGGUGAAGUCCGUUUAUUUAAUCGGGCUUUAUUUUGAGCUAAAUUGAAUUUUUAAUAUUAAUUAUUUAAUUUUCGAAAUUAAUUAAUUAUUUAUUUAUUUCCUGAAAAUUUAAAUGGGAUGGCCCGUGACCGAAAAAUUAUGCUGAUGAUUGUGGUGAAGUCUAUUUAUUUAAUUGGACCUUAUUUUGAGCUAAACGGAAUUUUUAAUAUUUAAUAAUUAAUUUUCGAAAUUAAUUAAUUAUUUAUUUAUUUUUCGGAAAUUAAGCUUGAGAUGGCCGACAACCGAAAUCUCGUGCUGAUCAUCGUGGCGUAGUCCGUUUAUUUAAUUAAGCUUUAAAUUAUUCUGAAUUGAUUUAAUUGUGGAUAAUUACUUUAGAAAUGGGAUGAAUCAUCAUAAAAGGCAUGGGGCUUGAUGAUUAUAUCACCUCGGAGAAUGCACAUGGCUCGGUGACAAAGUAUGUCGCCUUGGAGAAGGCAUGUGGCUCGGUGAUUAAGUUUGGCAUCUAAAAGGACACGUGGGCUCGGUAAUUUGAUGCAUUACCUCGGAGAAUGCACGUGGUCCCAAUGAUUAAGUUUGGCAUCUAAAAGGACACGCGGGCUCGGUAAUUUGAUGCAUUACCUCGGAGAAUGCACGUGGUCCCAAUGAGUACAUUUUGCAUCUAAAAGGACACGUGGACUCGGUAAUUUGAUGCAUUACCUCGGAGAAUGCACGUGGUCCCAAUGAGUACAUUUGGCAUCUUGAAGAGACACGUGGGCUUGGUGACUUGAUGCAUUGCCUCGGAGAAUGCACGUGAGCUCGCUGAUUCAAAAUGGCAUUUUAAUGGGCAUGUGGGCUUGGUAAAUUAAUGCAUUACCUCGGAGAAUGCACGUGGCUCGGUAAUUGGUUUUAUCAAUUGAGACUGUAUAGCAAUAGCUUGAAUGACCGGGAAAUGGUCAUGCUGAUAUGUAAUCGACUAGGUCGAUUGAUCAUUGAUUUGAUUUGAUGUCGUGGAUUGAUUGACUGAUUAGAAAUGACCAUGAGUGGUCUUGUUGGCAUUUAAUCAACUAGGUCGAUUUGAUCGAUGCUUCGAUUAGUAAUAUGAUUUCUUGGGUGCCUAUUAUGAAUUGUACUGACUUGCAGGUGGGAUAUGAGGCCAAGGUACGUCUUCUGCCCUAUGCGUGUAUAGGCAGCCUAUAGUAUAAUGGUUUACUAAUCGGGCUUAGUGGGAUAGAACUCGUUGAGACGUAGUCUCAUCCCAGUUUGGGGAAAACAUUUUAGGACCCCAAUGAGGAGCUAAGGAGGAGUCUAAGAAGGAGAACUCGGAGGUGAAACUUAAAGAGAAUGAUUUUUGGAAGAAGAAGAUAAUCCCGAGAGGGGCCUUAAGUAUGGCCUGGAUGGGCUGAGAGUCUAUCUUCUUUUGAGAAUUCCUUUUGAAGUGAUCAGUUAUGAAUUGGUUUGUGUUUUAUAUAAAAGUUUGAUUAUAAAUUUCAAUAUGAAAAAUAUGGCCCUGCUUUUCUAUCCCAUCAUUUUAUUGUCUGGGGAUUUUAACUGCUUCCACAUGUGCUUAAUAAAUGAAAGAGUCGGCGAUACUUGUCCUGGGAUAUCGCAUCAUAAAAUCGACCAAGAAGAGAAGGAUGUGUGCGUGCCCGAGGAUCGGGGCGUGACAGAUGAGGUGUUGAAUAAAUUAAUGGGGGUCAAUUUGAUUUAAUUCAAGAGGAUUUAAGGCUCAAUUGGAAAGAAACCCUAGCAAAAUUCGUAUGCCCAUAAACCCAACUUUUUAGCCUACCUAAAUGCUUCUAGAUGGGGCAAAUUUGUCUUGGAAUUGUGAGUGGAGGGCAGCUGGUGGUGGCUCACGUGUAGAUGACCUAAUAAAGAGAGAGACUGAGAGAGAAAAAGAGAAACCGGUUUUCUCUUCUUCCCUUCUCUCUCCCGUCGCUGUCUCUCCCUUCCCCCAUCUUCUUUUUCGGUUGAGCGACGCCAUGGAAGCUGAAGACUAGCGAACCAGUAGGCCGAAGCAGAGAUUCCUCUCGGCAUUGUCGCAGCAAGCAACCGGAGCCAGGGUCGCCGCCAUUCGCCGUCCGCCGUCCUGCUGCCUCGCGCAGCUCCGCCUCACCCUCUUCCCUCUCACCUUGCGAACCAGAGAAGAUGAAGACGGAAGCAGCUCACCUGGGUUCGAAGCAGCAGCCCUCUCGUCGCCGUCGCACACCACACGCCGUUCCCGGCCCACGUCGCCUCGCCGUUCGCCGUCUCGUGCUCCGCCUGCCUCGACCUCCCCCUCACUCAGCCCUCUGUUCCAGCAACAUUUCAGAUCUGGUGGAGCUUUGUCGGAGCCGUCCACCCCACCUCCGGCCACCGUGAAGCCUCGCCUAAGUCUUGUUCAACCCCUCCGUCCAUCUAGGUCUGCUGUUGCUUCAAUCCGAGCCUGGAUCCGCCCCCAAUCAGCAGCAAACAGAGAUGAAGAAAAUGGGUAUUGCAGCAACUUCGAGGCCCGUUUUGGCUGCCUUCCCGAGCCCGGAUGCUCGGCCCGCUUUGGGGCAAGUCGAUUCUCGCGUCGAGCCUGACGUUUUGAGUGAGUUUUACUCACUAAUGCCUUCUUAGUGCGCUAAUUAUACUUAAAGGUUGAUUAGCGUUAAUUAAGUAUAAUUAGGUUGUUAGAUUAGAAUUGAUUAGUGAUUAUUAGUAAAUUGCUUUGCAUAUUAGUUGUGUGAUUCAUGUAAUUAGAUAGAGAAUUGCCUGUAGUAUUUAUUGAAAGCUUCUUGGGAUUUUUCCCAUCCCUUAUCGGGUGUUAAUUAAGCAAUUCGGGCCUAAUUGGAAAUUUUUAGGAAUUUAAUAUUAAUUUUGGAAAUUAAUUAUUCAAUUAUUUAUUUUCCGAAAAUUCAACUGGAAUGGCCAGUGACAGGGAUUUUAUGCUGAUGAUGGUGGCGCAGACCGUUUAUUUAAUUGAGCUUCAUAUUGUGCUAAAUUGGAAUUAUUGUGUUUAUUUAUUUAUUUUUUUGGAAUUAAAUUAAUUAUUUAUUUAUUUUCCGAAAAUUCAACUUGGAUGGCCAGUGACCGGAAUAUUAUGCUGAUGACCGUGGUGAAGUCCGUUUAUUUAAUUGGGCUUUAUUUUGUGCUAAAUUGAAUUUUUAAUAAUUAUUAAUUAAUUUUCGAAAUUAAUUAAUAAAUUAAUUAUUUUUCGGAAAUUAAGAUUUUGAUGGCCGAUGACCGAAAUUUUGUGCUGAUUGUCGUGGCGUGAUCCAUUUAUUUAUUCGAGCUCUACGUUGUGUGAAAUUAAAUAAAUUGUGAUAUUUUAGGGAUUUACCCUAAAUUGAUUGAAAUUGAGUGAAAUUGAAUUAUUGAUUGGUAGAUGGCCAAGUAUAGCUAUUUAGCAAUUGUAAUGCCUUGUUGAGUGUAAGUGGAGAGAGUGUUAAGAACUAACUGAGAAUUCUAUUGGCUGAGACCGAAUCAAGUACGAAGUAUAAACAGGCAUGGUUCGGUGAUGAAAGACAUCACUGUGCGAAAACGGCGCCUUAAAGAACGCACGUAGACUGUCUAUAACUUAUGGUAGGCAUGGUUUGGUGAUUGAGGAUAUCACUGUGCGAAAACGCGCCUUAAAGAACGCACGUAGACUACCUAUGAAUCAUGACAGGCGUGGUUCGGUGAUGAAGGACAUCACUGUGCAAAAACGGCGCCUUAAAGAACGCACGUAGACUGUCAGUGAUUUGUAAUCUGUGACGGGCAUGGUUCGGUGAUGAGGAAUAUCACUGUGCGAAAACGGCACCUUAAAGAACGCACGUAGACCGUUUGUUACUUAUGUCACCUUGGCGAAAACGACGCCCGAGAACAUUGAUGGAGGUCUGUGACUAAGUGUACUAUUGGAGGUUAUGUGGGAUGGAGUGAAUGACCUAGAAAUGAUUCGACUGACUUGUAAUCGACUGGGUCGAUUGAUCGAUGAUUCGAUCUGAGUGUGAUUCAAUGUGAUUGAUCAUUGCCUUGAUUUGAUGUUGCGAACUGAUUGAUUGGAUGGAAAUGACCGUGAGGGGUCUUGUUGGCGUGUAAUCGAUUAAGUCGAUUAGAUUGAUGCUUCGAUCUGUGAUGUUAUUGCUUUGGUGCCUAUUUGAUUUGUGCUAAUAUGCAGGUGGAAUCUGAGGCCAAGAUAAGUCCUCUGACUCAUUUUGUGCAUAGGCAGCCCUAAGGUGUAUUAGUUUACUAAUCGAGUCAUAGGGGGUAGAACUUGCUGAGACGUUGUCUCAGUGGUUAUUGAAUAACCAUUUCAGGACCCGGAUGAGGAGCCUAAGGAGCAUGAAUCUAAUGAGGAGAUCCCUGUUGAGGAACUUGAAGAGGAAUACGUGGAGGAGAACCCCGAGGAUAACCUCGAGUACGAUCCGGAUGAGGAUUGGGAUCUCGUCCUGUCUUGUCAAACCUUGUGUGCAUGUGAAUAGAUGUUAGACCUAAAGUGUAUUUAUGUACAUAAGGAUGUGGUUUUCAGGUUCAGGUUUCUAGUCCUACUUGUAUAUCCCAUUGCUUUAUUGUCUGGGGAUUUUUAUGAAUGCUUCCGCAUGUGCUAUAAGAAAAGGACAUGGUCGGCAAUAUGUAGUCCUGGGAAUAUCGCAUAAUAAAAUCGACCAAGCUUGAAGGAUGGUCAUGUGAUCGAGAGUCGGGGCAUGACAUAGUAUCAUUCUCAUGUUAUUGACUAGCUAUAUUAUAAAUUAUAUAAUCAAUACAUUGACUUUACUAGCAACUUUUCUCAUGUUAGUAUGCUCAAAAUUAGAUUAUUUCGUGUUUGAUAUAUUUAACUAAUUUUUUGACUUGUUAGUGCGGCCCGCAUUAUGUAUGAUUUAGUGCUUGAAUAUGCAAACUUGGCUUAACAAGUUAGUUAAAGUUUUGGUAAACAACGGCCAAAUUUGAAUAUAUGAUUAUCUUGUGAGUAGCUUUUAACUACUAAAGUUCCACUGUUGCAAUGUAGUAUGAUGAAGAGGAACAUUUGAGAGUACUGGCCCCAAAGAAAAUGGUUCAAUUGAAACUUGAAUGCAUGACCAAUGACUACAAUUUGAUGUAGUAGAGUCCAAGUACUAACCAAGUAGACGACCGUUCAACGGCUUGGUCCAAACCAAAUGGAUAUAAAUUUCAGGAAGAUUUAACAUUUUCUUUAUCAGUCAACUAUAGCCAACACCAAAGAAAAUUUGGUUUCAAGUAUGAUAAUGUAUGGCUAUGUCUACACUACUUUAUAGGCUCAUGCUUAAAGGAAUCAAGUUUGAGAUUAUACUAUCAAAGUGAUUGCAAAAUGCCAAUACAUGAACUUCCCAAAAUGCUAAUACAAGUAUGCUGAAAAGGGUUGAAGUGCCUAAACUACAUAAUAGAAAGAUCUAAUUUUAACUAGGGCAUUUUGCAAUAUCCAACUAGCAAAAUCAGAAAUCUGGGAUAGUUUGCAAGUAGGUCAAUUUCAACUUUACAAAUCCAAUGCCGCAUACAUGAGAACUGAGCUUAUCAAAUCAGAAACCUAAAUAUUCAAAGGAUAUUAUCACACCAUAAACUAUUAGAAUGGAGGAGAUUGUCAUCAUGCAUACAUGUAUUCUGUUUUCAAGUGAAAUUCCUCAGCACGUAUAGUAAAAGCACACAAGUUUCUUUCAUGGUACGACUAACAGUGCAUUCCUCCCUCUGCAUGCAGAGUCUCAUCAAGUUGAAGUGAUAUCAUUAGAAUGCAACUGCAUCAAACAACUCUACAUUAGGGUAACAUACAAAAAAUGAGCAGUUACAUUUUUGAUUAACGGAAAUGCAGAACCUAAUGAGCAUAUAUAAAGCAUAUUCAAUUAAAAAAAAAAAAACACUUACAAUCAUCCAGGUAUGUGCUGUUGAGACAAGAUAAAGUGUUUGAAUCUUCACAAGCAUCAAAACUUCCUCGGGACACUCCAGUCAGCCCCAGAGCAUCUUCAAGGUUUGGCACCCACGAUGGUCCUCAGCUAUGCAAAAUCCCUGUUCUUUAAUUUUAUCAUUCUCAGGUAUGGAAUUUGAAGUUCCUCAGCCAAGUUAGCCACACCCAAAUCAGUCAUGUGAUAAAACAAUUCCAUGACAACAAUAAGAUCAAACAGGAUGCAAAAUUCUAAGCUGCUCGCCCCAGCUUGUUUCACAGACGGGCAAAAAAUUGUCCAAUUAUGCAAAAGGUCAUUGAUACAGCUGAUUGAAUUGAAGUCCCAAAGUAAGCCUUGAUCAUUACAUAGACCAACCAAACUUGUCAUAGAAGCAACAACACUUUAGGUUGCUUGCUAAUCUUUCAAAACAACAGUUUGACUACUGGUAAUGUUAAGGCGGUCUACAUUCAUAUAUGACAGACUAGUCAAAACUACUUUUGACAUUUUUUUUUUUCACCAAACAAAAACACUUUAACCUUAUAUUUAAUUUUAGCUCAGUUCAUCAUGCUUACUGGGGAUUGAUGCUCUUCUUAGAGGGUUCAAGAGGAACAUCAAGGGAACAUUAAGAAACUUGACAGGGUUUUCGUUCAUCACGAAAAACCAAAAGGCAUUUGUCCCAAAUGGGACGUCUACCAUUAGUCAAAUUUGACAUGAAGGAACUCAAGAUGGCCAAGGAUUUUUCAAAGAAAAUAUGAAAUUUGGACAGGGAAAUUCUGGGCGUAGUUUACAAUAUUGAGCAGCAGAUUCCCAUUGGCCUCUAGGUGAAAAUUCAAAUCACGGGUUUACCGAGAGGGAAACUAUAGAUCACUAGGGAAUUCUUGUUUACCUAUGUUCGAUAUUUUCAUCUUUGCCUCACAAGCCGCUAAUCUGUUUGCAAUCUAAAAAGCUGCCGAUGGAAGGAUAAAUGAAAAACAUUGCUAUAACAUAACCAAUAGCAAUAUAUGCAGGCAAAUCUGGAGCUUCAAAAAUCAAUCAAAUAUAUACCCAGUGUGGAGCAAAUCAUUCUAAACAAAUAUAACUUCGAGAAAAGUAUUAUUCUAUUUGCUCAUGCUGGCCAUCCAAGGAUGAAGAAUCUUACUAGAUGGCCGAUGCCUUCUAUUGACAUUUUGGGUCUACAUUUUGAUCUUGGCUGAAGCAUAAUGUCAGCUUCUAUGACCAACUACGCUUCUCCUUCAAUUAUGUAAGACUUAGGAAAGUACAGAAUCCUGUCAUGUGAAAAGUAGGUCAUGAAUCUCAAAAGAAAAAUGAUUGUUAACUGCUUAGUUACCUCUGUUGAAGAAGCAUGACUAGUCUCACUGUCGCAAUGUGGGUAUAAGAAACGUCACAUCAUUAUCACUGCAAUUUCCAUAGUGAACGUCCAUUAUUUCUAAAGACGAGUGUUCCAGAUAAUUUUGGUAUUGCUUCCAAUGUAACCAGAAAUAUCCAAAUCAAUUAAAUCCAACUUUUCAAGUCUCUAAAGCUGAGUAAGUUUCUUGUAAUCUUGAACAUUUAGAGAUUGUAAGUUCUCACAUCUUGUCAUAUUUGGCAAAGUCUCCAUUGAUAUGCAUUCUAUAAAAUCCAACUCUUCUAAGAACUUUGCACCAUCAAGACCUCCAAUUUCAACUAGAUUCUUGCACCUCACAGCCACCAAUUUCUUCAAACAGUGUGAGUUUGGACAGAGAAGCCUUCCAAUGAAGUUGCAGUCAUAUAUAAAUAUGUCCUCCAAGAACUUCACAUUAUCAUGGCCCUGAAUUUCAACUAGGUCAUUGCAACGCUCAACACGUAAUUGUUUCGGAUGAAUUCAUUUUGAAAGGUCCAAUCUUUCAAUUGAAAUACACCUUUUUAUUGAAAACUCUUCCAAGUACUCGAAUCCGUCAAGCAUCAGCAAUAUCAGCUUAUCACACUCCUCAAUACAAUGUCAAGAGUCUUGAGGAAAGCCCGGGGAUGUAUUCAAGUAGAUGACACGCCUGAAGAUGGAGUUCUAGGUGGAUUAGGCUAGAAAGGUGUCGCAACCUGGGACUCUGACAAGAGAUCGCAGACAUGUUAAGCGCCAAGGAAGCUCAAGCGGCGACCGGAGCUUGUCACAGCCCAAUAGACUAAGGCAUUGGAGAGAAGAAAGAUUCUAGAUGCUCUCUAGCAGGUCAGAUAUCAGUGCGCAAGUGAUAUCGAGAAUCUCGAGCAAAGAUAAGUCAACAAUUUCGCUUGGAAUUGCCCCUUUCAGACUAUUGGAAUUAACCUUCCAAUAGCACUGUUGACGCCUUAAUUUUAGGCCUAGUUUAUUUUAUUAAUUAAGCUUUUAAUUUAUUUUGUCUUUUCGAAUAAGUAGAUAAUAAAAAAAGAAAACAACAAAAAACAAAUAAAAACAGCAAAAAAAAAAAAACAAAAAAAAGAAGCAGCCCUCGAAUGGGCCCUUACGACCCAUUUCCCCUUUCGGCCCGGCCCCACCAGUCGUCUUCUUCCUCGCACCUCUGCAGCACACGCGCAGAGGAUGCGACGCCGGAGAGGCAGGCGGACGGCAACCCACGUGGGAGGGGCAGCUGGCUUCGGAUGGGACGUCGGUUCAGCCGGUGGAGGCCGCUUGGCGCAUGGGGACCGGCGGUCGAAGCUCCGUCGACCGGCUGCCCCUCGCCUAUAAAUAGGCCCUCGUCUCCGUCGUUGAGAGGCCACGCCGAGAGCGAUCGAAGGCUGCAAAGCUUCGAGCUUCCUGCUGAGAGACUUUAGAAGGGGAGCCGAGGUCGAGCAAGCCCAGAUCCGAAGGCUCGCGGCCGGAGAAAGAGAGGUUUUGCCGGAGAGACGAACAGAGAGAGAGGGAGUCGGAUCUAAGGCUGCAGACUUCGGGUUCCCCACUGAGAGACUUCAGGGGGGUCCGAGGACUCGCAGCCAAAGAUCUGAGGCCCGCCGGAGCAGGUCGUGAGCUUAAACGGCCUCCCACCGAGAGACAUCGGGGGAGGCCGCGGGCAAGCGAGCCUGCAGAGAGAGGAGAAUCCAAGCGCAAGAGACGGUCGAGGCUUAGAUCCGCCGUCGAUUCAGCUCCAGGCUUAGAUCCGCCGUCGAUUCAGCUCCAACGCCGCCCCAAACACCAUCUCGACGCCGUCCAGAUCUAAGUCACCGUCGUCGCCGAGAGCAGGUGACGACGGAGCCCUGUCUACGCCGUCCAUCCAAAGCUCUGAUGGCCGUCGCAUUUGCCAUUCACUGUCGUCGCCGUAGCCACCGUAGCCGCCGUCGCCGCCGUCGCCGCCGGAAUGCUCCCGUUUCCCCCCUUUCGGCGCCGCGAAUUCGCAAACCCUAGGGUUUGCGAUUUCCGGGUCGCGAAGCGGAUCCGGGUAGGGAUUCCGCGAUUUAAGGGGCGGCGGAAGCUGGGUCGGGGUUCGGGUCGGAUCCGGGUAGGGUUCCACCGGGGAGCGGGUUGUGGAGUCGGGUCUUCGGGCCGGGCCGGGCGUCUCUAAACGCCCGGCCACGGCGUCGUUUUUGAUUAAAAAAAAAAGAAAAAGCCGAAAAAUCCGAGUCGGGCCCGCAACGCGGGCCCGUCCGCGAUUGGGUCGUCGGCCCGGGUCGGACCCAACCCGCGGAUCCGACCCGGGUCGGUUUUAUUUUAUUAUUUUAAUAUAAAAUAAUAAAUAUUCUAUUUUCAAAAAAAAAAAAUCAAAAGUAUUUUAUUUUCGAAAAAAUAUUAAAAAAAAUGUUUUAAUUUCCAGAAAAUCGAAAAAUAUUAAAAAUUGUUGAAAAAUGUUUUAUUUUCUAAAAAAUCGAGAAAAAUAAAAAAUAAUCUAUUUUCCAAAAAUACCAAAAAUAUUUAAAAAAUAUUUUAUUUUCCGAAAAAUAAAAAAAAUCAAAAAUAUUUCAUACUUUCCAAAAAAUGCCUUAGGGUUUAAACAAGAUUAGGUACCGAAAGGGCAUUAGUGAUUAACUAGUGUAAUCAAGUCCCCGAUCCUAAUUUCUCUGGUUGCGCAGGAGCAAGUAUUUCUCCCGAUACUUCGCUUGGGUUUCUAAUCGACCCACUCCAAAUCGAUUAGUGGCGACUCCAUUUUAAAAAUUGAUUUAUAGGUUAAAAACUCAAACUAUUAAAGUCGUGGAUUGGUGGAUUUGGGAGAGUCCGGGCUUAAUAAAUUCAGCCGAGCCAUUAGCCUCCUUAGGCGCUCGUACCCGAUUGCGGGCGCCGAAGAAAAGAGGUCGCGACAGCUUGGCGACUCCGCUGGGGACUUUGAGGACUUAGGCCUUUUUUGUCUUGUUUAAAUUCUUUACUGACUUAGGUUUUUUCUUCAUGCAGGUCAAAAGCUUAGAAAUUUAUUUUAAUUUUGCUUAAAAUAGAUUGUUUUGUAAUUAUAAAUUGCUGUGCAUCCUUAAAUGUUUUAGCACUACACAUGGCACACACAACCCGGCCGCCGGACCUGGGCCGCCAUAGGAUUUCUAGGAUGGUGUUAAGAAAGAUACGACCUCGAACGCGAGACUGCGAUGUAGAGGUUGCCUUUCUUUUCCCCGAAUUUCUUAGCCGAGGUUAGGAGGGUAUGCUGCUAACGCGAGACUGCGACGGGCGGAUAUCCUUUUAAUCUCAUCAAUCCUUCUCAGUUAGAAAUCGAGCCGCACGUCCCAUGCGCAUGUCUUUGUGCUUGCCAUUUUUCUUUAAAAGCAAAGUGAUUCCUUUACUGUUAUUCAGUCUUUUUAUUUUGGCCCAUGGCAAUGUAGGAUAAGCUUUUCAAGUCCCAGUUUAUAUGCGAUGGGGAAAGACGAUAUCCAGUUCAUUCCUACUCCUAAGGCGGAGCUCUUCAGAUGGUGGGGUCAGUUAGAUCAGUUUGCCCAAGAGGGUGUGAAGGCCAAAGUCGGUCAUCUCCUAUCGUUGAUCCAAAUCAUUGUUCGCCCUGAAGUCAUACAAGCCAUGGCACAUUUCUGGUGCCCAAAGACGGUUACUUUUAUAUUCGGUAGGUUUGAGCUAACCCCAACCCUGGAAGAAUACAGCAUCAUCACUGGAAUGCCUCUUGAGAAAAAGCUUGUCAAACCAUCAACAGGCCUCAUCCCGAUACGUGGGUUAGCACGGCUUUUAAGAACUGAAGUCCAUACUAUGAUACAAAUUCUUGAAGAUAACCAUAAAACCUGCCCACUGGAAUUUAUGAAUGCAUGUUUCCAAAAUCAGCCUAUGACCCAGAAAAGUGAAAUUUUCCUCCUGGCCUUUUUCGGGCUCAUCAUCUUCCCCCAUCAAAGAAAUGCCAUAACUCCCAAGAUGGCAUGGAUAGUUGAUCAGAUCUUAAGAGGGGGGAAUUAUGUCAACAUGAUUUUAACUGAAACAUUCUUGUCAUUUAAUCGUUUUAAAGACAACUCGGAGAAAAUCAUGCGAGCCUCUCCUGAAAUUUUACAAGUCUGGUUCUUUUCUCACCUAAGCGAAUUUCGAGACUUCAUGCGAACGUCUGAAACAAAUGCUUUUGAAAAUCCAUUACAAAAAUUUAUGGUUCUAGGACCAUACAUUCCCAAUCAAAGUUGUUUAAAUUGGGUAAGCUUCCUAAGAGACUCAGCUCCUGAGGCAUUCCAAUGGUGUGCUGGUUGGUUCCAUGAAAAGAGGGCCCGCUUUGCUUACAUACGCACCCGCCCAAUUCCAUUGCUCGGCCUCACCGGCGCCAUUCCCUAUUACCCGUAUCGGGUAGCACGACAAUAUGGAGCCCUUCAGGAGAUUCCACCGCCUUUCAAGAGGAUGAUCCCUCCAGUUCUUUUCAACACAAGCCGUGACUAUGCAUUCGAAAUUUCUAUUGCUGAGGAAACCUGGAACAGCUGCCAUCGCAAAAGGAUUGUGGUACCUGAAGGGCUUGAGGGAGAAGAAAAAGCCCACCACGCCUCCAUGUCCUACAUCCACAACCAUCGCAUCCCGAAAAAAUGGAAGCCAUCAGUCCCUCACUCAAUCAACGAGAGCAGCCAGCACGAGCAAGCAGAACUCAUGGAGAGGGAUUUGGGAAUGGACUGGAUGCACACCUCAGAGUCAGCCCAAGGAAGCAAGCGUCCUCACAAGAACAAGGCUCCCCGUCGCAUAUAAAUUAGCAAUCGUGUGCCCCUUAGUAUUAAUAUUGUGAAAGUUUUGUCCCAUUGUUUAGGGACUUUUGUUUAAUGUCUAAUAUUUCAUUCCGUCUUUUCAAUUUCAAGUUCUAGAUGUCAGAAAUCUGCGGUCUAUAAAAUCCUCUUUUGAUAAAUAAAAAGCAGUUAGACCAUUGCCAUGGGUCAAUCUUUGUUUACUUUCAUGCUCAUUCAUUGUUUUCGCAACAAGCAGGUAACUAUGAAUCACCAGCCACCAAUCACUCGCGAAUGGCCUCAUGCAAUAGGACCCGAUCAGAAUGAUGUGCAAAAUCGCCUUAUUAACAUUGAAGACGGCGUAGGACAGAUGUCCAUUGUCCUUCAACAACUCUCAAGACAAAUGAAAUCCACUCAAGCUGAGCCCAACUCUAUAGUUGCCUCAAACACCGUCAUGACACCUGCAAAUUUGCCAGAAAAUAGCCAGUAUCAUAAACAGUUUGAAAAAAUCAUGAAAAAGUUAAGUCAGCUGCAGGAGCAGAAUCCCAUGGACCUGUCUAAUUACGCCGGCAUUGAGAUCCCCGAAAAACUCAAAGCACCCGAAUGCGAAAGGUAUGCUGAUACCCCCCGUCCAGAGACUUACUUACAGGCAUACCUGGUUCGAAGGAUGAUUCAAUCGUACCAAUCGAGCUUGACUGGCCCUGCCUUGCGAUAGUACAUUGUCAGGAAGAUUAGUCCCCUUAAAACUUGGAGGGAACUAAUUCAUGUUUUUCACCAAGAGUAUAAUCUUGACAUCACCCUGCCCUACGAAGAACUAAUGAUCAUGGAGCACGAGGAACCGUUAGUCGCUGAGAUAGGAGAAGAGCAUGUCAAUGAAGCCUUGCAUGAUAAAUGGGCAGCUGAACAACACCUUGUUACUGGAAGAUUUCCCACUAGAAAAGGCAAGGAGCCUUUGUACGAGAUCAAAGACACAGAGCCUGUUCAAGACCGGGGCACCACUGGACAACUCCCUAAGCUUACUCCAAGAGCUAGGGUCCAAAGAAUACCAACCCCUAUCAACUUGGGAAGUGAAUCAGAUAGUGAAACUCCAAUGUCUCUCACUUCCUUUGACAGAAUUGAGCUGGCAAAACGAAGGGCUUUACUCAAAAGAUCUGGACCAGGGGCCAAGAAAAGAAAGCCUAAGCAGAUCGAUGCAGCAUCUAUUGACGAGCCACCGCACCAAAGCUUCGAGCGUUCCCAAGAGUACAACCCUGAAGACUUCCCGGCCCUAGAAUACAAUCCCAAGGACUUCCAACGUUAUUUCAACAAUGAAGCUGACGAUUCAUCAUAUAACUGUUUCCUACUCUCAUCCGGGGAUGAAGGCCCGUCAGGAGAAGAAUCAUACGUCUUUAUCCACUACGAUCCUAAUGAAGUAUUGAGCUCAUCCUCUGGCCAUGAGAAUAGCUUCGAUACUUCAUCCUCAUUCGGAAAUCUUGACCAAGAAGAAAGUAAUGGGAUAAUCUCGGUAGAAUCCAACUUCCCUGAAAUAGAAAAAUUCACCACUACAACAGAUAUGCAGUGGGAAAACCAUUGGCCUAACCAAGAUACAUCAAACCCGUCUUGCCCUCGUAGGAUCAUGAGCCCCAUAGAAAUGUGGAUACCCAAUCUCCGCAAGUAUAACGGCACAGCUUGUCCCGUGGCCCACUUGCAGUAUCUCCAUGCAGAAAUGAGUCGGUACUAUGGCCCAAUGUCGUUCACAACUCAGGCAUUCCAAGAAACUCUUACGGGGUCUGCAUUGCAAUGGUUUAUCACAGCAAACAUUUAUCUUCUAAAGGAUUGGAAUGAGCUGACUUCCACAUUCUUGCAUCAGUACCAAAGCCAGAUCGGAACUGAACUUCCUUGUGAGAGCUUGGCUCACUUUACAAGAAAACCAAUGGAAGAUUUUCGAUCAUACGCAGGGAGGUGGAGGGCUUUCAUGAUGCAAACCCACCCUCAACUGGCUGAAGAGGAGUUAAUGAAGCAGUUCAUAGAAGUUUUGUCCUGCAAGCAGCGCUGUUGGCUGCAUGGGUUACACUUCCGUAACUUCAACGAGGUAGUCAUCGCAUGUGAAUACUUCGAGUCUACUGAAGACGAGGAAUUCAAAGACGCUUAGCUUUAAGACCAGCACUAUCAAAGCACUCCUUUACAUAGGAGUUUUCAUGGGUUUUACUUGUUUUUAUAAUUUCAUGUUUCUUAUCUUGUCUAGUGUGCUACUGUUGUAUUUUCCAUUCCAAGUACUCUAUUGUGCAGUUAUAAUAUUUUAAGAGCAUGAGGCGGUACUCCAAACCAGCCCGGUGAUGCUAUCCAACCAUGAAAAAAUAUAUCAUCCAAGGAGAAUACUGAGGGCUGGACUUCCUUAUGCUUUUUCUCCCCCAAAGACGUAUUUUGAAAUUAAAAAAUAUUUCAUCACCCAAAAGCUUUUGUUAAAAUAAGAUGAUAAAUUUAAUCAUGUUUGUCUUUCUAACUCACUCACUUCAUGUCUCAGAAUAUCAUUCCCGUCCCUUUUGACUUAGUGCGACAGGGGGCAUUUAAAGCAAGCACAUUAUGUGAACUCACCGAAUUCAAUGACACCCUCCCAAGAAAGCAGGGGCAAACAGAAAGGAUCAUCACGUUUCAAAAUGGUAAGUCCUAUUCCCUGAACAUAAUGUCGAAAAUGACAUCCUCUCUCUGCCAUCUACAGGAAAUGAAUGAUGGGAUGUAAUAGGCACAGGCAUAUUAUCAAACUUGAAGCAUGCAUAACAUGAUAGCUCAAGGCAGGAUGUCCCGAGUUCAUUGACAGGACUUCCAGCUUCAACGAGCCAAGAAGCACAAAGAAGGAUUUGCUUCUCUUUCUUUAAAUUGGCUACUGUCAACAGGGAAGAAAUCCAGACAGUUGAAGCGGUCUCUAGCCCCUAUUCAAAAUAAGGACCUGGAAACUUGACUUCCUAUUCAGAUACAUGCUCUUGCAAGAAGUGAUUGCCAUCAGAGAAUUGGAGGUUUUGAUUAUCCAUCUCAAAUUCCAUAGAAGCUUGCGGUACAUGACUUUGCUUGAUCAAAGGCAGAAGGAAAAAUUCCACAGAAGGAAUGCGUUGAAGAUAAAUCAACAAUCAGCAAUCAUGCAUACAUGGUCACAAGUGAGGAAGGCCAAUCGAAAGAAAUGUCAAACUAUGCUAAGACGAAAAGGCUGUCAUCAACAUUCAAACAUCAUCAGGAGUCAGCAAAUACAAAACUUUGGAGAAGAGUAAUUUGGUAUCGUUUCCAAUACUCCCCCUUCUUUGAAUUCACUUUUGACAUAUUCCCCCUAUUGACAGGGAGCAUCACAACUCAAGAACCAAACUCAAUGGUUAGGCAAAUCAAUAUUGGCCAAGCUAGUACGUGGAAAUGACCCACAUUAAAUUCACCUGGCUUCGUGUAAAAAGACAUGUCAUCCAGGAGCUAAUUCAGAGAAUAAUUGACCUAAUGAAGCAAGGGACAUAGGACUUCGAGUCCCCCUCUCACUUUAGGUUCACCCAAUCAUCUGCAAACCAGUGAAGGGUAAAGUUGUAUCGAUUCCAGUUAUUUGACUCUUGAAAGAGUUCAUGACUAACACAUUCCCUCUUGUUUGUUGCAGGAUCACCUGACUGUCAAAAGCAAGGAUAAUGAAUCAAUGAAAAUCAUGUCUUGUUUGUUGCAGGAUUAACUGACUGUCAAAAACACAGAUAACAAAUCGAUGAGAGGCAUGACAAACUCUCCCAAGAAAAAUGACGUCUCAAGUAUCGCCAAAGCAAAUGGCAGAGAUCCUUCAGGCCUCAAUUCACCUUUAAUGUUGGCCCUGUUGAUUGAUCUAUUUUCAUCUUCUCUUCUGCAGGAGCAAAAAUAGAGAUGCCCGAUCAGAUCCCCAACCCCGGCCGAUCCUUCAUGUGUCAUAUCCCUAAUCAAUAGGGACAAUCAUCGACACCCAUUUGCGAAUAACCCUUUUGAUGUUCAAAAUUUAACAUAUUUGGAAGCACCAUUAUGUUAACUCCUAAAGUUGUCAACAAGGUCUUUUCAAGUCAAAACCAUUCACUUGUUUUGAAGAGUUCAAACUCCAUCAUAUUCAAAAUGUUGCAUGUCGUUUCCAGAUGAAUUCGGCAUGAUGAUUUUGUCUGUCUAAGUCACUGAUUCCACUAAGGAUUAUUAGAAUAGACAGCUAAAUGAAGAAUACAAGAUUAAUUGAGCAUGCUGGAUGAGGCGCGUCAGAAUGAUGGAAGGCAAGCCAUAUCCUACACACAGUCCCCCAUCUAUACACUUGUGAGAUGAGUGCAGAAGAUUCCAUGGCUGCAGGGUAAAGAGUUCUCUCGCGAAUGGUACAAUAACCAAAAUAGUGAAGGGCAUUCCACCGCUCACCCCAUUGAGCCUCAUACACUGACAAAUUUCUGCUAUACUCCCGUCAAAGAACCACCCCACACUGGGGCAAGUCGAAAGCAAGUCAGCAUCACAAGGUGAGAAAGGGGAUAGAAAUUUUCUUGCUAGCACUUGCAUCAAUCUUCGAGUGUCUUUAUUGCAUAUGAACACUCGCGUUAAUCUAAGUGCCCUAGAGUCAUGAAGAGCAAUUCUUUCUUUACGCACUUGUAUCUAUUGUACAACUCAAUUGAGUCUGUAAAUUCACCCUCACAUGGAGGCAAAGCAGAAGCUACUGCCGUUUGAGUAGCAUAAUCAAAAGCGCCGGCAAAAGAUGAAGACUCAAUAGUCUAACAAAGGCGUUUGCUUGAACUUGUCAAGAUCAGCUCUCAAGCAACAAAGAAUAAAAAAAACAUGGGCAUAAAAAAGCAGUGUACCUGGUAAAAGCAAGGUCAAUGCCCAUAAAAGAAGAACUGGAAUAAAAAUAGGGGCAUGAAAAAGCAGUGUGCCUGGUAAAAGCAAGGCCAAUGCCCCCCAGUCAAAAAUGCAGCUAAGAAAAAGUCGUUGUUGUGGUCCAUAGAACCUCCAUUUGACAGUGAGAAGAAAGACUGGUGACAAAUGCCAAGGCAGUCACCAGCUCUCACCCUUUUACACAUGAAUCAAGCCUACAUUGCAUCCCAUUGCAAAAGUCUCUUCAGACUAGGGGCACUUCAAUUAACAUGGGAUUUCAUAUGUCUAUAAGUAUCACUCGAAGAAGUACGAGCAAGAUUACUCUAUCUCUUUUCGCAGGGUUCUUGAAUUGUAAACCCGGAGAUGAUCGUGCAACAUUUUCAUCCAUCAGCUUCAACCUUGAUGGUCCCCUUCGAUGAGCCACUGGCCAAGACUUCAUCAUAGUUUCAACAAAGACCUCUCACAUUGGUAAAGUCGUACGUUUGCGAGAAUACUCGGACCCCUGUUAACAUGAUGAUAGUGAGAAGUGUGGUCCUUAUAAUGUCACGCCCCGAUCCUCGGGCACGUGCACAUCCUUCUAUCUUGGUCGAUUUUAAUAUGCGAUAUCCCAGGACAAUGUAUCGCCGACCCUUUCAUUUAUUAAGCACAUGCGGAAGCAGUUAAAAUCCCCAGACAAUAAAACGAUGGGAUAGAAAAGCAGGCUAUAUUUUUCAUAUUGAAAUCUAUAACCAAACUUUUAUACAAAACACAAACCAGAACACUUCACAACUUUUUAUUCUAAACUCUAUUCACAUCAACAUGGAGAUCUCAAAAGAAGACAGAAACUUAGGCGAACUGGGCCGUACUCAAGGCCCCUCUCAGGAUUGUCUUCUUCCUCCAAAAAUCUUUCUCCUUAAGAUUCGCCUCCGAGUCCUCUUUCUCGGAUUCCUCCUUCUCAGCUCUUCAGCGGGAUCCUGAAAUGGUUUUCCCCAAACUGGGAUGAGACUACGUCUCAGCGAGUUCUACCCCACUAAGCCCAAUUAGUAAACUAUUAUACUAUAGGCUGCCUAUACACGCAUAGGGCAGAAGACGUACCUUGGCCUCAUGUCCUACCUGCAUGUUAGCACAGGUCAAAUAGACACCUAAGCAAUCACAUCACAGAUCAAAGCAUCGAUCAAAUCGACCUAAUCGAUUACCAGCCAACAAGACCACUCACGGUCAUUUCCAUUCAGUCAAUCAAUUCACGACAUCACAUCAAAGCAAUGAUCAAUCAACAUAGUCGAUUACAUGUCAAUUCGACCAUUCCCCAGUCGUUUCCCUUAUUCAGGUUCAAAUCGUACUCACGACUUCACAAGCAUAGACUACCAAAUUUCUUGGCAACAAAUUACAGUCCCGAAGGACACGACCUAUCUUUAGGUAGCAAAUUACGGCCCAAUGGGCGCGACCUUUAAUAGGUGGCUAAUUACGGCCUUAUCAGGCGCGACCCGUAUCGGGUGGCAAAUUACGGCCUUAACAGGCGCGACCUUUAAUAGGUGGCUGAUUACGGCCUUAUCAGGCGCGACCCGUAUCGGGUGGCAAAUUACGGCCUUAACAGGCGCGACCUUUAAUAGGUGGCUGAUUACGGCUUUAUCAGGCGCGACCCGUAUCGGGUGGCAAAUUACGGCCUUAACAGGCGCGACUGACUCCAAAUUCGGUGGCAAAUCUCAGCCCAACUGGCAUAGCCAUACUUCGGCGGCUUCCGAGGUUCAACUCACAACCUCUCAUAGUCAAAUUCUAAUUGAAUACCGACAUUGAUCAAUCUUGGGAUGAAUCCCCACAUACUCAUCAACUCACUCAAUUUUCACACGAUAUUAACAUACCUGAUGGAUCUUAGCCAAGAGUAUAUUCAAAUCACUCUCAUAAUUCUACUCACUUUACCACUCAACAAAGCAUUGCAAACGCUAAAUAAACAUACUCGGCCAUUUACCAAUCAACAAUUCAAUCUCAAUCAAUUCCAAUCAAUUUAGGGUAAAUCCCCAAAAUAUCACAAUUUAUUUAAUUCCAUGCAACGUGGAGCUCAAAUAAAUAAACGGACUGCGCCACGACGAUCAGCACGAGAUUGCGGUCGUCGGCCAUCAAAAUCUUAAUUUCCAAAAAAAUAAAUAAUUUAAUUAAUUUUUUUAAAUAUUAAAAAUUCCGUUUAGCUCAAAAUAAGGUCCAAUUAAAUAAUUGGACUUCACCACGGUCAUCAGCAUAAUUUUCCGGUCACGGGCCAUCCCAGUUGAAUUUUCAGAAAAUAAAUAAUUAUUUAAUUAAUUUCGAAAAUUAAUUAAUAUCAAAAAUUCAAUUUAGCUUAAAAUAAAGCCUGAUUAAUUAAACUGACUUCACCAUGGUCAUCGGCAUAAUUUUCCGGUUCCAGACCAUCUCAGUCAAAUUUUCGGAAAAUAAAUAAUUAUUUAAUUUAAUUCCGAAAAUUAAUAUUUAAAUACUAAAAAUUCCACUUAGGCCCGAAAAGCCUAAUUGGAUCCCACUAAGGGUCGGGAAAAUUCCCGAAGCACUUCCAAUAAUUAGUAGACCACGUCUACUUGCUAAUUACACAAUCAAUUUAUCUAAAUCGCAUCACAAUUGACUAAUAAUUGCUAAUUUACUCUAAUCUAACAACCUAAACAUAAUUAAUUAAAUCUAAACCAACCUUAAGCAUAAUUAGCCAACUAAUCCAAGAUUAGUGAGAUUACUCACCAAAUCGCGCGCAAAUCGGAUCAAUCCGACGGCGGCGACGCGAGGAACGAUUGUUCCCAAAGCACGGCUCGGUUUCGGGGCCGGGAAACGGUCCAAAAGCGGGCCCAAAGGUGCUGAAACCCACUCCGUGGGUCUUGCUGGUCGCGGCUGAACGGAGCAGCUCCGGCGGCUAGGGCGGCGGGGGAAGGCCGGCGGAGGGCGAGGGGGUCGCGGGGGUGGUUCGGCGGGGUUGGCGGUGGCCGGAGGUGGCCGGGGGUGGCUGGACGGAGCUGGAGCAGAAGCGAACAGCAGCUGGGUCGCGCGGCCUGGCCGUGCGCGGACGGCAGGACGGCGACGGGCGCGCGGGCGCGGCGCGGAGGUGCGGCGGUGCGGCGGCGGGACGAGCGGCGAGCGGCUGAGGGGCGAGCUGGUUCUGGUUCGGGCUUCUGGUUUUCACUUGCUGCACGCGCAGAGGAAGGAAGAAGGAGAAGAAGAAGAGAGAGAGAGAGAGAGAGAAAAGAGAGGGAUAAACAUUGACUGGUCAAAGAGGAAAAGAGAGAGAGAGAGAGAGAGAGAGAGAGGGAAUGGGCGGUGGAGAAUCGCACGAGGGGGAGGGGAAAAAGGGGAGAGGAGAGAGAAAGAAAAGAAAGAAAAGAAAAGAGAGGGAGAGAGAGGAAAAAGAAAAGGAAAUGCAUAAUUCCUUAUUUCAAUUUUCCUUUUCUCUUUUCCUUUUCCUCUCUUUUCUUUUGGGCUUCAAUUUUCUUCCGAUAAUUUCUUUAUUGAAAUUUCGGACACGUCAAUAAAUUGACGAGCGAUGAGACAGGAUUCUAUUUAUCCAGUCAAAUUAAAACCCGAAAAUCUGGAUGUCACAUAUAAAUCCUGCAUCAAUGGUCAGGAUAGCCUUUUCCAUGAGAGUGAGCGUAAAGUCCUUUCAGACUGAAAGUCCCCCAUUUGGCAUACUCAAGACAUCUACAUUCUAAAUGAAGGUUGUCUUUCAAGAUCUUCUCCAGUGGAAAUCAAAAGAUGUGGAACUGACAAAAUUAUCAUGCAUGAAUCUCAUUUGAACUCAUGAAUUUAUAGCAUAUACAAUCAUAUGUGCAUACUGUGCAAAUAGCAGACAUACUCUCAGAGAUCAGAGAUAUUGCCAGGUAAACAUAUCCCUGUCCCCAUUUGUCUUAAAGUACCUACCACUGUCCAGGUACUCUCUUAUUAACACUCAACUUAUUUGAGUCGUCCCUUGAGUUUGGGUACCUACUGCUAUUUAGGUAUCUCUAUUAUCUUUGAGUAUCGGCCACCGUUCGGAUACUCCCUCUUCCUGACACUCGACCUGUUCGAGUUGUCCCAAGAGUAUUGAUACUUGUGACUGACCAAGUAUUCCUUUAUUGUUGAAUACCUACUGCUGUCCAGGUAUCCCUGUUGUCUUUGAGUACCGGCCACCGUUCGGAUACUCCCUCUUCCUAACACUCGACCUGUUCGAGUUGUCCCCAAAGUAUUGAUACUUGUGACUGACCAAGUAUUCCUUUAUUGUUGAAUACCUACUGCUGUCUAGGUAUCCCUGUUGUCUUUGAGUACCGGUCACCGUUCGGAUAUUCCCUUUUCCUGACACUCGACAUGUUCAAGUUGUCCCCAGAGUAUUGAUACUUGUGACUGACCAAAUAUCUCUUGUAAUACCUACUGCUGUCUAGGUAUCCCCAUAUCGUCAAGUACCCACCGUUGUCCAGGUACAUCAUUUUCAUGAUACUUAACCUGUCUGAGUUGUCCCCAAAUGAUAUAGCAGUUGUUCAAGCAUUCCACUGCUUUGUGUGCCUGCGCCUACCCAAGUAUGCUUUCUUACACUUGGACCUACCUAAGUGGUCCCAGAUCAUAUCAUUAAAUACUUGUGUUCAUCCAAGUAUUCCGGUACUUUGUACUCCUGCGGCUACUCAGGUGUUUCAGCCCUUUUGAGUGCCUGCGGCCAUCUAGGUAAGCCUUGUGCUACAUUCAAGUUUAUGUUACCAGGAGGUGAGAGACCUUCACGAAUAUCCAAGGUACGCCCUCGAUAUUCCCCAUUACCAGGAGGUGAGAGACCUUCACGAAUAUCCAAGGUACGUCCCCGAUAUUCCCCAUUACCAGGAGGUGAGAGACCUUCACGAAUAUCCCAGGUACGUCCUCGAUAUUCCCCUUUACCAGGAGGUGAGAAACCUUCACGAAUAUCCAAGGUACACCCCCGAUAUUCCCCAUUACCAGGAGGUGAGAGACCUUCACGAAUAUCCAAGGUACGUCCUCGAUAUUCCCAAUUACCAGGAGGUGAGAGACCUUCACGAAUAUCCCUGGUACGUCCUCGAUAUUCCCCUUUACCAGGAGGUGAGAAACCUUCACGAAUAUCCAAGGUACGCCCCCGAUAUUCCCCAUUACCAAGAGGUGAGAGACCUUCACGAAUAUCCAAGGUACGUCCCCGAUAUUCCCCAUUACCAGGAGGUGAGAGACCUUCACGAAUAUCCAAGGUACGCCCUCGAUAUUCCCCAAAUUACCAGGAGGUGAGAGACCUUCACGAAUAUCCAAGGUACGCCCUCGAUAUUCCCCAUUACCAGGAGGUGAGAGACCUUCACGAAUAUCUCAGGUACGCCCUCGAUAUUCCAAAUAUCAGCAGAUGAGAGACCUUCAUAGAUAUCACAGGAGGUGAGAGACCUUCACGAAUAUCUCAGGUACGCCCUCGAUAUUCCAAAUAUCAGCAGGUGAGAGACCUUCACGUAUAUGCAAGACCCAUCCUCGAUAUUUCCACACGAAUAUCUCAGGUACAUCCUUGAUAUUCCAUGCACCAAAGAGUUUGUACCUGUGAUUGUCCAGGUACCCCUUCGAUACUUGUGAUCAUCCAGGUAUCCCCAAAUAGUUUGUACCCGUGAUCGUCCAGGUACCCCUUCGAUGCUUGUGAUCACCCAUAUAUCUCCAAAGAGUUUGUACCUGUGAUCGUCUAGGUACCCCUUCGAUACUUGCAAACAUCCAGGUAUCCUCCAAGAGUUCGCACUUGUGAUCAUCCAAGUACCCGUCCAUUGCCUAUGAUCAGCCAAAUACCCAUUUCGACGCCUGCAAAGGCCCAAAUAUCCUUCAUGUAUCUCCCAAAUCGAUGCCCUGAGAAAGGUCGGCGCAUCUCCCGAGAAAGGUCGGGUACCAACUGGUGUCUUCGACAGAAGUCAGACACCCCCAACAAAUAGAUGCUCUGAGAAAGGUCGGCGCAUCUCCUGAGAAAGGUCGGGUACCAAUCGGUGUCCUCGAUACAAAUCAGGCACCCACAAAUUGAUGCCCUGAGAAAGGUCGGCGCAUCCUCCCGAGAAAGGUCGGGUUCCAACUGGUGUCUUCGAUACAAAUCAGGCACCCACAAAUUGAUGCCCUGAGAAAGGUCGGCGCAUCCUCCCGAGAAAGGUCGGGUUCCAACUGGCGUCUUCGACAGAAGUCAGACGCCCCACAAAUCGAUGCCCUGAGAAAGGUCGGCGCAUCUCCCGAGAAAGGUCGGGUACCAACUGGUGUCUUCGACAGAAGUCAGACACCCCCAACAAAUAUGAUGCCCUGAGAAAGGUCGGCGCAUUUCCCGAGAAAGGUCGGGUACCAACUGGUGUCCUCGAUACAAAUCAGGCACCCACAAAUAGAUGCCCUGAGAAAGGUCGACACAUCUCUCGUCAAGGCGACCGAAGAAAGGUUCGAGUCCUAGACAAAUCAUGGAAUGUUUUAACAGGCGACCAAAGAAUGGUUCGGGUCCUGGAGAAGCAACUUCCCGUCACAGCGACCGAAGAAUGGUUCGGGUCCGAGACAAACCACCGAUUACUCCAACAGGCGACCGAAGAAUGGUUUAGGUCCUGGAAGAGCAGUCUCCCGUCAAGGCGACCGAAAAAAGGUUCGGGUCCUAGACAAAUCAUUGAUUGUUUUAACAGGCGACCGAAGAAUGGUUCGAGCCCUGGAAAAGCAACCUCCUCAUAUCACCAGGUAAGAUGAUGCCUUGAUACUUGCCAAAACUCGGGGAUCACACCCUAUCUCACUCACUCCCGGUAAGUAAUUACAGGUAUUUUCUUAUCUGUCUUAGUAUAUGUAAAGUUAUAUUGCUCUUUUUCUGCAUAGAAUAAUAGGUCCCAAAUAAAAUCUACUACGCAUGCAUGGAUAAAAUUGAGGCAUCAGUCUGUCUUUGAAUGCAACCUCUGCGAGCUCACCUUCAAAGAGGGGCAGCUGUUGACGCCUUAAUUUUAGGCCUAGUUUAUUUUAUUAAUUAAGCUUUUAAUUUAUUUUGUCUUUUCGAAUAAGUAGAUAAUAAAAAAAGAAAACAACAAAAAACAAAUAAAAACAGCAAAAAAAAAAAACAAAAAAAAGAAGCAGCCCUCGAAUGGGCCCUUACGACCCAUUUCCCCUUUCGGCCCGGCCCCACCAGUCGUCUUCUUCCUCGCACCUCUGCAGCACACGCGCAGAGGAUGCGACGCCGGAGAGGCAGGCGGACGGCAACCCACGUGGGAGGGGCAGCUGGCUUCGGAUGGGACGUCGGUUCAGCCGGUGGAGGCCGCUUGGCGCAUGGGGACCGGCGGUCGAAGCUCCGUCGACCGGCUGCCCCUCGCCUAUAAAUAGGCCCUCGUCUCCGUCGUUGAGAGGCCACGCCGAGAGCGAUCGAAGGCUGCAAAGCUUCGAGCUUCCUGCUGAGAGACUUUAGAAGGGGAGCCGAGGUCGAGCAAGCCCAGAUCCGAAGGCUCGCGGCCGGAGAAAGAGAGGUUUUGCCGGAGAGACGAACAGAGAGAGAGGGAGUCGGAUCUAAGGCUGCAGACUUCGGGUUCCCCACUGAGAGACUUCAGGGGGGUCCGAGGACUCGCAGCCAAAGAUCUGAGGCCCGCCGGAGCAGGUCGUGAGCUUAAACGGCCUCCCACCGAGAGACAUCGGGGGAGGCCGCGGGCAAGCGAGCCUGCAGAGAGAGGAGAAUCCAAGCGCAAGAGACGGUCGAGGCUUAGAUCCGCCGUCGAUUCAGCUCCAACACCGCCCCAAACACCAUCUCAACGCCGUCCAGAUCUAAGUCACCGUCGUCGCCGCGAGCAGUGCCACCGUGCCGAGCCGAAGCCGAGAGUAGGUGACGACGGAGCCCUGUCUACGCCGUCCAUCCAAAGCUCUGAUGGCCGUCGCAUUUGCCAUUCACUGUCGUCGCCGUAGCCACCGUAGCCGCCGUCGCCGCCGUCGCCGCCGGAAUGCUCCCGUUUCCCCCCUUUCGGCGCCGCGAAUUCGCAAACCCUAGGGUUUGCGAUUUCCGGGUCGCGAAGCGGAUCCCGGGUAGGGAUUCCGCGAUUUAAGGGGCGGCGGAAGCUGGGUCGGGGUUCGGGUCGGAUCCGGGUAGGGUUCCACCGGGGAGCGGUGUGAGUCGGGUCUUCGGGCCGGGCCGGGCGUCUCUAAACGCCGCACGGCGUCGUUUUGAUAAAAAAAAAAGAAAAAGCCGAAAAUUCCGAGUCGGCCCGCAACGCGGGCCCGUCCGCGAUUGAGUCGUCGGCCCGGGUCGAACCCAACCCGCGGAUCCGACCCGGGUCGGUUUUAUUUUAUUAUUUUAAUAUAAAAUAAUAAAUAUUCUAUUUUCAAAAAAAAAAAUCAAAAGUAUUUUAUUUUCGAAAAAAUAUUAAAAAAAAUGUUUUAAUUUCCAGAAAAUCGAAAAAUAUUAAAAAUUGUUGAAAAAUGUUUUAUUUUCUAAAAAAUCGAGAAAAAUCAAAAAAUAAUCUAUUUUCCAAAAAUACCAAAAAUAUUUAAAAAAAUAUUUUAUUUUCCGAAAAAUAAAAAAAAUCAAAAAUAUUUCAUACUUUCCAAAAAAUGCCAAAAAUCCAAAAAAAAAAAAGCCAAAAAUUCAUGAAAAAGCCAAAAAAAAAUUCAAAAAAAAAAGAGCCAAAAAGACUUGUAUUUUUCCAAAAAUCCCAAAAAAUCCCUUUUGUGUCCAAAAAAUGAGAAAAAUACUCAAAAAAUGUUUUUCCUCCCAAAAAUGCAUGGAAAAUCUCUCAAACAUCCAAAAAGCCUUAGGGUUUAAACAAGAUUAGGUACCGAAAGGGCAUUAGUGAUUAACUAGUGUAAUCAAGUCCCCGAUCCUAAUUUCUCUGGUUGCGCAGGAGCGAGUAUUUCUCCCGAUACUUCGCUUGGGUUUCUAAUCGACCCACUCCAAAUCGAUUAGUGGCGACUCCAUUUUAAAAAUUGAUUUAUAGGUUAAAAACUCAAACUAUUAAAGUCGUGGAUUGGUGGAUUUGGGAGAGUCCGGGCUUAAUAAAUUCAGCCGAGCCAUUAGCCUCCUUAGGCGCUCGUACCCGAUUGCGGGCGCCGAAGAAAAGAGGUCGCGACAAGCACUAGGAAGCCUUUCAAUCGCAGAACCACUAAUGUCCAGAUGUUGCAAAUUCUGUAAAUCCCCAAUUGAGGUAGGGAUUUCCCUGAGUGACUCAUAACAGCUGGCACUCAAUUUCUUCAGCUUCCUCAGAGAACCAAUAAACACAGGAAUCUCAGUAAUAUCAGCAAAAUCUAAUAUAAGUUCUUCUAAUUUGACAGAUUCGCCUCCUUUCAGUUUUAGCUCACAUACCCAUCCGCUCUUGGUCCGGUCCAUUGCCAUAUUCUUCUUCCACGAUCCCAACUCUCUUGUGGAUCCUGAGAUUGCGAUGCUCUCCCCAAUUUCAACUUGGUAAUCCAGCCAAACACUGAGAUGCACCUUCUCUUGUCCCAGCUUUGAUCUGAUCUUCUUCGCUUUCUUCUCCUCUUCUCUGCAGUAAACACACUAUGUUAUAGCUUCUACCAAUAGCCUCCUUCCUUGUCUAGACAACUUAAACAGCAAUUUUCAUGCGAACCACCAAUUCAUUCUUUGCCAUUUAGCACCACAUUCAAUGAGAAACCUUAAAUCAAGAUGACGUAAGAUAAUUAAUGUCGCCACCUUUUUUAGCAAGAAGAACUCAAAAGAAGAACAGAAAAACUCUUUAUUUUCUGCACCGAUUCUCAUUCAAGAAAUAGACCCCACAUAAACUCUAUCCACACUAGAGAAUCAGACAACCCUUUGAUCGAGAAUUGCAUAAAACAACUCAAUACUUUACUCCGGACCCCAGUGCUUGAUCAGACUGACGUAAGUGUACCACGACAAAUCCACCAAGAGAGAGAGAGGGUUUUAGUGGUGGAAAUGCCACAAACAACCAUGGAGGAGCGACUCUGAGCGGCGGGAGCUCCAUGCGUCCACCUGAGAGAAUCUCAAAGGGGAAAAGUAAUGCUGCUCUUCAUGAACGAACUGGUCUCUCUACUUGGUUUUAGGUACGAAAAUGUACAUGGCCGUGACUCUUCCGCUUUUAGAUUCAUGCUUAAAUAAAUCAAGUUUGAGAUUAUAUGACCAAAGUGAUUGCAAAAUGCCUACAUAUGAAUUUACAUAUGCAACUAGACCAGAGAGAUGGUGCUAAACUAAUGAAUGCCCUUAUUUUGUGUUCAAAAUUCUUCCAAAUGAGAUACUACAGUCUUCUUGGAAACCUUUUCAUUGAAACUCUUGGCUACAAUUGACAGAUUACUUGCUGAUUCCACGGCAUUUGCUUUUUCCACGGAAAAAGUCUCUCCCAAUCACAAAACUGUAGCUUGAAGUGGAAAUCUAAAUGGUAAUCUUGUUAACAAAUCACAUAUUAUACUUGACUUCACAUACAGAACUACCUGCACAUGGGGUCUUCCUCCUAGAUAUUUGCCAUGUGCUUUUGCUAAAGAAUAACACAAUUUCAAAGCUUGCAAAGGACUAAUACACCAGGAGAAGAGGUCGCAUUAUAUUAAGAAUCCUUUGAAGAGUAUUAACAACAUGGAGCAAAUGGUAAACGCCAACAGCAAAGAACUUCAUAAUGCCUUUCCAUACUGACAUAGCUCAUUCUUGCCCGUAUCUCCAACCCGUGGUGUUUGGGGACUUUCUCCAAGUUUCAUCAAAUGCAGCUUUAAUCUGCACAAGGAAGAUAGCAAUGACUAAUUAUCAAUAAAUGAAGAUAUCCAAGAUUGUAGCAUCAGAAUUUACCCCAUGAGAUAUAAGGUACAAAUGCAUAAACAUUGACACCAAUCAGAGUUGGGACCACAAUGAACAGAGACUUCAUUAGCUAGCCAAUGAAAAAGAAACCAACAGGCUUAAAAGAAGUAAGCAAUUAGCAACACUUUCCCUAUAUGUGUUUAGGAACAGAAUUGAAGUUAAAAAAAUCAUGCUAAAAAGGUGGAUUGCCUAAACUACAGGAUAGAAAGAUGUAUCGGCAAUACGGGAUAGUUUGCGAGGAGGUUAAUUUCAACUUCACAAAUUCAAUGUUGUACACGUGAGAACUGAGCUUAUCAAAUCAAAAACCUAUAUGAUCACAUUCAAAGGAUAUCAUCACACAAAUAAACUGAUAGAAAUGGAGGAGCCUAGCAGUGCAUACCUCCCUUUGCAGAGCCUCAUCAAUUCUAAAGUGACAUCAUUAGAAUGCAUCCACAUCGAACAACUCUGCAUCAGGGUAACGUUAAAAAAAUCAGCAGCUUAGCAUUUGAUUAAAAGAGAGCUAGAACCGAAUGAGCAUACAGAAUGCAUAUUUAACUGAAAAUAAAUACAUUUACAAUCACUAAGGGACGUGACAUUGAGAUCAAGUCAAGUGUCUAAAAUUUAGAAGUAUCAAAACUUCCUUGGGACACUCCAGUUAGCCCUAGAGCAUCUCCAGGGUUGGCACGCAAGAUGGUCCUCAGCUAUUGCUGAUGCUUCAUCUACAAAAUCCCUUCUCUUUAUUUUGAUCCAUCUCAAUAUGGAAUUUGAAGUUCCUCAACCCAGUUGCUCGAUAAUCUUUCGAAACAACAGUUUGACCACUGGUAAUGUUAAGCUGGUCUACAUUCAUACAUGACAGACUAGUCAAAACUACUUUUAACAUUUUUUUUUUUAAUGAUUGAACAAAAACACUUCAACCUUAUACUUAAUUUUAGCUCAUUUCAUCAUACUUGCUAGGAAUUGAUGCUCUUCUGGGAGGUUCAAGAGGAACAUCAAGGGAACAUUAAGAAAAUUGACAGGGUUUUCGUUCAUCAUGAAAAACAGAAAGGCAUUUGUCCCAAACAGGACAUCUGCCAUUAGUCAAGUUUGACAUGAAGCAACUCAAAAUGACCAAGGAUUUUUAGAAAGAAAUUAUGAACUUUUGGACGUCGGGAAAUUCUGGGCAUAGUUGAUAAUAUUGAGUAACGGAAGAUCAUUGGCCUCUAGGUGAAAACUUCAAAUCCCAGUUCACCGAGAGGGGAACUGUAAAUCACCAAGGAAUUCUUGUUUACGUAGGUUUGAUGUUUUCAUCCUUGCCUCACAAGCCGCUCAUCUGUUUGUAGUCUAAAAAAGCUGCCAAUGGAUGGAUAAAUGAAAAACAUUGCAAUAACAUAACCAAAAUAGCAAUAUAUGCAGGCAAAUACAGAAUUUCCGAAAUCAAUUAACUAGAUACACCAUGUGGAGCAAAUCAUUCUCAAAAAAUAGAGCUUCGAGAAAAGUAUUAGUCUAUUUGCUCACCCUUGCUGCUUGAAGGAUGAAGAGUCUUACUAGAUGACCAAAUGUUUUCUAUUGACAUUGGGGUCUACAUUUGGAUCUUGGCUGAAGCAUCAUGUCAACUUCUAUGACCAACUCCCCCACUCGUAAGACUAGCAAUUUAGGAAAGUACAGAAUCCUGUUAUGGAAAACUUCUUGUCAAAAGAAGAUGGUGAUGAAAAGUAGGUCAUGAAUCUCAGAAGAAAAAUGAUUGUCGCUGUUUAUUUACCUCUGUUGAGGAAGCAUCACUUCAUGAGUCAAAAGACAGCUGUUGUUCAUAAUUGUCAAAGAGUCCCAUUCUUUCCAAUCAGUCGCAGCCACUAAUAUCCAAUGUAAUUAUAUCCAACUUUUCAAAUCCCCGAAGCUGAGUAAAUUUCUUGCAAUUUCGAACUACUACAUAUUCUAACCUUUGACAUCCAUUCAAAUCUGGCAAAGUCUCCACUGAUUUGCAUCCCAUAAAAUCCAACGGUUCCAAGAACUUUGCCCUGUCAGGGCCUUGAAUUUUGACUAGGUUAUUGCAAUCCUCAACCCAUAAUUUUUUCAAAUGAUUUAAACAUGAAAGGUCCAAUCUCUCAAUGAAACUGCAAUCUCUCAUAUUAAAGUCUUCCAAGUACUCGAAUCGGUCGAGCUUAAGCGAUAUCAGCUUAUCACACUCGUGAAUAGCAAGUUUCAAGAGUCUUGAGGAAAGCUCAGGGAUGUCUUCAAUUAGAUGGCAAUGGUCAAGCCAGAGUUUUUUUAGGUGGAUUAGGCUAGAAAGCUGUGGCAACGUGGGACUCUGACAACAAACCGUCAGAUUCGUUAAGCCCGAAGGAAGCUGUGGCAGCAAGCAGAGCUUGUUACAGUAAUUUAGUUGAAGGGAUUGGAGAGAAGAAAGAUUCAAGAUGCUUUCUGGCAGGUCAGAUAUCGGCAUGUCACCUAUAUCAAGAAUCUGGAGGGAAGGCAAGUCACCAAUUUCACUUGGAAGUUUUUUGAUAGCAGACCAAUUCAAGUCAAGAUGUUGCAAAUUCUGUAAAUCCCCAAUUGAGUUAGGGAUUUCUCUCAGCGACCUACAACUACAGGCUCUCAGUUUCUCCAGCUUCCUCAUAGAACCAAUAGCACUGGGAAGCUUUUCGAUCGCAGAACGACUCAAGUCAAGAUGUUGCAAAUUCUGUAAAUCCCCAAUAGCACUGGGAAGCUUUUUGAUUGCAGAAUAACUCAAAUUCAGAUGUUGCAAAUUCUGCAAAUCCCCAAUUGAGCCAGGGAUUUCUCUCAGUGACUUACAAUCCCGGACACUCAUUAUCUUCAGCUUCCUCAGAGAACCAAUAGAUGUAGGAAUCUCUGUAAUACCAGAAUCAUUUAAAGAAAGUUCUUCUAAAUCUUUUAAUUUGCCCACCUCCUGUGGUAGCUCCUUGAGACGCCAACAGUGACUCAAAUCUAAGGAAACGAGGCUCGUGAGUUUGCCAAUAGAAGGGUGGAGAUGAUCCAAUGCCCAACAUUCGCUCAAUUUGAGAAUCUUCAACUGUGUGAAAGCCGACAGAUCAGGAGUACUUCUUAAAUAAGGGAAAUAUUUAAACAAGAGAAUUUUGAGCCCCUUUGACGCCUGAUACAAAAGGAGAAUAAGCCAUCAAAGGAGGAGUUGAUCGGUUGAAAAAAAAAAAAAACAAAACAAAACAAACCCUACAAUCGCAAAGAGAAUGUCUCCUUUUCCGAAAAUUACCAUGAAUGAACUCCAUUCUUUCCAAUCCUGUGUGAAGCCGAUGCCCCCUAUCAUCAGCACCGAUAAUUUCGGUAGAUGCAAAUUGAACGGCGGAAGGUACGAAUUGCUUUCAAAGACUUUCCACUCAAGCCAUCUCACUUCAUAAAGGAGUUUGUGGUUGGAAGUUCCGCUUGCAGCUGCCCUCAAAAUGCCGUAGAAUCUGGAGGGGAGUCCCUGCGAGUUUUUUAACUUUUUAGUUUUUGCUUUUUGAAAUCUUGGACUCGCACGAUCUGUAACCUUCCCAUCCUUUACGUAUAAAAAUAUGGACACGUGAACUUACAUUUGAUUUUUAUUUCUGCCGACCUUUCGAAAAUUGAACAAAUGAUGUGAAAAUUAAAAAAAAAAAAAAAAAAAAGAUAGUCAUUGCUUUAAAACAACUAAGGCAAAUGCACCUUAAUGUUUUAUCUUCUUCCCUUUUUUAAAUUUUGCAGCACGUGUAGUUGGACUUUUAUUUAAGACAAAAUACAUGAAACCAUUUUACAAAAUACAAUUGUUUACUUGUAAAUUUUCGUGUGUAUAAUUUCUCAAAAGAAUUUGUUAAAGGAUGUCCGUGGGCCACCUGUAAGUGGCUAAGGAAGCACUUGAUUUUGAUUUCAUUAGUUCAAUGUAAUAAUGCGGAAGAGAAAAAAAUGGGGAAUUUUCAAUAUAUUUUGAUAUAUAGAAAAGAUUACAUGGCUAGGACCAUUUAAGGAAAUCAAAAGAAAUCAAAGUAGAUAUGUAUAAUCAAAAUAGAUAUAAAAAAAUCAAAGGAAAUAUCUUAAAUAUCUUUAGAAGAUAUCUAAAAAAUCUUGAAUCAUUUCUUUGAAAACUGAAACAUUAUGUUUAAAAAGUGACAUGGUCACAUUGGUGAGCAAUUUUAACAGGGAUUGAAAAAAAAAAAAAAAGUUGCUCUCAGAGUAACUAAAAAAAUGAACCGAUUAACUAAAAAGUGACGUGGUGACAUUGUUUAAUUGUCAUAUGUCCAUUUCCAUAAGAAUGGCAUUGUUUUUUUUGCAUCUUAUAAAUCAAAACGUACUAUUUAACUUUCCUACUUAAACAGAUCAUUUAAUCAGUUGAAGAUGGUGAAAAAAAAAAUCCCUUUUAUGGCUUUGAUUGACUUUCAUAAUAAUACCUAUAUUUUCCCCCAAAAGUUCAAUUGGUUAGGAAUUCAGUAAUUCACUUUUAUGGUUUGACACAUUUCUUGUUAUCUCUGCUUUACAUAUUGACCAAGGAAAUGCAAUGGGUAUAAUUUAUCUUUAGUCAAUUUGUUGGAAAAGUCACUAAAUUGUUGUAAUCAUCGUCCCACGCUAUAUUUCAUCAUUUUCACAUGUACUUUGAUCUAUACUAAUAUAUUACAUUAAAAAGAUCUACUAUAUGGAAAGGGGAUUUCAAACCUCAAAUUUUCGUCAAAAGCUUCCGUGCAAUUUGCAUAUAUUUCACCAAAACGAACUAAACAAGUUGGAUAUAACAGAAUAGACAUGAUAAUAUUUGAAAUAGUCAAGACAAUUGGAAAUUAGUUCCAUAAGUAUUUCAUUUUUCAAAGUUAAAUAAAAAUCUCUCGAAUUGUACAAUCAUUUAAUUUUUUUCCCACACUAAUUAUCAUAUUUCAGCAAUUUUGUCUAUUCAAAACAGAUUUGCCCUUUUUUUUUUUUCAUUUUUCAAACACCGGUAUGGUGUGCUCUUUUUGCUAAUGUUAAGAAGUUACUGGAUCAACCAAAGACUGAAUUGAAUCAUAGGAAUGAACUAUUUCGAAUUAUAUCAAGAAUGUAAAGCUGUUUUGUUUGCCCAUCUCUUGGUUAAUUGCUAGGGUUAAUUCCUCACCUUUGAUCAGCCACGAGCCUACGAGGCAUCUCAAAUGGACAAUAUAUAAUAAUAAAAUGACAUGAACAUUGAUAAUUUAAGUAAAAGAUAAAACAUAGUUGAAAAAAUUUGCUUCAUGCUGAAAAUCAUAUCUCAUGAAGACAAGAGUAUGGAUAUAAUAAUAAGCAUGAUAUUUCCGGUAAUUGGUCAAGUUUUCUUUUUAUUUAUUUAUUUAUUUUAUAAAUAGUCAAGUCAAUCUAGACGUUUGUGGCACAAAAGAGGCAUUGUCCCUAAAAAAAUAAAUAAUGUAAAACAACUUAUGGCAGAUAGAAAUGUUUGUUACAAUCUAGACGUUUGUGGCACAAAAGAGGCAUUGUCCCUAAAAAAAUAAAUAAUGUAAAACAACUUAUAGCAGAUAGAAAUGUUUGUUACAAGAGAAUCCACUCUUUAUCAUACGCCUAACCUAAUCCAUGAAAUGAGCAAAUAAGAGUGUGCCUAGUGUCUUUUGCUGUCUGUUAUUAUAAGAAGGAGUGAAGAUAUGCGAACGAGGGGAGAAUGAGCUACAAGUCAAUGGGAUAAAACUUUAAAAACCAGUAAGAUCUUCCAAAAAAUAUUUUUAUGCGGAUUUUUGCCAUCUCAUCUAUUAAGAGGAAAUAAGAAUGAAAAGUGAUAGAUAUAACUAAUAGAGGGACCGAUAUCUUCAAAAUCAGAAUAGAGAAAAUGAUAUCAAACAUUGGAUUCCUGAAUCCCAAGAGCCCCCCAAUACAUUCGGCCAUACUAGAAAGCAAGCACAUGUCAUAAGUGUGAAAUUUUCUCCAAUCUUAUUGUUUUGAAUUAAUUAGCAGUUAUUGUAAUUGGCACAUACUAUCUUUCUUUUCCUUUUAACCUAGAAAUCUUCAUUUAUAUGAUCUAUGAUGUUUAUACUUCAUCUAAAUUCAUUCUUGUAGUCCUUUAGAUUAUCAAUAUUUUCAACUAGAUAUGACAAUCGCAUGCUUUUAGUAAAUAAGUUUUAUAGAGCAAAAUUGUAGUAAAAGGAUCUUAAAUUGAUUGUCAAUCAAAAUUCAACAGACGUAAUUCUUAUCAAUGAAAUCGAACCAAAUGAUAUAACUUUUUCAUCCUUGAGAUACUUAUAAUUAAUUUAGUUAUCACAUCUAAUCUACAAUGGACAUAAGUGGAUGUAUCAAUUCUUUUUUCCUAGAAAGUAAGAGCAUUUGUUCAUGCUAGACGAGAAAUUAGAAUACACCAUAUUAAAUACAUUAAAGUAAGAAGGAGAGAAAAUGAAGGGAGUGCCAUAUUUUACCUCUGUUUGUCUUAUUACUCUUGGGACUCCCCUAUAGUAUUUGUCCCAUGGUCCAGUACGUUUCUCAAGCUCAAGCGAUUGUCCUUGGCAAAAAAUGCUCCAUCCAAGAUCUCUAAGUUGAUCAUGCACUAGAAAUUCACCAUGAUCUCCAAUUUUAAUUAAGCACCUCAACUUCAACUCUUCAAUACCUUGACUUGGAUAAAACCCACAGUCCUCCCACAUGUACAUGGCAUAUUGAUGCAUUUCACCAAUAAAGAAACAAACAAUAUCGAGAAAAAUCUGUUUAUGCCCAUCUUCUAAUGCAUCAUAACUUAUUUGCAAUAUUUCUUGGACGUCUCUAUAUGGUUGGUUUUUUAACUUCUUCCGCACAUCUUCCCAUACUCCUCGAUUCAUUUUUUUAUACAAGUAUGAACCUACAACCUUAACUGCCAAGGGUAGCCCACCCAUGGUGGCUACAAUAUCACUAGAUAUACCCUCAAAGUCCCUCAGAGAAUAGUUCGUACGAAAUGCAUGUCUAUUAAACAAAAGCAUAGCUUGCACCAUAUCCAAUUCAUUCAGUUCAUACUUAUAGUCUACGUCAAAUUCAGAUUGAUCAAGAAUGGCUUUAUUUCUAGUAGUAACAAUGAUCAAACUUCCUGCCAUAAACCAAUCACGUUCCCUAGCCAACGCAUCUAGUUGAUUCUUCUCAUCUAUAUCAUCUAGAAGAAUGAGAACAUUUUUUCCUCUGAAUCCAGAUUUGAUUAUAUUAAUUCCAUCAUCAAUUCUAGACACUUCAUUCGUGUCUUUUAGUAUAUCCAAUAUCAAUUGAUGUUGUAGAUACGUAAUAUUGUGGCGCCUAGCAGUUUCUCGAACAUCUGGAAGGAAGCUAGCAUGCCCAAAUUUAUUCAAGAGGCUAUUGUAGAUGCACUUGGCAAGAGUUGUCUUGCCUAUUCCACCCAUGCCAUAAAUUCCAAUCAUUCGAGCACUCGUGGAAGGAUUGUCAAUCCAAGUCAUAAUUUCCUUCAUAUGACCAUCAAGUCCAACUAGCUGCUUAGGCACAUCCAGCAGAAAAUCUUCUCGUAAUAUGCUUCUAACAGUUUCGACCACAUGUUCUAUUAGUUUUCCCUCAUGCCUGUCAAACAACAAAAACAAUGAGAAGCUAUGAAGCUAGACAUAGUCUAUGAGAAGUAUUCUAUCCUUAUCAACUGAGCUAACCCUUGUUGGCUAUAGGAGGUCGAUUUUAUCUGGUGGUGAUCAAGCUGUGAAGACCGAGUAUUGGAGUCAUUUGGAGGCCUAUUGUUUAGUGAUUGAUACUAGUGGCUGGACGUAUUGUCAUUUACUUGUUUUUUGCUCUAUACCGGAGGAAAAUGUAAAAUUCUUGGGCACUAAGGGAUGCUUUGGUUUUUGCUGUUGUUGGUUUAGUUUUCAGGGACAUCUUGGUGAGUAUUGGCGUUUGUUGACUUCGAGGCGUUAUUGGGACUUUUGGGAAUCUUUUCUGAGUUUGCAGUGAAAGUAAUCGAUAUGCAUUUCAUUGGUUUUGCUUGAAGAAGAAAUCAAACUUAUCAAGACAAGAAAAGUUCAGUGACGUACCCGUCCUCCAAUUUAUCAGAUUCCCAUCCAUGUAAGUAACUAACUUCAUUAAGUGCUCGUUGCCAUUCCUGGAUAUCCUUCUCAUCAAAAUGCUCCCAACUCAAACGGAAGGCAUUUCCAAAAUUUCCCUUUAGAUGCCGCACAUCCGAUGGGGCAACUUUGUAAAAUAUAGGCAACACUAUGUGUGACGUUCUCUUCUUGCAUUUCAUGAUAUGAACGAGCUCACGGAGGCACCAUUUGCUCAAAGCAUAAUUUUCGGAGAUGAUGGGGAUCGAAAUCUUAGACCGUAUGAUGGCAUCGAGAAUCUCUGAACCAAAUUCCUCACCAAUUGGGAUGUUGUUCUCGUCCCUAAACACGCAAAACAGUACGGUCCCUGCCUUGACCAGAUUGUGAUAGAGGUGAUCGGUGAAUGUCUUGCGGGUAUCCGAGCCUCUAAAAUUCAAGAACACGUCAUAUUGACCGCUACGUAAACCUGUGGCUUCUGGAGAGAUGGAUGAAGAAGAGGACGCUUCCUGAGUGCUCUCUUCCUCUGCUUUCUUUCUCUUCCUCUGCUCUUUGUCCAUGGCAAUCUGAGAGGAAAAAGUUGAAACGGAAGAUUCUUUUUAUGCUGCUNNNNNNNNNNNNNNNNNNNNNNNNNNNNNNNNNNNNNNNNNNNNNNNNNNNNNNNNNNNNNNNNNNNNNNNNNNNNNNNNNNNNNNNNNNNNNNNNNNNNNNNNNNNNNNNNNNNNNNNNNNNNNNNNNNNNNNNNNNNNNNNNNNNNNNNNNNNNNNNNNNNNNNNNNNNNNNNNNNNNNNNNNNNNNNNNNNNNNNNNNNNNNNNNNNNNNNNNNNNNNNNNNNNNNNNNNNNNNNNNNNNNNNNNNNNNNNNNNNNNNNNNNNNNNNNNNNNNNNNNNNNNNNNNNNNNNNNNNNNNNNNNNNNNNNNNNNNNNNNNNNNNNNNNNNNNNNNNNNNNNNNNNNNNNNNNNNNNNNNNNNNNNNNNNNNNNNNNNNNNNNNNNNNNNNNNNNNNNNNNNNNNNNNNNNNNNNNNNNNNNNNNNNNNNNNNNNNNNNNNNNNNNNNNNNNNNNNNNNNNNNNNNNNNNNNNNNNNNNNNNNNNNNNNNNNNNNNNNNNNNNNNNNNNNNNNNNNNNNNNNNNGAAAAACAAAAAUCUUUUGGCAAAACGUUUUUGGCUUUAGGAAAGCCCUUUUUUUUUUGACGUUAAAAGGUUUGAAGAAAACGAAAAGAGUCUUUCGAAAACCUUUUUGGGUUUGUCUUUUCCCCCCCCCCCCCCCGGCCUUAUGAUCUAUUCUCUUUUUGUGUGAAUGUUGUUUCUCUAUUCGUUUCAGGUCCGUUGCUUCACUUCCUUUAUGUUUUGGUUCAAAUUCGACGAUUACAUAUUUUAAAUUUAUUUAAAAUUGGCAUAUUCUUAAUGAAGUUGGAAAUGCGAGGUAGAGAUUAACAAAUGAAUGUUGUCAUUUCCCUCUUAUUUAUUUCAUGCUCGCCCCACAUGCCAGUAAUUCUAUAUAAGACGAAUUUAUGAUGUAAUUUUACCGAGCUAUUCACUUCUAACUUUUAAAUUUAAAUUGUCGAUUGAUAUAUUGUCUGCAAAAUAGAGCUGUAAUUUGUUAAAUGACACCAAAUGAACAUAAUGCGUUAGUAUUAAGUUACUAAUGAUAUAUGAAAUACUUGUAUAUUGUCCUCGAGUUCUUUUCCGGGUCAUUUUCUUUUAUUACUAUUUUGUUGGCAUAUCAUUCAGCUCUUGAAAAGUCAGUAAAUCACUGAAAAAAGAAGUAUGCGAAAUAUUCAAAAAAAUAAAAUAUAAUUUAGGAAAAAGCAUAGAAAAGAAGGGAAUGAAGUGUUUGGGCCAACUGUUAGAAGGAAACAGUGAUAUUUAGAGUUAAUGUCCCAAAGGCUUUUAAAUUAUGAAUUCAUGACACAUGGAAACCUUCACGAACAUGAAUUGAAAGUAAAAAUGGGAAUGAAAGAUGCAUGGCAAUCUGGGGGUGAAAGUUGGAAUGAAAGAUGCUUUUCUUGCAUAAAAGGAUCAAUGAACUAAUCUCUACAAACGAACAUGAAUAUGUUACCACGCAAGAAAAAAUGAACAUGAAAUCUUUAAUUAAAUGGUAAUUGAUUGACUAGGAGUAGUUGCAGCUGCUUUUAGCCCACACCUAUCUUGUUUUUGACCUCACCCUAUUCAAGUCAAAUUUGUUGGCUUGAUCCCUCAUAAGUAACAUGGACGUUAAUUUUUUAAUUGGGCUAUAAAGUACUAGAAUCCGCGUACAAGUAUAUUGCAUUCAAUUAAAAAUACAAGCAUACAUUCAGUUUUUUAUUUGGUUAUUGAAAAUAGGAAUUUAAUAAAUCAUUUAAAAGAUAAUAAUUGAGUUGAAAUGGAAUUAGAAAUGUGUGAAAGACGUCAAGAAAGGACCAAGCUAGUGAUUUGGAAUGUGAUCUUAUAUUUUAAUUAUGUUUAAAAUUGUCAUGUUCUUAAUGCAGUUGGAAAUGUAAGGUAUGGAUAAACAAAUACUUGUGGUUAUUUAUCUUUCAUCUAUUCUACCGCCGGUACCACAUGCUGCAAUUCCAUGUAAAGUGAAUUUAUUUUGAACUAGUGUGUUAUCACCGACCCUUUCAUUUCAAAUUUUCAAAUCUAAAAAGUUGAUCGAUAUCUUAUGUAAAAUAGAGAUAUAAUCUGUUAGAUGGAACCAAACGGAGGAGCGGAUGCUCCCUCAGUGCUGUCUUUUCAUGCACUCUUUUCUUUCUCCACGUUAGUCUGAACGAUUAGAAAUUAGAUAUUGAUUCGAUGGAAGAAGGAGAAGAACAGAAGAAAGUAAAAGGAAGCUCCUGAGGAAAAUCCAGAGACGACCAAGGUUUGCAACAAUGGCGCUAAGUGCUUGUGCCCAUUUUUGUUGGAGGGGCCACCGUGAGAAUAUCACCGCAAAGUUUUUUUUUUUUUUUUAACCAAUUAAAUGGAAGUAGAAUAGGAUCAUCAGCUAAAUUCGUGAUAAGUCAGGUUAAAUUGAUUAAUCACAUUUUGAAGAACGAAUUAAAUGUUUGUAACAAAAAGAGGUGUAAGAAAUGAGUGACCUAAAGCUAGAUGAAUCUCCUAAUAUGCGCGUAUGGCUUGAUUUAUUUUAUUAUUUUCAUGUGUGUCAAAAGAUCACCUAGGUUUUUUUUUUUUUUUUCUUACUAUAGAAAAGGAAUAUACUUUCUAGGAUUAAUGAUCCAACAAUUCGAGGAAAACAUAAUAUUACUCAUAUGGAAUGUUCUAUAGGCAGGUAAAAUUGUCAAGUGAAAUCUUCCUAAGAGAAGAAUUACUCUUAGGAUGAUUGGUUUUAGGAUAAGUAGGUUCUAAAUUAAUAAUCAUGAACUUAUUAUGUAACACUUGUUUCUCCCUUUUUCUAAUUGAGAAACAAACUAGUUGACUUUGGAGCCAACCAACUUUUAUUUUUUUCGUUUGUUUUUAUAAUAAUUGAUCUAGGACCUACAAACACAGAGAAUUCAAGCAAAAUGUGGCAAUUUUCGCGUGAGAGUCUAGCGCUUGCAGACCUACUCGUUCAAGUUCAAAACAAGAUCCAUAUCGAAUUACGAUGCAACUAACAAUCAAAUGGUAAGGAAAUCAUAGGAUUUGCCAUAUCUAAAGUCGAAAACAAAGGCUUUCUUUUUUCCAUCGAAGUCAAAUUUGAGCUGGGGACAUACCCCGUCAAUAGGUAACAACAACUCCAAAGAGAGAAUAAAAAGACCCUCCUCUGCUAUUUAGCAACCACCCCACAUCCCCAAAGAUAGAAAGGGCCCAGAACACACUUAAUUCAGCCGAAUAUUCCAAUAACAAUAUGACGAAUCAAUAGAAACGACACGCUAUUAAGACAUGAAAAAGCGAUUACCUCCCACGAGCGAAGAUGCAAAGAAAGGCGCGAGAUUGUAGAGAGGAGACCCUAAACAAGCCUGGGUGAGAACUUUCAAGAGGGAAAAGAUCAAAGAAAGCGAGUGAGGACGGCAGUUUCAAAUUGCUCAGCAAAAGAGAGGCUGAACGUGAGAGAGAGAGAGAGAGAGAGAGAGAGAGAGAGAGAGAGAGAGGUGCAAUAAGUAGUGGAAAGUUUUGAAGAUGAGCGAUUCUUUUUGUGUUGUUCUCGCCUUAUGACAAUGCUCCGCGUUGCCACUCAAAUUAUUGAUUGACUGAUGGCACCCCUAUUGUUGAUUGACGUAGCAAUUGGAUUGUAAUUGGACUGUGUAGCCACUCAAAUCAAAUCGAAGAUGGGCAAUACGUUUUGAUUUAUCCUUGCCUUUUGCUUUACCCACCCCAUUAACAAAAAGGAUUGAUACUUUCACGUUGGAGUCAAGUUCACAUUGGAAAUUAGUUUCCAAGUGAUGCUUUUUCGAAAGAGUCAUGCAAUCACCCCCUUUAGUUAGCAACUUUUGCAAGGUGUUCAUAUCUGAAAUUACUACCUCUCUUGCCUCAAAAGAUAAGUCGGAUGUGCUUAAGAUACACACAAUCCUGCCAUGGAUUUGUGCGUCUUUGAUGAGGAAAUUUACUUCUUUAAUAGACUAACCCUCAUCUUUUGUUAGCUCUGUUUAUAAUGAGAUCACAUCAACAUGCAAAUCAAAGUGAAGACUGCUAGAGGCAUUGAAAUGGUCAAAAGCUACUAUUUAAGUCAUCUCUAGUGACUUGGAUCAUAUAUGGAUUAGCUAAAAUUUAAAAAGUAGGUUGUUAUGAAUUUAAAGUAAAAAAAUUAAUUUAAUAUAUAUUUUUAAUGAGUUUGAACAAUAUCGGGAUGAGGGCCAGCAUGUGAUAGUGAUUCCACCCAAUUCAAUCGGUCUAACCAUUCAUAACCAAUUAGUUUAAAUGAGAAGAUUGUAGUAAGAAAAAUUAGCAAUAUAUAUGUGCUGAUGAUUUUGAAAAAGUCGAGAGAAUGUCACAUGCAAUAUUUCGUAUGCUUUAUGAGUAAUAAUCAAAUGUAUUUUAUUAUUUGUCCGAUCAAUUAUAAUAGACCGGAGAAUAAAGGUUGUGCUUACCUCGAGGAGCUCACUGUGAUGGGUUUCAAUGUUUGAGAAGAAGUCGCCUCGAAGCAGAGGGAGUUGUUUCUGGGUCCCGAAAGGUAGUGCAAUCCCGAGGAUCAACUUCACGCCUUGACCUGGACCGGCUUGGUUUGGAAGUACGCCGAUGUAAAUUUGCAGAUCAUCUCAGGUCAGAACAACCCUCGUGUUCCGAGCGAAGACCGCACCACCAAACCCAGGAACCCUAAUCACGUCGACGGAGUCCACGAUCACAAAUUAUAGCAAGCGGAACACUAAAAAGUUGGAAACUUGACACGAUUCGAGUUGAUUUUACCUGUUAAUCGGUGCCCGCCGAAAACCCAGUCCCUCAAGAAAACUAUCGAUGGGGUCCUUUGAACCGGUGGCUCGGAAGGAGCGAUUGCAGGUGCUCUUCGCGACGGCCUCAGGCGUACUGCUCGAUGGAUUCGCGAGAAAGAAGAUCCCUUGCUUCCCCCGCCGAUUCAAGCUGAAGCUCUCGCUCUCGUCGUGGAGGCUUUGACGUGCUUCGGAGCUAUAAGUAGAGAGAGCCUGGUACUCGGACAACGCGGUCCUGGUUGUCUCUCUCUGCUGGAACAUGAUCGCGUGCCGUGGUUACGUGGAGGCACUUUCGUCUUGGACGCCGGAGCAUGAUCCCGUGUAGGUGGGGACACUUUUCUUGGACGCCGGAGCCCAGGGGGCUAAUUUUCUAAAGUAUAUCCGUGGCCCGUAACCCUAAAUGUUGUUGGGAACGUGAGGUAGAAAUAAAUAAAUGGACGUUAACUUUUGUUGUAUUCAUUCCAUGUUAACUUCAAAUACUAACUUUGUUAAAAAAAAAAAAAACUCCACAUAAUAACGAUUUCGUAUGAAUCCAAUACAUUUUAAAAUGAUACGAUAUUACCUAGUUAUUCUCUUAAACCUAAUAAAUUUUAAAUAAUUGAUCGAUAUAUAGAAUUACAAGUUGCUAGAUGACACUGAAGAAGAGAUGGAUGCUCCCUCGAUGCUAUCUUAUGCGGCGCUUUUGUUCUUCUUCUUGAUUGAAUACAAGCAUAGAGAGAACAAUCGGUGCAACAAGCACCCGCAAAGGAAUAAUAUAAAAUGAAAUAGGGCAUCCCGUUUUUUCCCUUUCGCCGGCUUUGCCCUUUCUCCAUAGAAGUAUUGGAAAAAUAUUUAAAAACGUGAAAAAUAUGAAAAAUAAGAAUUAUUGGAAAACUAUUAAAAAUGACGAGAAUAAUAAGAUCAAUUGUUUGAGACUUGCAAACACUAUACUUAAGGAUAAUUAUGUCUUUUGGAGUACAAAAUUCGAUGCGAUAAUCCCUAACAUCUAUCCUCUCAAGAUACAAUAAACAUUCUUCUUUAUUCCACACUGAAUAAUAGUAGGAACAUGAACAAAGUUAUGUGUAUAACCUGAUAAAAAAAGGAAAGAUAUGUGAAUUCUGUUAAUUCGGUGUAUCUUAAAGGAUUGUGAUUUGGAAUUUAAUCUUUUAUUCAAACAAAAGAGAGGGCCAUCAAGAAACCAUUAUAAAUUAAUUAAGAAUUAAUAAAAUGAUGACCAUUAUAAAGCCGUUACAAGAACAUUAUAGAUUAAUGUUACACAAAAACCAUUACAAAUUGGUGACGGUAAAAAACUGCUACAAAAAAACUGCUUUUCAUAACUCCUAUCAAAGCCAUUACUAUCAAAUAUUUUGAAAAACUAUCAGGUAGUAAAGUAAUGUUGGAAACAAUAUUUUUUAUAAAAAUUUUAUAAUCAUUUCAUUGCAAUAUUUAAAUUAAUAUAUACAAGAAAAAUGUAAAUUAAGAAAUAGUGUUACUUUGUUGAUAUUUUCUUUUACUGAUGCAAAGCAACACAUAAAAGAAACUCAGGGAAAAGUAUUAGAAAAGCCAACAUAUUGUAUUGGUACAAUUUAGUCCAAAUUUUUUUAAUGGUGCCAAUUUAAUCCUAAACCUUAUGGCCUAGUGUCAAUUUAGUCAUUCAAGCUACUUUUAGCCGAAUAUUGCUAACCGUCAGCAAGCCUACACGGCAUGAUAGGUCCUAACGUGGAUCAUUUUUAACAAUUUUGAAUUUUUUCUUUCUUUUUUAUCUCUUUUUUCCUUCCUCUUUCUAGUGGCUGGCACGGUCAUGGCUAGCGAGGGUUGGUCUCACAUGAGUGAGGGUGAACCUUGUCGACCUUGCUAGGGUGAGGGCAAGUGCCGAUGAGGCUGCCCUUGCAAGAUCUAGCGAGGCCAAGUGUUGCCUAGGCGAGGCUGGCCUCAUUGAUGCUUGCCAACCAUUGAAAAGAGGAGGAAGAUAAAAGAGAGAAAGUAAAGAAAGAAUUCGAAAAUUAUUAAAAUAUCAUUAAAAAUUAUCUGUGUCAUCACUAGCCGUAUCAUGUAGGAUAUCUGUCCAAAAAAUAGUUAGAAUGACUGAAUUAGCAAUAGGUCAAAACGUUUAAUACUAAAUUAGCACAAUUAAGAGAUUUAUGAUUAAAUUGACAUCAAUGUAAUAGAGUUAGGACUUUUCUAACACUUUUACCAAGAAACUUGAGAUUCAUCUUGUAGAUCUACCUGACCAAAUUUCCAUUGCAAUCUCUACACUUGAAAUUCAUCCAUUUUACUCAUAGUCUUCACAUUGAAUCAUAGUCAAUUCUUUUUACAUAUGAUUGAAACAUAUAUAUAUAUAUAUAGCAAAAACUGUCCACAUUAACACCUGUUGUGCCACAUAGGAUAGUUGGUGUAUGUCAUUAGUUAUCGGACAAAAUUGACAGGAAUGACUACAUUGGCAAAUCAUUAAAAGGUUUAUGAAUUAAUUGUCAAAAUUAAAAGAUUUAAGAUUGAAUUAGCACAUGUACUAUAGGUUUAAGAAUUUUUUGGUAAUUUUUCCGUUGAAAUAAGAAAACAUGGUAUUUGUCUGAUGCGAUAUUGCUUGUUAAUUGGAUUUGGUUGUUGAAUGUGGAAACAAAGAAAUAAUCUUCAUCCUUAAUCACUAAAAAACAAUAAAUAAAUAAAUAAAUAUAUAAAGAAGAAGAAGAUUUGAAUAGAAGGCACAGGGUUUAAAAAUUUUGUUCAAGAAGUUUUGGUCCAUUAUUAGAAGAUAUGUCAAAAAAUAGAACAAGAUUCGAAGAUAAUCGAGUGAAGAGUUAUUUAAAUCAGAUAGAUUAUUCUUUUAAUGAAUUCUAAAGGACCAUAAAUGGGACUUAUGUUUUUCGCUUGCCGAUCAUAAUCAAAUUUUGUCGCACUUUUAUUUUAUAUCAAUCUAGGUCGAGGAUAAUUAAUAAGUCUGACUCAGCCAAAAAAGAUAAAUAUGAGUCUACCCACUACUGACUAAUUAUUUGUCGUGGUAUUUUAGUAUGUGUGAGUCUUGGUCUUUGUUUUUAUUUUUAUUUUUGGCUAGAACGAGUCUUGGUCUUUGUUACAUCUUCCAGCUAUGUAAGAUGGAUGGAAUCCUAGUGAAAUUCUUCCUAAGAUUAAGAAUCAAUAAUUGCCUCUAAAAAUUGGUUGUCGGUAAUGAUAGAGAAAUAUACUAUUAUUGAAUUAAUUAUGAUCUGCCCCACUAGUGACUAAUUAUUUGUCUUGGUCUUUUAUUAUGGGCGAGUCAUGGUCUUCGUUUUUUAUUUUAUUUUAUUUUAUUUUAUUUUAUUUUAGGCUUGAAUGAGUCUUGGUCUUUGUUACAUCUUCCAGCUAGGUAACAUGGAUGGAAUUUUACAUGGUGACGUUCUUCCUAAGAUCAAAAAUCAAUGAUUGCCUUUAACAAUUGGUUGUCGGUAAUGAUAGAGAAAUAUACUAUUAUUAAAUUAAUUAGAGUUUGCCCCACUAGUGACUAAUUAUUUGUCUUGGUCUUUCAUUAUGGGUGAGUCUUGGUCUUUGUUACAUCUUCCAAUUAGGUAACAUGGAUAGGAUCUUCGAUAGUGGCAUUCUUCCUAAGAGUAAAAAUCAAUAAUUGCCCUUAAAAAUUGGUUGUGGAUAAUAAUAGAGAAAUAGACUAUUAUAAAAUUAAUUAAUGCAUGGUAAAAGCACAACAACUAUAAUAGAGAAUUUGGUAACUAUAAUAGAGAAUUUGGUAGUCUUCCUACCUAAUUCUAUUUUUAAAAUUGAAAUAAUAUUAUAGUUGUGGGUAAUGAUGUGGGUAAUGAUAGAGAAAUAGACUAUUAUUAAACUAAUUAAUGCAUGGUAAAAGCACAACAACUAUGAUAUCAUUUCAAUUUUAAAAAUAGAAUUAGGUAGGAAGACUACUUUUGUUUAUGGAUGCACUUACGCAAUACAAUCAUUACAUUAUUAUUGUUAUUAGUUGUAAUCUCGCUGAGCCAAUUCAAUGUUUCCUGGCGUUUCAUGUGUAUCUUUGUGAAUACAGCCAACACUCGAAAGAUCAUGGAAACUUCUCACAAUUAUGACAAAAGGGCAAACGAGACAAUAAUUGAAUGUUUGGAUCUUCGAAAUGUUGUAUUGUUUGAUAAACGUUACUUUCAACUUGGUUGCAAGAAGAAAACAAUAAGCAGAUGCUAAUCCCUAAAUUUGUUAAAUGAUUCUUGUCCAACUUCUUGUAAGUUAUAAACUUCAUUGAAUGUAUGAGUAUAUUUCAAACUAGUUAUGAAAUGCAUAACAUAGCAUUUUUCAUAGUCCAACCACAUAUUUCCUCAACCCACGCACUUUGAGAAUCAAGGGAAAAAUUAAACCAUUUCAUGGCAUCUUAUUUAAUAAAAUUGGAUCAAGCAUUGAAUGGACUCAAGUUAGAUUGUUAUUCUGAACAUGCAUAGAAAAUAUAUACAUGGGUGAAAUAUUUCUAGCAUAUCUCGGCUUGUCGGACUAUGAACUAUGGAAAUUGGAUUAGUGCUCACGGUUGAUCUGCGUCUUGAGAUAUGAUGUACGAUCAUAGGCUGGUUUGAUUUUGGGCUUAAUCACAACCGACGUGAUUUCCAAGCUUAAUUACAACUAAUGUAGUUUUGAGCCUUCUCACUUGGCGAAGCGUGACUAGGACUGAGCACCAAGGCAAGCUUGGGCCGACACAACCUAAGCACAGUGGGUGUUGCAAUGGGGCGUGUGACAUCCACAUUUUUGGGUUCUAAUUUCGACUAGAUAUGUAGGGCCGCUUUUGUUCAGUUGAAGCCAGGGAUUGUGAAUUCGGGAUACAAGUGGGCUAUACUGAUAAGAAAAAGUACCAUUUUGAUUGGUGAAAUAUUGAAUGAAAUUAUAGGGGUCAAAUUGAUUUGAUUCAAGUGGGAUUAAGGUUCAAUUUGGAAAGAAACCCUAGCAAAAUUCGUAUGCCACACUUACCCCCACAUUUUGGCCCAUCUAAAGCUUCUAGAAGGGGCAUUUUUGGCAAGAAAAAGGGAGUGGAAGACAACUGGAUUGGUGGGGCCAGAGAGAGAGAGAGAGAGAGAGAGAGAAGAGGAGAAAACCGAUUUCCCCUCUCUCCUCCGUCGGGCAUCUCCACCUUCUUCCCCUUUCUUUGGGGUUUCUUCUUCAGCAACAAUUGCAAAAGCCAAAGAAGCAGCAGCAGCUUCGCCCAUCGCUGCCUCUCGCCGUCGUCGUCGCACGCCCGCAAGUACCGGAGCUGCUCGUGCACCCGAGCUGCCGUCGUGCUGCCGUCCGCGCAUCUCCGCCCCUUCUCCCGUCGCUGUCUCUCUCUUCCCCCAUCUUGUUCUUCUGUUGUGCAACGCCAUGGAAGCCGAAGACCAAAGGAAGCAGCAACCAUCGUCGCUCGAACUAGGGUUGCCAUCGCCGUCGUGCCGGAGUCACCGCUGCUACUCAACAGCUACCCGCGUGCCCUCCGCCUCUCCCCCUACUGUUCGGCCGUCUCUUUUCCUUCUUCGGUGUGUCUUGAAGACUUCGAAUCCCAGCAGAUCUGGGACGGAUGCCGGAGCAGCAGCCGACGUCGCCGGGAGCCGUCACACACCGCCUCACUGCCGUUCGUCUCCCUCUCACUCGCUCGAACGCCGUUCGCCUCGUCCAGUCAUGCUACCGCCUCUGUCCAGCCUCUGUUUCACCUCUGGUCGGUCUCAUUCGGCCACCUCAGGCUGCCACCUGACCUCCUCCGGCCACCGUGAAGACUCGCCUUGGUCUUGUUCAGCUCCUCCGCCCAUUUCGGACCCAACCCAGCUCCGGAUCCGUCCUCCAUCGCCCCCAACCAGCAACGCACAGAGAGUGUAGAAAUGGGUAUCGCAGAGGGUUUUGGCCCGUUUUGGCCGCCUUCCCAAGCUCGGAUGCUCGGCCCGCUUUGAGGAAAGUUGAUCCUCGCGUCGAGCCCGUCGUUUUGAGUGAGUUUUACUCACUAAUGCCUUCUUAGUUUGCUAAUUAUACUUAAAGGUUGAUUUGUGUGAAUUAUGUGUAAUUAGGUGGUUAGAUUAGAAUUGAUUAGUGAUUAUUAGUUAAUUACUUUGCAUAUUAGUUGUGUGAUUAGUGUAAUUAGACAGAGAAUUGCCUAUAGUAUUUAUUGGAUGCUUCUUGAGAUUUUUCCCGUCCCUUAUCGGGUGUUAAUUAAACAAAUCGAGCAUAGGUGGAAUUUUUAGGAAUUAAAUAUUAAUUUUCGAAAUUAAUUAUUUAAUUAUUUAUUUCCCGGAAAUUCAACUAGGAUGGCUAGUGACCGAGAUUUUAUGCUGAUGAUCGUGGCGUAGUCCCUUUAUUUAAUUGGGUUUUAUAUUGUGCUAAAUUGAAUUUGUUGUAUUUAUUUAUCAAAAUUAAUUAUUUAAUUAUUUAUUUUUUGGAAAUUCAACCGGGAUGACUGGUAACCGGAAUUUCAUGCUGAUUGUCGUGGUAUAGUUCGUUUAUUUAUUCGAGCUUUAAUUUGUGAGAAAUUAAUUUAUUAGUGAUUUAAGGAUUUAUUCCUAAAUUGAAUAAUCUUUGGUUAUUAAUUGAAGAAUAACCGGGAAUCGAUUAAUAAUGCCAAAAAUAUUUGAGUGGACUACAAAAAAUGUGAGAGUUAUGGAAAGGAAAAUAUUAUAUUUGGCUAAGGCCGACCGUGUCCCCACACACGGCUAUUUUAUCGAGAAUGAUAAAAGAUGGAAUGGAUUGAAUGGUCGGAUAGUAUACUAUAUCAUCCUACAGGCUCUGAUAUGUCAGCUUAGCGAGAGCAGUAUACUGGUGUACUAUAUCAGCCUACGGGCGAUAUGUCAGCUUAGCGCGAGCAGUACACUUUAUCAGCUCAGUGUGAACAUCGGGGGUAUACUAUAUCAGCCUGCAGGCGAUAUGUCAGCUUAGCGAGAGCAGUAUACCGGUAUACUAUAUCAGCCUACGAGCGAUAUGUCAGCUUAACGAGAGCAGUAUACCUUAACCCUAUCAGCUUAGUGCGAGCUAUACUAUCUAUAUAUCAGCUUAGAGUGAGUAGUCUUGGACUAUGGUCGGACUUAUAGAUAGUAUUGAAUGUGCCGAGCAAGCAUGGGUCGUGAAGACAUGUAAUCGACUAGGUCGAUUGAUAAUUGCUUGAUCUAAUGUUGUGAAUGGACCGAUUGAUUGGAAAUGACCAUGAGAUGGUCUGAUUGACUUGUAAUCGACUAGGUUGAUUGAUCGAUUAUUCGAUCUGAGUGUGACUUGAUGUGAUUCAUUGCCUUGAAUUGAUGUUAUGAAUUGAUUGAUUGGAUGGAAUGAUCGGUGAAUGGUUGAUUGAGAUGUAAUCGACUAGGUCGAUUGAUCAUUGCCUUGAAUUGAUGUUGUAAAUUAGUUGGAAUAAUGGAAAUGAUCGUGAGUGGUCUUGUUGACGUGUAAUCGACUAUGUCGAUUAGAUCAAUGCUUCGAUCUAUGAAAUGAUUACUUGGGUGCCUAUUGAAUUGUGCUAAUAUGCAGGAGGAAUCUGAGGCCAAGGUAAGUCCUCUGACUCAUGUUGUGCAUAAGCAGCCCUAAGGUAUAUUAGUUUACUAAUCGGGUCUUAGGAGGUAGAACUUGCUGAGACGUUGUCUCAGUGGUUAUUGAAUAACCAUUUCAGGACCCGGAUUGAGGAGCUUAGGGAGGAACCUUGAGGAGAAAGAACUCGAAGAGGAGUAUCUGAAGGAGAACCUCAAGGAUGAUCUAGAGUAGGAUCGUGAUGUCUGUUGUUGUAGAAUCUAAUUGAGUAGAAACCAACAUUUUUAGUAUGGUUUGUGUAUGUACAUGAAUGACUGAGUCAUUACAAUGUACAUAAGGGUGUUGACUUUCAGAUUAAAUUUUCUAGUCCUAAUCUAUCCCAUUAUUUUAUUGUCUGGGGAUUUAUAACUGCUUCCGCAUGUGCAUAUAAAAAUGAAAGGGUCAGCAAUACAUAGUCCUGGGAUAUCGCACAUUUGAAAUCGACCAAAGGAAAGGGAUGUGUGCAUGCCCGAGGAUCGGGGCGUGACAGGGCGAGCGAUCGAACAAAAUAUAGACGGAAGAAGAAAAACAAAUUGAACACCAGAUUUACGUGGUUCAGUCAUAAAGACCUACGUCCACGGGGAGAGCAGCAGCGAAUUUCACUAUCGAUCAAGCGAUACAAGGAGAUUACACACUCAAGUCACUCAAACACUCUCUCGGUGUUUCCCAAACCCCAAUUACACCAAAUACACUAAUUUUUUGGAUGUAAAUCACGAAUAAGCUUCGCAGCACGAACAACACGAAGACCCAAAGCCAAGCACCCAGUACCUACGGACGUCUCUCACAAAUAGAGAAAACCAUGGCACUCAAAAUAAGAACGGUGCUUUGAUCAACGACCAAUCCUUUGGUGGCAUGCGGCUUCUCCUUUUAUACGUAGGUCUUUGGCCGCUUCGUAGGGUUUCUUUUUCACCGACUUCGUACAAGCGCACACCAAAGAAAAGGAAAUUCGUGUGCCCAAGGUCAAAUGGUUGACCUAGGCCCACCAAUUCCUUAAUUCGGCUCACUUCACAUGCAGAGGCUUCUCCCUUAGGCAGCAUCUUCCUAAAAGGAAAAGAAGACUUUCAAUUAUUUCUAUACGUGUGCCCUGACUUGGGCCCACCACGUUUUAUUUGUCUUCUUCACGCGGGUGGACUUCAUCGUUCGGAUUCCGCAAGCAAUUGAAGAAAACUUUGCUUCAAUUUAUUUUAUAUUUCAAAACUCAAUAAUUCGCUUCGAGCUUAAACUUGAGACAUAUUUUAACAAUCUCCACCUUGGCUCGAUGUUUGAGCCAAAUUACAAUCGCUUUGUAAAAAUUCAAACUCUGCUGCUACUUUCCCAUAGCCCCUCGAUGGGCUCAACCGCCACGGAUAUUAUCCAAGUUCAAGUCUCGCUUGAACUUCACCAUAACCGAGGACCUCAUCAGAAUACCAACUCCACAUGCACCUUUAACUACUCCACAAGGAUUUUCCGACGCAACCUCAUCAACCGCAGAUAAAGUAAAACCAUUUUUAUAUUCAUAUCUGUCAGGAGAUCGAAUACAUACCUUGUCAAUAUAGCAGUUACAGCAACCGUUGGCUCUAUAAGCUCCACCUCGCUAUGAGCACCAUCUGUGUCGAUUACUUUGCUAGUACUUGUACUCUCUACCUUAGGAGUUUCUGGUCGCAACUCCACCUCAAACUGAACACCGUCCAGAUCCGUAUUAAUACUGCCAUAGACACUCCUAGCCAGAAGUAUCGAAGACUUGUCAAUGGUAACUUCUCUGAUGUCAACAGGUGAAUUUAUAUAUGGGCACCACAACAGAUCACCCUACUCACCUUGUGCAUAGUCAUGGAAUAUGCACCUUGCCCUCCAAUCAAGUUUACCGUCACUUACUCGAAAAUAACACGGGCAACUAAACAUUCUAAGAAUAGAAUAAUCAGCAACAUUACCUGACAAUACUUCUUCAAGAGUCUGCCAUUCAAUAGCAGUUGAUGGGGAUCUAUUCACCAGGUAGCUUACCGUACUUAACACAUCAACCAAGAAUUUCCUAGCCAUACCAGCACUAGAGAUAAUUUUUCGGGCCAUCUCUAGUAAUGUUCUACUCGUCAAUUUUGCAAAUUGUUGUGAUUUAUUGGCAUUACUGUGGUGUUUCACUAUGCCCUCUUUCAUGCAGAAUUUAUUUGCCAGCUCUAAGCAAAACUCCAUGCUAUUAUCAGUCUGCACAUGCUUGAUCGACUUACCAGUCUCCAUCUCGAUCGAAGCUCUUGACUGCGGGAUCCUGACACCAGCAUUAAACUUGUGCCUUGGCACAAACACCCAGGUCUUCCUCAAGCAGUCAAAAGACUCUCGAACAAAUGCAUCGGACGUCUCUAGGGCGAAACUUGUCAUUAUCUCACCUUGAAGUUUAUACAAGCCAUCAAGCUUGAUUCCUUUCAUUAUCACCAGGGCACCUCGUACAACCUUCAGAACUCCACAUUUUGAAGAAAACCUGCAACCAGCUAAAUCUAGGGCACCCAAGGAAAUUAAGUUCUUUUUCAAUUUCGGAACAUGCCUCACUCCAGUCAAUGUCCUCAUCAUACCAUCAUGCAUUCUGAUUUUAACAUCACCGACACUCACAACAUCGCACUCAGCGUUAUUCUCUAAUUGGACUUUAUCACUACCCGUACAUUGAUAAGUGAUAAACCAAUUUUUAUUUGGUGUGACAUGAAAAGAACAACCAGAAUCCAUAAUCCAUCCAUCAAACGAUGAAUAAUCAAUGACAGACAAGACAUAAUCAGUAUUAUCUGCUACAUCUACAACAUUAUCUGCAGAAUCAAUAAUAAUUCUCUUACUCUUCUCAUUCUUCAGCUUAAGGCAAUCCCUUUUAAGAUGCCCCCUCUUACCACAGCUCCAACAAACAACAUUAGCAGUCCUAGAUUGACUACGUCUGUUCAUAUUAGUACUAUUAUUACCCACACGUGUUACAGAUCUUCCUUUAUUUUCACCUACUAGAGCAGUAGAUACAGAUUUGCCAGAUUCUCUUCUACGAGUAUCCUCGCUCAGAAUCAAAUCUCGAACCCCAUCAAACGUCAAACUUGUUGACCCAGAGGAAUUACUAACAACAGUAAUGGUAGUAUUCCAACUAUUAGGCAAUGAGGAUAAUAGAAUCAAAGCACGUACCUCAUCUUCAAAAUCAAUUUCAACUGAACUCAAUUGACUAACAAUAGCAUUGAAUUCAUUGAUAUGAUUUGCAACUGACGCACCUUCUUUCACCUUCAAGUUAAACAGACGUCGCAUCAAACAAACCUUGUUGAUCGCAAAGGGCUUCUCACACAUAUUCGAUAGGGCUUGCAUCAAAUCAGCAGUGCCCUUCUCCUUUAGAAUGUUAAAUGCGAUGUUACGAGCCAACGUCAGCCGAAUAACACCCAUAGCUCGUCUAUCUAGCAAAUCCCAAUCAGCUUGCUUCAUCAUCUCUGGUUUCUCUCCAAAUAAAGGCAAGUGCAGAUUCAUCUGGUAAAGAUAAUCUUCAAUCUGCAUCUUCCAGAAACUAAAAUCCUUCCCAUCAAAUCUGUUGAUUUUCACUUUUACUUCUUCUGUCGCCAUCGAUUAGCUUCAAUUUAGCCAAACCUGGCUCUGAUACCACUUGUUGUGAUAGGGCGAGCGAUCGAACAAAAUAUAGACGGAAGAAGAAAAAUAAAUCGGACACCAGAUUUACGUGGUUCAGUCGUAAGACCUAUGUCCACGGGAAGAGCAGCAGUGAAUUUCACUAUAGAUCAAACGAUACAAGGAGAUUAUACACUUAAGUCACUCAAACACUCUCUCGGUGUUUCCCAAACCCCAAUUACACCCAAUACACCAAUUUUUCUUGGAUGUAAAUCACGAAUAAGCUUCGCAGCACGAACAAUACGAAGACCCAAAGCCAAGCACCCUGCACCUAUGGACGUCUCUCACAAACAGAGAAAACCAUGACACUCAAAAUAAGAAUGGCACUUUGAUCAACUACCAAUCCUUCGGCGGCAUGUGGCUUCUCCUUUUAUACGUAGGUCUUUUGCCGCUUCGUAGGGUUUCUUUUUCACCGACUUCGUACAAGCGCACACCAAAGAAAAGGAAAUUCAUGUGCCCAAGGUGCAAAUGGUUGACCUAGGCCCACCAAUUCCUUAAUUCGGCUCACUUCACGUGCAGAGGCUUCUCCCAUGGAGAAAAUAUUGGGUACGUCUUAUGCUCCAGCGUGUCAAACAAGAAGGCACUCGGAGGACGACACGUGUCCUCGUGUCAGGCGCCAUUUUGAAAAAAUUUCGGACGGGAGACUGAAGGUUUUUCUUUCUUCGCGCCUCUCUCACCUCGCAGAUCGUCUUUCUCCCCAUUCUCCUCUCUCUCCUCUCUGUCUCUCUCCCCUCCGCCUCCGCUGGUUCCUUCCAUCGCUCCCCACGCCGACGCCAAAGUCGUGCCUCUCUUCCAGCGAAACGCGACGCCGAUGGCCCUCCACCUCCGCCUCCGCCAGUUGCCUCUGUCGCCCUCGACUCCGACGCCGACGCAGCCUCCGCCUCCUCCCCUGAACCCUACUCUGACACCGACGCCCCUCCGCCGGUUGCCUCAGUCGGCGUCGGAGUCCGUCGCCCCCGACUUCUCCGCCUCCGCCUACGCGCCCGACGCCAACGCGUCGAACCACGACGGCGAAAAUGGAGGAGAGAGAAACGACGAGCUCGACGGCGCCGGCGACGGUGACGAAGUAGUAGACGGAGACGAAGAAGCAGAAGUGCGCGCGCUCGGGGUUCUGGACAUGACUCGUCGCGUUGGUCGCGUUCCGGCUCGCCCUCGUCUACCUCCCCGGGAACCUCCGCCUGUCCACCCGCCCCCGAGGUCACCACCCCUCUCACCAGCAUUCGCCGCCGUAACGCCGCCUCUCUUCGCUCCGUCAAUCGAUUCCCGAUCCCCGCUCCCCCGCCCUCUCCUCCCUUGAAAUCUUGGAGGUUCAUUUUCUGAUACGAUUUCUGGUUUUUCUUGUUUGUGCCGCCUGCAGUUGGCAAAGGCUGGUUGAAGCAGUAAGCGAUGUCUCCGCAGGUUCGGCUCCGUUCGAUCUCUGUAGAAGGGAAGCUGCUUGUUUGCUUACUGGUGUGUUGCUGUUCCAUGCUUUGAUCCCUCCCAUCUUCAAUUUUCUUCCCCCCUCCCUCGAAAUCUCGUUUUUUCAGCAUUUUCACUUUGGAAAAAUCUGGGUGAGGAAGUAGAUUUUUUGGGAGAUGAUUGAUUAGUUUGGCAUGUUUUCCGGGUUUUGAAAUUUUUUUGACUGAGGUGAGCCUGUUUGGGAGAAGAUUAUCAUGCGUAAUGGGGUCUGGUGGUGUGAUUAUUUUGAAUGGAGGAAGCACUUGAGUUAUGGUUUUUUGACUGCUUCAACCUUUUUUCCUCCGAGAAAUUAGGAUGAUCUGGUCUAUUCUGAAUCUGGGUCGCCAUUCACGGCAAGCCUGAAUGGUGAAACGAACUCCUCUACCUAUUUAUGUGAUAGGACUGAGGAUCAUAUCUGAUUAUAGCUUUCUAAAAAAGGAAACUUUAUACUUGCAUGCUAUCCAGUUUCUCUAAGGGAUUAAAGCAACCUGCCAUGUAUGUGAAUCGUUGAAGCAGUGAAUGGACCCUGGAGAUUAUUUGAUCGAAUGAUCAUUAUUGUUUUUCUUAAUUAUAGAGAGAGGUACUCAUAUUGCUUUUUCUUGGAAUCAGAAUUGCUACUGCUUUAAGGGCAUCUUAACUUCUUUCAGAUCCAGGUAAUGGUGCUGUUGGUUUCAUCGUUGAUUGUGAACAUUCUUAUCGUCGCACUGUGCAGCUUAUUCAAUAUAGCUAUUUCUUCAUUUGUCUAAUUCAAGAAAGAGCUCCUCUGUAUUCUAGAUGAUGUUUUAACAUAUACACCGUGUGGUCUAAGAAAAUAAGAAGUUCUGCUUAUAAUUGUUAUCUUGGCAAGUUUCAUUGUGCACCUUAUUUAGUCCAUAGUCCCAUAUUUAUGUUUCAUGUGGAGACUGAAGUGAGGUGGAGAUUUUGUGCAUUCAACAAUCUGUUUCUUGUUCCAACAGGAAAGGGGUCAGCCAUUGCCAAAGUUUGGUGAAUGGGAUGUGAAUGAACCAGCUUCAGCGGAGGGGUUUACUGUCAUCUUUAACAAGGGAAGGUAUGAAAAAAAGACGGGUGGCAAGCCCAAAUCUCCGGCAAAGGCCAACCCUUAAGUCAAACACUCUGUUGAUCCGAGUAAACCUCCAACGGUAAGUUGUUUCUUAGGAGCCUGGGAACAAACUGUUUUAUUUAUGUAGGAUGCAUUAAUUAUUGCAGUCAUUUGUUCUACGAUAAUCUAUUAAGGUUCCAGUUAUGUAGUAGUUAACCUGUCUAAUAAUUAAAUUUAAACUUUCUUAUUUGCUAUGCUAGUCUUGAUGAAAAUGUAGAAAUGGAAAAUAGAACUCUCAAACUUGCAGAUAGGGUAAAAGAAAUUGAUUUGACAGUGUCAUAAAAACUAAGCAGGUUGGGCACUACUUGCUCGUUAGUAUUUGAAUCAUUCAAAAUGACCAUCCGAAAGAUGCUAUUAUCCUUUAUAGUGCGAGCAGGAAUUGAAUUUGAGUUGGACGCAAUUGUCUGUGAACAAGUCAGCUGCUGUAGAUUUUAUUUAUUUAUAUAUUUUGUUUUCAUUCUCCCAACCUUUGCUGCUUCGCUCUCUUACCGUGAAUUCUUUGUUGCACGCAGAAGAAAUGGUUUUGCUGCAUUCAGAGCCCAGCAGAAUCUUGACUAGGUUCUCUGGCGAGGAGCUUCCAAAAGAGACGCGUGUUGUUAGGCUAAAGCAGCCCCAGAAUGUUCACUUGAAGAAGAUACAAACAGUUUAGAGCCAUUGUUAUUGUUGCAGGAAUAGCUCGUGGUGUAAAUGUGGGGUUUGUGGAGAUGAGUAAAAUAAUGACGCGUCAUGCUUACUAUAAUCUAUCAGCAGUAUGGUUCUCUCUGUCUCUGCCUAUGUCUCUCUCUCUCUCUCUUCCUCUGCUUAGUUCUAUUGUUAAUUUAUUAAUUGUCUGCUUUCUUUAGUUGUGAAUUGGAUCUGUCUGAAAUGUCUACGCCUACUUUCAAUCUGGUUUAAUUUAUUGUUAUCCAUCGUUGUUGAAGACAUUAUAGAUACGAGUUUGUGACCCUUUCCUCUGUCAUCAAUCAUGCUAACGGAUGUUUCUGGUUGGGGGAACAGCGUGAGUCAUAGCCAUAUGCGUUUGUCAUUUCUCUUUUAUAGGAAUUAAGGUGUCAACUUCCGUAGACAUGGGAAAGGUCAUCUCCACGAAUCUUCUGCGUAGGGAUUGUUCAAAUGGCAAUUUCGAAUAUUGGUAAUCCUGAUCUCAUAAGGAGAAAGGCACAAUCUUUGCCCUUCUUCUUUGUUUUAGGAAAGGUUAGUCUUAUAUCAACAAUGGAAGUAACAAAAAUAUCUCUGAUGUCAUGCGUUCCUCAAAGAACAUGAGUUUGCAAAAUUUCGUGCAUGUGAAACGACGAUUGCGGUCAUGAACCAGCUUUAUCUAUGGCCUCUUUUUCCAUAGAUCAUUGAUGUAGUUGAUUAACUCCACACAUUCAUCCAUCAUUGAUGUAGUCCAUAAAAUUCCACAAAUUGGUAAGAUCAAUCGACGUUCCGCUUUUUCCUCUUCCUUUUUCCCACGACUGAUGUGAAUGACAUGGCUCUAAUAUCCCCCCUACUAAUGGUGCGGAAGCUACUUCUGUUAACACAAUCACCGCCAAAGACCUCAAGAAUGAGACCAAGGUUCCAAUUCCAGUAAAUGCAAUUCCAAAACUGUGGAGCUAUGGCUGUCCUACUUACCAAACAACAAAAUAAAACAAAGCUCUCUUCCUCACAUCUUUUCCUUCUCUUUGCUUCAAUUUGAUUUGAGCUUCACUCUAGUUAGGAAGAAGUUGUAAUUGCCAUGAACUUAACGAUGGAACCUAGUAGAAUGCCCAAUUUUUCUUCAUGGCCUGACGCAUUCUGUUUUUUCACCUCAAGGUCAUCUAUCAUAUGACCUUUUCACAAAGUAAACAGUUUCCUUGUCUACACAUGUUUCUAUGGAUAUUUAAAGAAAGAACCGAAGACUGGCGUUGGUAACAAAAAUCUCCAAUUACUUUAGCGUCAUCUAACAGUAUCAAUGUUAAACUCGAGAGAAACCAAGCUUCCUCUCAAAAAGGCGGCGGAGCAGGUAAACUUGGAGAACACUCGCCCCAAUAAGUGCUGCUGACUCGAAGAAAGCCUUAUGGACUGCCCUUCUGCUCAUUGCGUCGUUCACUGCGAUCACAAAUCAUCAUAGAAUGAGUAUUCAUUGAACCCAAUAUCUAUGUAUCGUCUGUUAGUGAACACAAUAUUUAAUUAGCAAGGUCAUCCCCAUUCCAUUUCGUGUGGCGAUCAGACACACUUCAAAACAUCUAGCAGAUAACACAAGUAAACAAAACCCAUGACCAUUUGAAACCCAGUACACCAAGCACGCAUCUUCUUUUUUGUUGCCUGCUUUGCUUUCUAAGUCCGCCUUUUCAGCUGCUGCCAAGUUAGGAAGGUUUUACUAUUUUCAGGAUCAAUAAACAAUAUAACCGAUUAGUUACGUCAAUCAGAUGGAUAAAAGGAGCUUGUCAAAGGCUCUAGAAAUAGCUUUUAACUUGUCUUGUGAGACAUCUACUUCUGAAGGUCUUUUAAGAACAGAGGUUGUGAGGACCUUUGAGAUUUAGGAGAUAACAGGAGUCAAAGCAAGCUAUAGUGGUCCACUCAGCAUUAAAUAGGAAAGUUAUUUCCAUCAGAGAUGAAACAGGGUUGGAAUCCACCGCGAUAAUUAGCAAGAGGACUUGACAUAAAAUAUCUUACCAAUUGCUUGACGUUCAGUCUCAGCCUCCAGCCAAUGCUGCUCAAACUGAAUGUUGUAGAAAGCCUCCUCCAGCUUCCCUAUCUGUUCCAACAAGGGGUUGAAAUGCUCUACAGAUACAUUCACAGCAGAUAAAAAAGAGACACACCCAGUAUGUUCUGUAAAGUUCGUCAGUUCAAGAGACAAGAAAACAGAAAAAAGGCAGUCCUACCGUCCUUUGCAUGCUGAUCAUAGAAUGUAAAAUGGCCAACGUGUACAUCAAAGUCGAUGGUUUCAUGAUAAUGAGACUUGUUAGUAAAGCAGAACCGAUGAACACCCUUAUGGUGAGCCACAAACUCAAAUUUCUCACUGAUCUUGUCGUGAAAAUCUUGAAUCUGUUCACCAGAAGGUCCUUUCAUCUGACAAUUUCAAAAGUUGCAAAAUACAUACAGUUAUCUAGGUCAUUAUCAUAGGAUUAAAGAUCAAUAAGAGAACUAUUGGCAGAAUCGAAGAAUGUAAUAAUCAAUAUAUGAUAUCAAUCUUAAUCAUGUCCCGACAAACAUGAAAAAGGAAAACCAAAUAUGCAUAUGCGAGAUCUAGUCGAGCCAUCUAGGCUGCCAAAGGUUAACAAAAUUCAAUGAAGAAUUUCCUUUAGGAAGAUAAUCAGCAUCCUUUACAAAAAGAAAUACAUGUGAGUACAGUAAUUCCUUUAGGUUAACGAGAUUUCGUGAUACAUGGAAUCUGUGGAAGGGAUCAAAGCAUGGAACAACAACACACCAGUAAGCAAACAAGCAGCUUCCUUCCUACAGAGAUCGAAUGGAGCCAAACCUGCGUAGGGAGACAUCGCCUGCUGCUUCAACCAGUAGCCUUUGCCAACUGCAGGUGGCACAAACAAGAAAAAACAGAAAUCGUAUCAGAAAAUGAACCUCCAAAAUUUCAAGGGAGGAGGGGGCGGGGGAGCGAGGAUCGGGAAUCGAUCGACGGAGCGAAGAGAGGCGGCGUUACGGCGGCGAAUGCUAGUUAGGGGGGUGGCGACCUCGGGGCGGGUGGACAGGCGGAGGUUCCUGGGGAGGUAGACGAGGGCGAGCCGAAACGCGACCGAUGCGACGAGCCAUGUCCAGAACCCCGAGCGCGCGCGCUUCUGCUUCUUUGUCUCCGUCUACUGCUUCGUCACCAGCGCCGGCGCCGUCGAGCUCGUCGUUUCUCUCUCCUCCAUUUUCGCCGUCGUGGUUCGACGCGUUGGCGUCGGGCGCUUAGGCGGAGGCGGAGGCGGAGGAGUCGGGGGCGACGGACUCCGACGCCGACGGAGGCAACCGGCGGAGGGGCGUCGGCGUCAGAGUAGGGUUCAGGGGAGGAGGCGGAGGCUGCGUCGGCGUCGGAGUCGAGGGCGACAGAGGCAACCGGUGGAGGCGGAGGUGGAGGGCCGUCGGCAUCGCGUUUCGCUGGAAGAGAGGCACGACUUCGGCGUUGGCGUCGGCGUGGGGGGCGAUGGAAGCAACCAGCGGAGGCGGAGGGGAGAGAGACAGAGAGCAGAGAGAGGAGAACGGGGAGAGAGACGAUCUGCAGAGGCGAGAGAGGCGCGAAGAAAGAAAAACCCUCAGUCUCCCAUCCGAAAUUUUUUCAAAAUGGCGCCUGACACGAGGACACGUGUCGUUCUCCGAGCGCCUUCUUGUUUGACACGCUGGAGCAUAAGACGUACCCAAUAUUUUCUCUUCUCCCAUGGGCGGCAUCUUCCCAAAAGGAAAAGAAGACCUUCAAUUAUUUCUAUACGUGUGCCCUGACUUGGGCCCUGACUUGGGCCCACCACGUUCUAUUUGUCUUCUUCACGUGCGUGGACUUCAUUGUUUGGAUUCCGCAAGCAAUUGAAGAAAACUUUACUUCAAUUUAUUUUAUAUUUCAAAACUCAGUAAUUCUCUUCGGACUUAAACUCGAGACAUAUUUUAACAGUGGGCAUGGGCUUAGACAACAUAAAAAAUUAAUUUAACCAGAAUUAAACUAAAAACAAUCGUAAUUUUUUUCUCAAAUAAUGAAAAUAAUGAGAAAUUAUUUGAGAGAAAUUAAUAAGAAAAAACAUUCAUUCAGUUAAACCAAAUCGAACACAAGUAUAUCUUCAAAUAAAUUUGAAAAAAAAAAAAAAAGCACACUUAGUGGUGCUCUAAUAAUGAUUGCACUUGAACAAUCAUGUCAUUCACCAUGAUUCAUACAAUCCAAUGCUGUGGGUGCUCUCGUGUCCAUGUUAGGCACCGAUCCUCGGAAGUCAAUCACUGUUUUGUCCAGACGUCUUGUAUGUGCCUCAAAACUAGGCACUUGAUGAUUCAUGUAUUCCACUGGAAUUGAGUGUUUUAAUUUAUCUUUUUUGUAUUUGUGUUCUGCAUCUACCAAUUGCUUUAUAUAGAUAGCCAUUUCUGAAAGUCCUACCUUUUUUUUCCUAUUAUUUGCAAUUAAUUGUAUCAUAAGGAUGCGCGUACUUUAGCCUCUGGCUGCAAAAUGGAUUCCACCCGAGAAAGGCACUCUAAAGAUCAAUGUGGAUGGCUUGUGUGCGAAGGGAGAGAGAACAGGAAUCAUCGCCAUCCUUUAUAGAGAUGAGUCUGGAAACAUCGAGGCUACAUUUACGAAGGAAGUAUGGGCGAACUCGGCAGAGCAAGUGGAAGCCCUAGCGUGCAUGGAAGCCCUACGCUUCUUUUGUUUUACUUUUGAACUAAAGGCAAAAACCUGCUGGCCCAAUACAAGAAGCGAGCCAGGUAGCUGAUUGGAUCUCUAAGUCCAUUGGCGAAAAUCCCUUCCCACCAACUAGGCUUCUUGUUCCCAAAAAUAUUGUGAGACCUGAUUUGUUUAGAGGCCCACUUAGUUUAUAACCAUGGAGCUACUUUUUUUUUUAUAGCAAGAACCAUGGAGCUACUUGAAAUAAUGAAAGAUGUUUACUUCGACCAAAAAAAAAAUAUCUAGAUUCCUCCAUUAUCUCUGAAAUAAAAUUUGUCUAGAAACACUUAAUUGUAAAAGUUUUUGGUGAUUGAGGCUUUUCCUGAAAUUCUAAUAACAUUAGAAUGACCUGAGUAGAGCUUAAACAUGCACGUCUUGAAGGAAUUCGUUGAACUGCUUAACUUCACUCUUUCCAAACACUAUAGAUUGUGUCACACAAAGACAAAAUUGGCGUGAAUGAAGAGAAUAAAUGAGUCGAAUUUGUGCUUCUGCUCUUUGAUUUGAUGGUCUUGUUUGAGAAUCUAGUAAUCUCACUGAACCUCUCGCUUAUCUCACCAUCUUUGCAUCAAAUCAUUUUUUUCACGUUGCUCUCAUACUUGCCCAUCCACUAAUGUGAAUGACUGCCUCCACAAAUCAAUCAGAGUCUUCGGCCUUUUGUGAUAAACAAAUGCAAAAAUGGCGGAUUGCUAGAAGAGCAACGAUGCUUUAUUCUACUGGAAGAGGAUUGAUUAGGAUGAACUCCUGGCCUUCACCUCCCUGUUUCACCCAACUCCUUGGGGGCGGCGGAGAAGAUGAAGCAUUGCACCCCCACCAUUAACACGACCGGUCACAUGAAUCCAAAGGAAAUGACUCCCAGCGUUUUUUGUCUCAGCAUUUUGAUGAAUUGCCUCUGCAAAUUGAAAAGACUAGUGGCAGAGGCAUUGAAGUUCUUUAACAUAAUGACUAGCCUGAGAAGUUGCCCGUGUUAUGACUUAUAAUUCCUUGAGACAUGGCUUAUGUUGCGUAGGCAAAUGAAAAAUAAAGCAAUGAUUUUGUUAAUGAAUACAAUGCGAUUUACUAUCCAUUAUUAAAAGAUUUGCAUCUUGGAAAUAUUUUAUUGUUCGACAACCAUUAACCUUUCACGAUAAUUACGGGAAGAGUUAUCGAUGGAAUCGAAAGGAUCAUCAAUAGAAUUUACUUUUUUUGUUGGCUGAUCAUGUUGAAGUUUUGUCACUCUUUCAUUUUAUAUCGAUCUAGGCCAAGGACAACUAAUAUAUCUUAUUUGGACGAAACAUCUUUUGGCUAGGUAACAUGGAUGGAACUUUAGACUUCAUUUGUUUAGCAAAAAACAUUAGCCUAUGUGAUCGCAUUGAGCUGUCAUGAACCCAACCCUUCACUAAUAGGGAGGCUAUCAUUAUCUGUAAGCACAUAAAUUAGCACAGUUCCUUCAUCUUCAUCUAUGAUAUUGUUGUAGUCUCAAAAGCUCAAGAAUAUGUUAAAGGGAUCACUUCCCCCCAUUUGUUAGUGUUGGAGAGACAAACGUAGAUGUCGAUGUCCUGUUGAUGCUUACUUUUUUGGCGUGUGGUAUUGCUUCCGCUCUUUUUCGUCGUCUUGAGAAGAUUAUAAGCGCACAUCCAAAGAAGAAUUGGCGUGACAAGCGCUAUUGAAAGGACGCCCCAAAAUGAACUGGACUUAUGCAUCAGCUCGAAAAGAUCGACGCUACACGCUCAGAGAAAAGUGCACGACUUCUUUUAUCCAGAAAAAAAAAAAUAAAAGUUACAGACCCAAGGGUGUCAAUGAAACCAGGAAAACUUAUGGCGGGGCAAAAAUAGAGUUUAAACAAACUUCAGGCGCGAAAACAGAAUUUCAAAAAAAAAUUGAAAAAAUAUGGUUCGAAAUCUCUCCCCUUCUCCAGCGCAUAAAAAUAGGAAGCAGAAAACAACAUCAAUCCCCGCCAUCGUUGGGAAUAUUUUUUGAAAGAGCACUUCGAGCGCGUGCUCUCCAAACAAACUAGCAAUCGAUUCGAUUCAAUUCCGGCUGGUUCAUCAUCGAUCGAUCGAUCGAUCGAUCGGAUGGCGUCGAACAGGUUGAGACUCAAUGGAGGAUCGGGGCUUGGAGGAGGUGGAGAAAGCUCGGGUUGCUGAGCUUGGCUCUCGAGUUCAGCUUCGACGAGCAGUCCACCAGCUAGUGCUUGGACCGUCUCGUUUUGCUCUCUACGGUAACUCGAAUCGUUACUUUAUCGCCCAUUUUUUUACGCUGAAUAGCGUUGCUGAGGUUAUGUAGGUAUUUCAUUGUCCCACACGAUGAGGAUGGCCGUGGAAUAGUCUGCUCUUGGUUUGAAUAGAUCAGGGCAGGUUUGGUGAAGUAGUCUUGUUGACGAGCGAAAUGUGUGGCACAGUUCCAGUUUGAUGUGUUGAGGUUCCUUCGAAUGGUGGUUUUUUCUUGGUUAUUAGCCGAGUCGCGUGGUAUCUGGUGAUUAGGGAGUGACGUAAUCCCUUGUGUUGCGUGGAUAAUCCGUGAAUCGAUUGAUUGUAAUUCCUAAAUAAGGAGAUUUAUUGUGGUUAGUUAUCAUUCUGACGAUUGCUGUGGAAUGGUGUACACUUUGGAUUUGUGUGGGCUGGAGGAGCUGGUUAAAUCUAGUUCAUUGAGUGUUAAUCCCAUCCCCAUUUCUCUAUGGGUUUUGCAGAGUAGUCUUAUUGACUAGCGAAAUGUCUUACUUAUUUUUGAACUCACUACGAAUUACUUAUGGUGUCUUGCUACAUAUAAGUAUGGUGUCUCACUGAACCAACUGCAAACUACGUAUUGCGGAUUGUGUUUAUAUGAUCUCUUGUUUGUCAUGAAACUUCCAAAAUCACAUGUUUCUUCUUUUGGUUUCCUUAAGGUGACAGAGGUCGAGAGUUUAUCACUGUGGAGCACUGUGGUGAUGAUUUUCUAGCAAAACUUGCCCAAACUAUGCAAGGCACUGAGGAUUGGGAUGAUGUGCAAGCUGCGGAAUUGGAAGCUUGUGGAGUUUUGACCGAUACGGUUGGCCAAGAUAUCUUAUGGUGAAUGCAAUGUUAUGCACAAUGUCAAUAUUAUAGAAGAUUCUCCACAAGCUAUGAAAAAUCAAAUUUUCCUUGGGGUUGAUUCCUCUACUGACAGUAAAUACGAAGAUGAUGUGUUGGGCAGUAAAACAGGUAGGAAAUCCACAUGCUAUAUUUCUGAUUAAAGUAGUAAUCUAACCAAUUCAUCCACUCAACCUGUGGCCAGACAGGCUUUAGGACCCAUGGUAUGCUUCUCCCAUGGACAUAGACAAUAUUGCCAAACCACUUAACUCAGUGUGUCACUGUCCUUUUCUCUUAUAACUUGUUCUCUGCUUGAUUGUUUCCAAUUUGCUUUGAUUCUGUACACAGCAAAGGACCUACACAAUGUACAUGUACAAAAGCAUCUAGUAAAUUUCUUAUAAGGCCUCUCGUCCAAUUAAAUAUCCAAUAGAUACUCCUAACUUUUGCCAAUUACUUCCAUAAUCUUCAAGGUCCAAAAUGACAUAUUAGAAAAUUUUGGUUAGUAAAGAAGUUAAUUUUAGUUUUGGAUGAUGUACAAAAUACCUAUUUUUCUUAAGCACUUUGAGAGUAUAGCAAAUCAUCAAAGUGUGGAACUUAGUAAUCCAGCGUCAUUGAUAAAAUGUUUUGCAUAAAUGAAGGCUUGUUAUUUCUUUGCGCACAUUUUUCAUUUUCCAUGACAAUCCACGUUAGAAACUAUUACGAUGCUUAAGAGGCUUAUUUUUGUUGACGAAAUGUAAGAGAAAUGUCACUCAAGGUUCAAUAUCGUCAGUUUCAUAUAAAAUACAUUGCUCUCAGAUUUCGACAUCCAAACAAGGGACUCUGAGUUAUGAGGAAUUGCAAGUUUUUUAUGACGUAGAAUUGGCAAAUGUUAUCAUAUUCGGAAAUGAGGCAUUUGGACCAAUGCAAAGAUCAAGCUUGUAAAGCUUCUCUAGCAAAGCAAGAUUGCUUUAUUCUCAUGCCCACUGGAGGUGGUAAAAGUUUAUGUUACCAGGUUAGUGAAUGUUAACAUUGUCUCGGCUAUAUAAUGAUUGUAUGUAGGAGAGUGUGGAGACAAUGUUAAGAUCACAAGCCUCUCAAUGGUUACACCAACUAAAUGUAAAAGGGUAGACCUGUAUGUCAAAAUUUAAGCUUGAUGAGAUCUUCUGAAUUGCAAGUUUUUUUUUUUUUUUAAAGCACUGUUGAGAAGGUUGUGAACUUAAGGAAGGAAAUGUUUUUCAAAUGAAAGUUAAGCGAUAGGAAGUGAUUUUGGUACAUAACCAUGGCUUCCAAUUUAUGGCAUAAGACAAAAUUAGACAAUAAGGAAAUAUAGUACAUUCUCAUUCUGCCUUCGCACAUCUCUAUUUGUUGCAAUUUCUAGAAUUUUAAGUUUGUGCUAUGCUUCUUAGGACCUUCUGAUCACUUACUGGAAAAUUCAAAUUGGCUAUGUAUGUUUGUGAUGUUGUCAAUCAUGAUUCAGGUCCAAUACAAAUGGGUUGCUAUUUCUAAGAGGAAUAAAUUUUCAAAGUGCUUCCACAAAAUAUGGGUUCUAGAUUUCUAUAUUUCCUCACAGUUGUUGGCUAUGCCAUUAUCUCACGGAGCGUGAUGAUCUAUGACUUAUUUUUUCCCAUAAUUGGUUUGAAAUUAAUUUCCUUCAAUAUACAAUGUAUCAUGGUCGCAUGCAAAAUAUUUGGUGUACUGAAUUAAGAAGGAAGAUAUUAUAUUGGAUUUAUUAAGCUGAAUUUUUUAGAAGUGUUUUCUGUGCAGUCUUGAAGCAGCUGAUAUAUUUUCCUAGCUGAAAGUAAUUAUAAGACAAGUAGUGGCAACUGGUCAUUCCUGAUGAACUGAAGGUGAAAGAAAUAAUAGCUCCCUUGUCCCUUCCUUUCUUCAUGCGCUCUUUUGAUGUUUUUACCCUUUGUUUCAGCUGGCAGCAACUCUUAAAACAGGUGUCACAGUUGUUAUAUCUCCCUUGCUAUCUCUCAUCCCAGAUCAAAUAAUUAAUCUAACCCUCAAGUAUGGAAUACCAUCUACUUUCUUGAACUCUCAAAAAACUGCUGCCUAAGCGGCAGCUGUUCUCCAAGAACUAAGGCAAGGUUUAGCUUUAUUAGACUCCUAGAUUUUUUAUGAUUAGUGUCGUGACUGUCAAAUUAUUUAUCUCCACCUCUACUUUGCCUGCCUCUUCAGAAAAGGUAAACCAUCGUGUAAGCUAUUGUAUGUAACUCCUGAAAGGAAUGUGGGAAACCUAUCAUUUCUAGAGAUAUUGAAAUGCUUGCAUAGAGAGGUAUUGUUUCUGAUGCACCAUUACUUUUUCUAGACGGUUCGGUGUAUAUUUUUCAUAUUUGACCAUCAUGCAUUGCCGGCACAACUAGCUGGUUUUGUUGUUGAUGAGGCACAUUGUGUGAGGUGUGCAUAAUCUUUGACAUGCCUUUUGUAUGAAGAAAGAUCAUGCUAGAGUUACUACAAAGGAAUAAUUAUUUGUGAUGUUGCCACUACAAAACUGUUGUCCUUGUUCUUGAUAAAUAUAAGCAAGUUAACUUUCCAAACUUUUCUGCAUUUUCCUUGUAUGAUGAAAAGAUUUAGGUUCCGUCGUUUGGGAACACUUAGUGGCACAUCGUUCAUUGUAUUGAGUAAAGAGCAUACACUUAAAGUAGCUCCAAUGGAAAUUACUUCCUAGAGCAAUUGGAACCGUCUUGUGUUUUAGGGCAUCAUUUCUUGAGAAAUCUGUUACUUUUUGAGGUCACCAUCAUAAGUUCUGUAGGUCAUAUGAUUUGUAAUAUUCCUCAAAAUAUAGUAAUCUGCCAAAGUUUUGGGUAAAUUUCUUUUCUAUGGUUAGUGAAUUACCGCAUGGAUCAUAACUUUCCUUUGGCAAUGUAAUUGUCCUCGUUAUUAGUAAUUUUACCUAUAUGACAUCCUUUCAUAUGUUUUCUUUUGAGUUUGGACGUGUACUUUUUCUUUGGAAGUCAUAAAUUCUCUGAAACCUAUGUUUGGUGAAAUUCCACAAAAAUAAUAUUUAUUCAGUUAAUAGUAAAUUUCUUUUGUAUAUUUUUACUAUAAUAUGUCGAUUGAUCAUAACUCUCCUCUUUUGUGUAUUUUUAUUGAAAUAUGUAGAUUGAUCGUAACUCUCCUCUCCUUUUGUGACGACCCGAGCGGCGGUGCGCGGGGAGGAGGGAUGGCGGUGCGUCCGCGCCUCCGGUCCUCGGACGUGCGCAAGGGAAGGCAAGGGAAGGGGAAGGGAUUCCUCUCCCUCUUGUCCCACAUCGCUUAGGGAGGGGUCAUGGGCCUUGUAUAUAAGGCUUGGGGUUCCCUUAACUUGUGAAGACGCGUUUUAAAACCGUGGGGACUCAGUGUCCAAAGCGGACAAUAUCACACAAGUGGGACCUGGGAUGUUACAAAUGGUAUCAGAGCCGACUCCCGACAGCGUGUGGGGCCACAGCGAGGACGCUGUGCUCCCAAGGGGGGGAGAGUGUGACGACCCGAGCGGCGGUGCGCGGGGAGGAGGGAUGGCGGUGCGUCCGCGCCUCCGGUCCUCGGACGUGCGCAAGGGAAGGCAAGGGAAGGGGAAGGGAUUCCUCUCCCUCUUGUCCCACAUCGCUUAGGGAGGGGUCAUGGGCCUUGUAUAUAAGGCUUGGGGUUCCCUUAACUUGUGAAGACGCGUUUUAAAACCGUGAGGACUCAGUGUCCAAAGCGGACAAUAUCACACAAGUGGGACCUGGGAUGUUACACCUUUGCACUUGGCAAAGCUUUAAGACCUAUGUUUUAGUAAUUUUCCUUACUCAUCAUAACUUUUCUCAAUCAAAUGAUAAUUUGAUCAAGUUUGCGUCCGCAACUUUCCUUUAAUGUUUAGAAGUGAUGACAGAAAAUCGAUUUUGCAAAAUAGAUUUGAUGGGUCAUGUUUUUCCCUUUUUAUCCAACAGUCCAUGUUGGAUGCAGGACCGAUCUCAUACAAGAGAACUUUUGCUCAUGAAAUUUCCAUCACAAUCAAGACGUAUUGGCCAUAAUAGAGUAGUUCUUUAGUUUUUACCAAAUGGAAAAGUAGUGUUGGAAAUGUUUUUUCUUCCAAAAUUUUGUAAAUCGUUCCAUUGAAAUAUGUUAAAGGUAAAAAUGUAACUAACCAACUAAUAUUCCUUUGUCAAUGUCUUCUUUUGCUGAUGCACAGCAACAGAUAAAUGAAAUUUGAAUGUUCUCUUUGCAUCCGACGUGGGGCCUUCCUCCGCCUUCAUCAGGGGUCUUUGGACUUUGGUAUGGUGAUGGCGGAUCGACUUUGGCGUGGCUUAAUCAGCUCUGUCGUCCUACCGUUCGUUGGGUCGGUCACGAACGAGAAGUGCGUUCUUUCCAUUGGAAAGGGCUGGAGCCCCAGCUACCCAAAAAAGCUUCAUUCAAUAAACUAGACUCGAACGAACAAGAUUUUCGAACCCUGUAAUUUUCAUGUUUGGAGUGAAAUCGAAAUGCGAAAUUGGGUUCCACAAGGAAUGAGACACUAUACUACAGGCCCAAUUCAAUCACUUUGCCGCCACUGCCGUUGCCCGCAAGUUGCCGCCCCCAUUGGUCCCUAGUCGCCGGUCCCUAGCCUUGGCGUAAGCUUUUAGUUUGAAUAUGAAAACGCCUUCCCAUAUCUUAUGUAUUACAAUCCCAAGAUAUAAGAGCGACCUCUCAUUUCGGCAUAUACAAGACAAUUUUUUUUAUUAAUACGACACACAUUGCAUUUUUAGAAUAACAAAAGAAUUCACAGUAAACUUUUGUAAGGGGAAAAAAGAAAGAGAGACUAAAGUGUAAUCCCACCGUUGGUUGGUUACUGAAGAGAAAUCUAAUAACAUUCGAUGUAUAUUCUUGUGAUUGAAUGUAAGUGCAAAUAAGGAAAAUGACGUCCAUCUGGGUUACGUGUCUGCUCCUCUCUCUUGAUCGUAUGAUUUUCGUAAAGAGGCUAUCUAAAUUCAUGUCAGAAAAUUGUGGCAACUUGAUAAUUUUGUUAGCUUAAUUCCAAUCUUGAUUCACUUCUCAAUUUUCACGCGAAAUUGCUCAUGUGGUGAUCUAAUCAGUAUCGAGCAUUUAAUAAGAUACGGUUGGUGACAUGACAUGAACAAUUUUAAUCGAAACGUUUCGUGAAACCUGCUUUAAUUUUAGCAAGUACGAUUCUCCAAUUCGUCAAAAAACUCUUUCUUUGUUUGCGACAAAGUUUGGUGUUGUCUCUUUUUGCGUCCGUUGGCAAGCCCUCAUAGGAAUUCCCACAUUUGGAAAAAUACGUAAGUCCAUCUUAACUUGCUCUUUUUCAUAUUCUAAGGUUUGAAUCUUCAUGUUGUUCAUCCUCGACCAUUUUUAACGCUCUUCUAUCUCUGUCUCUCCCAGCAUUCUUUGGCAUGUCUUGGUCCCCGACGUGAUUCUGAUGGUGAAGUCAAUGGGGAGGGAUGGUUGUAUCAUCCGUCGCCAUCGCGCUUGUUGAUCUUCUUAUCUUAUCUUUGUAGUUUUUAUGUCCCUAAUAUAANNNNNNNNNNNNNNNNNNNNNNNNNNNNNNNNNNNNNNNNNNNNNNNNNNNNNNNNNNNNNNNNNNNNNNNNNNNNNNNNNNNNNNNNNNNNNNNNNNNNAACACGUGUUUUCGGCAAUAUCAGCGACGCAACCAGGCCGAAUCCAUUGGGUAAUUAGGCUUUCCGGGCCCAUGUUUGUCUCCAUAUAUCCUGAAUUUCAUUUGCUAUGAUGAUCCGGCUCAUGAUAUUGAGUCUUAAGAAAACCCGCAUUUCUCAAAAAAGCAAAAUUGGGACGUGCAGCAUAAACCCAUCAAGAACAUGACAAUCCAAAUUUUAUAAUAGACAUGUAAAGCCUUUUCUUUGCAGAGAAAAAAAAAACAGAAAAGAAAAAGAUGUGAGGAAGUAUUUUACGCGAGAGUUAAGUAUACCAUCUACGUGAGGGUGGUGUUUAUAUAAUUUGAGAUUACGCGGUAGGUCCAUGACUUAGAAAUUCAACAUAUGAAGGAAAUAAGGAAAAGGAAGUCAUUGGCACAAAAAAAAAGAAAAGAAAAAGAAAAAGAAAGGACAACCCUAAAAGAAUAGGAAAAAAAUACGCAACGAAGAAAGGAGAGGAGAUCUUCUUGGAUUCCAUGUUAUACAAAUUGGAGUUUAUAUAACUUGAAAUUACAAAAAAGAAAAAAGAAAAAGUAAAGCUACUUUGCCGGUUAUAAGGAAAACUACCCAAUCAGUUAUAAAUUUAUUGUAUAUAUAUCAAUUCAAUUUGAAAGUUUUUCAAUUUUAUCUAUUUAGUCUUAAAUCUUUGAGAGAAAUUUCAAUCUAGUCAUUCCGGUCAAUUUUCGCUAAGAAUUGUUGACGUGAUAGUCCAAUACUGCUGGCCGUCUUACAUGGCACAUUGUAAUGUCGACAACUUUUACCGAAAAUUGGCUAGAAUGAUUAUAUUAUAUUUUUUUAGCAAAGAUUUCAGAUUAAUUUGAUAAAAUUGAUGAGUUUAUAACUAAAUUGACAUCCGUAUAUAUAAUUUUAAAACUAAUUGGACAAUUCUCUACUAAUUUUAACCGGCAACCAAUUUGUUAAAUAACACUUAGCUUGAUGUAUCAUGUCGAUGGUGGUAUACUUGUAACUCUCGCGUAAAACACUUACUCUUCUUAUGAUACUUACUCGAACCCAACCCAAGAGUGUCAAUUGUCAAAUGAAACGAGGAAAACUUAUUAGGGAGGCAAAAAAUAGAGCUUCCAACAAAAUUCAGGUGCAAAACGGAAUUUUUGAAAGAAUCGAAAAAAAAAAUGGCUCCAAUCUCUCCCACUCUCCAGCAGGUGAAAAAGCAGAGCAAAAAACAACAGUCCCGCCAUCGCUGGCAUGGUUUUUCUUCGAAGAGAGCGCUUCGAGCGCGCGCUCUCUCUCUCGAGAGACUACGGAUCGAUUCGAUUACUACCCUCGCAUCAUCGAUUGAUCGAGUCGAGUCGUGUCGAAUAGGUUGAGAUUCCAUGGAGCAUUGGGAGUUGGAGGCAGAGAAGUCUCGGGUUGCUGAGCUUGGUUCUCGAGUUCGGCUUUGACGAGCAGUCCUUCAGCAAGUGCUUGGGACCGUCUCGUUUCGCUCUACGGUAACUUCAAUCGUUACUUUGUCGCCCAUCUUUUUUUUAUUUUUUUUUUAAUGCUGAUUAGCGUUUGUAGAGGUUAGGUUGUGUAGGUAUUUCAUCAUCCACCAUGAUGAUGGUGAUGACAGCUGGGGAAUAGUCUGCUCGAAUUUUCAAUAGAUCGGAGCGGGUUUGGUGAAGUAGUCUUAUCUCUGAUGAUAACUGGGCACGCGGCAAAUUUUUCUUGCUUAUUGGCCAAAAUGCGCUGUAUCUGGUCAUUAGAUAAUGACAGCAAAUAAUCAAUGUAUUGGUAUUAUGCACAGUUGCAAAUGAAUUUAUAUAGAAAUGAAGCUCUUCUGCUAAUGCAUUUUUCAUUUUGACUUUUAAUUCCAAAUUGCUGAUGAGUGUACUGAUUGAGCCUACCAAUGGCAAUACUGGCAUUGCCUUUGGCAUUCAUGGCGGCAACAAAGGGCUACAGGCUAAUCAUUACAAUGCCAGCAUCUAUGAGUUUGGAAAGAAGGAUCAUCCUCCGUGCUUUUGGAGCUGAGGUGGUCCUGACCAAUCCUGCCAAGGCCGUGAAGGGGGCUAUUCAGAAGGCAGAGGAGAUAAUGGCAAAGAAACCUAACUCUUACAUUCUUCAGCAGUUCGAGAAUCCUGCUAACCCAAAGGUACAUGUGUGGUCAACUGUCAUGUCUUGUUGGUUGUAUAUGCAGGUGAUAACAUGAACUUCGGCUUUGUUGUCAUUGUUCUGUUUAAAUACAUUAUAAAACAACCGGACCAGAGAUAUGGAAAGGCUUGGGCGCCAAAGUUGUCACGCCCCGAUCCUCGGACGCGUGCACAUCCUUCUACUUGGUCGAUUUUAGAAUGCGAUAUCCCAGGACUAUGUAUCGCCGACCCUUUCUUUUUAUUAAGCACACGCGGAAGCAGUUAUAAAUCCCCAGACAAUAAAACAAUGGGAUAGGAAAGCAGGCCAUAUUUUUCAUAUUGAAAUUCAUAACCACACUUUCAUUAACAUCACCACUCAUAGUAUAUUUACAAUACUAUUUACAGCAUAAAAGUCUCACACCUAUCUAUACCAAGACAGGGUUCACAAAAGGUAUGGGAUCUCAAUCCACAUCCGGGUUAUAUUCAAGAUCCCUCUCUGGAUCAUCUUCUUCCUCAAAAGUCUUUCUCCUCUUCAGGUUCCUCUUCCUUAGAUUCUCCUCAAGGUCCUGAAAUGGUUAUUCAAUAACCAAUGAGACCACGUCUCAGCGAGUCCUACCCACUAAGACUCGAUUAAUAAACUAAUACGCCAUACGGUUGUCUAAGCACAACACGAGUCAGAGGACUUACCUUGGCCUCAGUUCCAACCUGCAAUUCAAGGUUAAACACAAGCAUUCAAACAAUUCACGACAUCCGAUUAAGCAUUGAUCAAUCGACUAAGUCGAUUACAUGUCAGCUAGACCCUUUCUAGGUCAUUCCCACUCAUACCACGCUUUCUCAGUGGUGUACUCCUUCACCAAAUCACAUGUGUUUCUCGGGCGUCGUUUUCGCCAAUGACAUACCGAUCACCGACACCGUGCGUUCUUUAAGGCGCCGUUUUCACCAGUGAUAACCUUGAUCACCGAACCACGUGUCCUUUCAAGGGCGCCGUUUUCGCCAAGGUGACAUCGGCUAUAGACAACAUCGUGCGUUCUUUAAGGUGCCGUUUUCACCAGUGAUAUUCCCAUAACCACCGAACCACGUGUGUCUAUAAGUCAUUUACGUGCGUUCUUUAAGGCGCCGUUUUCGCCAGUGAUAUUUCCAAUCACCGAACCACGUAUGUCCAAUAAUAUCGUACCUGAUUGGUCUCACCAUUCUCCCUACUAUAUAGCCCAUCAACGUACUGGCGCUAUAUAUCCAUGCUUAGCCAUUACCAAUCAAAUACUCAAUAACAAACAAUUUAGGACAAUUCCUAAAAUUCCACAAUAAAUUCAAUUCCACACAACGUAGAGCUCAAAUAAAUAAACGGUCUGCACCACAACAAUCAGCACGAAAUUCCGGUCACCGGCCAUCCCGGUUGAAUUUCCGGAAAAAUAAUUAAUUAAAUAAAUAAAUUUCGAAAAUAAAUAAAUAAACAUUGAAAAUCCAAUUUAGGCCUAUAUUGCCUUAUUGGAGCCCGAAACGGGUCGGGAAAAAAUCCCGAGAUGCAUUCAAUAAAUAAUCAAACAUUUCUACUUGCUAAUAGCUAGGUCUAACCACCUAACAUGCAUUAAUAAGUCACUAAAUUAAUUGUUCUAACCUAAUCUAACCACCAAAUUGCACUUAAUUAAAUCUAACCAACCUUAAGCAUAAUUAGCAAACUAAUAAAGCAUUAGUGAGUAAAACUCACUUGACAAAAGCAGAGACCGAAUCACCGCAACGGCGACGCGACGGCGGCCGAAAUCGGACUUCCGACAACACCGGCGGGCUUGGGACCGGGCCUUGACCUUGGCCCAACAAAUCUCAGUCCAAAUGAGAUUUGUUCUUGCACUGGAAUGGGCUGGACCUGCUGAAUUGGGCUUGCGAAAUUCACUUGGGCUUCAAGUGCUGGAAUCCUUGGACUGAGCCUGAACUUGGGCUUGAAUCAAAACUGAAUUGGGCCUGCCUUUCAAACAACUUGGGCUGAAGCUUGGGCCAAAAUUUGCUGGGCUGGACUGAGUGAAAAAAAAUGCUUGCUCACGGACUGGGCUUGCUAUGAUUGAACAAGCUGGGCCGAACUUGUUGCUGUGAAGAUGGGUCCACGAGAUUGAAGCUUGCGGUUUCGGUGGUCCAAGGAGCUGCUGCACGAUUGUGGGACUUUUGCGAUCAACCAAGCAGCUUCGGUUGCUGCCGCUGUUGACCGAGCCAAGAGCAUACUCGGACGCGUGGAGACUUCUUCCUUCGGUGGGUUGUUGCUCACGCGGAUGGACGGACGAAGAAGCGGAUAAGUAGCCGACAGAGUCAACCAACGGUGAAAUCAAGGACUGCUCGUGGACGAUGGAGGAUGUCUGGCCGUGCGAGGGAGUACUGGUCUUCGGUGGAUAGCAUGGUUGACUGCCUCCGUCCCGCGGCUUCGCUGCUGGUGUGGCGUGAGUGGCCGACCAAACUUGGUGGAAUCGUGGGCUUCAAGCGGUCAACCAAGGCUUCGUUCUUGCAGGUGUUGACCGAGGGAUGCUGGGUGAUGGACAAGUGGCGAGGAUGAGGGGCUUUUUCGCUGGUGGAGAAGUUGACCGAGAUGGCGUGCGGACGGCAGAGGCGUGGGGGCUUCGGUGGAGGCUUCGCUCGUGGAGUCUUCGGUCAGGUGGAGCUCAGAUCUUUGCGGGCAGAAGACGCGAACGAGGGAGCUUGCAGCUGCAGGGAAUUUGCCCGGUCUUCUUCAGCGGCUAUUGAAGAUGUCGCACAAAAAAAGGAAAAGGGGAGGGAGAGUCCGAUCGGUUGAGGAGGUGAGGGAAAGAGAGAAUGGAUAGGGAUGAGUGAGGGGCCCUUUGGCUUUUAAUCCUCACACAAAUAUCUCCCCCAAAACCAUUCUUAGCCAUGUAUAAUUUACUUGGCUCACAAUGGGCCUCUCAAGAACUCUUCUAGAAGCCAAAAUGGUCCAAAUGUUGUGGCUAGGUGGGGGGUUACGAAUUUUAAAAUCUCAGCUUCAAUUGGACAUUCAUCCCAUCCAAAUUUCAUUUCCAUUGGCCCUCACAAAAUCAAUCGGUCAUCCAUCAAUUACCUCGGCAUUUUUCCUCACCCAAGGAUCCACCAAAAAUCCCAAUUUAUACCAAUGUUGCACGCCCCCAUCUUAAGAUUCGAUUUUUAACUAAGGCGAACUAAAUUUCAAUUCCAAUCUCUCCAAAUUGAGGUCCAAUUUUGAUGUAGAAAAAUCCCAAGAAAUUUUCUAUAAAUCUCCGACACAUACGGGCUCAACCCGAAAGUCAAAUUUCCCAUUAAUUUAGCCAAUCUGAACUUCGGCCAAACUUCCACGAUGUCCGAACCCAAUUUCCGUAAAAAUCUCGGGACCUCCGAAAAAUCUUCUGAGACUGGGUUGACGUUCCUAAAAUAGCUUGUGACAUCACUGAACUUUCAAUUUCUGAAAUCUGACUCAAAUCGACGGUUAAUUUCACUCCGGCGUGCUUUUAGUGUGACCUAGACUACCGGGUAGUUUUCAGAACUUUUUAGGGCAAUUGACUCGUGGUCGAUUUUCUUCGAGCCAUAAUGAACCCACUCGACACAUUGGUGACUCUCAAUUGUCGUGAAAAUCUCGAGGGCUCGACUACCAACACAGGGUACCAAAACGACAGAAAAUCAAAUUAGUGCCGGUCGACGAGAAUUUUCCAAUUUAGUGGAGUCACCCACGAUCGGCCACACAUCUCAGUCGAACCGACCUAUCUCUGAUCUCAAUUCGAUCUUUACUGUGCAGUAAUGACCUCUAAAGAUGAACACGGUCGAGAAGCCGCUUCCUGGUCGAAUUCUCAAGUCUAUUGCCUUAAUAUUCUUUAAUGGCUUACCCAGCUAGUCUAGUUAUCUCGAGAGUGAUCAGCUCUGAGAACAACCCUAUAGACACGUCAAUGAAAUGCCCGAUUAAUUUAAUAGAAAACAAUACUGAAAAUUCUGGAUGUCACAAAAGUAGACGCCUUUGUUUCUGGGAUAGGAACUGGUGGUACUAAAACUGGUGUUGAAAAGUUUCUGAAAGAGCAAAACCCUCAUAUAAAGGCAGAUUGUUUUUAUGAUACUGUUUAUCACGUGUUGAACGACAAAAUAUUGUCAAUUUUGGGUAAUUAUCAACUAUGGAUGCCUUGAAUAAAAAACCUUGAGCCUGAACAUUCUUUUUGUGUUGAACCUGUUGAAAGCCCUGUAUUAUCUGGAGGCAAGCUUGGUUAGUUCCCUUGAACAUGUUAUAACUUUCGCGAUUAUUAAAUCUCCAUGCACAAUCUAGUUUAUCAUCCAAUUUUGUUUCAUUAAGAUUGGUUGAUGACCUGUGAGAGAUUGAUAUGAUGUGGUCUCAUUUUAGUCCUUAUAGUUCAAGGCUCAUGGUUUCGCAUCAUUGCAUGGGAAGAGAAAGAAACGGUCUCCGUAGAAAGCUAAAACAUGAGAUGAUAAAUUGUUGAUAUAAAUAGGCUGAUAAAAAAAAAAGAAAUAGAAAAGAAAAAGGAAACUAAAAAUAAUUCAAAUUAAAAAAGAAAAAGAAAAUUAAAAAAUAAUUCUAACAAAAAAAGAAAAGAAGAAAAAUAAAGGGGGGAAAGAAGUGAGGAUUUAUAGAGGUGUGAGAUAAGAGAAAUCAAGUUAGGAAAAUGUUUUCACUUUUCAAAAGUAGAAAAUAUUUUCUUUUACUUUAGAAGACUUUUUUUCCUUUCAUGGAAAACAUUUUCCUCAAGGAAUUUGUUUUCCAUAAAAUGAAUGCUGAAAAAUCCGGAAAACAUUUUCCCGGAAAUUAUUUUCCGCGAAACGAACAGAGUCUUAAAUGUUGAUAAUUUUCCUUACUCAUUAUAACUUUUUUCAAUCAAAUGAAAGUUUGAUCAUCUUGUGUUCGCAACUCUCCUUUAACGUUUGCAAAUCCAAAUUCUAUGACAAAAAGUCGAUUUUGCAAAACAGAUUUGACGAAUUGGUUUUUUUCCCUUUCUUAUCCAGCGGUCCACGUUGAAUGCGGGACCAAUCCCAUAAAAGGAGAGCUUCGACUUAUGGAAUUUCCAUUGCGAUCAUGAUGUUUAUGGCACAACAAAAUAGUGUUUUCUUUUUUGCCAAACAGUAAAGUAGUGUUAGUACCAACCAAAAAAAAAAAAAAAAAACAAUGUUGAAAACCUAUCUUUCCAAAUUAUUUGAAGUUCGCUCUAUAUAUAUAUAAAGCUAAAAAUUUAAAUUAACAUAAGUAUUACUUUAUCAAUUUUUCCUUUUGCUGAUAUACAGGCUACAGCAACAGAUAAAAAGAAAUUUGAGAUACUUCUCAUAUUCUUAUGUAUACAAAGAAGCCUUUACCCAUAUUCCGAUCUACCAAGUUCAAGAAUGAUUCAAGCCCGGAAAAGAAAAAUGUAAAAUAGAAAGCCCCCCCACCCCCAAAACCAGCCAGACCCAACCGUGGAGGCAAAAAUAGAACUUCAACAAACUUCGGGUGCGAAAACGGAAUUUUCAAAAGAAUGGAAAAAAAUAUGGCUCAAAUCCCUCUCAUUCUCCGGUAUAUAAAAAUAGGAAAGGAAAAACAUCAUCAAUCCCGCCAUAGUUGGCAGGGUUUUUCGAACAGAGCACUUCGAGCGCUCUCUCUCUCUCUCUCUCUCUGUCUCUCUCUCUCUCUCUCUCUCUCUCUCUCUCUCUCUCUCUCUCUCUCUCUCUCUCUCUCUCAAGAGACUACGGAUCGAUUCAAUUCCAUUUCGUGCAUCGUCGAUCGAUCGCUCGAAUCGCGUCGAGCAGGUUGAGAUUCCAUGGAGGUAUCGGGGCUUGGAGGUAGAGAAAGCUCGGUUGCUGUGCUUGGCUCUCGAGUUCGGCUUCGACGAGCAGUCCACCAGCAAGUGCUUGGAUCGUCUCGUUUCCUUCUACGGUGACUCGGAUCGUUACUUCGUCGCCCAUUUUUCAUGCUGAUUACCGUUAGCAGAGGUUAUCUAGGUAUUUCUCGUCCCCGCGAAGAUGAUGGCUGUGGAAUAGUUUGUUCUAGGUUUGAAUAGAGCACUUUUUGUCCUGGUCAGCGUCGCAGAGGUUGUAUAGGUCCUCCUGGAAGUCUGCUUUAGGUUUGAAUAGAUUGGAGCUGGUUUGGCGAAGUAGUCUUCCUGGCGAGCAAAGUGUCUGGUGCUGUUCCAGUUUGAUGUGUUUAGGUUGCUUUGGAUGGUGGUUUUUCUUGGUUAUUAGCCGAAUCUCGUGGUAUCUAGUGAUUAGGGAAUGACGUAAUUGCUUGUGUUGUGAAGAUAAUUUGUCAUUGAUCGAUUGUGCAUUUGUAAGGAAGGAGAUUUAUUGCUGUCAGUCGGCACUCUGAUGAUGGCUAUGGAAUAGUCUCCUUUUUGGAUUUGAAUGGACUGGAGCUGGUUAAAGCUAGUUCAUUGAGCGUUAAUCCCAUCCCAUUUCUCUGUGGGUUUUGCGGAGUAGUCUUAUUGACUAGCGAAAUGUCUAACUUAUCUCUGAACUAAUCGCAAAUUACAUAUGGUGUCUUGCCUACAAUUAAGUAUGGCAUCUCACUGUAUUAGCUGCAGAUUACAUAUUGUAGAUUGUAACUAUUUGAUAAUUUUUUUGUCAUGGAACUUGUAAAAUCAUCUCUCUCUUCUUUUGGUUGUCUGAAGGUGAUGAAGGUCAAGAAUUUAUCACUGUGGAGCACUAUGGCGAUGAUUUUCUAGCAGAACUCGCCGAAACUAUGCAAGACACUGAGGAUUGGGAUGAUUCACAAGCUGCAGAACCAGAAGCUUGUGGAGUUUUGACUGAUAUGUUUGGCCAAGAUACCCCUAAUGAUAGCGAAUGCAAUGUUGUGCACGAUAUUAAUAUUAUAGAAGAUUCUCCACAACCUGAGAAAAAUCAGACUUUUUUUUAGGUGGAUUCCUCUACUGACAGUGAAGAUGAAGAUGAUAUAUUUGGCGGUAAAAUGGGCAGGAAACCCACAUGCUAUGUUCCUAAUCAAAGUAGUACUCCAAGCAAUUCAUCCACUCAACCUCUGGCCAGAAAAUCUUCAGAAUACAUGAUAUGCUUCACUCCUUUUUGCCCCCACCCCCAUGCCCAAAACUAAUUUGGUCAAAUAGUUGUUAAGUUUGUGGCUCGAGUUUUUGAUUCAUUUGGCUUGGCAUUGGCCCGUGUAAUUGCAUGGACCAAAUACACAGCUUGAAGAAUGUCUCAGUAUUGUACAAGGUUGGCCUUUUGGUGAAGCAACUGUGGACACCUGAAGAGGCCACAAUAUUUACAGGGCAAAUCCUAGUAGUCUGUCCACAAUGGUCCAGUCAUUUAGGAGGUUGACAAAAAGUUGGCAGAUCUGGGCACGGCGUUUUGUUCUUUUAACAAUGAUUCUGCAACCCAUAUAUCCAUUUAUUUUUGUUGCUGAGGUAUGUUGGGGUCAACAAGGAUAAUGAGAAGAAUUGAGAACAGAUUGUCUUGGUUUUUGAUCAGGAGAGAUUAGAGAGUCCUUCUCAUAAAACUCUUGGGAAACACUUUCCACUCAUCUCAUUCGUUUUUGAUUGACUCUUGCACCUGGGGUUUUGGUUAGUGAGAAAUUGAUUAUAACUUAUUGUAAUUCCCUCUUGGUCACUGUGAAACAACUCUUAUUGACAUAGAUGAAACUACACAUCCCCUAAAAUUAGUGUCACUAUUCUUUGCUGUCAAAAAUAUGUCUUUCCUUGAUCAUUUCCAGUUUGCUUGUAAUUCUACUCCCAGCAAAGGACCUUAUGCGAGAUACCUGUACAUAAGCAUUUAAUAAAUUGCUUAUGAGGGCUCUCAUGCGAUCAAAUGUAUAGUAGACACUCCUAACUUGCCAGUUACUUCCACAGUCUUUAAGAUCUAAAAUGACUUUAUUAGAACUGUUUGGCCAAUAAAAACAGUUGACUUUUGUUUUGGAUGAUGUAACAAUACCUAUAUUUCCAUAUGUCCCAUGAUGGCCUUAACUCAACUGCCACUCAGCCAGUUCAUGAGGUAUGAAACUUGCACAUUGUCCUCCAGAUUAAGUUAAAAAGUCAUUUGGCUCUUAUCGAAAUGUACUUCUAUUGCAGGAUAUCCUAAAAGCUCUCGGGAUCCGCCAUGCUUUUGCUCUAGAGACAAGCUUUGACAGACCAAACCUAAAAUAUGAGGUCUUAGCUAAGACCAAGGAACAACUGAAGCAGCUUGGAGAGCUGCUAAAGAAUCGGUUUGCUAAUUUGUGUGGCAGUGUAUUGUCUCUCGAAUAGCGAAUGUGUUGAUGUUGCAAAAUACCUGAAUGAUAAGUGUGGUAUAAGGACAAUGCACUAUCAUGCUGGAUUAGCAAACCCAUCAAAGAGUAGCUAUUCAAAUGAAAUGGCAUACUGGAGAGGUCCAGGUUGCAUGUGUAGCCAUUGCUCUUGGGAUGGGAAUAGACAAACCUGAUGUUGUAAGUUGAAAUGGAGUCUAACCCUUUGCCUAUUUUUAGUUUAAGAAUCAAGGUGACAUGCUGGCAAAUACUCGACUUAUUCACUUUUUCUUUCUAAUGUUUUAGUUUCACUGAUUGGUUUGUUAGUGUGCUUGGAAGUAAACUUUGCCGGUUCCAUGGUCCAGUGGCCUGCUAAAUUGCCAUUCUUGGCUAUUGAUUGCAGGAACUAGCAAAUUAUGUGUCUUUUUCAAGUCAUACUCUUUCUUCCAUGCAUGGAACUUUGGUGUGCUGAAAUUAAGUUAAACUAGGAUAAAGUUCUCCUCUUUACUGUAAAAGUGCCAAAUGAAUCUGAUCUAACUUGACUUUCUGUUAUAAUGUUUGUCAUAUUUCAACUUAUUUUUGUUGGUUCAGUAAUUAUUUUUUUAUGGCAUGUGGUCAGUGUUUUUUCAUCCACAACACAAUGUCCAAGUCAAUUGAAAGCUAUUACCGAGAAUCAGGGAGGGCAGGAAGAGAUAAUCUACCAGCAGUGUGCAUUGCUCUGUAUGCCAAAUAGGAUUUCAGCCGGGUUGUGUGCAUGUUAAGGAGUGAUCAAGGAUGUAAAACCGAAAUCUUUAGAAGUGCAAUGGCUCAAGCUAGGAAAAUGCAGCAAUAUUGUGAACCCAAGGUAAUCCAAUUUCUCAAGUUAUUGCUGAUGAUCUCAACUAAGCGAUGCUUCUAUUUUGUGUUUACACUUUCCACUUUGUUCUAUUGAUUGUUGUUAGUGUUAGUCUGGCAUUAACCCGUGUGGGCACUGGAUCAUUAGAUGGGUCUGUUGGCAACAUAUUCAAAUAAUAAUGGAACCUUUGGGCUAAACUCAUAUUCCGCGCUCCUACAUGGAGCAAAGUCUGUUGAUAAGCGUGUGUUUCCUCUCUAAUUUGCAAAAUUUUCAGGAUGAGUUUUUGGCGGCAAACCUUACUUGCACACUUUGGCAAGUCUUUGAAUCGGAAAGACUAAAUAUAUCUCUAAUCCUUGUGAAAAUUGUCUCAAAGCCUCUUCAUAGAGGUAAACAUUUCAGGUGUCAACUCUCUUGAGGGCGAAAGGAGGUACCAACUUACACAUGAUUUUGAGCCUCACAGUUCUUCUGGUUCCGUCAUCAGCAAUUAUUGGAAGACUCCAUGGUAAUGGAGGAGCAAGGGUCCUUAACUAUGGACACAGAAUUUCUCGGUUUCGAUGGUUCAAUCGGACGAUUCUACCAAUUGACCUUUAGACUAGAACCCAAACCGGUUUUUUGACCGUUCGGGGUUUGGAAGUGGUGUUUGACACGAUUGCAAGACCUGAUUAUUACACGUGAACAAAAAUUGCCAGCUCUCACAGUGAUAACAUUGUGUUAACGUGGAGGGUUGAGCGGCACUAACUUGGCGGAGAUACGGUGCUUACUUGAUGCUGACAUUAUCUUCCUAAGAAUGAUGCAAGAGCAGGCAGUGGCGGCAACUUGUCUGAUGAGUGGUUCGUUGACAAAUGAGGGUCGAAGGGCGGCAGGGUAUGAUGGCACGGAUUGGACGAGUUUGUGUUGUCCCGGCUCAUGGGGCUUUCGUCCAUGAUGGAGUUGGGUCGCGGUGGGUGUCAAUUCAGCAAUGUGAUUCUUGGAUUCAGUCUUUCGUAGUAUAUGGUUGCGGAGGCUGUCUCAAUGGCGAUGCGAGUUUUGAAAUGCUUGCAAGAGAUGAAUGAACUGAAGGCCUUUUUACAUAACUAGAAUGUCUAAUACAAGUACGGGGGAUCGAUUAUUUAGACCCCAAACUAAUAGAGGGAUACACAAUAUCAUGAAUGUAGACAUAACAUGACCAUCUACAAGAUACGCUCGAUAUUUUGAAUAUAGAAGGGAUUCAGUAAUUUUGCAAAAGACGUUCACCACAAACAUAUAGGACAAGUUGCAACAUUGCUUUAAAAAAAUUAAUGAUUUUUAUCCGAUGUUACAAUUAAAUAGACUGUGGGUGUUCAUUUGAAGGGAGGUUUUUACCUUAUAAUUUUGUCAGAUAAAUUGGAGUCUUGUAUGGUUUUUACUCUCAAAGUUGGCUUUCUAUAUGUACAAACUUUUUAGAGUUUGAAAUCAGGUUUUGAUUCAAUUUUAUCUCAAUUUUUGAAACUCAAAGAAAAAUUUUCAAAGCUGGCGUUUUAAUUUGGUUCAUAGGAAGAAAAAUUUAUCGUUAAAUAUUUAUGGGUUGUUGAACGCAUGAAAAUGAGAAAACAUGGUAUUCGUCUUCUGCAGUAUUUGCUUGGUAACUGGAAUUGGUUGAAUGUGGAAACAAAGAAAUAAUAUUCAUGUCGCAAAAAAAAAAAAAAAAUAGAAGAAGAAGAAGUAGAUUUUGAAUAGAAGGCAGGCAAUUUAAGAAAUUGUUCAAGAAAUUAUGGUCUAUUAUUAAAAGAUAUGCCAUGUUGACACCUAAAUUUUACCUAAUCAUUUAGUAAUUAGUUGCAUGAAAAAAAAAUUAAAAAAUUAAAAAAAAUUAGUGAAAUUGCAUUUCAUGUAGUUGCAUUUGCAUUGGUACCAAAAGACAACAAGACGUAGCGGCUCGUGGUUGAUUACAUGCACAAAAGUGGUCUCUCUCUUGCUAAUAUGAAAACACACAAUGAAAGUCAAAGAAAGAAGAAAGAAGAGUUCUUCACGUCCAUUGUUUCUUCCUCAUUAAUGCAUGCACAUGCAUGGAUAAAAUAAGGAGGACGUGAAAAUUCUAGAGAAGCCGCAAGCGUGAAGAAACCAAAGAAAAAUUCUCCACUGCACACGCGAGAAUUCCGGAGAAGGUCUGCAAGAAGAUGGGCUUACAAUUUUAUAAUAUUCUCUCCUUCUUAGAGAGCAAAUCAGCUGGAGAAGAAAGAAGUUCCUACACGUCCAUUGUCUCUCACUCAUUAAUGCAUGCACAUGCAUGCGGCAAGAUUUCGGCGGACGUGAGGNNNNNNNNNNNNNNNNNNNNNNNNNNNNNNNNNNNNNNNNNNNNNNNNNNNNNNNNNNNNNNNNNNNNNNNNNNNNNNNNNNNNNNNNNNNNNNNNNNNNNNNNNNNNNNNNNNNNNNNNNNNNNNNNNNNNNNNNNNNNNNNNNNNNNNNNNNNNNNNNNNNNNNNNNNNNNNNNNNNNNNNNNNNNNNNNNNNNNNNNNNNNNNNNNNNNNNNNNNNNNNNNNNNNNNNNNNNNNNNNNNNNNNNNNNNNNNNNNNNNNNNNNNNNNNNNNNNNNNNNNNNNNNNNNNNNNNNNNNNNNNNNNNNNNNNNNNNNNNNNNNNNNNNNNNNNNNNNNNNNNNNNNNNNNNNNNNNNNNNNNNNNNNNNNNNNNNNNNNNNNNNNNNNNNNNNNNNNNNNNNNNNNNNNNNNNNNNNNNNNNNNNNNNNNNNNNNNNNNNNNNNNNNNNNNNNNNNNNNNNNNNNNNNNNNNNNNNNNNNNNNNNNNNNNNNNNNNNNNNNNNNNNNNNNNNNNNNNNNNNNNNNNNNNNNNNNNNNNNNNNNNNNNNNNNNNNNNNNNNNNNNNNNNNNNNNNNNNNNNNNNNNNNNNNNNNNNNNNNNNNNNNNNNNNNNNNNNNNNNNNNNNNNNNNNNNNNNNNNNNNNNNNNNNNNNNNNNNNNNNNNNNNNNNNNNNNNNNNNNNNNNNNNNNNNNNNNNNNNNNNNNNNNNNNNNNNNNNNNNNNNNNNNNNNNNNNNNNNNNNNNNNNNNNNNNNNNNNNNNNNNNNNNNNNNNNNNNNNNNNNNNNNNNNNNNNNNNNNNNNNNNNNNNNNNNNNNNNNNNNNNNNNNNNNNNNNNNNNNNNNNNNNNNNNNNNNNNNNNNNNNNNNNNNNNNNNNNNNNNNNNNNNNNNNNNNNNNNNNNNNNNNNNNNNNNNNNNNNNNNNNNNNNNNNNNNNNNNNNNNNNNNNNNNNNNNNNNNNNNNNNNNNNNNNNNNNNNNNNNNNNNNNNNNNNNNNNNNNNNNNNNNNNNNNNNNNNNNNNNNNNNNNNNNNNNNNNNNNNNNNNNNNNNNNNNNNNNNNNNNNNNNNNNNNNNNNNNNNNNNNNNNNNNNNNNNNNNNNNNNNNNNNNNNNNNNNNNNNNNNNNNNNNNNNNNNNNNNNNNNNNNNNNNNNNNNNNNNNNNNNNNNNNNNNNNNNNNNNNNNNNNNNNNNNNNNNNNNNNNNNNNNNNNNNNNNNNNNNNNNNNNNNNNNNNNNNNNNNNNNNNNNNNNNNNNNNNNNNNNNNNNNNNNNNNNNNNNNNNNNNNNNNNNNNNNNNNNNNNNNNNNNNNNNNNNNNNNNNNNNNNNNNNNNNNNNNNNNNNNNNNNNNNNNNNNNNNNNNNNNNNNNNNNNNNNNNNNNNNNNNNNNNNNNNNNNNNNNNNNNNNNNNNNNNNNNNNNNNNNNNNNNNNNNNNNNNNNNNNNNNNNNNNNNNNNNNNNNNNNNNNNNNNNNNNNNNNNNNNNNNNNNNNNNNNNNNNNNNNNNNNNNNNNNNNNNNNNNNNNNNNNNNNNNNNNNNNNNNNNNNNNNNNNNNNNNNNNNNNNNNNNNNNNNNNNNNNNNNNNNNNNNNNNNNNNNNNNNNNNNNNNNNNNNNNNNNNNNNNNNNNNNNNNNNNNNNNNNNNNNNNNNNNNNNNNNNNNNNNNNNNNNNNNNNNNNNNNNNNNNNNNNNNNNNNNNNNNNNNNNNNNNNNNNNNNNNNNNNNNNNNNNNNNNNNNNNNNNNNNNNNNNNNNNNNNNNNNNNNNNNNNNNNNNNNNNNNNNNNNNNNNNNNNNNNNNNNNNNNNNNNNNNNNNNNNNNNNNNAAAAGAUGGGCUGACAUUUUAUAAUACUUUCCUCCCUAGAGAUCAGGCGGUGGCCACCAUAUUUGAAAAAAAAGAAACAAACUUGAACAAGCAAAGGAAAGUUGCGGCUGCUCCUGUUCACCUGUUGCCUAUAAAUAAGCAAGGAAAGAGGGGGCAAAGAAAGGGGAGAGGAAGCAUUCACUGGAGAGGUUUUGUGAGAGAUUAAAAAAAAGGAAGAGAGGCUCGUCGAGAGAACCAAGGAAAAAUGAAGUGAGGGGGGAAGUGAAAGGAGAGGGGGGGAUAUUAAAAAAAGAGAUGAAUAGAGAGUCUGUCAGAGAAAAGACCAAAAAGAAGACGUGAGGAGAGAGGGAGAGGGAGAGAAAAAUAAAAGAAAAAAAGAAAAGGAAAGGGGUCCACUGUGCUUCUUCUUCGUGGGUUCCUUCUCCACAAAAGCCGCACGCCGUUCCGCUGCUGCCCACCGCGCGCGCGCCGCACCGCCGCUCCGCCACCUCUGCGCCGCCGGUCUCCUCGCGCUACAGGACCACCAUCUCCGACGCCGCGUCACCGCCCAACGCCUCAGCUCGACGCCCUGUCCCGCCAGCUUCCGCUCCUGCAAACCACCGCCACCAGCAACGCCUGCACCUCCGUCCGACGCCCCGAGCACCCACCUCUGCACCUGCAGCCCGUGCCUCCGACGCCGCGCCACCACUCAAACGCCCGCAAGCUGCAGCACCCGACGCAGCGCCCUACACGUUGCUGCACCGCCUCACCCGAGCGACCACCCGAGCCGCUCCCACUGCUCCAGACCCGAACGCUGCCUCGGCUCCACCCGAGUCGGAUCUGCCCCUCCGCCGCGACGCCUUGCCACCGUCUCCGGACGCCGCUGCUCCGCGCCCCCGAAGUUGCGACGCCGCCUGCACUCGCGUGCCUCCAGCUCUACUCCGUGCCUCCUCCUCUGUCGCUGCCCAAUCUGUAGCUCCGAACUGUUGUCCCCUGUGCGAGCAGCCCGCGGCGAUAGCACCACCGUCGACCCGCCGCACCUCCGCCUCAGCCCCGCCGCGACCCGCCUCCUCGACGACCCCGACGCUCGCCGCUGCUGCAGAUCGCGAUGCCAGCAGCCCGUUGAAGCCUCCGCAGCGUCGCUGCUGUUCUGCCCGAGUCCGCUGCUGCCAACGCCGCCGGUCCGCCCUCGCCUGAGCUCCGACGACUACGCCCACUCCGACGGUGACCUCCGGUGAACCACGAGCAAGCUGUGCGUGGGAAAAGAGAAAGAAGAAAACAACAAAAAAAAGGAAAAAGACAAAAGGGGAACAUUAGGUAGUUUUUUUAUUUAUUAUUAUCUUUACUUUUUUAUAUAGUUUAUAGUUCCUUUUUAUAUAUUUUUAGUGUGAUUAUUCAUUAACACAUGAUUGAAGUUCCAAUGUGAAAUAACCCCUCAAAUUAGGGAUUAGGAGUCCGAUUUUCGCGCCCGAAAUCCGACUCAUAAUCUCUUGCAAAAAUUGACAAUUCAAUCUCAUGCCCGAGAUUCGAUUCGCGAUUUAAUUUAAAAUUGACCAACCCGAUCUCAUGCGCGAGAUAUGGUUCGUCAAUUUUGGGUAUUAAUCUUAUCUUGAUUGGAUUGGAUAUCGGGUUAUUUGAAUUAACUUUUUUUUUUGCAUAAAAAAAUUCAAAAAAAAAAUAUAAUGCGAGUUAGAUUACGGCUAGGGUUAGCAUAUUUAGUUAUUUUGUCUAAAAAAAAAAUCAAAAAAUGCAUUUAGGAUAUUAGUUUUUUUUUUUAAGAAUUGCACGUGUCAAUUUAGAAUAGGAUUUUUGAUUUCAAAUUUUUACAAAAAAAAACCAAAGAAAAAUUAAUUAAUUUAGGAUACUAGUUUUUUUUAGGUUGCAUAAUAGGUUUUUCAAAAAUGCAUGUUUUAGAAGAAAUAACAUGUCCCUCUAAUUUUCACUCUAGUAGUUUUUUUAUUACAACUUUUCAUAAAAAAAUCAUCAUGCAUUUUAGAAUAGAAUUGCCUGUCUCAUUUUAAGUUUAUAUCAAUUUGUAUCUUUGGUUAGAAAUGAAUAGAUUAAAAUAACGUCUUAGUUUAAAUUAGGAUUUAGCAUGACUUAAUCCUAAGCUUAAACUGGAUGGAAUUUUAAUUUAGCUAGGUGAUUUUUGCACUUUUCUUGAUUUCGCAUAUCAUGAAAAAUACAAAAAAAAUUUUCUUUAGAUAAAUUAGUUUCAAGUUGUAGGAUAAAUUGCAUUUUUAAGGAAUAGAAAUAUCAUGUGCACGUCAUGUAGAAUUAGGUUCAUAUAAUCAAAAAUUGCCCGUCAUUAUAAUUAUGGCAUUUUAAUUUGCAUAUUUAAUUAUUGCAUGUUCAUUAAGAAAACAUAAAAAAAAAAAAUAUUUUACUCACGUCAUGUAGUUUAGAAAACAUCGUCAUGCCAUUCCAUGUUAGAUUAAUAGCAUGCAUUGCAUAUUGCACGAUUCCCAUUAAGUAAGUAAAAACCAAAAAAAAAGGGAAAUUGCAUGUUAAUUAGAAAUCAUAUCUAGGUCUGUUGAUGUGAAUUCUGAUCUAACAAUGCAGAUGCUUUCGUUGCUAUGAGGUAAGUCCUGCGAUUUAUUCAUCGUUUUCUUGGGUGUUAAAUUGGUGGUUUGCACAUCCGCAUGAUCACCUCACAUGUUAGGAUGAUAAAUUAAAAUCAAUUCAAGCUGCCUGCAAAAUAUUUUUUUCAAAUAAAAAGAAAUGGUACCGAAAGGGCAUUAGAGAAAUCUAGUGUAACCAAGUCCCCAAACUCACAAUCUCUAGUUCGUAGGAGUGAAGUAAUUCUCCCAUUACUUUACUUGGGUUUCUAAUCGACCCACCAAAAAUAGAUUAGUGGCGACUCCAUGAUAAACAUCAUUUGCAUAUUAAGAACUUGAACCUAAGUCACGAAUUGGUAUGGGAAUAGAAGAAGAAGAAGUAGAUUUUGAAUAGAAGGCAGGCAAUUUAAGAAAUUGUUCAAGAAAUUAUGGUCUAUUAUUAAAAGAUAUGCCAAAAAAUGGAACGCUAUUUACUGUCCAUUAUUAAAAGAUUUGCAUCUUGGAUAAUGUUUCAUUGGUCCAUAAGUAAUGAUUUUUUGAAAAUAGUCGCGGGACAAGUUAUUAAAGCCAACUAGAUUGUCCCAUCCAAGAAUUACAAAUGGGGAUUAUUUUUUUGAUGGCCAAAGUUUCGUUUUAUAUUGAUCUAAUCCAAGGAGCACUAAUAAGUCUAAUUUGGCUAAAAAAAGAAAAAAUAAUAAGUUUACCUCUCUAGUCACUGAUUAUUUGUCUUGGUCUUUUAUAGUGGUUUGAGUAUUGGUCUUUUUUUUUUCCUCUAAAAAGAGUCUUAGUCUUCAUUACACCUUCCAGUUGGCUAACAUGGAUAUGAGCUUAGAUUGUGACAUUCUUCCCAAGAUUAAGAGUUAAUAAUUGCCUUUUAAAAGUUGGUCGCAAAAAAACAAUAAAAAGAAGAAAGAAGAUUUCGAUUAGAAGGCACGCGGUUUAAGAAAUUGUUCGAGAAAUUAUGGUCUAUCAUAAGAAUAUAUGCCAAAAAAUGGAACACUAUCUACCACCCAUUAUAAAAAGAUUUGCAUUUUGAAUAAUAUUUUAUUGGUCCACAAACAUUGACUUGUCAAAAAUAGUCACCAGACAAGUUAUCGAAGCCAACCAGAUUAUUCUGCCGAAAGAAUACCAGAUUAUUCUGCCGAAAGAAUCAUAAAGGAGUUUUUUUUUUUCUUUUAAUGGCCGACCAUGAUCAAAUUUUAUCACGCUUUCAUUUUAUAUCGAUUUAGGUAGAGGAAAACUAAUAAUUUUUUUUUGGGUACCUAGGAACCUCCGUGCGCCGCUUCGCGGUGGAGUAAAUCCUGGAAAACUAAUAAUUUUUCUUUUUUUGGUACUUAGGGAACCUCCGUGCGCCACUUCGUGGCGGAGUAAAACCUAGAGGAGCAAGAGAGUCACCACUACCCUUUCUACCCCGAGCAAGUUGUGGGUUCCUUUCCAACAAGGCAGACAAUGCAAGGAUUCGAACUCCAUACCUCUCUCGAAAGGAACUGAAGCUCAACCACUACGCCGCCACCACAGAUGGUGAGGAAAACUAAUAAAUUCGAUUUAGCUAAAAGAAGAAAAAUUGCUUCGCUAGUCAGUGAUUAUUCAUCUUGGUCUUUUAGGGUGUGUUUGGUAAAAUUUCUAUUAAAAAAUUGUUCAAGGGAAUAGAAAUAAAAAAAAAACUAUUUAUAUUAUGGGGAAUAAUUUUUGAACAAAAGAACGUGUUUAGUAAAUUUGUUCUUGGAAUAGAAUAGAAUAGAAACACAUUUGGUAAACUUGUAUACUUUUUUUGUUUCUUUUAAUUUUUUAAUAUUUUAUUUUAUUUUUCCUUUUUUAUUUUUUAUAUUUUCCUUUUUCCUUUUCUUUUUUCUUCCUUUUGGCCGGUUGCCGGCCUCGGCCAUAGCCAGCGACCGAUCGUUGAGGGCCAGUGGCCUCGCCAGCCCCCGGCGACACUCGACAAGGUUGCCGACCAAAGAAAAAAGAAGAAGAAAAGAAAGAAAAGAAAAAAAUAGGAGAGAGAAAAAUUGUUUAUUGGAAGUGUUUCAGGAACAAUAAACAAGUUUUUCUUGUUUCUUGUUUCCGUUCUAAAUUUGUUCCCAAUAACAAAAAUAUAGAUUUGGAACAAAAACGCAAACAAACUCGUUUCUAUUCUUUUUUUGUUCCGAUAGAAAUUGUAUUCAUAAACACGGACUAGGAACACAAACAAACAGCCUCUUAGGGUGCGUUUGGUAAUAUUUUUGUUCAAAAAUUGUUAUAGGGAACAAAAAUAGAAAAAAUUAUUUCUAUUCCGAAGAAUAAGUUUUGAACAGAAUAAUGUGUUUGGUAAACUUGUUCCUGGAAUAGAAUAAGAACAGAAACAUGUGUUGGUAAACUUGUAUAAUUUUUUUAUUUAUUUAUUUUAGUUUUUUAGUAUUUUUAUUUUCUUUUUCUUUUUUUUUCUUUUUUCUUCCGUUUGGUCGGUUGCCGGCUUUGGCGAUGGCUGGUCACUGGCCAACGAGGGCCGGCAGCCUCACCUAGCCACGACGAGGCUUGCUAGGGGCCGGCGACGCUCCGACAAGAUUGCCAACCCUCGACGGCGUUGGUGGCCCUUGACAGCCGGUCGCCGGCUAUGGUUGAGGCCGACAAUCAGUAAAAGAAAAAAGAAGAAGAAAAGAAAGAGAAGAAAAAAUUAUGAGAGAGAAAAAUUGUUUAUCGGAAGUGUUCUAAGAACAAGAAACAAGUUUUUUCAUUUCUUGUUUUUGAGAAUAAAUUAUGUUCCAAAUUUAUUCUUAGAAACAAAAUAAUAGAUUUAGAAUAAAAAUAUAAAUAAACGCGUUUCUGUUCUUUUUUUGUUUCCUUGAACAAAAAAAUAGAAAUCGUGUCCAUAAACACGGACUAGAAACACAUACAAACAGCCCCUUAUAAUGGUUGAAGUCUUGGUCUUAGUUUUUUAUUUUUUUCGCUGGAGAGUCUUAGCCUUUGUAACAUCUUCUAGCCUUUCUAACAUGGAUGGGACCUUAGAUUGUGACAUUCUUCCAGGGUUAAAAAUCAAUAAUUGCCUUUUAAAAGUUGGUAGCAAAAAAGGAAAAAAAAUACGAAGAAGAAGAUUUUGAAUAGAAGGCAUGUGAUUUAAGAAAUUCUUCAAGAGAUUAUGGUCCAUUAUUAGAAGGUAUGCCAAAAAAUGGAACGCUAUUAACUGUCCAUUAUUAAAUGAUUUGCAUAUAAGAUAAUGCUUUAUUCGUCCACAAUCAUUGAUAUUUCAAAGAUAGUUGUGGGAUGAGUUAUUGAAUACAACGGAUGAUGGGAAUUAUAUUUCGAUGGCUGAUCAUAAUCAAAUUUUGUCACACUUUCAUUUUAUAAUGAUUUAGGCAGAAGGUAACAAAUAAGUUUGAUUUAGCCCAAAAAAGAAAAAUUAAUAAGUCUGCCUCACCUGAUUAUUUGUCUUGGUCAUUGGUUUGAGUCUUGGUCUUUGACUCUUUGGUUUUCUUUUUCUUUUUUUUCUGCCAUAAAGAGUCUUGAUCAUUGUUACAUCUUCCAGCUGGCUAACAUGGAUGGGAUCUUAAAAUGUGACGUUCUCCCCGAGGUUAAGAAUCAAUUAUUGCCUUUUAAAAUAUGGUUGUGGGUAAUGAUAGAGAAAUAUACUAUUUUAAAUUGAUUAUUGUAGGGUAAAAGAACGGCAUAUAUAAUAUUAUUUCAAUUUAAAAAACAAAAUUAGAUAGGAAUACUAAUUUUGUCGUACUUACCCAAUAUCAUCAUUAGAUUUCUCCACCAUCUUUGAAAUGUAGAAGAACUUACAAAAUUUUUGUGAAAACACUUAAUUGCAAAAGUUUUCGGUGAUUGGGGCUUUUUUUGAAAUUCAGAUAACUUUAGGAUGACUGGAGUAGAGCUUGAACCUACACAUUAUCAAGGAACCUGUUGAACUACUUAACUUAAUCCUCUUCGAACACUAUCUUAUGAAUGUGCAGAUUCACAAAAAGACAAAAUGGGCUUAAAUGAUGAGAAUAAAUCGAUUUGUGCUUUUGCUCUUUGAUUUGUUUGAGAAUCUGGUUAUCUCACCGAACCUUUCAUUUAUCAUCCUAUCUUUGCAUCAAAUCAUUUUCCCUUGCGUUCGCUCUCGCACUUGCCCAUCCACUACUAUAAGUGACUAAUUCCACAAAUCGCUCUGAGUAUUUGGUUUGUGAUAAACAACUACAAAGAUGGCAGAUUACUAGAAGGGCGACGAUACUUUAUUCUACCGAAAGAGGAUGAUUAGGAUGAACCCUUUGCCUUCACCUCCCUGUCUCACCCAACUCUUGGGGGGUUGUGGAGAAGAUGAAGAAGCAUUACACGAUCGGUCGGAUGAAAUCAAAGGGAAUCACUCCCAAAGUUUUUUGUCUUUGCAUUCUGAUGAAUUGCCUUUGCCAAUUUUAAAAGGUCCAAUCUUGAACUCGAACCCACAACCGUGAGCUUUUAACACUUCGAUCAAUGGAAGACACAAGCUGGGAACUAGAUGUUGUCCUAGCCUAAGUCGCCCAUAUGUUGUCACUUAUAAAUCCUUGACAUGUAGCUUACAUUGCAUAGGCAAAUGGAAAAUAAAGCAACGAUUUUAUUAAUGAAUAUAAUGUGAUUUUACUGUCCAUUAUUAAAAGGAUUUGCAUUUUGGAAAUCUUUUAUUGGUUGACAAUCACUAACUUUUCAAUGAUAGUCAUGGAAAGAGUUGCUAAUGAAUUCGAAAGGAUCAUAAAUGGGGUUUACUUUUUUUGUUGGCCAAUCAUAAUGAAAUUUUGUCGUGCUUUCAUUUUAUAUUGAUCUAGACCAAGGACGACUGAUAUAACUUAUUUAGCCGAAACAUCUUCCAGUUAUAUCUAGAUAACGUGGAUGGAACCUUAGAUUCCGUUUGCUUCAUGGAAAACAUUAGAUUAUGUGAUUGCAUCAAGGAAUAAACCAAACCCUUUACCAACAGAGAGGCUGUAAUCAUCAGUGAACGGAAAUAUUGGUACGUUUCCUUCAUUUAUGAGAUUGUUGUAGCCUCGAAAGUUCAAGAAUACAUCAUAGGCACCACAUCCCCUAUACAUUGGUGUCGUAGAGACGAACGUAGAGGUAGACGCUCCACCGGUGCAUAAGUAUUGCUUCCACUCUUUUUCCUUGUCUUGAGAAGACUAUAAGCAGACCACUAAAAGAACGCCCCAAGACUGAACCGAUGGCAUUUCGUUUUUUUCGUUGAUCUGGUUCUUCCCUUUAUCUAUAGGGGGCGAAAAUAGAGGUUCAACAAACUUCAGGGCCGAAAACGGAAUUUUGAAAAAAUAAUUGAAAAAAUAAGGCUCCAAUCUCUCCCAUUCUCCAGCGUAUAUAAAGAAAUAGGAAGCGGAAAGCAUCGUGAAUCCCACCAUCGCUGGGAACCUUUUUCGAAAAGAGCACUUCGAGCGCGCUCUCUCCAGAGAGAGACUAGCGAUCGAUUCGAUUCGAUUUCGGCUCAUGCAUCAUCGAUCUCGAUUGAUCCGAAUCGUGUCGAACGGGUUGAGAUUCCAUGGAGGAUCGGGGCUUGGAGGAGGUAAGAGAAAGCUCGGGUUGCUGAGCUUGGCUCUCGAGUUCGGCUUCGACGAGCAAUCUGCCAGCAAGUGCUUGGGACAAUAUUUUAAUUACUUCGUCGUUCAUUUUUCAUGCUGAUUAGCGCUUGCAGAGGUUAUGUAGGUAUUUUAUCGUCCACCACGAUGGGGAUGGCCGUGGAAUAGUCUGCUCUAGGUCUGAAUAGAUUGGACCUGGUUUAGCCAAGUAGACUUGCUAACGAGCGAAAUGUCUGGCAUGGUUCCAGUUUGAUGUGUUGAGGUUGCUUCGGAUGGUGGUUCUUCUUUGUUAUUAGCCGAAUCGCAUGGUAUUUGGUGAAUAGAGAAUGACAAUUGCUUUCGUCGUGUGGAUAAUUCGUGAAUUGAUUGAUUGUGCAUCCCUGAAUAAGGAGACUUAUUGUGGUUAGUCGUCAUUCUGAUGAUGGCUGUGGAGUGGUCUACCUUUUGGAUUUGAAUGGACCAGAGCUGGUUAAAUCUAGUUCAUUGAAUAGAUUGGAGCUGGUUUAGUGAAGUAGUUUUGCUGACAGGUAAAACGUCCGGCACCAUUCCAGUUUGAUGUGUUUAGGUUACUUUGGGUGGUAGUUUUUCCUUGUUUAUUGGCCAAAUUGUGUGAUAUCUGGUCAUUAGGGAAUGACAUAAUUGCUUUUGUUGUGUAAAUAAUUUGUAAAUUGAUUGAUUGUGCAUUGCUAAUAAGGAGAUUUAUCAUGGUUGGUCACUAUUCUGAUGAUGGCUAUAGAAUUGUCUAUUUCGGAUUUGAAUGGACCAGAGCUUGUUAAAUUUAGUUCAUUGAGCCUUAGGCUCAUCCCUGUAUCUUUGUAGGUUUGGCGGAGUGGUCCUAUUGACUGGUGAACUGUCUGGCUUAUUUCUGAACUCACUGCAAAUUACAAGUGGUGUCUCACAUUAAUAUUAAUAUCGUGUCUCACUGAACUAAGUUCAAAUUACAUAUUCGUAGAUUGUAUUUAUUUGAUCUCUUGUUUGCCAUGAAACUUGCAAAAUCAUCUAUUUCUUCUUUUGGUUUUCUUAAGGGGACGAAGGUGGAGAGUUUAUCACUUUGGAGCACUGUGGUGAUGACUUCCUCGUAGAACUUGCUGAAACCAUGCAAGAUUCUGGGGAUUGGGAUGGUUUGCAAGCUGUGGAAUCAGAAGCUUGUGGAGUUUUGAAUGAUAAAUUUGGCCAAGUUUGUAGUGUUUUGGCAGCAAAUGCAAUGUUAUACACGAUGUCAAUGUUAUAGAAGGUUCUCCACAACCUGAGAAAAGCCAAAUUUUUUUGAGGUGGAUUCCUCUACUGAUGGUGAAGACCAAGACAACAUCUUUGGUAGUAAAAUGUGCAGGAAAUCCACAUGCUAUAUUCCUGACCAAAGCAGUACCCUGGGCAAUACAUCCACUCAACUUCUGGCCAAACGAUCUUUAGAAUCCAUGGUAUGCUUCUCCCAUGGACAUAGAAAUACUGCCAAACCACCUAGAUCAGUGUUUCACUGUUCUUUUCUCUUAUAAUUUAUUCUCUCCUUGAUCAUUUCCAAUUUGCUUGUGACUCUGCACACAGCAAAGGACCUACACAAUGUACAUGUAUAAAAGCAUUUUGUAAAUUGCUUAUGAGGCCUCUCAUCCAAUCAAAUGUCCAGUAGACACUCCUAACUUUUGCCAAUUACUUCCACAAUCUUCAAGAUCUAAACAUAUUAGAACUCUUUGGUCAAUAAAGAAAUUGCUUUCAGUUUUGGAAGAUGUACAAAUACCAAUGUUUCUCAAAUACUAUAACAGUAUAGCAAAUCAUCAAAGUGUGGACUUAGCAAUCCAGCAUCAUCGAAAGGAAUAUGUUGUGUAAACGGUGGCUUGUGAUUUCUUUGUGCUCAUUAUUCAUUUUCCAUGACAAUCCAUGUCAGAAACUAUUAUGGUGUUGAAGAGGCUUAUUUAUGUUGAAGGAUUGUAAGAGCACUAUUACCUAAGGUUCAAUAUCGUCAGUUUCAAAUAAGAGACAUUGCCCUUGGAUUUCAACUUCUAAACAAGGGACUCUGAGUUAAUUAGGAAAUGCAAGCCAUGGAUGACAUAAAAUUGGCAAAUGUUGUCAUAUUUGGAAACAAGACAUUUUGACCACUGCAGCAUCAGGCUUGUAAAGCUUCUGGAGCCAAGUAAGAUUGCUCUAUUCUCAUGCCCACUGGAGGUGGUAAAUGUUUAUGUUACCAGGUUAGUGAAUGUUAACAUUGUCUCAGCUUUGUAAUGAUUGUAUGUAGAAGAAAGUGGAGACAAUGUUUAGAGCACAAGUCCUGUGCACUUUGCUCAAUGGUUCCACCAACUAAAUGUAAAAUGGUCCAAAAUUUAAGCUUUGACAUGAUCUUCUAAGCUUCUUUGUUUAGCAUUGCUGAGAAGGUUGUGAACUUGAGGUAGAAAAUGUUUUUCAAAUGAAAUUUAAGCGAUAGGAAGUGACUCAGGUACAUAAUGGGUUCCAAUGUGUGGCAUGAGACAAAAUUAGAAAAGAAGAAAAUACAGUACAUUAUUGUUCUGUCUUCACACAUCCCUAUCUGAUAUGCAAUUUCUGGAAUUUAAAGUUUGUACUAUGCUUCUAGGACCUUCUAAUCACUUACUGAAAAAUUCAUCUUGUUUAUACAUGUACAUGUUGUUGUCAAUCAUAAUAAAGGUCCAUUUCAAAAGGGUUACUAAGUCAGAGGAAUAAGUUUUCAAAGUACUUCCACCAAAUAUGGUUCUAGAUUUCGAUAUUUCCUCACAAUUAUUGGCUAUGCCAUUAUCUCGCAAGGGUUGAUGAUCUACGACUUCUUUUUUCCCAUAAUUGGUUAGAAAUUAAUGUCCCUUAAUAUACAAUGGAUCCUGGUAGCAUGCAAAAUAUUUGAUUUACUGAAUUAAGGGCAAAGAGAUUAAUCUGGAUUUAUCAAGUUGAAUUUUUUCUAAGUGUUUUUUGUUCAUUAUUGAAGUAGUUGAUAUAUUUUCUAGCUGAAAGUAAUUAUAAGACAAUUAGUGACUAUGGGUCCUUCUUGAUCUGCUGAUGGUGAAAGAAAUGAUAAUUCCCUCAUCCCUUCCUCAUCCCUUCCUUUCUUCAUGUGCUCUUCUGAUGUCUUUACCUUCAUUUCAGCUGCCAGUAACUCUUAUACCAAGUAUCGCAGUUGUUGUAUCUCCCUUGCUAUUUCUCAUACAAGAUCAAAUAAUUACUCUAACCCUCUAAGUACGGAAUACCAUUUACUUUCUUGAACUCUCAACAAACUGCUGCCCAAGCAGCAGCUAUCCUCCAAGAACUAAGGCAAGGUUUAGCUAUAUUGGACUUCUAAAACUUCUAUUCUGAGUGUUGUGACUAUCAAAUUAUUAAUCUCCCCUUCUGCUUUGCCUACCUUUUCAGAAAAGAUAAAUCAUCAUGCAAGCUAUUGUAUGUGACUCCUGAAAGGAUUGUGGGAAACCCAUCAUGCAUAGAAAGGUAUUGUUUCUUAUGCACCAUAACUUUUUCGAAAAGGUUCUCUAUAAAUUUUUUAUAUUCAACCAUCAUGCAUUGUGGGCAGAACUAGCUGUUUUCGUUGUUGAUGAGGCACAUUGCAUGAGGUAAGAGUAAUCUUUGGCACACUUUGUACAUGACGAAAGAUCAUGCUAGAGUUACUUCGAAAGGAAUGGCUAUUUUCGAUGUAGCCACUGCAAAACUAUUGUCCUUAUUUCUGAUAAAUAUAAGCAAGUUAACUUUUAUAUAUGCCAACUUAAACUCUUUUUCCAAAUUUUUUUUGCAUUUUCUGUGUUUCUCGCCAAAUUAAAUUGUCAGUGUUACAUUAGACCUUCUGAAAUCCAAACCCCUGUGAAGUUCUAAUAUAACAGAAUGUAGUGUUCCUUGUUUGAACUUUGGAAAGGAUCUAGGUUCUGUCAUUUGGGAACACUUGGUGGCACAUCAUUCAUUAUAUUGAGUAAAGAACACGCAACUUAAAUAAGCUCCAAUGGAGAUUACUUCCUAAAGUAAUUAGAACAGGCAAAAGCUUGGAUAAGGAUCCCAUCUCUUGUCUAUGUUUGGGAUGAUACUCAGUCACUUAAGCUGAUUCUUUAGUCCCUAUUUAUUCUAUUAACGGUUACACUAGAUGCUAACAACUUGAGAAAGACAAAGGUUCACUCAUGUGGUCAUUGAUUGUGUUUCUCAUAAGGUCUUAACUGGAAUUGCUCUGCCUGUGUGAUCUCAUGAAAUGAACGUACUGCUGGUUUGAGCUUUUCUUGUAUAUUUGACUGAUUAAGCAAGGCUCAUUGAUUGUCACAUUUGUGGUUGUCAUUAUUGAAGUCAAUGGGGACAUGAUUUUCGUCCAGAUUAUAGGGGACUGGGAUGUCUCAAGCAAAACUUUCUGUAUGUGCCAGCAAUGGCCUUAACUGCAAGUGCCACUCAUCCAAUUCGUGAGGUACUAAACUUACACAUUAACCUCCAGAUUAUGUUGAAAUAAUCAUUUGGGACUGAUUGAAAUGCGCAUCCGUUGCAGGAUAUCCUCAAAGAUCUCAGGAUCCCCAUGCUCUUGUUCUUGAGACAAGCUUUGAUAGACCAAAUCUAAAAUAUGAGGUCAUAGCUAAGACCAAACAACCAUUGGAACAGCUUGGAAAGCCGCUAAAGAAUCGUUUUGCUAAUUUUUAUGGCAUAGUAUAUUGCCUUUCGAAGAGUGAAUGUGUUGAUGUCGCAAAAUACUUGAAUGAGAAGUGGCAUAUAAAGAUGGUGUACUAUCAUGAUGGAUUAGCUGCCUGUCAAAGCAAAAAGAAAUGGCAUAAUGGAGAGGUCCAGAUUGUAUGUGCUACCAUUGCCUUUGGGAUGGGAACAAACCUGAUGUUGUAAGUCGAAAUGGACUCUGCCCUUUGCCUAUUUCCUAUGUUUUAGAAGCAAGCUGACAUGCUGGAAAAUACUCGGCUAAUCAACUUUUCUUCUAAUACUUUAGUUUCACUGGUGGUUUCAUAGUGCGCUUGAAAGUACACUUUGCUUGUUCCAUCGUCCAGUGACCUACUAAAUUCUGUCCUUCUGUCAAUCUUGCAUAGUGAUUGCAGAAACUAGUGAAUUAUGUAUUGAUUCGAGUCAAAUUCUUUCUUCCAUGGAUGGAAAGUUGCUGCCCUGUAAUUAGUCAGACUUGGUUAAAGUUCUUUUCUUUACUCUAAAGCGGCAAAUGACUCCGAUCUAACUUGACAUUCAGUCUGACCUCCAGCUAUAAUGCUUGUCAUAUGUCGACUUAUUUUUGUUGAUUCAGCAAUUAUUUUUUAUGGCAUGAUGGUUAAUCAUGAUGCUGAUUGCAAAAUAAGAAGACUGCUUUCAUUUGUAGGAUUUGAUGUUGAGAUCUACUUCGUGAUUGAUUUCAUUGUUUAGAACUUUUUUGUGGCCAAAUGUUGCUUAAGCCUCUAUUUUGGGGUUCUUUAAUGCCCUAGUUUCCUCAAUUCAUCUAUUUCGAUUCCACUUCGUUGUACGAUUCAACAUAUGGCAAAAUCUAAAAUCUUGUGCAAGGGUUUUAAAUAAACUGAGCUUGCCAUAGUCACAUUUUGAUUUGAGGAUGGUUUUCAUAUUCUGGUACCAUCCCGUCGAGCUCGGAGUUACAAAAAUGAGGAAAACCAAAAAGCCUGAAGCGAAACGUCUUUAAUCCUGUCAAAACUUACAUAGUUAUUGUUCAAAUGACUUUAAUUUAUAGGAUCUUGAUGUAAAUUGUGAUAGAAACUUCAAAAACUAUCCACCGGUGGGCAAUUGCACUGAUUGGGCUCUACUACCUCAAUGCCGAGGGAAUGAGUUCGAAUUUCCGUGGUGCUAACACAUCUUAAGUGGGGGGCUAUGGUGAUGGGAUCCCGUGCUAGCCUCCCUUUAGGUAUAGUUGGUGGUUUCCGUUGGGCCUGUUGGGCUUGCGGCGGCUGUGAGCACUUGUAAUGUAUGCUAGGCCAGAUCUUGGAUAUCAAAAAGAAAAGAAAAGAAAAGAAAAGAAACUUCAAAAACUAUGCUCAAAGCAAAUCCCUGGCAUGAAAUUGAAGCUGAAGGAAGAAAGGUACAAAAACCCAUGAACAGAACCGAAUCAGUUCACUUGGUUAACCAUGUUCAUCCAGUUAUUCGGUCGAUUCACGGUUUUCCAACUUCAAAUCAAUUCAGCCAAUUAGGUCGUGACUAAUGUUCUAGGAGUGGUCAAACACAGAGCUACUGUCCUUUGGAUAAAUUUGUCUAGACACUGAUUAAACAACUAAAUAAAUAAAGUGUAGAGUCAAUAUAUUGACUUGCGACUUUUCUCGUGUAAUGUUGGACUGAUAUUCUGAAAAUUAAAUUAUUUCAUGUUAAGUACGUUUAACAAGUAUUUCAACACGACCUGCAUUAUAUAUGUGUUAGUACUAGUGGAUUCAAACUUGGCUUAAAAAGCUACCUGGCCUUAUCUUGAGCUCUUUUGAGUCAAAGUUUGAGUGGACAAGCAACGAAUCAGACUCUUAUGAGUACCUUGUGAGUAGCUUUCAACUAUUAAAAUUCCACCACGAUAAUCAAGUAUAGAUUUUAGGUAUACCAAGAGUGGCCUUAAAGAAAUUGCUUCGAUUGAAACUUGAACGCGUGAUCGGUGACCACAAUGGUGUAGAAGAGUGUGAUUAUUAACCAAUUAGAUGACCCUUUAAGUUUUUCAAUCAAGCCAAAUGAGUACAAAUUUUGGGAAGGACUCUUUUCCCCCUUCCAAAAAUUUUGCCUACAUUUUUCACUAGUCUUCAACUAUAGCCAAUGCCAAAAAAAAAAAAAAAUUGUUUCAGGUACGAAAAUGUACAUGGCUAAUGUCCCUUUCUGCUUUUGGAUUCGUGCGUAAAUAAAUUAAGUUUGGGAUUGUACGAUCAAAGUGAUUACAGAAUGCCUAUAUAUGAAUUUUUGGGUGUAAUCAGAUGAGAGAGAUGAUUUUACGCUAAUGAAGGCUUUUAUUUCGCAUUCAAAAUUCUUUCAAAUGAAAAACUACUUUCUUCUUGAAAACCAUUUCCCUGAAACUCCUGGCGGCAAUUGACAGAUUAUUUGUAGACUCCACGGCAUUCAUUCACUUUUCCCACAAAAAGAUUGUCUCCCAGUCACUAAAUUGUAGCUUGAAGUGGACAUCUAACUGGUAAUGUUGUUAACAAAUCUCAGUUUAUGCUUAACUUACACAUAUAGAACCACCUGCACAUGCGAUACGUUAUUUGGCCAUUGCUAAAAAAUAGCAUGACAUCAAAGCUUUGCGAAGGACUAAAACACCACAUGAGAGGGAUCGCUUUAUGUCAAGAAUCAUUUGAAGAGCAUUAACAACACGGUUAAAUGAUAAACGCCAAUAGCAAAGAACUUCGGAAUGCCUUUCCAUAACGACAAAGCCCAUUCCUGCCCGUAUCUCCACCCGUGGUGUUUGGGGACUUUCUCCAAGUUUCAAUGAAUGCAGCUUGAAUCUACACAUGGAGGAUAUGACUGACUCAUUAUCAGUAAAUGAAGAUAUGCAAGAUCGCAGCAUCAUAAUUUACCCCAUGAAAGAUAAGGUACAAAUGAGUAAACAUCAUUUACACCAAUCGCAGUUGGACCGCAAGUAACAGAGACUUCAUUAGCUGGCCAAUGAAAAAGAACACGACAGGCUUAAAAGAAGUAAGCAACUAGCAACAACACUUUCCUUGUUUGUGUUCAGGAACAGAAUUGAUGUUAAUAAAAUUAUGCUGUAAAGGUGAAGUGUCUAAAUUACGUAAUAGAAAGAUGCAUUUGUUACUUGGUCAUUGGCAAUAUCCAAUCAGCAAAAAUCAGCGAUUUGGAAUAAUUUGUGAGGAGGUCUUACAAAUUCAAUACCGCACAAAUGAGGACUGAGCUUAUCAAAUCAGAAACCUAUAGAACAACAUUCAAACCAUAUCAUUACACAAAUAAACUGAUAGAAAUGGGGGAGCUUAGUAGUGCAUACCUCCCUCUGCAAAGCCUCAUCGAGUUCAGAAGGGACAUCAUUAGAAUGCAACCGCAUCAAAGAACACUGCAUCAGGGUAACGUACAGAAAAAUCAGCAGCUACUCAUUUGAUAAGCAAAGAGGUAGAACUUAACGAGCAUACAGAAAGUAGAUUCAAUUUUUUUUUUUUUAAAAAAAAAAACUACAUUUACUAUCAUUCAUGUAUUUGCUAUUGUGACCAGACCAAGUGUUUUGGAUCUUCACAAGCAUCAAAACUUCCUUGGCUGCUGCUGACGCUUCCUCUGCAAAAUCCCUUUCGUUCAUUUUUAUCGGUCUUAGGUAUGGAAUUUGAAGUUCCUCAGCCAAGUGGGCCACAUCCAAAUCAGUCAUGUGAUAAAACAAUUCCAUGACAACAAUAAGACCAAAUGAGAUGUAAACUAAUUAGAAAAUUCUUGAGCUCCUCUACCCAUCUUGUUUCAUAGACGGGUAAAAAAUUGUCCAAUUAUGCAAAAGGUCAUCUAUACAGCUGAUUGAAUUGAAGUCCUGAAGUAAGCCUUGAUCAUUACAUACACCAACUGAACCUGUCACAGAAGCUGCACCAGUUUACCUUGCUUGAUAAUAUUUCAAAAAAACAGUUUGAUCAUUGGUAAUGCUAAGAGGGUAUACAUUCAUAUAUGACAGACUAGCCAAAACUACUAAAACUUCUUUUUUUUAUCACCAACUAGAAACAGUUGAACCUUAUAUUUAUUUUAGCUCAGUUCAUCAUACCAACUGGGAAUUGAUGCUUUUCUUAGAAGGUUCAAGAUGAACAUCAAGGGAACAUUAAGAAACUUGAUAGGGUUUUGGUUCAUCUGCCAUUAGUCAAAUUUGACACGAGAACUCACAAAGGAACUCAAAAUGGCCAGGGAUUUUUUCCAAAGAAAAUGUGAAUUUUGGGCAGGGAAAUUAUGGGCGUAGUUUACAAUAUUGAGUAGCAGAAGAUCAUCAGCCUCUAGGAAAAAUUUCAAAUCCCAGGUUUACCUAGGGGGAAACUAUAAAUCACUAGGGAAUUCUUAUUUACCUAUGUUUGAUAUUUUCAUCCUUGCCUCACAAGCCACUAAUCUGUUUGCAGUUUACAAAAGCUGCCAAUGGAACGAUAAAUGAAAAGCAUUGCUAUAACGUAAGCAACAACAAUAUAUGUAGGCAAAUCCAGAGUUUCCAAAAUCAAUCCAGUAGAUACCCGAUGUGGUGCAAAUCAUUCUAAAAAAGAUAGAACUUCAAGAAAAAUAUUACUCUAUUCACUCAAGCUGGCCGUUCAAGGAUGAAGAAACUUACUAUCUUCUAUUUACAUUUGGGUCUACAUUUUUAUCUUGGCUGAAGGAUCAUGCCAACUUCUAUGAGCAACUCCCCCACUCCUUCAAUUAUGUAAGGCUAGCAAUUUAGGAAAGUGCAGAACCCUGUCAUGGAAAACCUUCUUGUCAAAAGAAGAUAGUGAUGAAAAGUAGGUCAUGAAUAACAGAAGAAAAAUGAUAGUUUACUGCUUAUUUACCUCUGUUGAGGAAACCUCACCCCAUGAGUCAAAAGACAGCUCUCGUUCAUGAUUUCUAAAGACACGUGUUCUCGUAUUGCUUCCAAUGAGUUACAACCAAAAAUAUCCAAAUCAAUGAAAUCCAACUUUUCAAGUCCCUGAACCUGAGUAAGUUUCUUGCAAUAUCGAACUCUUAGAGAUCAUAACUUCUCACAUGCCAUCAAUUUGGCGUAGUCUCCAUUGAUUUGCAUCCUGCAAAAUCCAACUCUUCUAAGAACUUUGCACCGUAAAGACCUUGAAUUUCUACUAUAUUGUUGCACCCACAGCCGCUAAUUUCUUCAAACAUCAUGAUUCUGGACAGAGAAGCCUUCUAAUGUAAUUGCGGUCAUAUAUAAAUAUGACCUCCAAGAAUGCCAAAUUAUCAUGGCCUUGAAUUUCAAUUAGGCUAUCGCAAUGCUCAAGGCGUAAUCGUUUCAGACGAAUCGAUUGUGAAAGGUUCAAUCUUUCAAUGGAACUGCACUUUUUUUUUUAUUUUUUUUUAUGGAAGGCUCUUCCAAGUACAUGAAUCCAUCAGGCCUAAGCAAUAUCGGCUUAUCACAUUCCUCAACAUAGAGUUUCAAGGGUCUUGAGGAAAGCUUAGGAUGCGUUCAAGUAGAUGGCACACCUCAAGAUGGAGUUCUUGCAAUCGGGGGCUCUAAUAGAUCUGUUAAGUUUGGAGGAAGCUUUGACAGCGACCGGAGCUCUUUACAGCCCUUUAGAUCAAGGCGUUGGAGAGAAGAAGGAAGCUCUGGCAGCAACCGGAGCUCCUUACAGCCCUUUAGAUCAAGGUGUCGGAGAGAAGAAGGAAGCUCUGGCAGCAACCGGAGCUCCUUACAGCCCAUUAGGUCAAGGUGUUGGAGAGAAGAAGGAAGCUCCGGCAGCAACCGAAGCUCCAUACAAAACUGUAGGUUAAGGUCUUGGAGAGAAGAAGGAAGCUCUGGCAGCGACCGGAGCUUGUCGCAGCCUCUUAGGUUAAGGCUUUGGAGAGAAGAAGGUACCUCUGGUAGCAAUCGGAGCUCCUUACAGUCCCUUAGGUGAAGGCUUUGGAGAGAAGAAGGAAGCUCUGGCAACGACCGGAGCUCCUCACAGCCUAAUAGGUCAAGGUGUUGGAGAGAAGAAGGAAGCUCUGGCAGCAACCGGAGUUGGUUGCAGGCCCUUAGGUCAAUGGAUAGGAGAGAAGAAGGAAGCUCUGGCAGCGAUUGGAGCUGGUUGCAGGCCUUUAGGUCAAUAGAUUGGAGAGAAGAAGGAAGCUUUGGCAGCGACUGGAGCUUGUCGCAGUUUUCUAGGUCAAGGCUUUGGAGAGAAGAAGGAAGCUCUGGCAGCAACUGGAGCUUGUCGCAGUUUUCUAGGUCAAGGCUUUGGAGAGAAGAAGGAAGCUCUGGCAGCGACCGGAGCUCUUGACAGAACCUUAGGUCAAGGUGUUGUAGAGAAGAAAGAUUCCGAACGCUUUCUGGCAGGUCAGAUAUCGGUGUGCAAGAGAUAUUGAGAUACUCAAGGGAAGGCAAGUCAUUGAUUUCACUUGGAAUUGCCCCUUUCAUACUUCUACAACAUUUAAGAUAUAGAGUCCGCAAAUUUUUCAACCUUCCAAUAACAAUGGGAAACCUUUCGAUCGCAGAACAACUCAAGUCAAGAUGUUGCAAAUUCUGUAAAUCUCCAAUUGAGCUUGGGAUUUCUCUCAGUGAAUUACAAUAGCUAGCACUCAAUUUCUUCAACUUCCUCAGAGAAGCAACAGACGUAGGAAUCUUCAUAAUACUAGAAUAAUCUAAUAAAAGUUCUUCUAAAUCUUUUAAUUCGCCCACCUCCUUUGGUAGCUCCUUGAGACUUACACAACCAUGCAAGUCCAAGGAAAUGAGGCUCGUGAGUUUGCCAAUAGAAGGAUGGAGAUGAUGUAAUCCGUAACAUUCCCUCAAAAUGAGAAUCUUCAACUUUAAGAAAGCCGAGAGAUCAGGAGUACAUCUUAAUUCAAGGCAAUGUGCAAGCAUGAGAACUUUAAGCCGCUUUGACGCCUAAUAAAAAAGGAGAAUAAGCUGUCAAAUAAUGGGUUGAUCGACUAAACAAAAAUAAAACCCUAAACUCAUUCUUUUCUCAAUCUUACCAUGAAUGACCUCCAUGCUUGCCAAUCCUCUCUAACCACGCUCCCAUAUAAAGUCAAUAUUGAUAAAUUCGUUAGAUGCAUUGAAAGAGACAAAUCGCUUCGCUCAGUCUUCCACUCAAGCCAUCUCACUUCAGAAAGGAGUUCGUUGUUGGAGCUUCCGCUUGAAGCUGCCCGCAAAUUGUCACGGAAACAGAAACAAGAGAGGUGUCUCCGCAAGAUUUUGUGGAACCAAGAGGGGGACCUGGAGGGGAACCAGUCGGGGCCUCCCUGCAAGAUUUUUAACUUUUUAGCUUUUUUUUCUUUUCUUAAAUCUUGGAUUUUGCACGAUCUAUAACUUUUCUAUCCUUCCCAUGUACAAUUACAAAUAUGGCUUAUAUUUUUUUUUUGACGACCUUUCAAAAAUUAAACAAAUGACGUGAAAAAAAAUGAUUAUUGCUCUAAAACAACUAAGGUAAAGGCAACUCAAUGUUUUAUCUUUUCCUUUUUUCUUUCAAAUUUUGUAGCCCAUGCACUUUGACUUUUAUUUAAUACGAAAUAUAUGAAACCAUUUUACAGCAUACAAAUGUUUACUUGUAAAUUUUCAUGGCUUUUGUAUAAUUUUUCAAAAGAAUUUGUUGAAGAGUGCCAGUGGGCCACCUGUAAGUAGCUAUGGAAACACCUGGUUUUCAUUUCAUUAUUAAAAUGUAAUAAUGCCGAAAAGAAAAAAAAUGGGAAAUUUUCAAUAUAUUUCCAUAGAUAGAAAAGAUUAUAUGGAGAGCCUAUCUAUAAAAUUUAUUAUAGGAUUGUCUAAGGAAAUCAAAGAAAAUCAAAUUAGAUAUACGUAAUCAAAAUAAAUAUAAAAAAUUAGAGAAAAUAUCCUAAAUAUCUCUAGAAGAUAUCUACAUAUCUUUAACAUCAUUAACUAUUGUUGUGAAGCGUUUAAUCAUUUCUUUGAAAACUUAAACUUUUUCUUUUUGUUAAGUAUGUUUAAAAAGUGAUGUGGUGACAUUGGAAAAUAGUGUAUAAAUCAUAUCAUGAGGCGGCUCAAAUGGACAAUAUAUAAAAUAAAAUGACAUGAACAUUGAUAAUUUAACUAACAGAUUGGCUUCAUGCUGAGCAUCAUUAUACUCAAAGGUAUGGAUAUAAUAAUAAGUAUGGCAUUUCCUCUAAUUAGUCAAGUUUUCAUGGAUUUUCUUAUGACAAAUAGUUGUAUGUGUUAUAAGUAACUUAUAGAGGAUACAAAUGUUUGUUAUAAGAAAAUCCACUCUUUAUCAUACAUCUAACCUAAUCCAUGAAAUGAGCAAGGUCAACGUGAUAAAACCUUAAAAAAUAGUAAGAUUUUCCUAAAAACACUUUUAAGUGGAUUUUUGCUAUCUUAUCUAUUAAAAGGAAAUAAUAAUUAAAAGAGAUAGAUAUAACUAGUAGAGUAGAGGGACGAGUAUCUUCAAAAUCAAAUUGGAGAAAAAAAAACCAAACAUUGGAUUCCUAAAUCAUAGGACUACCACCAAUACAUCUGGCCAUACCAGUAAGCAAGAACAUGUAAUAGGUGUGAAAUUUUUUCCAAUCUUAUUGUUUUGAAUUAAUUAUCAGUUAUUAUAAUUGGCACAUGCAAUCUUUUUUUUUUAAUCAAGAAAUAUUCAUUUAUCUUAUCUAUGAUGUUCAUACUUCUUCUUCAUUCAUUAUUGUAGUCCUUUAGAUUAUCAAUAUUUUCAACUAGAUAUGACAAUUACAUGCUUCUAGUAAAUGAGAUUUAUAGAGUAAAUUAUAGUUGACGGGUCUUUAAUCGAUUGUCAAUCACAUCGUUACAAAUGUAAUUUAUAUGAAUGAAAUCGAAUCAAAUGCUAUAAAUUUUUAGUCCUUUAGAUACUUAUAAUCCAUUUAGCUGACACAUUAAAUCUAAGAUGGACAUAAAUGGAUGUUUACUCCUAGAAAGUAAGAGCAUAAGUCAAUCCUAGAUGAAAUACUAGAAUAGAUUAGAUUAAAUGUAUUAAAAUAAGAGGGAGAGAAAAAGAAAGGAGUGCCACAUUUUACCAUUCCAUGGCAUUUCAGCACUUUUGGGACUCCCUUAUAGUCGUGGUCCCAGGGUCCGCUACGUUUCUCAGGUGGUUGUCCUUGGCAAAAAAUGCUCCUUCCAAGAUCUCUCAAUUGAUCAUGCAUCUCAAACUUAUCGUGAUCUCCAAUUUUAAUUAAGCACCUCAACUUUAACUCUUCAAUACCUUGACUUGGAUAAAGCCCACAGUCCUCCCACAUGUUCAUGGUGAAUCUGCUCUUUUUGCCAAUGAAGAAACAAACAAUAUCGAGAAAAAUCUGCUUAUGUCCAUCUUCUAAUGCAUCAUAACUUAUUUGUAAUAUCUUUUGGACAUCUCUAUGUGGUUCAUUUUUUAAUUGCUCCCGCACAUCUUCCCAUACUUUUCGAUUAGUUUUUUUAUACAAGUAUGAACCUACAACUUGAAGUGCCAAGGGAAGCCCACCCAUGUUGGAUAUGAUAUCACGAGAUAUACCCUCAAACUCCCUUGGAGAAUGGUCCAUAUGAAAUGCAUGUUUGUUAAACAAAAGCAAAGAGUGCACGUUACCCAAUUCAUUCAAUUCAUACUUGUAGUCCACCUCAAAUUUAGAUUGAUCAAGAACGGCUUCAUUUCUAGUUGUAACAAUGAUCACACUUCCUGCCAUAAACCAAUGACGCUCCCUAGCCAACGCAUCUAGUUGACUCUUGUCAUCUAUAUCAUCCAGAAGAAUGAGAACCCUUUUCCAUUUAAAUCUAGAUUUGAUUAUACUAAUUCCAUCAUCAAUUCUAGACACUUGACUUUUGCUUUGUAGUAUGUCUGAUAUUAGUUGACUCUGUAGAUACGUAAUACCGUGGAGCUUGGUAGUUUCUCGAACAUCUGGAAGGAAGCUGACACGCACAAAUUUAUUUGAGAGCUGAUUAUAGAUGCACUUGGCAAGAGUUGUCUUGCCUAUCCCGCCCAUGCCAUAAAUUCCAAUCAUUCGAGCAUUGGUGGAAGGAUUGUCGAUCCAAUUCAUAAUUUUCUUCAUACGAUCAUCAAGUCCAACUAGUUGCUCAGGCACAUCCAAUUGAAAAUCUUCCCAUAACUUGCUUAUAACAGUUUCAACCACACAUUCUACUAAUUUUCCCUCAUGCCUGUCAAACAAUAAAAAUAAUGGGAAGUUAUGAACUUAGACAUAAUCUAUUUGAAGUAUUCUAUCCUUAUCAAUUGAGCUAACCCUUGUUGCCUAUAGGAGUUCGAUUUUAUCUGGUGGUGAUCAAGCUUUGAAGACAGAGCAUUGGAGUCACUUGGGGGCCAAUUGUUUAGUGAUUGAUACUAUUGGCUAAAGGUGAUGUCGUCUCUUUGUUCUUUUUGGCUCUAUACUAGAGGAAAAUGCAAAUUCUUGGGCAUUGUGGGAUGCUUUGGUUUUAGUUGCCGUUGGUUUAGUUUUCAGGGACAUCUUGGGGCGUGCUGGUGUUUGUUGUGUUCGAGGCAUUACGGUUAUUUAUUUUGGGGAUCUUUUUUGAGCUUGCAGUAAAAGUAAUUCAUCUGCAUUUCCUCGAUUCUGCGAGAAGAAGAAAACUUACUUAUCAAAAAAGAAAAGUUAAGUAAAGUACCCGUCCAGAAUUUUCUGAGAUUCCCAUCCAUUUAAGUAACUGACUUCAUUAAGUGCUUGUUGUCCUUCCUGGAUAUCCUUCUCCUCAAAAUGCUCCUGACUUGAAUGGAAUGCAUUUCCAAAAUUUCCUUUUAGAUGCCGCACAUCCUUUGGGGCAACUUUGUAAAAUAUAGGCAAAACUAUGUGUGACGCGUUUUUCUUACGAUCCACGAUAUGAAAAAGCUUGCGGAGGCACCAUUUGCUCGAAGCAUAAUUUUCGGAGAUGACGGGGAUCGAAAUCUUAGACCAUGCUAUGGCAUUGAGAAUCUCUAAACCAAAUUCCUCACCAAUUGAGAUAUUGUUCUCGUCCCUGAACACGCAAAAUGGUACAGUCCCUGCCUUGAUCAGAAUGUGAUAGAGGUGAUCGGUGAAUGUGGUGCGCGUAUCCAAGCCUCUAAAGCUCAAGAAAACGUCGUAUUGACCGCUGCCUACACAUGUGGCUUCUGGAGAGAUGAAUGAAGAAGUGGAUGCUCCUUCAGUGCUCUCGUCCUCUGCCCUAUUUCUCUUUCCCUGACUCUGCCCUCUGUCCAUGGCAAUCUGAGGCGGAAAGUUGAAAAGAAAGAUGUUUUUUAUUGCUGCUUAAAAGGAUUGUUGAACAACGAAAGACGCUUUUACGAUGCUUUUCUGCAAAAGCUUGUUGGCUCCGAAUGACGCGUUCGUUAAUUCCCUAGGUAAUAAACACAUAACCUUCAGUUAAGUAAGCUAAUGUCGUUUCUCUGCAGAAAAUUAGGUGGCCCUGAAGAGGUCCCCAAAAAGCCCACAUCAUUUUCUUGUUUAGAAAAACAAAUUUGAAAUUACACAAAUUGCAUUGUAAUUAAUCGACUUCCUUAAUACACAUUUGAACAAUUACAUAACUUCAUGCAUGUGUAUGAUAUUUAAAGGAAAAUUCUUUCGGUUCAAGGUAAGCUAUUGAAAUUAUGUAGGCAACUCCGUGGAAGCAUCUUCUUCUAAAUAUAAGCUCACAGGAUGCCUAAUCCUUGUCAUAAUCUUCAACCUUUUUUUUUCUUUCUGGGUCAGACAUAACCUUCGACCUUACUCUUAUUAUUUUUAUCUAAUAUAUAAACAAACCUAACUAUCUCCACCACCUCAUUUUCGUAACCCCUCCUGUCUAAUCCCAUGUCCACUGGCCAAACUAAUGAAGUGUUGUGUAAUCGUUGCCCAACAAACCACAUCCUCUAGAUGUGUGCACUUUCCUAAGUGGAGGGAAAUUCCAUCAAUCACGUUUGUAAUUUGGCGAGUUCCAAGUUUCAGGCAUUGCUCAUAUGUAAAAUUAACUAAAUCUAAUUGAGGAAAGAUUUUCAAUUGAUCAGUUGUUUUGAUUAUGAAGGAAGUCGAUGAAAAUGAUUCUAAAUGAAAGGGAAAUACUUCCUUUUGGGCCCACAUUUUAUUUCUUUCUAAAAGUGCAUAGAAAUGAGAGGAAAUGCAAAAAUUGCACUUUUCUUCCAAUUGGCCUUACUUCCUUUUUAAGGAUAAAUAGAAUGAACGUUAAUUAAGUCUAUCAAUGAAAUUAAGUUCCAUUUACAUCAUUUCCACCGAACAUGUCGAACAUGUAUCCAAACAUAUUUCGAGGACUUUUAACUUAUUUCUCCAAGAAAACUCAAGCUUCUCUCUUCUCUCUUCCAGUGGCUUGGAACAAAGUGCUCUCCCCCUUGCUUAACUUCAAUCAAUCUUAGACCGUCUUUGUUCUUGUUUCCUCCCUCUCUCUCCCCCUCCCUCCCUCCCUCCUAUGUUCGUUUCUCUUUUUCCUAUGUUCUUUUCUCUUUUUGUGUGAAUGUUGCUUCUCUAUUUGUUUUGGGUCGUUUGCUUCACUUCUUUGAUGUUUUUGUCCAAAUUUAGUGAUUUCAUAUUUUAAUUUUAUUUAAAAUUGUCAUAUUAUUAAUGAGAUUGGAAAUGCAAGGUAAAGAUGAACAAAUGGUCUUCGUCAUUUCUCUCUUAUUUAUUUCGUGUUGGCCCCACAUGCCAAUAAUUUUAUAUAAGAUGAAUCUAUGAUAUGACGCUACGAAGCUAUUCACUUCAAAAUUUUAAAUUUAAAUUAUUGAUUGAUAAAUUGUCUGCAAAAUAGAGUUAUAAUUUGUUAAAUGACACCAAAUGAGCAUAACAUGAUAGUAUUAAGUUACUAAUGAUAUAUGAAAUACUUGUACACUGCUCUUGAGUUCUUUUCCAGGUCAUGUUUUUAGUACAAUUUUGUCGGCAUAUCAUUCCACUCUUUGAAAAGUCAGUAAAACAAUGAUAAAAGAAGUAUGCAAAAUAUUCAAAAUAUAAAAGAUAAUUUAGGAAAAAAACAUAGAAAAGAAGGGAAUGAAGUGUCUAGGCUUACUUGUAGAAGGAAGCAGCGAUAUCUAGAGGUAAUGUCCAAAAGGCUUUUGAAUUAUGAAUUCACAAGACAUAGAAACUUUCACGAACAUGAAUUGAAAGUAAAAAAGGGAUGAAAGAUGUAUGGCAAUUUGGGGGCGAAAGUUGGGAUGCUUUUUUGCUGCAUAAAAAGGAUCGAUGAACUAAUCUUUACGAACAAUAACAAACAUAAAUCCAUUACCGCACAAGGAAAAAUGAACAUGAAAUCUUUAAUUAAUUGGUAAUUGAUUGACUAGGAGCAGUUGCAUAUGCCUUUAGCCCCCGUCUUAUCUUCUUUUGGACCUCAAAGUAUUCAAGUCAAACUUGUUGGCUCGAUCCACCCACGAGUACCGUGUACGUUAAUUUUUCAAUUGGGCUAUAAAGAACUAGAAUCUGUAUACAACUCUAAGGCAUUCAAUUAAGAAUAUAAGCAUAUGUUUGGUUUUUAUUUGGUUAUUGAAACUAAGAAUUUGAUAAAUCAUUUAAAGAUAAUAAUUGAGAUGAAAUGGAAUUAGAAAUGUGUGAAAGACUUCAAGAAAGGACCGAGCUAGUAAUUGUGGAUGUGAUUUUAUAUUUUAAUUUUGUUUAAAAUUGUCAUAUUCUUCAUGAGGUUGGAAAUGUGAGGUAGAGCUAAACAAAUGCCCGUGGUUAUUUAUCUUUAUCUAUUUCACACCGGCACCACAUGCUACAAUUCCAUGUAAAAUGAAUUUAUUUUGAAUUAGUAUGCUAUAACCAAGCCUUUCACUUCAAUUUUUCAAGGGAUAAGUGCUAUAGAAGUCCUAAAACUUAUCACAAAAAUGUAAUUAAGUCCUAAAACUUGCAAAAAAUGCAAUCGAGUCCUAAAACUUGUCAAAUUGUUUCAAUUGAGUCAUAAAGUUAAUACCGACAAACUUACUAAUAGAAAAUGUUGACAUGGUGCGGACGUGGAAUUUUAAAUAAUUUUUCUUUUUCCACAUGGAUUUUUUUAUUAUUUUUUAUUCAAUUUUUUAAAAAUUAGAUUUAAAAACUAAAAAAGAAAAGCUAAAAUUUAUUUUUAAAAAUUGUUAAAAAUAAUAGAGGCAGCUCCUCCCUCACCACUGUCGCCGCCCAUCGCCGGAGGGGCCGGUGACCCUCUGACGAUGGGCGGCGGCUGCCAUUUUUUUUCUUUUCUUUUGAACUGUUUUGUUUUAAAAUAAAAUUUAACUUUUCUUUUCUAAUUUUUAAAUCUAAUUUAAAUAAAAAAUUUUAAAAAGCCACAUGGAAAAUAAAAAUUCAUUUUAGAUGCCAUGUCAGCAUUUUCCGUUAAAAAAGUUGACGGUAUUAACUUUAGGACUCGAUUGAAACAAUUUGACAAGUUUUAGGAUUUAAUUGCACUUUUUGCAAGUUUUAGGACUCAAUUGUAUUUUCGUUACAAGUUUUAGAACUUCUAUAGCACUUAUCUCAAUUUUCAAAUCUAUAUAGUUGAUUGAUAUCUUGUCUAUAAAAUAGAGCUAUAAUUUGUUAGAUGGCACCAAAUGGAGGAGUGGAUGCUUCCUUAGUGCUCUCUUUUUAUGCACUCUUUUUUCUUCUUAUUGAGAUUAUUGAAUACAAGCACAAAGACACAAGGAGCACUGCAAAGGAACGACUUGAAAUGGAAGUAGAAUAGGAUAAUUGGCUAAAUUUGUGAUAAUUCAGGUUAAAUUGAUUAAUCACAUUUUGAAGAAUGAAUCUAUUGUUUGCAAAGAAAGAGGUGUAAGAAAUGAGUGAUAUAAAGCUAGGUGACUCUCCUAAUAUGCAUGUAUGGCUCAAUUUAUUCAAUUGUUUUCAUGUGUGUGUCAUAAAAUUGAUUUAUAUUUUUUUUCUUACUAUUGGAUAUCAUGUAAAAGAUCUUAAUAAGUAUCAUACUAUGGACUUUGGUAUGUUUUAUAUUGCAAUGAUUGAAAUUCUGAUGAGUUGUGAGCGGGUAAAAAAUAGCAAUAUAGUUAAAAUGCUCAAACUCUCACCUACUUUUUAAUUCCUUAUUUACUUUUCUUUUCUUUUUCAAGAAAAGACUUGGCCAAUUUUUAAAGCUUUGCAAGAGAAAAUGAUUUUUUCUCUUCUUUUUUCUUGCUAAAGAAGGGGAAAAAAUGAAUUAGAGGUGAAAGCAAAUACACUUUCUAGGACUAAUGGUCCAACAAUUAGAGUAAAACAAGAUAUUACUCAUUUGGAAUGUUCUAGAGGGAGGUAAAUUUGUUGAAUGAAGUCCCCUUAAGAGAAGACUUGCUCUUAGGAUGAUUGGUUUUAGGAUAAGUGGGUUUUAAACAAAGAAUUAGGAACUUAUUACGUAAAGAUUGGUUCUCCUCUUUUAUAACCAAGAACCAAACUAGUUGACCCAGAAACCAGCCUACUUUUAUUUUUCUGAUUUAGUUUUUCAUAAAUUGAUCUAGGACCUUCAAACAUAGAGAAACCUCACAAUGCAUAAGAAAAAUAGAAUGGUCUCUGAAUUCAACCGAAAUGUGGCAAAUUUGCAGGCGACAGAGUCUAGUGCACUUGCAGUCCUACUCGCUCUAGUUCAACAAAAGAUUAAUACUGAAUUACGAUGCAACUAAGAAUCAGACAGCAAGGCCAUCAUAGAAUUAGCCACAUCUAAAGUCGAAAACAAAAGGCUUUCCUUUUUUCACUGAAGUCAAAUCUAAGAUGGGGACAUACCUCGUUCAAUAGGCAACGGCGACUCCAAAAGAGAGAAUAGAAGACCCUCCUUUGCUAUUCAGCAACCACCCCCGCAUCCCCAAUAGACAAAACGGGCCCAGAGCACACUUAGUUCAGCCAAUUAUUUCAAUAAUAAAGUGACAAAAUCAAAAUAAACGAGAUGCUAAUAAGAGAUCAAAAAGUGAUUACCACAAGCGAGCUAAGAUGCGAAGAGAGGCACGAGAUCGGAGAGAGAGGAGACCGUGAACAAGCCUGGGCGAGAACUUUCAAGAGGGAUAAAGAAUAAAGAAAGCGAGUGAGGACUGAUUAGUAGAUGAUAGUCUUGAACUCUUCUGCAAGAGAGAGGCCGAAUGCGAAUGAUAAAGUGAGAAAUGAGAGAGAGAGAGAGAGAGAGAGAAGACCAAUUAGUAGUAGGCGAUAGUCUCGAAUGAUUAUUUAUGGACCUAUAUCUUUAUAUGGCUGAUUGACUAGUAGCAAUAAAAUUGUUUUCAGGUGGCAAGCCAAGUCAAGCCACACAAUUUGGACUAGAGUACGGAAUGACCGCUUCUGUUCAUAUCUACUUAGAAACCAUUUUGUUAACCUGAUAAUCGUGGCUCUAACCGACAUGUGAAUCUUCCAUUAUAUUAUUUUCAAAGACGUUCUUACUCCUAUAAAUGCUACAUUCUCCUCCCACCCUAAACACGCAUAGAUCAUAUUGUCAAAUCCAUCGUAAGUUAGUAAUUUUCUAUGCUAUAUAUACAUAAAAGUCAUGUCUUUGCUCUAAGCACUAAAAACGCAUGAAAAUCACACUUAAUGAUGAGUUUCUCUAAUUCAAUAUGCAAAGAUAAAGUCCACCUAAAAAUUGUCCACAUAUUAAAUAUGCGCAAGUACGUUGAAAGCAGCAGCUUUGCUCACUUUCAAGUUUUCCAUUGUAACCAGCACAAAAAAUGGUAAUAUUGUGAAUUUUUCUUAAUUUCCGGAAGACAUUUGAAUUAUGAAUUUGGUGAAUUUAAAGUUAAAAAGAAAAUGAAAGACGCAUGGCAAUCUAAGGGUGAAAGUUGGAAUGAAAGAUGCUUUUAUGCUGCAUAAAAGUAUCGAUGAACUAAUCUCUACGAACAAGAAUGAACAUGAAUAUGUAACCACGCAAGAAAAAACCAACAUGAAGUCUUUAAUUAAUUGGUAAUUGAUUGACUACGAGCAGUUGCAGAUGUUUUUAGACCUCGCCUUGUCUUCUUUUGGACCUCACACUAUUCAAGUCAAACUUGUUGGCUUGAUUAACUCACGAGUGACGUGUUCAUUAAUUUUUCAAUUGGGCUAUAAAGAACUAUAAUCUGUGCACGAGUAUAUUAUAUUCAAUUAAAAUUAUAAGCAUGCGUUUGGUUUUUUUUUUUUUUGGUUAUUGAAAAUCGGAAUUUGAUAGAUCAUUCAAAAGACAAUAAUUGAGUUGGAACAAAAUUAGAAAUGCGUGGAAGACAUCGAGAAAGAACCAAGCUAGUAAUUGUGGAUGUGAUUUUAUAUUUUAAUUAUGUUUAAAAUUGUCAUAUUCUUAAUGAAGUUGGAAAGGAGAGGUACAGAUAAACAAAAAUGCUUGUGGCUAUUUAUCUUUUAUCUAUUUCAUGCCGGCACCGCAUCCUCCAGUUCUAUGUAAAAUGAUUUUGAAGUGGCAUGUUAUCACCAAGCCUUUCGUUUCAAAUUUUCAAAUCCAAUAUCUUGUCUAUGGAAUUAGAGCUAAAGCGCUCUUUUCUUUCUCCAUGUUAGUCUGAACGAUUAGAAAUUAGGUACGGAUUCGAUGGAAGAAGGAGAAGAAGAGAAGGAAGUAAGGGGAAGCUGCUGCGGAAAAUUCAGAGUCGACCACCUUGAGAAUGGCAUUGAGUGCUUGUCCCCAUUUUUGUGGAGGGCCCAUCUUGAGAAUUUCACCGCAGAGAGGUGUAAGAAAUGAGUGAUAUAAAGCUAGGUGAAUCUCCUAAUAUGCGCGUAUGGCUCGAUUUAUUUGAUUGAUUUCAUUUGUGUCAAAAGAUCAACUAGAUUUUUUUGUCUAGGAUUAAUGGUCCAACAAUUUGAGGAAAAUAGAAUAUUACUCAUUUGGAAUACUAUAUAGGGAGGUAAAAUUGUUGAAUGAAAUCUCUUUAAAAAAGACUUACUCUUAGGAUGAUCGGUUUCAGGAUGACUAGAUUCUUAAUUAAGAAUCACAAACUUAUUCUUUAAUGAUCGGUUCUCCAUUAUUGUAACCGAGAACCAAACUAGUUGACCCCGGAACCACCCAACUAUUUUUUUUCUAUAAAUUGAUCGAGGACCUUUAAACACAGAGGAGCCUCACAAUGAAUUAAAAAAAAAAAUUGGUCUCUGGAUUCGAGCGAAACAUGGGAAUUUUGCACGCAAUAGAGUCUAGCGCACUUCCAAACCUACUCGUUCUAGUUCAACAAAUGCUCAAUACUGAAUCACAAUGCAACUAACAAUGAGGCAAUAAGGCCAUAAUAGGAUUAGCCACAUCUAAAGUUGAAAACAAAGGCUUUCUGUUUUCAUCGAAGUCAAAUCGGAGCUGAGGACAUUCCUCGUUAGGAGGUAACAACGACUCCAAAAGAAAGAAUAAAAGGCCCUCCUCUGCAAUUCAGCAGCCACCACCACAUCCCCAAUAGACCAAAAGGGCCCAGAACAUACUAGUUCGGCCUAUCAUUUCAAUAAUAAAGUGACGAAUCAAUAGAAACGACAUGCUAAUAAGAGAUGAAAAAGUGAUUACCUUUCGUGAGUUGAGAUGCAAAGGGAGGCGUGAGAUCGGCGAGAGAAGACCCUAAACAAGUCUGGGCAAGAACUUCUAAGUGGGAAAAGAACAGACAGAGAGUGAGGACUAAUCAGUAGAUGAUAGUCUCGAAUUGUUCUGCAAGAGAGUGCAAGAGAGAGGCCGAAUGUGAAGAUAAGAGAGAGAGAGAGAGAGAGAGAGAGGACCAAUGAGUAGUAGACGAUAGGCUGAUUGACUGGUAGCAAUUAAAUUGUUUUCAAAUGGCAAGCCAAGUCAAGUCACGCAAUUUGGACCCGAGUACGGAAUGCCCACUUCUGUUCAUAUCUACUUAUAAAACAUUUUGUUAAACAGAUAAAUGUGGCUCUAAUCGGCUUGUGAAUUUUAUGUCAAAGUCGUUCUUACUCUGUAAAUGCUACAUUUCCCUUCCACCCUAAAUAUGCAUAAAUCAUAUCGUCAAAUCUAUCAUAGGUCAGUAAUUUUCUACACUAUAUAUACGUAAAAGUCUUUGUUGAAAGCAGUAAAAUCGCAUGAAAACCACACUUUAUGACAAGUUUCUCUAAUUCAAUCCGCUAAGAUAAAGUCCACCUAAAAAUUGUCCACAAAUAUGUGUAAGCUCAUUGAAACCAGCAGCUUCGCUCACUUUCAAAUUUCCAUUGUAACCAGCACAAAAAAAUAGUGCAAUUGUGAAUUUUUCAUAAUUUCCGGAAAACAUUUGAAUUUUCUGUCAUUUUCUAGAAAUUACGAAAAUUGCCAAUAUAAGGGAAAAUGGUUUUAUGGACAUUUAAAAAUUCUCUAGUUGACCUGAUCGGUUCAGAUAAAUUUUUGUUGUUGACAAUUAUGAUCCAUAGCCUUUGAAAGGUUUUGUGCGACUCUCGAAGAGAAUAGACCAGCACGAUCGAUAUUUGGAAAAAAUCUAGUUUUUAAAUGUAUUCAAGGAAAAAGAAAAGAAUUAUUUCUGCAAAAAUUGAGUAUUUUGGAUGUUUCAGGCUUUAAGUACUGUUGGCUCCGACAAAAAAAAAAACAAGUAAUUUUGGACAAUUAGGGUGAACAUAGGGCCAACAGACGCAAAAUUGGGUUUAGAAGGGUAUUCUCGUAAUUUUAAUCGAACGGGCUUUUUGUCCCAAGGGAAUUUCACAUGUAUUAUUCUGUAGGCCUUUGAGGAUGUUAGGCGAUAAAGCGGUGAGUAAUAAUCAAAUGUAUUUUUGUCCUAUCAAUUGCAAUAGACCGGAGGACGAAGGUCGGACUUACCUCCAGAAGGGGGUAUUCAGAGAUGAAAUCACUGUGAUAGGCGUCAGUGUUUGAGAAGAAGCGGCCUUUGAAGCAGAUCGAGUUGUGUCCGAGUUCCGAAAGGCAGCACAAUCCCGAGGAUCACCUUCACGCCUCGACCUGGACCGGCUUCGUUUGGAAAUACGCCGAGGUAAAUUUGCAGAUCAUCUCAGGUCAGAACAUCACGAGAAAGGACAAGUAGUGGCUACAAAAUCACCAACAGCAGGCAAGGAACUUACUAUCUCUUGAUUAAAUCGCAGCUCUUCUCCGGUAUAUCUGGAGAUCCCAGAAACAACCCUCGUGUUCCCAGCGAAGACCGUGCCACCAAACCCAGGAACCCUAAUCGCCUCAGCGCAGUCCACGAUCAGAAAUUAUAGCCAGCGGAACACUAAAAAGUCGGAAACUCAACAUGAUUCGAGUCGAUUUUACCUGUUAAUCAGUGCCCGCCGAAAACCUAGUCCCUCAAGAAAACUAUCGAUGGGCUCCUUUGAAGUCGGUGGUUUGGAAGGAGCGACUGCAGGUGCUCUUCGCGACAGCCUCAGGCGUACUGCUUGAUGGAUUCGCUAGAAAGAAGAUCCUUUGCUUCCUCCGCCGAUUCAAGCUGAAGCUCUCGCUCUGGUAGAGGAUUUGAUGUGCUUC